UGAAACAUCCUUUCUAUAUAGGAGUUCUAAUUUUGAUGCAGUUUUUCGGGCUUAAGGUGGAUUAUUGUUGUAUGAAUUAUGAAAACUGUUGUUGAGUUACUUUCCAAUGAAGCAUCUGAAUUUGCUCCCUCUGAUUUAUUUUGGGGAAAAGAAAGGGGCUUGACUGUGCUUUUUGGGCUUACAUAAAAUCAAUUGGCAGCAUUUGAAAGCUCAACUUGAUUUUGAUAUUGCAUGGUGUUUUGAAGAUUCUGUUCAUUGUUAGUCCAGCCCCAGAUCCUGGAGAUGGAACUUGCACUUGGAAACAACCUUUUAUGUUGUUUGUGAUAGGCAUCUCUAAAUUCGCAUAAGCUCCUAAGGUAAACAGCUUAGGAAAGGCCUUGUCUGAACAAUAGUCAUGCAGAGAGAUGUGAAGCUCAAACACAAAUAUGCCCAGAAAUGAGAAUUUAUGUUGAUGUUUCAAAUCUUUGUUCUGGCUACUUUGCUCAAUCCUCUGAUUUUAAGAAUGUAUUCUGAUUACCACUGACUUGUUAUUGUUAUUAUUAUUAUUAUUAUUAUUCCUUUUUCCUUCCAUCAUAUCUUAUUCUUCUUUUCUUUUAUCUCACAUCUGGGCUAGAGUUGGAGAUGAAGAAGGUGUUUUUGUCUCCAACGACUUUAAUGUUACGUACGCUGACUUUUCAGAAUCGAAAGAAAGUUUGGCAUGUUUAGCAAACCAGAUGCUUGCACAUGUGUUGUUAAUGCAUAUGAUCAAGGCAGUAUCUUGAGUAUAGUGACAGAUAGCUCCCCCAAUUACCAUUUGAAAAUAACAUGCUGUCUUCCUGCAUUUCCUUUACAGUAAACAAAUUUUCCUUUUGAAAUAUGCCAUUGUUGUGCAAGAGCCAAUGUUGAAUGAAGUUGCCCCUGGAGCACAGACAAUAUCUUGUAAAAUUGGAGACGCAUGCCUAGGUUCAACAGAAACAGGAACAGGCUUGACCAGAUCAUUAAUAGCUGCUGUCAAGGUUGGUUGGAUAGUUUGUUUGUUCUUGUAGUAUAUCAGCAUGGUUUUCUCUAUCAAUGAUGGUGGUGAAUUAAUUCUGUAGAAGUAACCCAUGUAACCUUUUCUCUUGUAGAGAAAAUCAAGGACUGUACAUUGUGUGUCUUCCUAUUUAUAGGGACAUUCUUUUCUAGUUAAUACUUCACCAUACUCUGCCUGCUCUUUGUCUUAUACUUUGUCUCUUGCUUAGCUAAGUUAUGCUUUCAACACUUAAGGCAUUGGCUAUGUGACAUAUAUAAAUAUUUUAUUGAUUAACUUCCAUUCUAGAAUUAAUUUGCUGUAGAAUUAAUUUUGAUGCUGAUUAAUGUGCAUUUUAUUUGCAGUAUAAGUGUGAUCUCGCCAUGAUGAGUUAUGGAGAACCUACAAUGAUGCUUGAAUAUGGAUGAUUUGUUGACCUUGUUAACGAAGUAUGAAUUUCAUAACUUGAUAUUUGAUUGUUGGCAUGAUGAUUAAUUUACAAAUUCUUCUCUUUAUUAAUUUUUUACACUCUCUCCAUUAAGCAUUGACCACUGUGGGCUCACCUGGUGGUACCACUUCAAGUAUUGUUGGUGUCGAUGUGUAUGUACUUUCUCCUGCAAUGGCUGCUGGAGCUCAUUGUGUAGUUGAACCUCCGUCUGAAGGCCUUGAGUACUCAUGGUAUACAAUCUUCCCUUAAGAAAGUUUUUGAGUUUCAGCAAGUUGUUAGCAGUAAAUUAUUCAUUUGAAUCUUGAAGCAUAGCUGAAUGAAAUGGGGUGCAGAUCUAGCCAUGAACCAACAGUUGAUGGUGAUCUUGGGGUCUGCAUAAGCCCUCCAGGAAAAUUUGAUUUUGCAAGUGCAUUAUGCAUUACCAUAUGAUAUCUUUGUGCUUAUAAAAGUAAUAUUUAGAUGUGAAUGCCAUUUAGAAGCUGCACUUAGCAUACUGAUUAUGUAGUUAUGCAGAUGGUCCUCAUUGUUUGAGGAAACAGGUUUUUCUUGUUAUAUAUUAGUAUUGAGCCCCAUAAAGAGAAAAGUUUAUAAGAAUAAAAUAAUUUAUAUGAUGUUGGCAUGAGUAUUUAUAUUUGCAUCCAGCUAAACACUCUACCUUACACAUCCACCCUAAAACAUCAAUCCUAUUAACACAUUCACUUAAAAAAAUUUAAUAUAUCUAAAAUAAUUUCCUCAUUAUUCUCUUCCACACCUACUUUCUUCUUCCUUCUACCUUCUUCUUUCAAAUUUUUCUCAACAACAAACCCUAAGACCAUUUUUUUAUUUUUUAUCAAAUCUUGUUUUCUAAACAAGAAAGUAUUUGAGAUAAGUCUAAAGCUAAUUUUAACAUUUUUUAUACAUUUUUUUAAUCCAUUCACUAAUAUGAAAUUUGUAUGACAUGAAUAAAUUUAUAGAACUUAUGAUUUAUAUAAAUUUUGACAAAAAAUUGUUGUAAAAAUAGAUGAAAAGUAAUUAAAAAUUAUUUAGAAACGUUUUAGAUGUGAAAUUUUUUGAAAAAGUGGAAGGGAAAUAAACAAGAAAAAUAUGUGGUGUUCGAAAGUCGAAAGUAUGUUUGAAAAUAUAGUUUAGCGCAUCCUUUACAAUGUUUGGAAGUAUAAUGCUAGACGCCUUUAAGGAUGCCUGAACGUAUAGUGUUGGGCAGUGCUAACUUCAAGGAUAUUUUAAUUAUUUUAUCAAGGAUCACCUUUGUCUUAAAAAAAUUCUUAAUUUACAUGGAUGCAGAAUAGUGGACUUCGUGGGAGUGAGGUAAAAGUCUUUACUAUGUAGAGAUAUUUAGUAGAUGCAAAAAUAUAAACACACUUUGACAUAGUUGGGUUGGAUUUUUAAUCCCUAAAUGCCAUACAAAUACACUUUGGGCUUUUUUUUUCCCCAUAUUUGGUGGUUGCUCAAUUAUAAAUAGGAAGGAGUUAGGAUUCAAAUAGAAGAAGUUAUGGCUCCUUCCGGCUGCCCAACAUUAUUUAAAGAUAUUUUUAACAUAUCACUUAAUUUAAGCAACAUGAAUACAUUUUAAACAUUAAAACAAUUUGAGUAAUGAAAAUUAUUAACAAUUUUUUUUUAGAAAAUUUAUUAAUAUAAUUUUUUUUUUUUUGUUAUUGGUUCAAUAUUUUUGUAUUAAAUUUAUAUUAUAAUUUAGGUAUAAAAUUUGUAAUAUUAUUGUUUAUUUUAGCAUUGUUGAUUAGUUUAUAGUUUAGUUUAUGAUUUUUUUUUAGGCAUUUUAAUUAUAAUAAAAACCAAUGAAAACAAUUAUGUUGAUUUUAGUUGCUCUUAUUUAUUUAAUCUUUUUAUAUAUAUAAAAAAAAACUUUAUUGUAUUUGGGAUAUAAAAUGUCAAAUAUUAUAUGUUAUUAUUAGAAGUUCUUAAUUAACUUUAGCAUAAAUGAUAAGUAUAGCCUCGUGGUUUUAACAUAUUUGAUAAGUCUUUGAGUCGAACACGUGGAUUUUUAAGUUAAUAAAAUAUUAAAUUCUCUUUACAUACUUUUUACUUUUCCUUAUUCUAUUAGAAAAACUGUUGUUAUGAAAUUUUAUUACCUGAAUUAAGGGCUUCAUAUAUUUCUUUUUCAGUUUUGAUGGUAUGUAUUAAAAAUGAGUAACAAAAUAUCUAUAUUAUAGUCUUGUCUUGAUUAAGAUUUGAUGUAACAUCUUUGAAAUAAUAAAAUAUUCUUCUUUACCUUCAUCUCAAAUUCAAAGAAAGUAGGAGCAUGGUAUAGACUUGUAUUUAAUUAAUUUUAAAUAUGAAAAAGAUGUCCUUCAACUUGUAAAGUUUUGUAGCUCUCUAAAGACAAAGGGAGUCAUGACAUCAUUUGCAUGAUAAAACCAAAUGAUUUUUUUUUUCCUUUUUUUGUGGGUAGUUUUAGACAUGUGCUAAUGAUGUCAUGACUAUUUUGGCCUUUAGAGAGCUACAAAACUUUGCAAGUUGAGGGAAGUCUUUUUCAUAUUUAAAAUUAAUUAAAGACAAGUCUAGACUAUGCUUCCAUUUUUUUUGAGUUUGAAAUAAAGGUAAAGAAGAAUAUUUUAGUUUUUCAAAGAUGUCACAUCAAAUCCUAAUCAAGUUAAAAAUAUAGUAUGGAUUUUUUACUAAUUUUUAAUAUAUACCAUCAAAACCUUAUGAUAAAGAAAAAGAAAUAUAUGAAGCUCUUAAUUUAGGUAAUAAAAUUCUAUGAUAGUAGCUUUUCCAAUUGAAUAAAGAAAAAUAUGUAAAAAGAAUUUAUCAUUUUGUUGACUCAAGAAUUUGUGUUCAACACAAAGACUUGUCAAAUAUGCUAAAACAACAUGCUAGACUUAUCAUUUAUGUUAAAGUCAACAAAGGUUUAUAUAUAUAUAUAUAUAUAUUAAAUAAAUAAGAACAACUAAUAUCAACAUAAUUAUUUCCUUUGAUUUCUAUUAUAAUUAAAAUGUCUCAAAAGAGAAAUCCUAAACUGAACCAUAGUCUAAUCAAUAGUACUAAAAUAAGUAAUAAUAUUACAUAUUUUAUACCUAAGUUAUAAUAGAACUUUAGUACAAAAAUAUUUAUGGACCCUCGUUUUUGCACAUGCAUUCCCACUCAAAUGGUGAAACUCGCCUUUUUAUUUAUUUGGUGAAAAAUAUGAUUUUUAGAAAAGACUUGAAGUCGCCACUUAUUUUUGCUUUAUUUUUAAGGGAAAAUAAAAUAAGAAAGAAAACCCUAAGUGUGACUCUUUAUUUGGAAAAGACAAUCUGUGGAAAACCAAAGUCGAUUUUAGGGUCAGGUUAUUUAUUGGGAAGGUAUGGUAAAAAACCGUAGCACCCCUCUGAAUCCCUAAUAACAGGUCUCUACAAAAUAAGGUGAACUAAGUGUAAUAAUUGAUAAGGAAAUUGAUGAAUACCAAUGAAAUGAUUAAAUAAUAAAACGAAUCAUGCAUAAGAAUAAACAAAGUAGGAGUGAGAUCGUACCUUAGCAGCAAGUAAUAGUGCGCUAUCAUGGAAACAAGGUUAAUUCAAGUAUAAAAUUAUCAUAUGCAUAUCAAAGAGCAAGAUAAAGAUAAAGUAAUAUUCAUUAAGCAUAACAGUUGACAAUCAUAAGAGAAAACUCAUAUGUAGGGCUCCUACCAAAGCCCAAUUGAUUUUGCAUGAAUUAAUUCCAUAAAUUCCAUUGUUUUGGAAUUAUGAAAAUCAUAUUCGUACUUAUUUAAAAUCAAGAAAAAUAGAAAAUUAUUUAAAAAAAAAAAUAGUGAAAGUGCUUACCUGAGAAGAAAGGUAACAAGUUUAUUAAAAACAUGAUUUUUAUUGACUCUAAACCCUAAUGAACGAAGAAUAAAAGGAAGGACUUAAAAUUAUUUGAAAACCAAGGUACACUUAAAAUUAUUUGAAAAACUAAAAUUUGAAAAUUGGAGUUGUGAAAAUUAUUUGAAAGAGUUGUGAAAAUUAUUUGAAAAUUGAAAGUUUUGAAAAUUAUUCAAAAAUUGGAGUUUCAAAAAUUAUUUGAAAAUUAAAGUUUUGAAAAUUGGAGUUGUGAAAAUUAUUUGAAAAUUGGAGUUAUGAAAAUUAUUUGAAAAUUAUUUGAAAAUUGAAGUUUCAAAAAUUAUUUGAAAAUUGUUUGAAAAUUGGAGUUGUGAAAAUUAUUUGAAAAUUGGAAUUGUGAAAAUUAUUUGAAAAUUGGAGUUGUGAAAAUUAUUCGAAAAUUGAAGUUUUGAAAAUUAAAUUCGGAAAUUGGAAUUUUAGAAAAUUAUUUGAAAAUGAAGAUUUUGAAAAUUGGAAUUUUAGAGAAUUAUUUGAAGAUUAAAGUUUUGAAAAUUAGAGUUUUGAAAAUUGGAGUUUUGGAAAAUUAAAUUUGAAAAUUAAAAUUUUAGACAAUUUUUUUGAGAAUGAAGGUUUCGAAAAUUGAAAAUUUGAAGAAUUAUUUGAGAAUGGAAGUUUUGAAAAUUAGAUUUGAAAGAAACUAGAGUUUUGGAAAAUUAUUUGAAGAUUAAAGUUUUGAAAAUUAGAUUUGAAAAUUGAAAUUUUGUAAAAUUAAACUUUGAUAUAAAAAAUAAAUAAAUAAAAAGAAUGAGUUGUGGUGAUCCUCAUGUGCAAAUAAUGUGCAGAAAAUUCCUCCAAAGUUACAACUAGAUGAUUUUCUACUUGGACAUCAAAUUGUGACUUGGCCAUUGCCUAGCAUGCACACUCCCAAUUUGACUCUCCCUUGUGACCACCUAGCGAGCCACCUGAAGGAAUGCUACUGCACCAAGUGAUGAUUUCCAGCAAUUCCUCUAGGUUAUGUUUGGUUUCCAGAAAAUUUGAAGGAAAAUGCAAGAGAAAGAAAAUACAAAGGAAAAGCAGAAGGAAAGAAAAAGUGAAGGAAAAUAAAAAAAAUAGAUUAAAAGUGAAUAAAUUAUUUUUUUUGUUACUUCAAACUCAUUUUAUUUAUUUUAACUCAUCAAUAUAAAGAUUAAAUAAUUUAAAAAUACAUAAGUUUUUAAUUAGUUUUAAUCAUAUUUGAUUUUCUUUGAUAUUUUUCAUAGGACAACCAAACAUAAAAAAAUCAUUUUUCUUUGCAUUUUUUUUCUUUCCUUAGUAUUUUCCGGGAACCAAAUAUAACAUAACCCUAAUGUUUCGUGCCCACCUCCAUAUUCAUGGUCAAACCUCCUUCCACAAUGCCAUUCUUCUUUAACACCUUCCGUCUUUAUACCCAACACCUAGGAGGCAACUACAACUGCCAUUUUGAUUAAAGUUCCCUUUGCUUUCGCAAGCUGAUAUGGACACUACUCAAAAGAGGGUGACAUCCUUGGCAUCUGCAUACUUGAUUAUGCCCAAGGUUGUGAACCCAAUUCCUCCAGAAAGAGUAAUAGAGCAAAUGUUUUCUUCAAGUUCAGGAUAGAGGACCUUUAACAUAGUGUGGGUUGAAGCUUGUUCUACUUGUUUGCGCCAUUGUCUUCUCUAUAAGAAAGAACCACUAAGAACCAAACAACAAACUUUGGCAUGGAGGCUUAUACCCAAUAUUGGUUUUUAACCAACUUUGAUAAACUUUUUUUUUUUUUGGGAAAACAUCAGUUGAAGUAUAACCAUCUUUCAUUAGAAGUUGGAUACACCGCAGUAGAGAGAGCACACUUUCAGGAGUUAUAAUGCUGGGAUGUUAGGAAGAACAGACACAGAUUCCCACUUUGGGCCAAGAAGAAUGCACCAGAAUACAUGGCUGGAAAUGGAGCCACUAUAGACUUGUUCAUUUUGCUUAUUAGAGCUUGGAUAUCGAAGGCUUUAAAUGCAGGUUUGUGAGCAGUCAUUUCACAUACACAACAUCUUAGAGACCAGAUCUAGGAGCUUCCCCUAGUCUCCCUGAAGGUUACAGAAUUUAGAGCUUCCAAGUCCAAAUGGGACAAGAUCACCUUCAUCUGCCAUUCUCAGGGAACAUAGUACCCAUUUCUGCAGUGACUAAGACUUUUAGGAAAAGAGGAGAUGUCUUAAAUCCUCAGUCUCAUAUUCACUACCAGCAUAUAUCUUAUCAGACCCAGAUGGCAAAGCAAACCCGAACAUAAAACUUCAAGGCAGUUCCAUGGCCACCAUUUUGAACUAAUAGAUUGAAGCACAAAUACAAUCACAGAAAUCUGGCCUCCAAGUUCAUUUCACUCCACAACCUCACUUCUCUGGUCCCAGCAACUUGGCCAUUGAUGACAUCAUCCCACCAUCAACAAGAAACAAAGCAAGAAACAGAGAUGAAUAAAAAAAAGAGUAAAAACAGAGCAUGAACUUAGCUCUAUGUCAUGGACCGUCAAAGAGCUAGGAGCACAUUGAAUCCAAAGGAAACAAAAGCAUCAUUUUGAUGUAUCAAAUUCAGGGAAGGAGUAGUGCAUCAAAUAUUUACAAGAGAAAACAGAAAAAAAAAAUCCAAAACAAACCAAAAUAGAGCAUGCAUGCAUAAAGUCAAGUCCAACAGAGUAGUUGGAAAUGGAAAUUAAAUAGUGCAAAAAUCAGAGGCAAGAAGCUUAUAGUGGCUUUACCUGCUCAUAAACCCCCCAGAGCUGUCUCGCUUCCCAGCCCAACUCUUUUCUCAUUCCCUAAAAAAAAUCCCUCUCUGGACUCCUCUUUCUUUUCUAUCUUUUCUUUCUUCUUCUUGCUCUGUUUUUCUUCCAAAACCCCUUUGUUGAAAAACCUCCUCCCACUUUUCUUUCCCCCAGCUCUAUUUUUCCCCCCGCCAACCUUCACCUGCUCCACUGCUUCUCUGUUUUUCUCCUCUAUUUUCACCCUCUCUCCCAGCUACUCUACUACUCCCCAUUUAGCAAAAAAGUCUCCAUCUCAACCACCACCAUGGCAAGGUGGUGGUGUCCUUGGCCAUGCAUCCUAUGCAGCUUGUACAUCCAUGGAGAGGCCGCCCCCCACUCAUUCAACAUAUUGUCUAGCUCCUCUCGGGUUGGUAAGAAAAAAUGCUAUUAAUAAAAGCAAUAAAAAAAAAGAACAAGGGUCUGCAAAAGGGGUCUAUAAUAUUAAAAUGAAUAAGAAAAAUAAAUAAAUAUGAGCAACUUAUAUUAAUAAUUUUUUUUUAAAUGUUAAAAAUUUUCAUUACUCAAAUUGUUUUAAUGUUUAAAAUGUAUUCAUGUGGCUUAAGUUAAGAAAUAGGUUAAAAAUAUAUUUAAAUAAGUUAAAUGGCAUUGUACCAAUGAGUCUUGGACUUGUUUCAAUUGUAGAGUUCCUAAUACUUGGAGGCAACUCCUUUACCAAACACAGUAGAAAAAAUAUAGUUUAAGAAACUCCAAAAAUUAUACUUUAUGUGGGGAGCUUUCUCUCAUUGUUGAAAAUAUUAGCAAUCUUUGACUCACACAGACUGAGAAAUAACAAAUUUUGAGGUAAAAUUCCUUAUUCCAUGAGUUGUUUAUUUGCACUUAUACAACAAUAACUUCUUUGGAAACAAGUUCUCAAUGCUACAAAACUAUACAUAUUUUGGGCUUCUAUGUCUAGCGCUAAUAAGGAGUUUUUGAACGGAAAAAGCAACACUACAAUAAUUUUAUUUGGAAAAACAUAAUAAGCAAUAGAUAAAUGUUUGAAAAGGAAAAUGUCAUCUUCUUGAUAAUGAAAAAAAAAUAUUACAAGUUCAAUGGAAUUGCUUUCAUGUAUCACAUCAAUUCAAGUUCUUAGAAAUAUCAAAAUUGUUGAGAGGUUUUUUUGGAUGUGUUCACCAAUGAGUCAAAGUCCUUGCAUUUUGGAUGAUAGUUAAAAUUUUCAAGUAAACUAAUCAGGGACAUUUCAAAGUUUAAUUGGUAAACCAUAUUAUUCAUAGUCUCUUCCAUGUAUCACAUCAAUUCAAUUUCAUAGAAACAUCAAAAUUGUUGAGAGGUUUGUUUGGAUGUGUUCACCAAUGAGUCAAAGUCCUUGCAUUUUGGAUGAUAGUUAAGAAUUUCAGGUAAACUAAUUUGCGACAUUUCAAAGUUUGAUAAAACCAUAUUAUUCAUAGUCUCUUUCAUGUAUCACAUCAAUUCAAGUUCAUAGAAAUAUCAAAAUUGUUAAGAGGUUUGUUUGGAUGUAUUCACCAUUGAUUCAAAGUCCUUGCAUUUUGGAUGAUAGUUAAGAUUUUCAGGUAAACUAAUAAGUGACAUUUCAAAGUUUGAUAAACCAUAUCAUUCAUAGUCUCUUCCGUAUAUCACAUCAAUUCAAUUUCAUAGAAAUAUGAAAAUUGUUGAGAUUUUUUGGUAAACUAAUUAGCGACAUUUCAAAGUUUGGUAAAUCAUAUUAUUCAUAAUCUCUUUCAUAUAUCACAUCAAUUCAAUUUCAUAGAAAUAUCAAAAUUGUUGAAAGGUUUGUUUGGAUGUGUUCACAAAUGAGUUAAAAUCCUUGUAUUUUGGAUGAUAGUUAAGACUUUCAGUUAAACUAAUUAGCAACAUUUCAAAGUUUGGUAAACCAUAUUAUUCAUAGUCUCUUUCAUGUAUCACAUCAAUUCAAGUUCAUAGAAAAUAUGAAAAUUGUUAAGAGGUUUGUUUGGAUGUGUUCACCAAUGAGUCAAAAUCCUUGCAUUUUGAAUGAUAGUUAAGACUUUUAGGUAAACUAAUUAGCGACAUUUCAAAUUUUGGAUGAUUACUUUGAAAUAUCGCUAAUUAGUUUACCUAAAAGUCUUAACUAUCNNNNNNNNNNNNNNNNNNNNNNNNNNNNNNNNNNNNNNNNNNNNNNNNNNNNNNNNNNNNNNNNNNNNNNNNNNNNNNNNNNNNNNNNNNNNNNNNNNNNAACACAUCCAAUCAAUCCUCUCAACAAUUUUCAUAUUUCUAUGAACUUGAAUUGAUGUGAUACAUGAAAGAGAUUAUGAAUAAUAUGGUUUACCAAACUUUGAAAUGUCGCUAAUUAGUUUACCUAAAAAUCUCAACAAUUUUCAUAUUUCUAUUAACAUGAAUUGAUGUGAUACAUGAAAGAGACUAUGAAUAAUAUAGUUUAUCAACCUUUGAAAUGUCGCUAAUUAGUUUACCUAAAAAUCUUAACUAUCAUCCAAAAUGCAAGGACUUUGACUCAUUGGUGAACACAUCCAAACAAGCCUCUCAACAAUUUUGAUAUUUCUAUGAACUUGAAUUGAUGUGAUACAUGAAAGAGACUAUGAAUAAUAUGGUUUACCAAACUUUGAAAUGUCGCUAAUUGGUUUACUUGAAAGUCUUAACUAUCAUCCAAAAUGCAAGUUUAUUGAUUAACUUCCAUUCUAGAAUUAAUUUUGAUGAUGAUUAAUGUGUAUUUUAUUUGCAGCAUAAGUGUGAUCUCAUCAACAUGAGUUAUGGAGAACCUAUAAUGAUGCUUGAAUAUGGGCGAUUUGUUUGCCUUGUUAGCGAAGUAUGAAUUUCAAAACUCUAUUAGUUCACCACUUUUUUUUUUUAAUAAUUAUUAACUCCUUAUAUGAUAAUUUUGGAGUAUAAUUGAAGUAUAUUUAGAAAAUCUUUAAAAGUAGAAUACAAGCAAAAACUUGAUCAUUUAUACACCCAAAUUAACUAAUGAAUUAUUAAGAAGUCAAGUUUUAUUUAAUUUUUUUUUCUUUUUAACAAUUUCAUUUUUUUUAUAUAUACUUUUUAUUAUUUAUUUGUUUUAAUCAUUUUUUGGGAACAAUCCAUCUAGUAUAUUAUGUUGAUAUUUUUAUUGGUUAAUGUAUCAUUUAUAUAGCAUUUGAAAGUAAUAUAAUAUAUUUUGGUUAUGAGUUAAGGUUAAAUUUGUAAAAGAUAAAAUUUUACUUAAAUUUGCAAUAAUAUAAAUAUUAUAUUUUUCUACUCACAUUCAUGGUGCUAUUGUAAAAUAAAUGGUUUCAAAUCUCAACUUUUUUUUAAAAUAAAAAAUUAUCAAUCAACAAAUAUUUAGCUCUUAUCGUUCAAAGAUUUUAAUAUUUAAUUUUUAGUUUUAUCUAAUAACAUCAUUGUAAUUAAUAUUUUGACCACUUGUUUAUUUAUUUGUUUGUUUUUUAAGUAAGAGAAUUUUUAUAGAUUGAGUGUCUUUCCAAGAAAUUUGGUACCUAUGAUAAAAUUAGGUAUAUCUUAUAGAAAUCCAUCUAGGAAUGAUUUCAUAAAAGUUUUAAAUUGAUUUCCACUUUUCCAUGACUUUGUUCAUGGUAGACUACUUAAGAAUGAUUUUAGUCUAAAAAUGCAAAUUUUUUUUUUUUAUUUUAAAAAAGAUAACAAAGUGUCUUUUUGUUGGAUUAUGAAGCCUAAAUCAAUCUUGUUGCACUAUGCAAAGACAUAUUGGGGUCAAGAUGGAGUUUUUAUUUUUUAUUUUUUAUUGAAUAAUGGGUUUUAUGUUAUUAUAUAUUUAACCAUAUUAUGAUUUAGGUUUUUUUUUUUUUUUUUUCUAAAGAGAAAACUUAGAGUGUAACUACAAUUGCAACUAAGAAGAGAGUGAAAGAGUCUUCACCAUUGUAACUUUUCUCUUUUGUUUUUGAUUGGUGUAUUUUUUAGUGAUGGUGUGCUCCGUGGAUGUAGGGAUCACAUUGAUCAUUGUAUUAUGUUAAAAAUUUGUUGUCUUUUCUUUAUUUUAGCUUGUGUAUGUGAUUUGGUCAAUACUUUGAUCAACUUAGUUUAUAGUUAAGAAAUAUAUGUAUUAUGAAAGAAGAUAAAAUCAACUUUGGACCACAUAAAGGUGAGUCUAAAUGAAUAUAAUUUAUUUUAAAAAUAAUGAUUUAGAUAGAAAAUUUUUUCAAACAAUUAUUGGUCUUUGGUUUCACAUCUAAGUUGUAGAUGGUUAAUGAGUAAUAUAUUAAUCAAAUAAGUCUAGUUGAAGUGAAUCAUACCGAAAUGGAAAAAUUUAUGCUAUAAAAAUAUUAAUUUGAUUGAUAUUUUGAACCACACAACAUAUCAAUGAUUUUGCAUAACUUAGCACACAUCUAAAGGUACACAAAAAAUAAUAAUAAUUUAGUUUUAUUAUGCAAAUGAUGUCAUCACUUCCUUGGUCUUUAGAGAGCUACAAAACUUUGAAAGUUAGAGAGAAGUCUUUUUCAUAUUUAAAAUUAAUUAAAGACAAGUCUCGAACAUAAUUGGUGGGUCAUUUUUUUUUCUUGGGAGUAAGUGAAUUUCUAGUUUUCUUUCUUUCUUUUUUUUUUUUUUUAAAAAUGAGAGGACAAGAUCUUUCUAAUAAUGAAUUUGAUGAUUAAUCUAGACUAUGCUCUUACUUUCCUAGCCUUGAGUUUGAAAUAAAGGUAAAGAAUAUUUUAUUUUUGCUAAGAUGUUACAUUAAAUCUUAAUCAAGCCAAGAAUAUAAUAUAAAUAUUUUUUACUCAUUUUUAAUACAUACCAUCAAAACCUUAUCAACAAUAAUAAAGAAAAAGAAAUAUAUGAGACCCUUAAUUCAGGUAAUAAAAUUCCAUGAUAGCAGUUUUUCCAAUAGAAUAAGGACAAGUAUGUAAAUAUAAUUUAUCAUUUUGUUGACUCAAUAGUCCAUGUGUUCAACAUGAUGACUUAUCAAAUAUGCUAAAAUCAUAGUAACUUUUCCAAUAUAACAAGGAAAAGUAUGUAAAUAGAAUUUAUGAUUUUGUUGACUCAAGAAUCCAUGUGUUCAACCCAAAGACUUAUCAAAUAUGCUAAAACAAUAGUAACUUUUCCAAUAGAACAAGGAAAAGUAUAUAAAGAGAAUUUAUGAUUUUGUUGACUCAAGAAUCUAUGUGUUCAAUACAAAGACUUAUCAAAUAUACUAAAACAUAGUAACUUUUCCAGUAGAACAAGGAAAAGUAUGGAAAGAGAAUUUAUGAUUUUGUUGAAUCAAGAAUCCAUGUGUUCAACACAAAGACUUAUCAUAUGUGCUAAAAUCAUAUUAGCUUUUCCAAUAUAACAAGGAAAAGUAUGUAUUCGGAAUUUAUCAUUUUGUUAACUAAAGAAUCCAUGUGUUCAACACAAAGACUUAUUAAAUAUGUUAAAACCAUGGUAGUUUUUCCAAUAGAAAAAAGAAAAGUAUAUAAAGAUAAUUUAUUAUUUUGUUGACCCAAGAAUCUAUGUUUUCUACAUAGACUUAUCAAAUGUGCGAAAACCACAAGCUUAGACUUAUCAUUGAUGCUAAAGCCAAUAAGAGCUUUUGAUAAUAAUAUAUAAUAUUUUAUAUUUUAUAUCUCAACUACAAUAGAGUUUUAUUUUAUUUUUUUAUAAAAAGAUUAACUAAAUAACAACAACUAAUAUCAACAAAAUUAUUUCCAUUAGUUUCUAUUAUAAUUAAAAUGCCUCAAAAGAAAAAUCACAAACUAAACUAUAGACUAAUCAACAAUGUUAAAAUAAAAAAUAAUAUUACACAUUUUAUGCCUGAGUUAUAAUAGAAAUUUAAUACAAAAAUAUUGGAUGAAUUAGAAAAAUAAAUAAAUAUAAGUGAAUUAUAUUAAUAAAUUUUCUCAAAAAAAAGUUAAUAAUUUUCAUUACACAAAUUGUUUUAAUGUUUAAAAUGUAUUCAUGUGGCUUAAGUUAAGUAACGAGUUAAAAAUACCUUUAUAUAGGGUAAAUAGCAUUGUCCCAAGCAGUCUUGGACUAGUUUCAAAUGUGGAGUUCUUAAUAAUUGGAGGCAACUCCUUUAGCAAACAGAGUAGUAGAAAAACAUUUUAAGAAACUCCAAAAAUUAUACUUCAUGUGGGGAGCUUUCUCUUAUUGUUGGAAGUAUCAGCAAUCUUUGACUCACAGAUUUUAGAAACACCAAAAUUUGAGGUAAUAUUCCUUACUCCAUGAGUUGUUUAUUUGCACUUACGCAACAAUAACUUCUUUGAAAAUAUAUUCUCAAUGCCAAGGAACUACUCAUUUUUGGGGCUCCUAUGUUUAGGCAAUAAUAAAUUUUGAGAAAUGCUCUAAGUUGGAAUUGGAGAACUAACAAGUACUAUGGAUUUCCAUUUGAGAUUUAACAAAUUUUUGGCCAUUAUUCCUUCACAAAUAUACCAAUUCUCUUAUAGUAUUAGAUCUUGCAAAUAAUAAACUUAGAACAAUACCAAAAUGUUUGAAUAAUUAAUUUUAGUUUAAUGACGACAAUAGAUAUUCCAAAUGAUGCAUUUGCUAAUUUAGAAUAUUCCAAUUAUCAUGGCUAUUUUGGGAGGUGAGCCUUCAUUGAUCAAUUAAGGAGGGAAUUAGAGUACAAAGGGAUUCUUUGAAUAAGAAAUUUCAAAUAAUAAUUUUGUUAGAUUAUUUGGAUGGAAUGCGAGAAAAAUGGAAUUUUUAUAAUCUAGUCUUUAAGCACCCAAAAUUACCAUGUCAACUAAAAUAUAUAUUAAAGUUUUAAGUGCACACCAUUUUAGAAUAGAGGGCAUCUAGUCUUAAUGUCAUCUUUAUAUUAUGUGAUAAUCAUUAAUUUCUUCAUGAACCUAAUUUUCAAUUACUAAUAGCGCUAUUAAGGAGUUUUGAAAGGAAAGACCAAGACUACAAUAAUUUUAUUUGGAAAGGCAAAAUAAAAAUUAUAUAAAUAUUUGAAAAGGAAAAUGUCAUCUUCUUGAUAAUAAAAAAACAUUGGUUUAUUACAAGUUCAAAGGAAUUGUUUUCAUGUAUCACAUCAGUUCAAGUUUAUAGAAAUAUCAAAAUUGUUGAAAGAUUGGUUAGGAUGUGUUUAGCGAUGAGUCAAAGUCUUUAUAUUUUGGAAGAUAGUUAAGACUUUCAGGUCAACUAAUCAUCUUUAUUAAGUGAUAUUAUAUAUUUUGGAAAACCAUAUUAUUCAUAGUCUUCUUCACAAUCAUGUUGUGGGGACAUUCCAAAAAUAUCUAGAAAUUACUUACCUAACAUAGGUUCCAAUGAUUCCAUGGGAUCUACUUUUUAUAUCUUUCUAAAAAUUCUUUAGGUUAUAUUUGGUUCUUGAAAAAUUUAAGGAAAAAUAUGAGGGAAAUAAAAUAGAGAGUAAAAGUUAAAUUAAAGAAAAAAAAGAAGGAAAAUGAAUUUAAAAUCAAUAAAUUAUUUUUAUAUAUGACUUCAAACUUAUUUCACAUAUUUUUCUUCUUCUAUGUAAAAAUUAAAUAAUUUAAAAAUGUAUAAGUUUUAUAUUGAUUUUAAUUAUAUUUGAUUUUUUUAUGUGUUUUUCAUAGUGAAACUAAACAUGAGACACUUUCCUGAGUACUUUCAAACAUUCACUUAUGGUUUCUAAUCUUAUGAGAUGGAUGAAAAAUUCCUACCCUUAUAAAUUCAUUACUAUUCCAUAAACCAAAAAAGUUUGAAGGACAUAAAAGAAAACAAAAUCAUCUCUUAUUAACAUUGUCCAUACAACACAAUAAUCAAUCUUGGAGAUAUGCAAGGAUUUUAUUUGGUUUUUUCAAAACUAUGUGGAUGAGAUGUCAUAAGAAAAUAUGUGAAAAACUUGUAUGUAAUUGAGAUAUAUAUCGUGGAUUUUUUUAUCUUCAAGUCUCAAAUGAAGAGAAAUAUUAUAAACGUAAAUCAGAUACUUUAAAAUGACUAUUAAAUCAACUUCAAUAACUAAAUAUGACUUAAUAAUUUAAUUUAAAUUGUUAAAUAUAUUAAGACUAUGUUUGGUUCCACGAAAGUCUUAUACAACGUUUGGUUCCAAGAAAAUAUUGAAGAAUGGAAGAAACAUUAAGAAAUGUUAUUUUCUCUUGUUUAAUUUUAUUAUAGAAAAUAUGAAUAUAUAUAUAUAUAUAUAUAUAUAUAUAUAUACAUAUACAUAUAUACACCAAAUGAUUUUUAGGGAGCAUAUAAAAAUAAUUUAUUGAUUUUAAAUCUAUAUUUUAUUUUCCUUCGGUUUUUGUUCCUUGUACUUUUUCUUUUCAUUUUCUUCUCAUACAAUUUUUCAUCAAAUUUUUUUAGAACCAAACAUAGUCUUAAGAAAAGGAAAAUUAUUUUUUUAUACUUGGUUUACUAUGAAAAAUAAAAAAAAUAUAUAAUUAAAAUUAGUUAAAAACUUAUACAUUUUAUAAUUAUUUAAUCUUUAUAUAAAAAAGGAAAAUAAAUUAAAUGAGUUUGAAAAAAAUUAUUAAAUUUAAAUACUAUCUUAUGUGUUCAUACGUUUCAUUUCUCACAAUCAUAUCUAUGAAAUGUUCCAAAUGUUUGAAUGUCAUUUAGCCCCAAAUUAAACAUGAACCCGGUUCAAUGACUUCAAGGCAUAAUGCUAAUUUGGAGUGGAAAUUCCAUCAUUCUUUUAAAUUUGUCUUUGUUAGAUGAAGAGGGAAAAUUAAGUUUGGAAUUAAUAUAAAAAAUACUCUUGCUAAGACUGAGGUUAGAAACAAUUCCCUCUAUUUGAGAUUUAUAUGCCUCUACAAGACUCUCUCUCUCUCUCUCUCUAGUGUUGAAGUUCAUAGAAAUAUCAAAAUUGUUGGAAGGUUUCUUUGAAUUGUUUACUUUAAGGUCAAAGUCAUUGUAUUUUGGAAGGUAGUUAAGACUUUUAGGUACUAUCUUUAUUGAUCAAUAUUUCAUGUCUCUUUCACAAAUGCAUUGUGGACAUGUUCCAAAAAUAUCUAAAAAACACUGACCCCAAUUAAGGUUUCAAUGAUUCCAAGGGUUUACCGUUUAAGUUUUCUAAAAAUUAUUUAGGUUUUGUUUGGUUCUUGAAAAAUUUGAGGAAAACGUGAGAGGAAAAAAAAGAAAAAGAAAAUCAAAGUAGAUGGAAAUAAAAAAAUUGAAGAAAAAUUUAAAAUAUAUUUAAAAUCAUUAAAUUAUUUUUAUAUGUUGCUUCAAAUUGAAUGUAAUAAAAAAGUUAAUGUUUUUACCACCAUAGAAAAUCGAUGAAUUUAUGAAAACAAUUUCUUUUGAGAGCAUAUACUCAUGGAUUUUUUUUAUCUUUAAGCUUGAUGAAUUUAUGAAAAAAAAAUUCUUUUGAGAACAUAUAAAUUAUGGGUUUUUUUUUUUUAUCUUUGAGCAAUGAAUGAAGAAAAAAUAUUAUAAAUAUAAAUAAAAUACUUUAAAAUGACUACAUAUAUAUUUAAAAAGUUUAAAUGACAGAAGAUAACUUAAAUUCCAUUGAAAGAGUAAUAAUAAAAUAAAAAGUUCAUAUAACUUGAAUGAAUGUAAAAUAAAUUAGUGUAAUACUUGCACAAGGAAAAAAGAUAAAGAUAGAAUAGAAAGGAAAAAAGUAAAUUUGAGUGCUAAAAAAUAUUUUAUUUAUUUUAAAAUUUUAAUUAAAUCAUAAUAUAUUAUUAAUAUUCAAUGGUUAGUGUUAUUUGUUUUACCAUUAAUAUUUAAUUACGAUUGUUUUUUAUCUUUUAAAAUUUUAAAAUUAUAUAUUUUAAGGGUAAAUAAUAAUGUAAUGUGGGGGAAGAUGUAAUUGUCUAAAUCAUAUCUAUCUAUAUAUAUAUAUAUAUAUAUAUUUGUUGACCAUUGACCAACUCUAUUUGCAGGGGUGUUAAUAUGUAUGCCUUGGAAUUAUUUCAACUCAUUCACCAUUCAUGGCAAUCUCUAAAGCAAUGAUUGUGUUUCCCUUGCUUUGCUUUCUCUUCUCGACCAUCUCCACCUUAUCUCAUCCAAACACCUUGGUUUGCAAUGAAACCGAGAAACGUGCCCUUCUAAGCUUCAAACAUGCUCUCUUUGAUCCUGCACAUCGCCUCUCAUCUUGGUCUACUCACGAAGACUGUUGUGGAUGGAAUGGAGUCUACUGUCACAACGUCACUGGUAGAGUUAUCAAGCUCGAUCUAAUGAAUCCUGAUAUUUACAAUUACUCAUUGGAGGGCAAGGUUACUCGUGCAUAUCGUUACAAUUUCUCAUUGGAGGUCAAGGUUAGUCGUGCGUAUCGUUACAAUUUCUCAUUGGGGGGCAAGGUUAGUCCUGCGUUGCUCCAAUUAGAAUUUUUGAAUUACUUGGACUUGAGCUGGAAUGAUUUUGGAGGUACUCCAAUUCCAAGUUUCCUAGGUUCCAUGCGGAGUUUAACAUACCUUAACCUCCACGGUGCUUCAUUUGGUGGACUAAUCCCUCCUCAACUUGGAAAUCUUUCCAAUCUUCAAUACCUCAGUCUAGGAAGUGGUUAUUCCUUCUACGAACCUCAACUUUAUGUUGAGAACCUUGGUUGGAUUUCUCAUCUUUCUUCUUUGGAAUUCCUGCUCAUGUUUGAGGUUGAUCUUCAAAGGGAAGUUCAUUGGCUUGAAUCUACAUCUAUGCUAUCUUCCCUUUCCAAGUUGUACUUGGUGGCGUGUGAACUAGAUAACAUGAGCCCGUCUCUUGGGUAUGUCAAUUUUACAUCUCUCAUAGUCCUAGAUCUUCGUUGGAAUCAUUUCAAUCAUGAGAUACCCAAUUGGCUAUUUAAUCUCAGCACUAGUCAUAUACCUCUAAAUGAGUUACAUUUAUCAUACAAUCAGUUGACAGGGCAGAUACCAGAGUAUAACAUACAUUGACCUUAGAUAUGCUUCAUUUGGUGGACUAAUCCCUCCUCAGCUUGGAAAUCUUUCCAAUCUUCAACACCUCGCUCUAGGAGGUGCUUAUUCCUCCUACAAACCACAACUUUAUGUUGAGAACCUUGAUUGGUUUUCUCAUCUUUCUUCUUUGGAAUACCUGGACAUGUCUGAGGUUGACCUUCAAAGAGAAGUUCAUUGGCUUGAAUCUACAUCUAUGCUAUCUUCCCUUUCUGAGUUGUACUUGAUCGCGUGUGAACUAGAUAACAUGAGCCCAUCUCUUGGGUAUGUCAAUUUUACAUCUCUCACAGUCCUCGACCUUCGUCAUAAUCAUUUCAAUCAUGAGAUGCCCAAUUGGCUAUUUAAUCUACCCUUAAAUUCUUUAGUUUUAUCAUACAAUCACCUGACAGGGCAAAUACCAGAGUAUUUAGGAAACUUAUCAUCCUUGACGUCUUUAUCUCUUAAUGCAAAUAGGUUAAAUGGAACUCUUCCAAGCAGUCUCUGGCUUCUUUCAAAUUUGGAGCUUUUAUAUAUUGGAUAUAACUCCUUAGCAGACACAAUAUCAGAAGUUCAUGUUAAUGAACUCUCAAAAUUGAAGCACUUUGGCAUGUCCUCAGCAUCUCUUAUUUUCAAAGUCAAGUCCAAUUGGGUUCCUCCUUUUCAACUUGAAGAAUUGUGGAUGAGUACGUCCCAGAUAGGCCCCAAUUUUCCCACGUGGCUAGAAACUCAAACAUCUCUUCGGUAUCUAGACAUUUCCAAGUCUGGAAUUGUGGACAUAGCUCCAAAAUGGUUCUGGAAGUGGGCUUCACAUAUUGCUAGACGACUGAUCGACCUCUCAGAUAACCAGAUAUCUGGGAAUUUAUCUGGAGUUCUGCUAAAUAAUACUUUCAUUGAUUUAAGCUCUAAUUUCUUCAUGGGUGAGUUACCACGAUUGUCUCCACAAGUUUCUAGAUUGAACAUGGCUAACAACUCAUUUUCGGGGCCAAUUUCCCCUUUCUUGUGCCAAAAAUUGAAUGGAAAAAGUAAUCUCGAGAUAUUGGACAUGUCAACAAACAAUUUAUCAGGGGAGCUUUCUCAUUGUUGGACGUAUUGGCAAUCUCUGACUCAUUUGAACUUAGGAAACAAUAAUCUUUCAGGCAAAAUUCCUGGCUCCAUGGGCUCUUUGUUUGAACUUAAAGCACUGCACUUGCAUAAUAAUAGCUUAUCUGGAGAUAUACCACCUUCACUGCGAAACUGCACGUCUUUGGGGCUCUUGGAUUUAGGUGGUAACAAACUUUCAGGAAAUUUACCAAGCUGGAUGGGAGAGACGACGACUCUGAUGGCUCUCAGAUUAAGAUCAAACAAAUUAAUUGGCAAUAUUCCUCCACAAAUAUGCCAGCUUUCUUCUCUUAUAAUAUUGGAUGUUGCCAAUAAUAGUCUAUCCGGAACCAUACCAAAGUGUUUCAAUAAUUUCAGUUUAAUGGCAACAAUAGGCACUGAAGAUGAUGCUUUUUUCCUUUUUAAAACUUUUCCCCUUGAUAGGACACGACUAUGAGAAUCUAAUGUUGGUCAUCAAAGGGAAGGAAUCAGAGUACGGGAGCAUUCUAAAAUUUGUUCAGAGCAUAGAUCUUUCGAGUAAUAAUUUGUCGGGAUCAAUCCCUACUGAAAUCUCAAGUUUUUUUGGAUUGGAAUUUUUGAACUUAUCUUGCAAUAAUUUGAUGGGAACCAUACCGGAGAAAAUGGGACGCAUGAAGGCCUUAGAAUCUCUGGAUCUCUCGAGAAACCAUCUCUCAGGUGAAAUUCCUCAAAGCAUGAAGAAUUUAUCAUUUCUUAGUCACUUGAAUCUAUCAUACAACAAUUUUUCGGGAAGAAUUCCAUCAAGCACACAACUUCAAAGCUUAGAUGCUAUUAGCUACAUUGGCAAUGCUGAGCUUUGUGGAGCCCCUCUGACAAAAAAUUGCACAGAAGACGAAGACUUUCAAGGUAUAGACGUGAUUGAUGAAAAUGAAGAAGGCUCUGAAAUCCCAUGGUUCUACAUUGGCAUGGGACUUGGGUUCAUUGUAGGCUUUUGGGGAGUUUGUGGUGCUCUUUUAUUCAAGAAAGCUUGGAGGCAUGCUUAUUUCCAAUUUUUUUACCAUGUUAAAGACUGGGUGUAUGUGGCCAUAGCGAGAAGGUUGAACCGGCUCCAGAAUAAUUUGAGGGUAAGUGAAACACAUCAUCAUCUUAUCAAUUUUUGUUUCAAAUAAUAUUUCCUUUCUAUGUUUGAUUGGUUCUUUUUAAUAUUGUAGUUUCUACUUUGUCAUUCAUGUUAUAUCAUAUCACUACUACAAAAAUAGAAAAUUAUGACGCUUUAAUCCUUGGCGCUUUCAUAAAGUAUCAUUAUAUUUGGAUAUACAAUGGCGUUUUUUCAAAAGGGUCAUUUUUUAUAUUAUUUUUUUUAUUUCAUGGCGCUUAUUUAAAGUAUCAUUGCUUACUGUGGCACUUAUAAGAAUAACUGGUUAUUCCAUCACACUUUAUAGCAGUGUCAUAGUUGUGAUAUUUGAUGGCGCUUAUAUUAGGUGACAUUAAAUAAUAGUAUAUAUAUAUAUAUGUUCUAAAUAUAUAUUAAUUAAAUGCUUUUCCCUUUCUACACUCACCCGCCAGACAUUCCCUCCACAAUUUCAAAACUGAAGAAACUAAAAUGCCCUAAUCCAUUCCCCUUGCAAAGUCAUUUGACUCCACAUCAAUUGCCAAAAUCCAUUCCUCUUGCAAAGUCCACCACUAAAAUGGCCUAAUCCGUUGGAAUGGCCAUGUCUAACUUCCAUGCAUUGGAGGUUACCAUUGUCAAAAUCUACUACAGAGCAUCAUAGUUACAGGUAAAUCUCUUUCUCAAGUAAUGUUGUUUUCAUCAAACUUGAAUAGAUUAGUACAAAUGAAGACAAAUGGAAGGGUUUUCGUUGUUCCAAAAAUCUAAUAUUAUUGUUUCAUAGAUGGGAAAAUUAUUUUGGGAGGAGAAAAUCAGGGUAAUGGUAUCCCAAAUAAAUACAGUGCAUUUUUUGUUCUUCUUGUUGUAUGGUACGCUGCAAGUUGUAAUAGGUAUAGUUCCAGCUUCUCCUUUUAGUUGUGGUGGGAAGUGCCGCCUUGUUUUUGCCUAAUGUAAUGCCAUGGAGAUGUAGCAGCCAGCAUGGUGAUCGGGAUGGAGGUUGAGGGUAAUGUGGUGGGUGGCUCACACACCAGCACAAGGGCGUGGGAAAGGAGGUGUAGUCUUUGCCGCCUGUAGGUAUGGACGUGCCGUGUUCGUACACCAAGGAGAAGACAGGUUCGGCUGCAGCAGUUGAGAAAGCUAUAGAAUGGAGGAUUUUUAAAUGGUAUUGAGAGGGGAACAGCUAGCAAAGGCAUGACGUGUUUUAAAAUUUUCUUUGGUGGGCUUGGGUUUGAGUUUUAGUUGUUGGGCAGCCAAGGAUUGGGGGAGGCACUAGGUCCAAAAUAUAUGAGCUUGGUUUAAAGAAGAAACUUCUACAGAAUGUAAAUAAUAAUAAUAAUUUAAAUUUUACUUUAGGGGAUAGGAAUUUGGACCUUGGAUGUGGCUGGAUUUGGGCCCAUCCAAAGGCCUUGUUUGGUCCACCUCAUCCCUCCUACAAAGUUAUGACUGAUGAUUGGAGAGGCAAAACUCGUGCCUGGGAGGGAGAGGUUGAUGCCGGCGUCGUGCUGGGCGGUGUUGAAGGAGUUGGAGGAGAUGAGGACUGAGGCAUCGUAGCCUUCGACCAUGCAGUCGUGGAAGAAGAGGCGGAGAGUGGCAGUAGCUGUGGUGGCGGAGAGUGGCAGUAGUUGUGGUGGCGGAGAGUGGCAGUAGCUGUGGUGGGGUCGUUGAUUUCCUUGGUGCUUAUGAUCUCACAUAUUUUAAUCAGGAAUAUUCUAUGCCUCCGCGUCUUUGAAAGGCUGUCAAGUCUGACUCUAAAUUUGGUGCGUUGAAAGGAUUCUAAACCUGCCGCUGUCAUUGUUCUAGCUGCUGCAUCCUCUCUCAAUCUCCUCUGCCAUGGCUGCGACACCAUCUUCCACUGCUGUCCCUACAGCUAUGGUGAACUCUCUUCUGUUUUCUCACCAUCUGAAAGGAGCACUGCACAUAUGAAUGCACUAAAAGACCUGGUUAUUGAUGAUGGUGUUCCAAACACUAGCUCCUCCUCCCCUCUCAUGGAAACAUGCGAUUGUAUUGAGAGAGUCAAAUUUCUAAGGGGAAAGAACUAUUUCUCACUGGAUCCUUAGUGGCAUCGUCGUUGACCCAGGUUUUUAAGUCCUUGCCUCCUAGCACUCUUGCCGGACCUCCAUCUGUCAUCUCCACCACUGCUUUUUCUCCCUUCUUGACUCAGGUAUCAACUUUGUCAUCUCCUAUUCUCCUCAAAUAAAUUCCUUCACCCUAUUCUUUUCUUCUUCUUAUUUCUCUACACCAUCAUAUCCUUCUGUUCUUCCUUCUUCUUUGUCACAUUCUUAUCAAUUUUCUAUUUCGAAUUCACUGCCUUCUUCCACUCUACUUGCUGCACCGAAUAUUACCAAUCAAACUUGAUUCCACCAACUAUCUUCUCUGGAAAGAUAAAUUCCUCCUUGUUUUAAUUAGCAACGACCUCUUAGGAUAUGUUGAUGGCACUUUUCCUUGUCCUCCUCAAUAUACCUGUGAUGCCGAAGGUGUAAAAUCUGCAAGUUGGGAUUGAAAGUUCAAGGAAGCUGCCCUUCUUUCUUUACUUAAUAAAAUAUACAUUGUUGAAAUCAAAACCCUUAUGAUUAUAUAUAUAUAUAUAUAUAUAUAUAUAUAUAUAUAUAUAUUAAAAGUUUUUAUAUACACAAAAUAUUAAAAUAAUCCUUUAAACAAUAAAUUAAUUAUAAUUAUUUUAUAUGUAAAUAAUUUUUUUGUUUAAUUAAAUUGUAAAAAGUUUUUAAUAUCAUUAUUAUAUUAAUUAAAUAUAUCAUAAUUUUAAUAUUAAAUAUAUUUUAAAAUUAAACAUAUUAUAAUUAAAUAUCACAAUAUUAUUAUUGAAUAAGAUUUUAUAUAAUUUAAUAAUUAUAAUAUAUAUAUAUAUAUAUAUAUAUAUUAAUUUUUUUAAUAAAAUAAUUUUAUAAUAUUUAUUACACUUUUAAUUUUAUUUAUAAGAGUUUUAUUGGACCCUAUAAUGUUGAGGCUAAGUACAAGGGAAAUUUUAGAAGGUUUCAAGGAAUGAUCCAAACAAAGAAAAAUUAAAAACUUGAAUGGGCUUCUUCUAUAUGCUUCUUUCAUAAAAGUAGAGGGGCAUGUAAGAGAAACACACAUGGUCAAAGUAAAGAGGACUAAGUAGGUGGUCAAGGGGCAAAAUAGGUAAUGAAGGUAGCAAAAAGGUUCGAGAUUAAUGUUGACUCAAGAAAUUUCAUUAGUAUGGGUGACAACUUACUAGGAACUUCUAAUUAUAGACUUGAAGAGUUUAUGGACUUCUUCAAAUUUCAUAUUAUCGGGUGCCAUUAUAUUUAGUCAAAUCUUGAGGGGAAAUGAAUUAAAUUAACCCUUUAAAAAUAUUACUCAAAAUAUGGUAAUGGAAUAUUUCAAAACUUGUAUCAUUUGUGUGGAUUGAAAUAGAAUAUUGCUUUUAAAAUGCAAUUUCUAACUUUCUAUUUUAAAAACAAAAAAUAGUAAAAUAUUUUGUAUAAGAGUUGUUACUAUUUUCUAUUUUCAAAACAAAAAAUAAGAAGUGAAAAAAAAAUGAAUAUUAGCCUACUUUUAAAAUUGACACUAAUUACAUUUUAGAGAAAAAAAAUAACUUUAAUGUAGUGUAACCAUAUAUACUUUGUAUACAUAAGGAAUCAAAACUAAGGUAUAGGAUCAUAGGUAUUAUUAUUAGAUGGUGCAACUUGUUGGAAAAAUCAAAGGGUGGAAUUGCUGGAUGCUGAAGACCUAGCCUGUAACUUCUCUUUCACAAUAUGAUACAACCUAACCAAGAUGAUUACGGAUUGUUAACCCACCUUAAUUUAGACCAGACUUUUCUAUCUCAUUCGUUUAAGUUCUACCCAUCUUGCAGUCAUCUUUCUUGUCCUAAGGACUUGACCCGAGUCAGAUAGUGUGGUUCACGGUUCACCCACCAUUAGGUCAUCACCAAAAGUCAUAAUCUCAAAUGAAAAGGGGCACAAGGAAUAAUCUUCUUACCUUUCUCAUCAUGCAUAUAUUUUAUUUUAUAUGAGUAUUAAUUACCAUUUAAAAAAAAUAAUAACUAAAAUAGUUUGAUUUUAAUAAUUUUAUAAAUUUUUAAAAAUAUCUAACCAUUGUUGCACAUGUGAAAAUUUUUUUUUCUUACUUAUAUGUUUUUUCUUCUUAGUUUAUUUCUUAUUUUAAUUUAUUUUGUAUUUAUUUGUUAAUAUCUACUAAUGGAUUUAUUUUAUAUCUUUAUUUAUUAUUUGUUUUGCAUAUACAUAUUUUAAGAGACAGUGACCUACAUUGGACUACGAGAGGUGUGUGAUGCAAGACUCGAGACAAAGACAGAGUGAGGAAGGUACACUAUUUUUCCUUAUACAAACCAACAUAUUUUAAUUAUAAUACCAUUUUUACUUUGGGUGGUUAGAAGAAUAUAAUGGAAGCGUUAUUUUAAAUUUUGUUUAAAUCUUAUUGAGUACCUGAAUUGUACGAGUUAUUCCCUAGCUUAGUUUGAUACCAAGGCCCAAAUUUUGACCCAAGGCUAUGACAUAGACUGGUGUGACUUGAUUCGCAAAUCAUGGGCCAUACGUAUGCUUUCUUAUAAUAAUCUUGUUUAAUGAUGAAAUAUAGCAAUAAUUAUGGAACAACUUUAGGUGUUUUAUAAUUAUUAGAUUAUUCAAUAAGUACUUGUGUUUUAAUUUUAAUCAAACAUGCAUGCAUGAAACCUUAGAGUUCCCAUUCAACUAUCAUUGUAAGAUAAAAGUUUCUCUUAUUACAUACUAAAGACAUUUAAGUUGUCAAAGGUGAAAAAGGUUUUAUCUAAGCCACUUUCAAGUUGACAACUUUUAAAUUGUCUAGAAUGUGAUAAAGAUAUUUUUUUUGCAAUGAUGUUUGAAUUGUCCGAUUGGACAGUGUAGGAAAACAUAAUAUCUAUGAAGUUAAUUGCUUGUGCUUAACUCACUUUUUAGAAAUUUUGGUAGUAUUUCCUCUUGUUCUCUGGGUGCAUAUUUGAACAAGGUCACAUAUUAUACCUUGUUCAUUUUGUGUACUUGGAGAACUAUGGGGAAAUGCUGCCAAAAUUUCUUUAAAAUGAAAUUGAGUAUAUUGGCAAUUAACACAUAGGGAUUAUGUAUUCCUACAUGGGAUAGGAACAACUACCUGAUUUUGGAUGAUGGACAUGUUAAAAGGCAUAAAAACAUGCAUCAAAAGGUUCUAUUGUCAUAUUGUUAAUCCUUUUUUUUAUUGAGGAUGAGGUUCAAAUUUUUUAUUACACUUGAAUCCUAAUUGUUUGUCCAUAGAAAGUUUAAAAGAAAUUUUGGAUGUCACAAAUGAGAAACUGAAAGUUUUGAGUGUUUUCUAAAGGUAACUUUUCUAAGUCUUUUCCAUUUCCAUUGUUUGCUUAUGUUUGCUAUAUAGGAAUUGAGUUCAACUAUUAUAGGCAAAUGAAUCGUUCCUGGAUGUCAAAAGAUAGAAGAUCAAAAGACUAUGAGGAUGGGGUUGAAAAUUUUAUUUCAUUUGCAGUUCAAAAUUCUGCAAAUCAAAACUCCAUCAAAUGCCCAUGUCUACAGUGUGGAAAUUUGAUUUUCAAUACUCCUCAAAAGAUUAGAGAACACCUAUUCUUUUAUGGAAUUGACCAAAGUUACCAUACUUGGUUUUGACAUGGGGAGGCAACUUUAAGUAGUGGACCCCCAACUACAAGGGUUGAAUGUUUUGAUAGAAUUCAUAUUGGUAAUGUGGAUCAUACAGUAGAAAUGGUUGAAGCUGCACAAGAUGAUUGUAAGGCUAAUCCAAAAUUAUUUGAAAGAUUGCUUGAAGAUGCUGAAAAACCUUUGUAUCCCGGUUGCAAAAACUUCACCAAAUUAUCUGCUUUAGUUAAAUUAUACAAUCUGAAAGGAAGAUAUGGGUGGUCUGAUAAAAGCUUCUCCGAGCUAUUAAGCUUACUUGGUGAUAUGUUGCCUGUAAACAAUGAGUUGCCAUUGUCUAUGUAUGAAGCAAAAAAAACAUUGAAUGCAUUGGGAAUGGAAUAUGAAAAAAUACAUGCAUGUCCCAAUGAUUGCAUACUUUUUAGGAAUGAGUUAAAAGAUGCAUCUUCAUGUCAUACAUGUGGAGCUUCAAGGUGGAAGGUGAAUAGAAGAGGAAGCAAAAAGAGUAAAGGAGUUCCUGCUAAAGUGAUGUGGUAUUUUCCACCUAUCCCACGAUUUAAAAGAAUGUUUCAGUCCUCAAAAAUUGCAAAAGACCUCAUAUGGCAUGCAGAAGGUGGAGAAUUUGAUGGAAAAAUGCGUCAUCCAUCCUACUCGCCAUCAUGGAAGGUAAUUGACCAUAGAUGGCCUAAUUUUGCUGCAGAACCUAGAAAUCUUAGACUUGCCAUUUCAGCAGAUGGCAUAAAUCCCCAUAGUUCUUUGAGCAGUAGGUAUAGUUGUUGGCCAGUUGUCAUGAUCACUUAUAACUUUCCACCGUGGUUGUGCAUGAAGAGAAAAUUUAUGAUGUUAUCUUUGUUAAUAUCGGGUCCACAACAACCUGGAAAUGACAUAGAUAUCUAUUUAGCACCAUUGAUUGAGGACCUUAAAACCUUGUGGGAGAUAGGGGUAGAAGCUUAUGAUGCAUAUCAAAGAGAGGUCUUUACAUUAAGGGCUGUUCUAUUAUGGACAAUAAAUGACUUUCCUGCAUAUGGAAACUUAUUUGGUUGGACAGUCAAAGGAUAUUUUGAGUGUCCAAUAUGUGGACCGGAAACCUAUUCACAUAGGUUGAAGCAUGGGAGAAAGAACUCAUUUACAGGUCACAGACGUUUUCUUCCAUGCAAUCAUCCUUUUAGAAAACAUAGAAAGGCAUUCAAUGGUGAGCAGGAGUUUCGAUCACCUCCACAACCAUUAAGUGGAGAGGAAAUACUAUUGAAAAUGAAUGCCAUUUGUAAUUCAUGGGGGAAAAAAAGGGGAAGACAUGAAAAAUCCAAUGUGACUUAUACCAAUUGUUGGAAGAAAAAGUCUAUAUUAUUUGAACUUGAGUAUUGGAGAUAUUUGCAUGUUCGUCAUAAUUUGGAUGUAAUGCACAUUGAGAAAAAUGUUUGUGAAAGCAUCAUUGGUACAUUACUUAACAUCCCAGGGAAGACAAAAGAUGGACUCAAUUCUCGUCUAGACCUUAUGGACAUGGGCUUAAGGUGUGAACUGGCACCAAGGUUUGAAUCGAAUCGAACUUACCUUCCGCCUGCAUGUUAUACAUUGUCUAGAAAGGAGAAGAAAGUAUUUUGUCAAACUUUAGCUGAGUUAAAGGUUCCUGAAGGGUAUUGCUCAAACUUUAGAAAUCUUGUGUCAAUGGAAGAUUUGAAGCUUUAUGGCCUGAAGUCCCAUGAUUAUCAUACACUGAUGCAACAAUUGUUACCAAUGGCAUUGUGAUCACUUUUGCCAAAGCAUGUAUGACAUGCUAUUGCUAGAUUGAGCCUUUUUUUCAAUGCUUUAUGUAAGAAGGUGGUUGAUGUGUCCACAUUGGAUCAGUUACAAAAUGAACUUGUUGUGACAUUAUGCUUGCUUGAAAAGUACUUUCCGCCAUCCUUCUUUGAUAUCAUGAUUCAUUUAACGGUUCAUCUUGUUAGAGAGGUGAGACUUUGUGGACCGGUUUAUUUUAGAUGGAUGUACCCAUUUGAAAGGUUCAUGAAAGUAUUAAAGGGUUAUGUGCGAAACCGUAACCACCCUGAAGGUUGCAUUGUUGAAUGCUACAUUGCAGAGGAAGCUAUUGAAUUUUGUACAGAGUACUUAUCAAAUGUGGAUGCAAUUGGAGUUCCUAGUAGUACUAAUGUUGACCAUAAAGUUAGGGCGCCUAUUCCUGGAGGUCAUAUCACCGAAGUUGAUUGUAAUUUGUUGUUGCAAGCACAUCAUUAUGUGUUGGAAAAUACAACUAUCAUCCAACCUUAUAUCGAGUAAGGGUCAACUAUUUUGAUUUUAUGUGUAGAUUACUUAAACUAAUUUUGGAAACUUAUUGUUACUUUCUUAUACAUAUCUUAUAGAGAACACAUGAAAUGGUUGAAAUUGAACAAUCCUCGUCAAUCUAAGAGACAAAAGUGGCUACAAGAAGAACACAUGCGAACAUUCACUCAUUGGUUGCGAAAAAAGGUAUUCAAUUUAUUCUAAAAAUUGCACCAUUCUUAGCACUAAUCAUAAAAAAUAUUAAUAACUAUGGUCCAUUCAAACAGGUAGAAGUUGCCAUUGCUGACAAAGAACCUAUAUCUAAAACCUUAAGAUGGAUGGCACAUGGUCCUACCCACUACGUGGCCAAGUAUCAUGGCUAUGUUAUAAAUGGGUGUCAGUACAAUACAAACGACCGUGAUGAGUUACGAGUUACCCAGAAUAGUGGAGUUAGCAUUGUAGCAACAACAAUGCAAAUUUCUAGUGCCAAGGAUAAGAAUCCAGUAUUUGGUGAGCUAUGUUUCUAUGGUAUUAUUACUGAGAUAUGGGAUAUUGAUUAUACCAUGUUUAGGAUUCCAGUUUUCAAAUGCAAUUGGGUUGAUAAUAAGAGCGGCAUCAAAGUUGAUGAGUUUGGGCUGACAUUAGUUGACUUCACUAAGAUGGCUCAUAAAUCAGAUCCAUUUAUUUUAGCCUCCUAAGCCAAGCAAGUAUUCUAUGUACAAGACCAACUUGAUCCAAGAUGGUCAGUUGUUUUGUCAACUCCUGAAAGGGACUUCUCAUUUUCAGCAAAGGAUUCUGAUGAUUUCAUGGAUAAUUCUAUUGAACACCAUCCUCUCAUUACCACUUUGGCACAAGUUGAAUCAUUUGAUACAAUGGAUGACUCUGAUGUCAUUUGCAUUCGAGGAGACUAUGAGGGAUUCUGGAUUGAUAACAAAUCUUCUAUGUAACUAAAUUUAUGACCUUGUUGUUUUGUUGUGAAGGUUGUAACUAUCCCAUUAACUUGUUAAUAUUGAAAUUCUGCAUUUCAAUAAAUAGUUUAUUUAUUUUCUAAGUGGAUUAAAUUCAUCAUGUCUCUAAAUUUAUUGAUUCCCUAUUUCAUGAUUAUUAUUAUACACAUAUCUCAGAGUGAUCUAAAGGAUAAUACAAGGAUAUCAAUUUGUCUCAGCUCAAAGCUUAUGAUUUCUAGUUCCAUAAGAAAAAAGUUUGGUGAGGAUCUUCUAGUAAGUUUUUAUUAUUAUUAUUUUUAAAUAUUUCAUGACAACAUGUGAAUAUUGUUAUCUAGCAUGUAAAAUGUUCCUAGUAUGUUCAUGUUACUAAUAUGAGUUCAUGUUAUAAAAAAUUCAAUUUUACUUGCAAUUAAUGGGUAUACUUAUCAUUUCUCAUUGAUGUGUUAUAGGCAUGGAUUCAAAGGAAGAGAAAACCCCUUCACAAAAAAAAUAUAGAGGGACAACAAGGAAAUCCAUGAUUAUAAGGAAUAGGAAUAGAGGGAUAAAGUUGGUCAUAAAGUACAAUGCUGAUGGUAUCUAUGUAGGAGAAUCUUCUGUGCACCUAACAAGCUACUUAGGUGUAUUGGCACGCACGAUGGUACCAAUCAGAUAUAACACAUGGCGAGAUGUCCCUGAACAAUUGAAGGAUAAGUUGUGGGACUCUAUUGAGGUUACUUUUUUUUUUUUAACAUAAAUAAGUUUUCUACAAUCUCUAUAUUUCUUUCAAAUUUUGAGAAACUAAUGACUUUAUAAUUUGUAGAUUGCUUUUACAUUAGACAAGAAAAGAAGAAGGAAUUGUAUGCUUACAUUGGGAAAAUGUUUUCGAUCUUUUAAGAACACGUUGACUGUGAAACAUAUUCUUCCUUUCAAAGAUGAGCCAGAGCUUCUUAAGAAACCACUAGCUGAAUAUCAUUUUAUCGAUGAUGAAUAUUGGAAUAUUUUUGUGAAAAAUAGGUUGUCUGAAAAAUUCCAGGUACAAAUACAAUUAACAUUAAACAUACUACAUGCAUCCACAUAUAUAUACUAAGCAUCCAUUUUAAUUUGUAGGAAUAUAGGGAAGUACAAAAACAGAGAAGAAAGAAGCAUAUAUAUAAUCAUCAUCUAAGUAGAAAAGGGUAUGCUGGACUUGAAGAAGAGAUGGUAAGUUUUUGUUAAUUCUUAUUGUGGUUUAAUUUUAUAUGAUUGUAUAAGUAAUGAAGGAAUAUUUUAUAUGGGUUUCUUAAUUGUUUCUUUUCUGACAAAAAAAUAGAAAUAAAACCACAUGUGUCAUCUAAUAACUAUCUUUAAUUUUCUAUUUCUAUUAGAUGAUUGAAGCUGGCUCCAUAGAAAGCAUUGAUAGAAGUUUACUUUGGAAGAGGGCAAUGCAAAAAAAAGAUGGCAGCUAUGAUGAUGUGGUCCUACCGGUAGUGGAAAAAAUAGUAAGUAGACAUUUUGUACCCAAAAAUCACAUCUUUAAGCACCUUAUUUGGUUUUACUUAUUUGAAAGUUAACUUCAUAACUUCCUUUUGUUUUAGGAUGAAUUGAUGAAAGAGUCUCAAGAUAGUGGCAUAAGCUAUAGUGGGAGCAAUGACAUACUUUCUCAAGCACUAGGUACUCCUGAGUAUACUGGUCGGGUUCGAGCUAAAGGGAAGCACUACACGCCUGGAUGAUAUUUCAAUCGUAUGUCAGAACGUGUUGUGAGGGAUAUUUUAAAAGCAACUCAAGAACGUCAAGUUAAGUUUGAGGCUGAUGUGUUAGCGAGACUAUCUCAGAUAGGAGUUGCUACACCACAAUCCGAUGUGAGUAUUUCCAACAUGAAAUCAAAACUGUUGCUUCUACCAGAAGUAGUGGAGAAACCAAUUCAUAAAGUUGAGGAGAAGACCUUACCUGUGAAAAUAGAACCACACAUGAAGGUGUGUUAUUUUUAGUUUACAUUUCCUAGUUCAAUGACGUAAUUGUCACAAAUUCCUAGAUAAUUUUCAUAAAUAAUUUCUUCCAAUUGCUUUUAUUUUUGUUAGAUUGAUACUUACAUUUUAGGUAGAUUCUAUUACAGUAUAAUUACUACUAGUAAUAUUCUAUUCCACUACCACUAUUACUUAUAAAAUAUGUAACUUUACGUCUUAAAUAUAGCCCUAACAUAGUCAAUGCACUUUAAACUUCAUUUAUUGAUUAUUUUUUUAUAUUGAAUUUAACAAUUUAAUUUACUUUUGAAGACAAGAAAAUGUGAGUUGGCAGUAGGGACCAGAGAAAAUACAGUGGCUGGUGGAACAAUUGUAAUGGAUUGUGGUCCCAACUACCUAGUUGUUUUGGAUGCUCCCUAUGAGUCAAAUACACCACUUCCUAUUCCCAUUCCUGGACAAGCUACAACAGUUGGAGCGGCAGUAGGCUACCAAGUUUUAUGGCCAACCCAUUUAGUCAAUUUGAGUACUAAAUUCAUUAAGGUGUGUUAUUUUCAUUUGCAAUAGUUUAUAAAGAUAUGUAUAUCAUUUGAAAACAUGGUGCUUUCUUUUAUAGGGAUCUCACAAAGGGAAAAGACAAAAAACAACAGAAAAUGACUUGAAAAUUGGUGAAAACCCUCAAGAUAUCAACAAUUUUGAUGCAUUAGUAGGUCUCAUGCUAAAUGAGGGGAAAGCAUAAGGUGUGGAGGUCCCAAAUGAUGUAUUUAGCGAGAGUUUUAAGACCUUCCUUAUAAAAGAAGACAUGGAUAUGAUAAUUUCAUUUAAGGAAGUGUCGGCUAAUUGUGUCAUAUAUUGUAUAUGGUAAAUAAUUUUAUAACUUGCUAAUGUGUGUUAAUUUAUAUAUAUAAAAUUAAAAUGGUCAUUUCUUAUCAAGGUAUGUGGAAUUUAAACAGGCACCUACAGAAAAAGCUAAGUGAUGCAAGGCUCACCGAACGAUUUGCUUUUAUCAAUCCAGCUUUAGUCUCUAAAGCUGGAAUGGGUGAGACAACAAAGGAAAAUAGGUCAAGGUUGAUUGCAAAUCGUUUAAUGCAUGCAAAGCAUGCUGACUACAUUUUUAUUCCAUAUAACCCUGAGUAAGUUAUGAAAAAUAUUAAGUUUUUUUUUUAAUGUUAAAUAGCUUAAUCAAUGCUAAUUACUAAAUAAUAUCUAAUGUACUAUUGUAGUUUCCACUGGGUCUUGGUGGCAUUGGAUAUGAGGACAAUGACUGCGUACUACCUUGAUUCGAUGCAAAAGCAACCAUGUGAUGAUCUUAAGGAAAUUGUUAACAUGUAAAUGUCUUCAUUUCCAUACUUGAAUAUAGUGCAUAGUAUCUAAAAUGUUAAUUUUCAUUUCCAUGUAGGGCACUACGAAUUCAUCCGCCAGAGAAACAAAGAUCAUCAAAGAGGGAGCCAACAUGGGUAAAAGUAGUGGUAAGUUACUUGGUUAGAGUAAUAUAUAUCAUAUGACCACUUAUAUCAACCCUAAAAUUUGAAUAUGGUUUUAUGUUUUGUCACUUAGAUAAUAAUGACAUAAAACAUCAUGAUAUUAAUGUUUUUAUGGUACCAUAAUUCAUAUGUGUGCCUAUAGUGCCCAAGACAACUAGGAAGUGUGGAGUGUGGUUAUUAUGUGAUGAGAUACAUGAAAGAUAUAAUUGUUGAUCCAAGCCUCCUAUCCACAAAGGUAUAUACUCAUUAAUAAAUUUUAUUAGUUUCUAUACUUUAGUAAUUUUUUGUUAACUUAACUAAUCAUCAUGUAUGUACAAUUAAUUAUUAGUUUAAAGGGAAAAAAUCGUAUAGUGAAGUUGAGCUUAAUGAAGUAUGAUCUGAGUGGGUUAUGUUGGCAACUCAAUUGAUUCUUACCCAUGCCUGAAGGUAUAAAUUAACAUCUAUAAUGCUUGAUUUUCAUUAUUAAUGAAGUCUUGAAUGGACUAAUUUUUUUAAUUUACCAUCUUAUGUAUGCAGAUGCCCUCAUUUCAGUCCAGUAAGAGUUGUAGAUCACAUUUUGACGAUUCUCAUAAGUUCUCAUCUCAUGAUAAGUAAUUUUUUCCUCCAUAGUGAUAGAAUAUAAUAGUUUUAUACAUAAACUAUUUCAAUAUAACAAAUCAAAUUAUUACAUCAUCACCAAUGUUGUUACAUGGAGAAGUUAUUUUUGUUAUUGUUGUAUGGAGAAGAAGCAUAUAAUUUGUUAACUCAAUAAAUCAAAUUAUUAUAUCAUGAUCAUCAAUGUUGUCAUUAUUAUUGUUGUUGUUGCAUAGAGAAGUUGUUAUUGUUAUAUGUUUGGACUAAACAAAUCAAAUUAUUACUAAUAUAAUUAUCACCAUCGAUCAUCAAUGUUAUUGUUAUUGUUAUUGUUGUUGUUGUUGUUACAUGGAGAAAUUGUUAUUGUUGUAUGGAGAAGUUAUUGUUGUUGGAAAGGUUGUUGUUGCAUCAACAGGUUGUUGUUGGAUGGAGGGAUGGUAGAGAGCUUUUUUUUUUGUGUAGGGUUAAUUAUUAUAUUUGGGUUAUAAUUUUGGAAUUGAAAAUAAAGGCAAGUUUUAGAAUGGUUGUUAUUAUGACAUUUAACCAAUGAUUGGUAGGUUUCUAUUGCCUUGGUUAUGCUCUUUUAAUUUUUAGUUUAAUACUCUUUUUUUUCCUUAUGGAAUGUUAUUAGUUAACUAAAUUUGGUAAUAUAGGAAAGUUGUAAGAAGAAAUUAAGGCAUUUGCAAAUGGUUAAUAUUAAAUGUCUUAUAUUACUAGAUAUGAUGAUUUAUGAUUGAAACUAAUUAUAAACCAUACCUAUUGGUAUAUUCAUAUAUUUAUUUAUGAGAAAUGAGUUUGAUAUGUUAGACAUAAAUAAGAAAAUAUUAUAUUACAUUCCAUAUUGUAGAAUUUAUACCAUUGAAAGCCUAACUUGUUUCCUCUAACUUAAUAAUGAACUAAAAAAGUAUUUUAAUAUUUUAUAAACAAGUAUCAAAUUAAACAAUUUUUCAUCUUCAUUGAAGCAUAACAUCUCAUUAAAUACCAAGUUAUUCUCAUUUGCACUUCUUUCAUGGACCAUUUAUAGAUUUAGAUUUAACUUUCAUUGCAUGUAUAUUAACUAAACAUAAUUUGUUUCUUCUAUUAAUUUUUUUUUAAAUGUAUACAGGUAAGAGAUUUCAAGUUCAGGAGUGGAUAUGCAACCAACAAAAAUACUUUUGGCAUCUUCUUCUUCUUUUUGUAAUAUUAUUUUUGAUAAGGAAUUUGGAGACCUUGUUUUUUGGUACAUGUGUACUUGUUUUAUAUAUGUUGAAGUUGGAAAAUAUGCUUGUAAAUAUUUUGAUACAUUUACAAAUUUGCGUAUUAAUUAACUAUGUAGACAUUAGUUCUUUAUCAUUAUAUCAUUCCCAAAUUUAUUCAAUUUCUUUUGGAAGAUGUAGUUAUUAAUAUUGAAGUUAUUGUUUGGUACUUUAUAAAUAAUCAUGUAGCCAAAAUUAUAUAUAACAGGACAUACAAAAAUAUAUCACUUCAACAGGGGGAUUUUCAAUAUUAUUAUCCACAUAAGAUGACACUUUUUUUAGUGUCGAAAUAGACAAAUGAUAGUUUGGCCAUUCCUUGGCGCUAGUGUAAGUGUUAACAUAGGUAGAUCAAUAAUGACGUUUUUUAAUGUGUUAAUAUAAACCAAUCAACAAUGACACUGUCUAGAAGCGACAUGGUUGCCUGCACCCAUUCCUUGACAGAGGCGAAAAGGACGCUUUCGAGAAGCGUCAUCGUAUACAUUUAUUGACGCCUAAAAAGCGUCAUUAUUACCCUUUUUUCUUAUAGUGUAUAUUGUUAAUUGACUAUCAUUACAAUAUGACGAAAAUGAUUUGUGAUAGGAACCUGAAUUUAUGGGCAAAGUAUCUCAUACAUCCCCUUUUCUUAAACCAAUUAAUGUUGGAUUCUAUUUUCUGGAAAACAAGUGAAAUCUCUACUAUUUUUAAAGAUGUAUAAUUGUAGUCGUCUAUUUGCUUCAAUGUUUGCUAAUUAAGAGGAUGGAUUUGAUUCUGAAUAAUUGUUUUGAGGCCUACAUGAGCAAAAAUUACAUUUUAUGUUGGGUCAUUAUUUAUAACUAAACCUUAAUUAGAAAAUUUCUUAACUUAAUGAUUUUCACAAGUCUUUUUGGCUAUUUGAAAAUAAUAUGAGAAUACUUGUUUUUAAUUUGUUGAAAAAAGUUUCUAUCUUUAUUGAUAUGUUCACAUGAUUAAGCAAUAGUAGACAUUAGAGUAGAGAAGAAAAUAGAUAGUGAAUCUUCAUGACUCCAUUAAAAUAAAAAUAUUAGGUGGAGUCCUUUCUAACCUUUUGACCAGUACAAAAUCUUAUUCAAAUUUGUUAUUCUUUUUUUUUUUUUUCUCUUCUUGGAAAAUAAGAAAAAGUUUUAUGCUUAUUAAAUUUCUUUUAAAAUCCUUAUCACAAGAUAAUAUCCGUACUCAAUCUAACUACAUUAACAUAUGAGAAAACUUGGUUUUGUAUAUGGUUAGGGAUAUAAUAUUAAUUAGCAUAAAUUAACCAAACGUGGUAAUAUAGAAAAAAUAUUCAUAAUAUUACAUGAUACUAUAUGAUUUAGUAUGAUUGAUGCUUAAUAUAUGACAAAGGAUUAAAGAAGAGAAACAUCAACAGUUACAAUGAUCAAACUUUCAACUCAAAUUGAAUAUCAUCCAAGUCCCUAAAUAUAGGUAUCACAACACUUUGUUUCAUUUAUUGUAUUAAUAACAACAUACAUAGGAGGAAGUAGUUAUUUUGUAGUAUGUUUUAAUACUUCAUAAAUUCUUUUUCCUUUUUUUUUUUUAUAAUGCCUAGAUGCUUAGACCUUUUUAAAAAUAUUUACUAGCAUUAAAUUCUAUGUUAUUUUCACUUGAAGAGGUUGCAAGUAAUGUGUUUCUUUUACUGUAGAUUAAAAAUAUUUGAGACAAUUUUUAUUUACUUCUUUAGCUUAUUUUCAAUAUAUAUCAUCAACAACACUUUAAAAUUUUGAAAAAAUCUAAAAUAAAAUUGAAAAAAAAAAAAACAAAUCUAGUAGGAUAACACCUAGAGGAGGGUGAAUGGGUGUUUUUAAACUUUAAAGCACAAAAGUUAUGAUUUUGAACCAAUUAAUAUUUUAGAUAUUAUGGGAAAGAUUAAAAAUCAUCCCUCACACAAGACAAGACCUUUUUACAUGAAAACCCCCACAUAAAAUGUGAAGAUAAAAAACCACAAAAUCCGAGACCUCGAAUCCAUAAUCUAAUAUACGAGAAAAUAGUAACAGAAUUGCCUGGAAGAUGCUACCUUUAGACUUACUUUUUAGAACCUAUACUAUAAUCAAUGUUCGUAACACAACACUUUGUAUGCUCUAGUGGAUCUCACCUCAACUCCUAAGAGGAUGCAAAUCUCCUUUGAUAACUCGUAAGAAGUUACAAAUUUUCUUUGAGAGAUUUGGAAAUAGGAAGGAAAACUAGGAUUUUCUUAGUAUUCGCAUCAAACUUAAAACAAAAUUAAGCAAGGUAUAUAUAAGCUCAAUGACUUAGAGGACUGAAAUAAGUCCCAAAAAUAAAAUCGUAAGUUUCCAAAAUGCAAACUGCUAGAAUCUGGCAAAAACUUCUUGGAGAGCUUGAGCAAACUUAAGCAUUGCUUUAGUGCUUUGAGCGCUUGAACAUUGGCUCCAACACUAGAGCACUUUGGCGUGCGCUUAAGCGCUUUUCCCUAGUGCUUGAGUGCUUUGCUAGUGUUUGAAUGCUUCUACAGUUUUAAAAACAAGUUUAAAAGAAUUUUUGCACAAUUUGAAACAAUUGAUCCAACCCAUAUCUUGUUAAUCCUAAUUUGCCUUAACCUAAACCUUUCCAAGCUUACUUGUGACAUCUCAGUUGAUCAAGCUGCAACCUUAAGUCUUCAAUGAAGAGUAAGUCUAUAAUAUCCCUAAUUUAAUCAUCACGAAAUAGUAAUAACAACAACAAUAAUAAUAAGAAUAAUAAAGAUUACUUAAAAAAAAAAGGAAAGAAGUUACAAAUUCUUUUGAACCAUGUUCGAAGAGUUUUAAUUUUAUAUAUAUAUAUAUAUAUAUAUAUAUAUAUAUAUAGUAAGCCCUUCAAGCUUUCAAGCUUUCUUCAAGCUUUCCUACCCCUUUCCAUUGUAAGAUAUUUCUCCUUAUGUAUAAAAUAAGUAUGUUUUGAUUACCUCCUAUAUGGAUGGUUUUUAAUUAUGUUUUGUUUUUCAUUUUAUUUUAUGAUCUUGUACCGCCUACAUGGUCGGUUUUAAUUAAGUUUUAUUUUUAAGUUUAUGUUUUUUAUUUUGUACCGCCUACAUGGUCGGUUUUAAGCUUAUUAUGAACUAACAAGUUUUUGGUUCCUUCUCUUUAAAUUUCAUUGUUGGAUAUCCUGUGUAUCAUCUAACCCUCUUCUUUGUUUUGAAUCAUGGCAUAAUUCCUGUUUUCAUUGCAUAUGACCUUGUCAUGGGUGUCUAUGGUAUCAGAGCCAUGUGGGAGGGAAGUUGGGUCUUGUUUUGGGUGUUCUUGGCCUAUCCUAGGAUAUAUAUAUAUAUAGAAUAAAAUAAAGAAUAUUUAACAAAUCUGAAGAAUUUGGAGAAGAGAGGAAAACCCUAUACAGAUAGACGAAGUUAUUUUUAUUCUCUAUAGAGUAAAAUCUAAGGUAAGUCUUUCAAGGAAUUUAUUCUUGCUAUGUUUGGAUUUUUUUUAAAUAUAUGUUAAUGAUAAGAUAUUUUCUAGAUUAGAUGUUAAAAAGAAAAAAUAAAUUCAUAUCGUUCAUGUAAUAAAUAAAGGGUUAGGAAGUAAGAAAAAAAAAAGGUUAAUUAAUGGUAGUAUGAUGAAUACAAUCUUUGAUUUAACCCUAGACAAAAACAAAGUCCCCACGAGUGUGAGAAUUUUUAUUAUUAUUUGUAAGAAAUUUAAGUAAUGCAAAUUGGAAAUAAAGAUAAGUAUUUAGUUUGAAGAAAAAUUCUACAGAUUUAAGAAGUAAAGUUUUGAAGAAAAAUAAAUAAAUAAAUAAAAUAAUAUUCAUUUUAGUUGUUCAAUAAAAGAAUGCAGUAGAGUAGAUAUUCAAUGUGAAUAUAAUUUGAAUAAUAGAGGAAAAUAGGAAAGAUAAAGUAUGCAAUGUACAAUAGAAAAAAUUAAUUAGGAUAAUUGUAAAAAAAUAAAAAUAAAAAUAUAUGUUGAUUUAGAAUUCAGGAUGAUGUAUGAAGUAGAAAAGAAUAAAUUUUUAAAAUUUAAAUUUAAUUAUCAUAGGAAUAAAUUAGUAGAAUGACAUAUACAAUUUUCAUUAAGUUAAAAUAAUUUUAUAUUCAUAAAAUUUAUUUUAUUUGUUUAGGUGAAUCCUAAGUUUAAUCAACUUUCUUGCUCAGUUCAACUUUUACUAGGUAAGGAAUUAUGACCCUUAAAUAUUUUCUCAAAUGUUAUUUUUUUUUUAAAUGGUAGGAAAAUAUUGUCAUAUGAAGAAUAAUUUAUGUUGUGGAAAAUAUCACUUUCCUUAUAUAUUAUUAUAUUUGGCCCUAGUCAACAAGGGUUGUGUUAUUAACCCUCAUUGCCUACUUGUAUGAGGAUUGGAAAACCUAGUUAGUGGGGUCGUCACUAACCCUCAUGCCUAAUUGAAUGAGGAUUGGAAAACCUAGUCAAUGGGGUAGUCACUAACCUGAUGGUACCAUUUGAUUGAUUAGUCCCUUCCAAAUUGAAGAGUCAGAUCCCUCUAGUUUAGGAAAAGAAAAUUUGUUUAUGAUAUGUAUGUUUGAAGAUUAUAUUAUGUGUUAUGUUCUUUUUUUUAUAAAAGAAAUUGUUAGUAUAUUCAUUACUGAGUUAAAGCUCACUACCUUUGCUUUUGAAAACUUUUUUAGGUGCCCUAGAUGUAGAAAGAAAUGAGUGACGUGGGGGAUAGGAAGGAUUCUUGUUAGUUUAGUUUAUGUUUGGCCUUGGAGCCUUUGUUUAGACACAUUGAUUUGGAUAAUGUAUUAUGUUUUAAUUAUCAAGUUAAUUUGAACUGAAUUAGUUUUUCAUAAUUAUGUGAAACAGGAACAAUAUUUUUAGCUCUAUGAACUCACUCUUAAAGGAGAAUCUAUGGCUUUUGUUCUAUUUUACUAUUUAGUAAUUUUGGUAUAUUUCACCUUUAUGUUGGAUUUUUGGAAUUGACAUGAUUGCCCCUAGCCUUGGGGUAUAGGGUGUUACAAAGUCACAGUCUAGAAAGAUCCUAUGCCAUAAGGAACAUAACAAAAUUGCCAAUAAACAAAUUAUAAUGCAUAAUGUACUAACAAAAAUGAUGAGCAACACUAAUAAUAAUGAUUUAGGCAUCCUUUUAUAGAAAUAAAAUCGAGUUUCAAAAGAAUCAUGGUGAGAAAAUGAAAAGAUUGUUUGUAUUUUUGUUAAAGUAUAUGGAAGUAGCAUUAAAAAGGAAAAAUUUAGUUGUAUCUUCCUUGUAUUUGAACACUUUCUAAGUGUCUACAUUUGGACAAGCUUAGGCAAAUGUUUAGAAUGGGAAAAAAAUGUUUGAUUAAAAAGGAUAAUAUAAUCUUUAAAUAUUUAUUUAUAUGUCAAGAAGAUACUAGCGAAGUCAUUUAAAAUGAGUUUUACUAGUGGCUUCUAAUGUUAAUUGAAUCAAUUUUGAUUUCCAUGAUUUUCUAGCAUCAAUUGAGAGCCCGUUUGGUAGUGAUUUUAGAAAGUGUUUCUAAUAUUUCUAACACUUGAAAAUUUUUAUCAUUCAAGUGUUAAAAAUACAAAAAAUAUUUCAUAAAAUCACUAUCAAACACACUAUAAAUUAGUUAAAAUGAGUUUUAACUACAUCAAAUGUCACUUGAUUUGGAAUAUAUUUGCCGAAUGAAAAAAUUUAGAAAAGUUAAAAAAAAAAAUUAAAAACACCUACUUGAAGAGAUUAAACUUGAAGAUUUUUUAUAUUGGGUGGUGGAAAGGGAAUGAAUAAAAAGUAUAUCACAUACUUCUUUAUUAGUUUUUUUAUAGCUUUUAAAAUUAUUUACUUUUAUUUUCUUUUCAUUUUUCCUUUUGUUUUUAAAACAAGUUAACAACUUAUACUUAUUCCAUUAAAACUAGCUAUUAUGUUUUUCUUUCAACAAUUAUUUCUCUUUAAUUAUGUUUUACUCUCUUUGAUGUUAUUUUUUUUCCAUUAUAUCUAUCAUACAAUAAUUAAUGAUAUUCAAAUGAUAGUACCGCAUAAAUUUCCAUUUUUUAUCGCUAGCAUUGCCAUGACAUUCAUCAACUUAUUGGUGUUGUGGCAUUUUUACAAUUGAUGAUAUACCCAAAUAAGAGUAGUGAUAGCAAUAGCCAAGGAACUCACCCAUAGAACAAUCAUGACUCAAAAAUUUCUCAGGAGCUGUUUUUUUAUCAACUAAUACAAGAGAAGGAAAGGUAGAAAUAUUCAUAUGGAGGAAAUAUUUUUCACCUUGGAAAAUUUCUAUAGCUCCCUUUUUAUGAAAAUCUCUUCAAAUGCCAUGAAAGCUUUAAUAUUGCGGGUAAGUCAACACUUGCCAUUCAUCUAGUUUGUGAAAAACCAAAGAAAAGACCUAUGGGAGCUUUAGAGCUUGUACAAUAACAUCUUAAAAAAUAGUUCUCAAAAAUCAAUUUUUAACUUAAAAACAGUUGAGCUAUAUUUUUAAACUUAAAUAUGAUUCUUUUUUCAAUUUAUUAUUUAUGAAGUACGUAGCACUUAAUAUAAAAUUCAACUUUAUGGAUGGUUUUUGGAAAGUUUGAACAAAAACGUGAUAGAAAGAAAAUGAAAAAGAAAAGCAAAAAAUUAAAGUUAAUAAAUUAUUUUUACAUGUUUUUCAAAUUCAUUUUAUUUAUUUUUUAAAUUAUAUAAAUUUCAUGAUAAAUCAAACAUAAAACCAUUUCUUUAGUAAAUUUAUUUCUUCCCUUGGUAUUUUCUUACAAUGAAAAAUAUCAUAAAAGUUUUCAAAGUAUUAUUUAGAAUUUCAAUUAUUUCUUACUAUACUUUAUAAAAACACCUUAAACAUCUUAAAUCUACUCUCAAAAUAAAUUUGUACAAAUAUAUCUUUCAUAAAUAUUAUAUGAAAAUCAUAUCUCUGUCUAGUUGUUGGGCUAGGUCCAUAGAUGGAGCCCAAGAGGGCUGAAAGUGCUUUGUGCCCUUUGGGUGGGCUGUUUUCCAGCGGUCAUGUCUAUAUGGGCAACCGCGAAGGGCUCUUCAUCAUGUGUGGAAGACUAAUUUGGUGAGAUUUCAACAUUCUACUUAGUUUCUUUUAGGUUUGCUCGAUUCCAGAAAAAAUUUGAGGAAAAAUGCAAAUAAAAGAAAAAAAUAAAAGAAAAAAAAUAAAAAAUAAAAUAUAGAUUAAAAUUUAUAAAUUAUUUUUAUAUGUUGUUUCAAAUUCAUUUUACUUAUUUUAACUCUUUUGUGUAAAUAUUAAAUAAUUAAAAAAAUGUAUAACUCUACAACUAAUUUCAAUUGUAUUUGAUUUUUUUUUUACUAUUCUCCAUAGUAAAACAAAAUAUAAGAAAAAUGAUUUUUUUUUCUUUGUAAAAUCUUUUAGAAUUAAACAUAACCUUAAACUUUGAGAUGGGUUGUUAUUGCUGUCGUUAUCUUUCUCCCUUUGUUGUCCCACACUUUUUGGGCCAUAGGACUUAUGGGACGCAAUUUGAUAAAAAAGAAAAUUAGUCAAAGAUUUUUUUAUUCUUGCAAAAAAUAAUUUUCUUUAAGGUUAAGUUUAGUUGAUUGAAUAUAAAAUGAGAUAUUUUAAGAAAUGAAAUUACAUAUUCUAUUUUAUAUUUAACGAAAUAUAGGAUAAGUGAUGAAAUAUAUUGUCCAACCUUUUCUAGUUAAACCUCGAUAAAUUAAUAGCCUUAGGACCAAAAAAAGUAUAUUAAUUAAUCAAUAAAGUAAUAAUUUAUUAAUUUAUCAAAAUAUUUCUUAUCUUUCCAAAAUAUUGUAUCUAAUAUCAUUUUAUUGUAAAAUUUAUGAGAAUGCUACACAAGAAGUACUUCUUCCCACAUCACAAAAAGUUAAAGAUAAGAUCUAAGUCGAUAUCAAUUUUAAGAAGAAAAAAGCAACACUGGACAUAUAUUUUACAAAGUUCUUCUAAAUAAAUCAUAUGAAUUAGUUAUAUAUUAGGAAAUUAUUAAUUUAUGUUGUAAGUGAGUCGUAUAUAAAACUAUAUUGAUUUUUCUAUAAUGUAUCAUCUUCUAAAUGUAUCAAAUUAUUAAUUAUCAAUUUAGCACGUUGGACUCAAAUCAUGACUAACAAAAAAACAUUAUUUAAUCAAAGUUAUCAAUUUAUUAAGUAUUAAUGUAUCAAAGUUUUAUUAUAAUUAUAUACCUUGUACAUGGGACAUAUAAUCAUAAAUUGAGAUAGCGGUUAUAAACAUCCAUGGUUAUGAAUUUAUUCUUCUCAUCCAUUUUUUUUCAAUUUUUAUUAAUUCUUUGUAUUAAUCAUUUUUCAAAAUAUAAAAUGAUAGUUCGAAAAUGAAAAGAAUUAAAACAAAAUAUAUAAAAUAUAAUGUAAAACAAUAUUAAUAUAAGAAUUAUUUAAUAUAUAAAAAAAUAUUUUUUAUAAAUUUAACAACAUAAUAUAAUAUUUUUAUCAUAAAUUUUAAAUCUUUUUUUUAUGACUAUUAAUAAUAAAUAAAUAAAUUACUUAUUAAAUGAUAAAUUUAUGAAGAAAGGAUUUUCAAACAAUAUUAAAUUUGAAAGUGAUUUUAUUUUAUAUUUCUUUUCAUAGAAAAUCUUGUGAUACAAUAUAAUUUUUGUUUUAAACAAAUAUCAAAUAUUGAAGUGGAAUAUAUUAAAUAUCAAAUAUUUCUCAUUGAAAAUAAUAUCCUAGAAUAUGUAUAUUAUCCUAUCCUAUCUUAUUUUGACGACCAAACAUAGUUUAUGGGUGGAUGAAAAAAACAACAAACUAAUGAAUCUUAAAAUAUUGAGCCGAAUAAAAGUAAGGUAAGUUGAUUUUUUAAAAAAAAUUAUUAUGCUAAUUUUAGGGGAAAAAAACUAAUAUUUUGGUGUAAUUUAUAGAUGAUCAUUUUAAACCAAUGAAAACUAAAUUAACUAUAUAGUCUCUUGCCCAUUUCUAUUAACGUGUAACCAUGAAACUACUUUUUACCUAUUGGAAAUGAUAUUGACCAGUUGAAUGUUACUUACUUUGACUUGAACUAAAUUAAUUGAUGGUUUUAAUCCAUUCCAAUUUAAUUAAAACUGAUUAAUUCAAUUUGGUUCUUGAGUUACUUGUAAAAAUCAACCUUAAUCAAACUAUAUCACUCUUAAUUUUUUUCACAUUAUAUUUUAGUGUCCUUGUACUAGUGUUUUGUCAUUCUAUUUUAUAUUAACAUCACCUUUUAAUAUUUAGUAUGCUAUUGUGAUAGUCGUCUUGGCAGAUGCACUUCCUGUAAAUUCUACUUGUCCAUGCUCAACACCAAUACCAUCUAAAUCCACCCUAAAUCCAUUAGGAAAGUUGUUGAGAAAAAGCAAUAACUCUUUGACUAAUAGGCGAGUAGGAUUGCAUUUGGAAUUAGCAAGAUAGGGAUAGUUUCACUUAGCUCAUAGACUAUAUUUACCACAUUUGCUUGUUAAUCAGGUCUCUACUUCUCUUAGGUGUGCUUGGUAGGUAAACUAGAAAUUAAAAGAGGAUCAAAAUGAAGGUAAAUCACAAUACUAUGCGGAAAAGAUGUAUUAAAUCUUAGUAAGAGUGAUAUUUAGUUUCCAAACUAAUGAUUUUUUUUUUCAUUCUAAAAAAUAAUCUAAAAAUAUUAACUCAUUCAUUCAAUGCUCAUAGGGAUCUACUAGUUCAACAUCUUCAAGAUCCUAAUUUUUUUAUCUUAAGGAUAAGCUAGAGUAGUUUUUCAAUAUGUUCCUUUGGAUUGGGUUGGACACCGAUAGGGCUUAGGCUAAGGUAAAUAGAUUUGAUUUUUUAUUUUUAUUUUGUAUUUCAAUGUUCCAAAUGUGACCUUAUUAUCAAAAUUAAAAACAUGGUACUAUGGUCACCACCCAAGUAAUGGACUCCUCGGAUAAGCACCCCACUUUGAAUAGGGGUUUGUCCAAAUGAACAUCUUGGGCCAAGUUUGUCUAAGCAAUCUAGAUAGAAUUUGCAAGCAACUUUGAAAUAGCCAAAUGUUACACAUACAUUAAUGAAUGCUAAAUACAUUAUAUAAUGAACACCAAAGUAAAAAGGGUCAUAAAAACCAAAUCGAGGUUGUAGAACCAAGCUUAUAUAACAACAACGUAACAAGGAAAAAAGGUUAGAACAACUCCCUAAAUACGUCGAGUUACUCUAUUUGACUUGAUCGUUAGAAGAGUCUACUUAGAACACCAUUGGACACACAUUUCUUUUGUAGGAAUCUUCAAGAAGAGGCAUGAAAACUAUAAGGCGGAGGCACAAGGAUAUCCAAGAAUCAACAAUUGACACCAUCUAUAGGAACUUAGAGCAAAAAGUCCAAAGCAAAGAAUCGAAAAUGGUAACAAUGCCUUCCAAAAUAGGCAUGGAUGCUCUGCUUGCUAUGUAACCCUCUAAACUAGAUGAAAAGUUCAAUGUACUUCAUGUUGAAAUGGAAAAGAGAUAGGAAGAAUAUGUGCAACAUAUAGAAUCCUUUCUCUAAUAGUUGAGCAAUGAAAACAGGAAAAUAAAGGCUUACGGGUGUAGAUGGUAAGAAGGUAAUGUUCUACCUGGAAAACUCGCCAAUCUUCUAAUCAGAAUCUCCCAAAAUCAUUUAAAAGCUAAGCAGUUAAAGCACCACCUCCUGAUAGACCACUUUCACCUCAAGUAGAUGACGAAUUUGUUAGGACAUUCAGUCUUAUUUGUAUGUUAGCAAUUUUGUUCCCAGUUAAUUGUGGCCUUAGAAAUCUUUUUAGAUUGUGGCUUACUCUCCAUCAAAGAUCAAAAGUUUUUAUUUGUCCAACUAGGAAGUCAUAGGUACGUCUUAGAAGGUUUGGCUUAUAGCAAGUUAAGCUCUUAUAAGGUAUAAAGAGGAACAAUAUUUUUCUGGAAUCAAAAUGUAUUUUAUUUUCAAAAUUAAAAAUGCAGGGGAUGCUCGAGCAGGCAACAACGCUCAAGUGCUAGGAUUACUUAAGAGCUUGACAUUGCUCAAGCGCCCAAGGCACUCAAGCAGUAGUCAAGUGUGCUCAAACACUCAUGCCCAUUUUACUAAGUUUUAGGAGAAUAUUUUUUAGAAUUUUAUGCAUAUUCUAUUUGGAAACUUUUUGAUACCAUACCUCUUCAACAUAUCUGCCUAUAAAUACUUCAUUAUAACCUUUCUAGGGUUACAAAGAUCAUAAAAGAUUGGAGAGAUUUCAAGAGAGAGAUCUCAACAUUCUGAUAAGGAUUCAUUGAGGAGAAAGCCUAAAGAGCCACACCAUUCCUGAUCUCUCAUUUGAAAGAUUAAUUCAUGAAUCUAAGGUUGAAUACCUACAUUCCUUCAACAAGGCUGAAGCAUAUUCACUAGAGCAAUUGGAGGUUGUUGUAUCGCAAAAGUGGAUUAAGUUAUAGGUAUUAGUAAGUCUUUAUGGUAAAACGACUAUGUAACUCUGUGUAACAUGAUCUCAUAUAGUGGAUUUAGAUUAGUUGUCUUAGACCUCAUGGUUUUUUAUCUUCACAAUUAGUAUAAGGGUUUUCCAUGUAAUUUUUUUUUGUCUCAUUGCAUAUCUUUUUCAUUUGCUUAUAUUCCCUAUCUUGAAUUGAGUUGAUUAUCACUAACUUCUCACAAGGAAAAAUUGGGCAUAAUAUAUAAAUAUUUAUUUAAAAUUUUUUUAAUUACACCCAUUCUUCUCCUCUCUAGGUGUUACCCUAUUGGACUUUGGUUUUUCAGAAUUGUUUGCUAAUGAUUCACUCUCGUUACCUACAUUUCAUAAGACACAAAUGAAAUGACUUGUUAACAAAGUAAAUUCCGAUUAACCUACUAGUAUAACCAGGAAGAAACAUCCCUAGAUUUUUGCCAAAGUCCCAAAAUUGUUGUUGCACCUAGAGUAAGGUUCGGUAUUCCGUGCGACGAGGGGUUUCAAAAGCCCGAGCAUAAUACCCACUUUGAGUUAGUUCCAACAAAUCAAGGGCCUAAAGCUCUAGUUGGGUUGGUUAGUAAGUGCCUCGAUGACAUGUUGUCUAGACCGCUUGGUGUUCAUAUCAUUAAUUAUGAGUCUUUGAGAGGAUUUUUUAUCCAUAAUUCACUAUGUAUAGUGGGAUGAGUGAUCCAUUCAAUCAUAUCAUGCAUGAAGGUGAUGACUCUAGAUGUAGGAAACCAACCCCUCUUCUUACGGUUUUUCUUGCUAGCCUUUAUAGUCCAACUUUCUCUUGGUUCCAUCGUCUUCACCUGAACUCCAUUCAUUCGUUCUGAGACAUCUAUAAGGUCUUUAUAGUGCACUACUUAUGCUUAGCCUUUUACGAUAAAGCCCUUAAAAUCAUAAAAAAAUGUAACAAAUUUGAAAUUCAUUAUUUAUUUAAUAGUAUUAUAGUUUCAUUUUAUUUAUCCUUAUUCUAUGCAUUAUACUUUAUAAGCAUUCUUACCUAGCAUCCCUUGCACUGUACAUAACUUGGGUGCAUUAAGAGUUGCAUAGAAGAUCCAAAUCAUGACUUGUUCAUAGCCAAUUCAUGGACUUAGACAAUCCAUUAGAAGCUCUAGUGCACUACCCCUUAAUUUGAAGGAUGACUUAUCUUGGCCAUUAAGAUGGGUUUCUUAUGGUGAGUGCACUACUGUGUAUGAUUAUAUAUUGGACAAAACCUACAAUAAGUCAUGACAUAAGGUAUGGACCAACAUUUUUCACGUGCAUCCCUACUCAACGAUGAGUCUUUUUUUAUUGUAAAAAACUUUUUUUUUUAAAGUUAGAGUCGCCACUUAUUUUUGUUUAUUUUUAGAAAAGAAAAUAAAACAAGAAAUAAAACCUUAGGAGUGAUUCCCUAUGAAAGGAAAAGCAUGUCUAAAAAAAUCGAGUCCAAGUUUGGGGUUAAGUUACUUAUUGAGAAUGUAUCAUAUGAUAACACUCCUCUAAGCCUUCAAGAGAUCUAUACUAAACAAGUGGAAGGAACUAAGGUAAUUGACUAAUAGACCAAUGGAUUCUAAGAGACAACAACAAUAUACAACAAGGCAAUGAUGAUAACACACAAGAGCAUAACAUGUAGAUCAAAGGAAUAAAUCAAGAAAAGGAAGUAAGCAUACCUCAAUUAUGCUUAAAGUAGGGUAGUGUGCUUACAUAGAAAAUAGGGCUAGCUCACAAUCAAAAUGAGAGAUAUAAAAUCAUAACAAGGGCUACCAAGCAUAUACAACUCAAAUUAAGAAGCAAGAGAUGCCUAAACUAGCAGUAAACUAAGCUAAGAUACAUGCUUAGGGUUCAAAAUUGGUAGCAAGUAUGCAAUCUCAAAAUAAAUCCAAAUAAAAUAGGUAAAAGAUAGAUGUGAUACAAAGGAAGGCUUGUUUAACAUAUACAAGAUUCCUAUAAUAUAAUAUAUACAGAAGCUUGACAACACACAAAUACCUACAAAAUAAAUUUGAAUAAAAUAGUUAGAGAUGAAAUAAAAUCAAAACAAAAAUUUUACAUCAUCCUCGAAGUGUCUAGAAUACAAUUCAAAAUCCCAAAGUAUCUAAACACGCACCAAUUAUCCUAUAUUUAACCAAACUUAUCAUUGCUCAAAAACAAGGGAGAACAACAUAUCAUACAAAGAUCGAAUUAUUUAAAAAAUUUAGAGGUGAGAUAAAAUCAAACCGAAAAUUGUACAACAUAUCUAAAAUGUUUAGAUUGCAUGAAAAUAAAAUAAAAUCUAAGAGGACUAAACAAACAAAGAUUAUCCCAGAUUUUAUUAAACAUCCUAUUGCUUAGAAAUAAGGUAGAUUAGCAAGUCAUCCAAAAAUGGAAUUAUUUAACAAGCUUAGAAGUAAUAUAAAAAAAAAUAAAAAUACCAUAGAAUAUUAAAGUGUCUAGAUCACAUGAAAAAUAUUUAUAAAGCUCAAUUAUGUAUGAAUAAUCCCAAAUUUUGAAGAGUAUUUCACAACACCAAAUUUGGGUCAGCACAACAAGUAAGAAAAGAUACAAUUAAUUCUCAAGCUUUAAAAAAGAUUUUUAAGUGAAACCAAAGCCUAAAACAUUAUUUAAAAGGUCUAGAAUGUAAAAAAAAACAUAUAAAAAUAAUUAAACUCCCAUGAGCUAUAUUAAAAUUGCAAAAAUAUUUUGGGUAAAAAAAAUAUGGUAGAAUUUGAACAUCUUGAAAAUUUGAUUUAAUUCACAGGCUUAGAGAAGGUUUUUUAAUCAAAACAAAAAUUAUUUGAUACAUUUAAAAAGUGUAAAACAUCAACUAAGCCUUUAAAAAAAUCAAGACAUGACAAAAAAUAUAGAUUUAAUAAAAAAUUUUAGGGGAAAAAAUAGGGCAACAAGUGGGUGAUUUUUAAAAAUCAAAGAAUGUGGGCUUUACUAAUGCCUAAAUUGAUUCUAUGGAUUAAUCUGCAUCCCUUACCUUCUAAUGAUCAUGGAAGGAAGCUCAUGAGGGCUUGACAUAAUCCCAUUAAAUUGAGAUUUGUGAGAUUUAUCCAUAUUUCCAAAAUCAAUAAAAUUUGAAAAAUAUAAGUUUGAAAAUAGGGCUGAAAUUCGCAAAGAAACACCCACAUAUGAGAAUGUUCUAAUGUAAAAUCAUGCAUUAUGUACCAAACAAUAUGGAAAACAUUUAUUGAGAUUAAAAUUACCAUGAGAUUAAGCCUCAAAUGACCAUGAAAAAGGGUUUAAAUGGACUGAAAAUCAUCCUCUAAAAUCAUUUUGGAAAACCUUUCAAAAAUUAUUAAAAAUCAUGAGAGCAACCAUCAAUUUUCUUAAGCAUAAAAGUGAUAUCAAAGCCUACGAAAGGAGGCUUGACCUUAGGCCACAAAAUUGGCCAUUAAAAAUGAUUAAAAUCUCAGCCAAAGAGGGUUUGAAAAUGGGUUUUACAAUCAGACUUGAAAGAAAAAUCAAAAAGAGCCAAAAGAUGCCUCAAAAGACAGUUUCUAUGGAAAAUCACUUUGGCAAAUAAACAAACACUUUAUAGCUCUCAAAUUUGAUUUUAAAAUCAAUAAAAAAGGCAUUCCAAACCAUUGAAGAGAAGAAGAAAAAAAAAAAACAAAAUCCCCAAAGAGAAAUCAAAAGAAAAACAAAAGGAUUUCAAAUCUAAAUAAAGCCUUAUUUCAUUAUUUAAUCAAUGAGCUUGAAAAGAAGGCAAAAUAUCCAAAAUGAGAACAAAAUCAGUAUAAUCAAGGUAUCAUAAACCAUUGUACAACAACUUAGACCAAAGAUUAAGCAAUCUCUCAACUAUUAGGUGUUUGUUUGGUACUUUACAACAAUUCCCUGGUAGCCCAUUACUACUCAUGUAGCUUAUCUUUUCUAAGCCACCUUGGAGACUUUGGUUGAGGGGUUUAUUUGACUCCACAUUAUGACCUUAGCUGCCCUUUAAGUUUAGAUUAGGCUUCACUUAGGUGCACUUUAGUUUAGACUCAGUUUGGCCUACCUUGUCUCAUCUUAGCUCGUAUAGGUAUACUCGGCCCAUUAGACACCACCUUAGGCCCAUGAUUCGACUCAUGGUAGCUUAGCUUUAAAGGCGUAUCAACAAAAUUUAUACCUUGAAUACUAUUACUAAAGUAGCCAAGCUACUAUAGCAUAGUGGUUCUAGGAUCGUUCACUGGGAAGGGUUUUCGCAAACACAAGUGAUAUUCAAAUUAGGAAAAUAAGUGAUUUUCUUAUAGAUGUUAGCUUUAAAAGAAGAUGUAAAUGUUUUAGAAAGAUUUAAACUAAUUUAAGCUAACAUUAAAGACUAAAAUGAAAGGGUGUAAAAACAAGUUUCUCAAAGAUAGGAUAGCUAUGCUCUGGCUCUUAUGCAAAUUGGAAAUCUCAGGAUAGGCUCCUCGCGUUGGGGUUGCAACUAUGGUGAUGCUUGCUUCCCGAACCGGUAUGGAUUUAGCAAAUCAAGUUUUAAUCCUUUAAAAUGGCAAAACAGAUGGUAGUGAAUUUCAUCAAUGGUUAUUCACCUUAGACUUCCUUUGAAUGGCUCGUAAGAGAUAACUAAUGGUCUAAAGCCAAAAGCUUACCAAAUAUUGGCAACUCAAAGUCAUUCCAGGUGAUAAACUCACCUUUCAAUGGCCAUUGAAAUUGGUUCUAACGGAUUAAUACAAAACUUGGAAUUGAAAACCUCACCUUCCAAUAGCUCGUAGGAGAUAACUAAUGGAUAGAAAUCCAAAAGCUUAUCAAGUAUUGGCCGUUGGAAGUUGUCCAAAGGAAAUAAAAACCAAACUUUGCAUUAAUGAACCUUUAAUGAAAAACGACUACCUUACCUUCCGGGUGCGAGAAAUUUCCAUGGGAUUGCAUCCAAGUCAUCACAUAACAUCCAUACUUUGAGAAACUAAAAGUUUUAGCCAAUCAUCCUUUGAGGAAAAACCCUCAGAGGCUGUUUGGCUACUAAGAAAAUAGAAAUGGGAGAGCUCUGUAAAUAUUCUAAGUGUCAAACGUAAUAUGUAUUCUAUAUCUACAUAUCAAAUUAUGUUACAACGGAUGCAAGGGGAUAUAAAUAGAGAAGUUUUUCCAACCUUCCUAGCUAAUAAAUCUUAUGAUUGGUGGAUUACAAGGAGAAGAAUGGAAAUUUAUACAAAAAUAUCCAAAAGAAAAGAUCUCGUGUGGAGUCGGCAGAAACAGGGGAAAAUUCGCACCACGCAUGGGUUGUGCGAAUUUGGAAGGUGUUGUGCGAAAUUUUCGCACAAGCCUAGAGCAGUUGUAUUCCGAAGGCCAUAUCUUCCUCAUUUCAGCUCCAAAUCGUACACGGUUUGAAGCGUUGGAUUCUUGACUUCCUGAGAUUUGAAAUGGUAUAUGGCAUGUAGAAAAUGGACUUCGGGAAGUGCUCCAAAAGUGCGAAAGAAGACUGCAGCUGCUGUCCUCUGUUUUCCUCUUUGCUUCCCUUUGCUUCUCUUUGCUUCUCUCCUUUUGUUGGCUUGCUUUGGUGUAGCUAAAAGCUUGCUUUAACUUGUCCAAGAAGCUCCUCCAUCAUUUGGCAUGCUUGAAUUGAUUCAUAAGCUGAUAUAAACAUGUAAACUUGCCACAAAAUGGUUAAAACCAAUUACUAAGGACCUUAAUGAAUUAAUUGGGUUAAAUGAAUAUGAUUACUACACAAAGGUGCUUAAAACCAUUAUAAUUAGGUCUACAAAAUAGCACUUUUUGGUAGUAAUCACACCCCCCAACCGACUCAUUGCUAGUCCCUUAGCAAUGGAGGAGAUAAAAACUAAGUAAACUAUAAUAAUAUACAUAAAAGGGAUCAUGCAAAUCACUCCAAAAAAUGAUAUGAGUGGCAUGAUUGGAUCAAACUCUCACAUGGCAAGUCAAGGAUAUAAAACUCAAUCAUCAAUAAGAGUCAUCAAAUAACUUACCUAUCACAACAUGCAAAGAGCGGGCAUUAUGCAAAUUUGAGUAUCAAAAUAAUUUCCACUCCCAAAGGACCAACACUUAAUCUUCCACAAAAAUCUAUGUGUUAUUUAUUAGUUUCCGAAUAUAGUAUGUCAAACUAAUCUCUCCCCUCAACCUAGUUCUUUUCAAAGCUUAGCAAACUAAUCAACCUCCAAUAGGCUAAGAACGCACCUCUUUUCUUUCACAAUUUUUUCUUGUAGGAGUGCAAAGCUUAAAGGCAUUCUUUCCUAAAUUGUCCAUGUAACGGGGGUCCAUCGAUGACUCCCAACCAAUCAAGGUUUAGGGCAUCAAGCUUUAAGGAUUUUCAACCACUAACUCCUCGGAUUUCACCCCGGACUUUUUGAGAAUGAAUUUUUAAUACCCAAGCACCUACAGUAUGUUAAACUCCACCUAUUCACCCAUGUAACGAGCAUUGAGGUCGGUGACUCCCAACCAAUUAAGGCUUAGGGCACCAGGUUUUAAAGAUUUUCACCAUAUACCCCUUAGACCUUGCUCGAGUUUCAAGGCAAGCAAACAUUUUUCUUUUUCUUUCUUUUUCCAAAGGCUCAUUGGCCUUUUACAAGGUGUCCCAACACUAUUAAAAUGAUGUCAAAGGUACCAAGUCUAAAAUUUUCCUAAGUCAAGAAGGAAAUAGUUCUUCAUCUUAUAAUCGGAACCUAUUGUGUUUAGUGUGUGGAUAGCUUAAAGUGGAAGAACUAAGCUUAAAUUCAAUAGAAGUUUCAACAAUUCAUCAACUUUAGUAAGCAUAAUACAAACUCUAAGACUAUGGCAAUAAGAUAAGAAUUUUAAUUUUUCCCAUUUACUUUUGAGAAUUUUUCCUUAAUAACCAUGGAGAGUAGAAUAAAAACUUAAAAAAUUUUAAAAUUAAGCAAAAAGCAACUAAAUUACCAAAAUAACUUAGCAUUAAUAACAAUACUUCCUUCCUCAACUCUCCCCCCAACCAAGCUGAACAUUGUCCUCAAUGUGACAAAAGCGAUUGAAAAAUAGGGAGGAAGUGGUACCUCUUGAGUGACAUGGAGUCUGAGUCAUGUAGGAGAAACCACAUGUUUCAAAGAAAACAUAAGAGUUAGUGAGAAGAGGAAAUAGAAAAAUGCCAAGUUUAAACAAAAAUGAUGUCUAUAUAUGAUGUAUCAUCAGUAAUACAUCCAAUCCCAGAAUAUAAGAUAUCAAAACAUGGAAUUAUGUAUACUAAUAUAAUAAGUAAAUACAAAAAAAUAAAGAGAUGAUCAAGUAAUAGAAGGGUCCUGUGGAGAUAUGGUGGCCUUCUGAAUGGGUUGGGUCAGGACAUUGACCUCUGCUCUGGUAGUCUCCUUAAGUGGCAUAGUCUCCUCUACUGGAGCUCUCAGUUGGAGCUAUGAGCUUUGAUGGUUUUAGGAGGUAAGAAAUGGAAUGAGAGGCUUGGUGUGUGAUCCCAGGGUGCAUGGGGGUAUUCUCUCCUCUAAUUCAUGUUCCGGAGGCUUCAAAUAGAGAGGGAGGGGCGGCAUUUGGAUGGUCACACGUUUAAAAACUCUUUUUGGAAGUCAAAUGGCUUUUAGCAAUGAAAAACAGAGUCUUGGGUGUUUAAAAAUUGGUUUAAAAGACAUUUGGACAUUUUAGCACUUUUGCGGAGUCUGUCUUCAAACAGCCAUAACUUCUUCGUUUCAAAUCCAAAUCACGCACCGUUUGAAGCUAUGGAUUCCUGACUUCCUAAGCUUUAAAAUGAUAUAUAGUAUGCAUAAUUUGAGCUCCAUAAAGUGCUCCAAAAACGUGUCUAACAGUAGUGAAAUUUGGUGCGGCUGCAACAUUUCCUUUCAGCUUUGCAUAGUCGUCUUUAAACGACCAUAACUUCUUCAUUUUAAAUCCAAAUCAUUUACCGUUUGAAGCAUUGGAUUCCUGACUUCCCAAGCUUCAAAACGACAUAUCAUAUGUAUAAUUUGAGCUCCAGGAAGUGCUUCAAAAUUGUGUCCAACAGUAGCAAAAUUUUCGCACUCGAAUUCGUACGUUGGAAUGAAUUUCGCACCUUGAAUUGUGGUGUGCGAAAUUGAUGCACCUUGAACUAAGAUUUUCGCACCUUGGAAUGAAUUUCGCACCUUGAAUAGUGGUGUGCGAAAUUUUCGCACCUUGUUUCGCACGGUGCGAAAAUUGGCUUGAGGUGUGCGAAAUGGCACUCGUGUGCCAAGAGGUGUUUCGCACGGUGCGAAAUUUUUCGCACCUUGGAUUGAGGUGUGCGAAAUUCCCGCUCAACUCGGUCCAGUUUUCUUGCAAUGACCAUAACUUUUUCGUUUCAACUCCGAUUUGGACACCGUUUGAAGCCUUGGAUUCAUGACUUCCCGAGCUUCGAAACGAGAUAUAGUACGCAUGAAAUGAACUUCGGAAAGUGAUCGAAAUGUGCCCAACAAUUGCCGAAAUGGGGUGGUACGAAUUGCUCUGUUUUGGCUUUUCUCCCCUGUUUUCCCUUGUUUUCACCAUAACUUCGAUUUUUGCAAGCAUCAUACCUGCAUGAACACUUCAAAACUCAUCUUAAAACAUAUUAAAACUAAAUUAAAGCUAAGAAUUCAAACUAAAACAUGCAUAAAUUUAAAGAAAGCAUAGAAUUUAAAUGAAGCUGAUAGCAUGUACCUCAAAAAGAAGAUGAACUAUUUAGCUCAUCCUCACUCACACACCCACUUCAUGCUGAAUUCCCCCUGAAUCCCAAACAAAAUUGGCAUCCUUCCCAUUUGGUCCAAGGGAAUUCGUUUUUCUUCUCUUCCCUGGAGAAGUGGAUGCUUUAAAGGGUUCAAGUAACCCCUUAUCAUCUUGAACCUUUUGAUUUUCAAUGGAAAGUUGGUCCAUAGAGUUGUCAUAGCAAUCCCCCACCAAAGUGUCGAUCUUCAACACUUUCCUUGAUAUUUUUGCAUUGGUUCCUUGAAGGUUAUGGUGGGGUUGAGGAGGAAGCUUCCUUUUCCCCCUUGCUAUGUCGAGAUUGGUGAGCUUCUCAAUGGAGUCUUGAACUUUUUCUAUCCUUAGUGAUAGAUCAUUAUAAACCCCCUCCAUUCUUACAUUUAUUGAACUCUCCAUAUUAUCAAUCUUUUCAUUAAGAUGAGAGUUGAUCUUUUGUUGCUCACCUACAAAGUCCUCCAUGACUUUGCUUAUCUUUAAAAUGGCUUGCUCCAAUGAAGAUGUACUCAUUGAUGGUUGAGGUUGAGGUUGGGUUGUAAAGUUGGGAUGGUUUAUAUACUCAAAUGAAGUUGGCAUGGCUUGUGGUUGUGCUUCAGUAUGCACAUUCCUCAAUUCAAACUCUUCUAUCCUUCUAACCAUAGAUGCUAGCUUUGCCUUCAUGCUCAUGUCUUCAUUCAAAGCAUACUUACUACCCCAUUGGCUUUGUUGAGCUUGCCUUUUCCCUAAUUCAAUCCGAUCCCUCAUGGAUAAGUAUGCAAAUUUGUCCUUCUCAUGAUCAUAAUGAGAGCUUUGAUCUUCAUGUGGAAUUUCCAUUUCUAAAAAAAAAAUGAUAUUCAACUAAGGCUCUUUUCUUCAACUUGUACCAAGGUUCCCUCUUGGUCUCGAAUCCAACAAGGAAUGCACAAAUUGAAAUUAAAACAAAAAUAAAAGAAAAGAGAAUAAAUAAAAAAUUUAACUAAAUAAAAACUAAACAAAAAAAAUUAUAAGAAAACUCACCAAACUUGUGAUGAAGAUCACAAGUUACCCUUAAUGGUUGCUUCACUGUGCUUGUGGCACCUUCCCCGGCAACGGCGCCAUUUGCUUCGACUCAUGGUAGCUUAGCUUUAAAGGCGUAUCAACAAAAUUUAUACCUUGAAUACUAUUACUAAAGUAGCCAAGCUACUAUAGCAUAGUGGUUCUAGGAUCGUUCACUGGGAAGGGUUUUCGCAAACACAAGUGAUAUUCAAAUUAGGAAAAUAAGUGAUUUUCUUAUAGAUGUUAGCUUUAAAAGAAGAUGUAAAUGUUUUAGAAAGAUUUAAACUAAUUUAAGCUAACAUUAAAGACUAAAAUGAAAGGGUGUAAAAACAAGUUUCUCAAAGAUAGGAUAGCUAUGCUCUGGCUCUUAUGCAAAUUGGAAAUCUCAGGAUAGGCUCCUCGCGUUGGGGUUGCAACUAUGGUGAUGCUUGCUUCCCGAACCGGUAUGGAUUUAGCAAAUCAAGUUUUAAUCCUUUAAAAUGGCAAAACAGAUGGUAGUGAAUUUCAUCAAUGGUUAUUCACCUUAGACUUCCUUUGAAUGGCUCGUAAGAGAUAACUAAUGGUCUAAAGCCAAAAGCUUACCAAAUAUUGGCAACUCAAAGUCAUUCCAGGUGAUAAACUCACCUUUCAAUGACCAUUGAAAUUGGUUCUAACGGAUUAAUACAAAACUUGGAAUUGAAAACCUCACCUUCCAAUAGCUCGUAGGAGAUAACUAAUGGAUAGAAAUCCAAAAGCUUAUCAAGUAUUGGCCGUUGGAAGUUGUCCAAAGGAAAUAAAAACCAAACUUUGCAUUAAUGAACCUUUAAUGAAAAACGACUACCUUACCUUCCGGGUGCGAGAAAUUUCCAUGGGAUUGCAUCCAAGUCAUCACAUAACAUCCAUACUUUGAGAAACUAAAAGUUUUAGCCAAUCAUCCUUUGAGGAAAAACCCUCAGAGGCUGUUUGGCUACUAAGAAAAGAAUACUGCAGCUGCUGUCCUCUGUUUUCCUCUUUGCUUCUUUUUGCUUCUCUUUGCUUCUCUUUGCUUUUCUCCUUUUGUUGGCUUGCUUUGGUGUAGCUAAAAGCUUGCUUUAACUUGUCCAAGUAGCUCCUCCAUCAUUUGGCAUGCUUGAAUUGAUUCAUAAGCUGAUAUAAACAUGUAAACUUGGCACAAAAAUGGUUAAAACCAAUUACUAAGGACCUUAAUGAAUUAAUUGGGUUAAAUGAAUAUGAUUACUACACAAAGGUGCUUAAAACCAUUAUAAUUAGGUCUACAAAAUAGCACUUUUUGGUAGUAAUCAGCCCAUUCAGACACCUUAGGUCCAUCUAGGUUCACUUAGGUCCUCUUAGGCACACUUGACCUAUUAGACAUUCUUAGCAUGACUUGUAUGGUUGCAUGACUCAUUUAUCUCGUUUACUUAUUUAUUUAUUUAUUUAUUAUUAUUAUUAUUAUUAUUAUUAUUAUCAAUCACUUUUAUGUAAUCAUUUAUUAUAUUUUUAUUUAUUUAUUUUAUUUUAUCUUUAUUAUUAUCAAUAACUUUUAUUUAUUUAGUCAUUUAUUAUUUUUAUUUAUUUGUUUAUUAUCUUGUUAUUUAUUUAUUCAUUUAUUAUUAUUAUUUUAUCAUUUUCUAAUUUAUUUAUUUAUUCAUUUUUAUUUUUUUAUUCAUUUAUUUAAUUUAAUAAUUUGAUGUUUUUAUAGGAAAAUCUACCGACGGAGGAAAAACAAUUUUGAAAUUGGUAAGACUUUGAAAAGGAAAGGAACUCUUUUAGGCGUUAGUGAAGAUCAUUAGAGAGUUAAAAUAGAGAUGAAAGAGUUUUUAGAAAAGAUGGGACUCCUUAGGUGAUAUGCAUGGAUCGAUUUUUUUGGAAAUUCAAAAAAAGAUUUUUCUGGUGGAUGAGGCAUAGAAUCCGGAGAGAGGAUGACUCCUCAGGUGGGACGACUGCCAAUUGCUAUAAAAAAAGCACAUACUAGUGGUUCUAAACGCGAGAAGAAAAAAAAAAAGAGGUUUUCAAAAGGGACUUUCAGCACGCAUUGGGAAAAGUGGGGGUUGUAGAUUUGAUUCCAGAAAGGUGCAGCCGCACCAUGGCAUUGCAUAUAGACAUAACCGACAUCUAAAAUAGGGAGUUUUAGGGAUUCAUUAAGGCUCACUAUCACACAACAGGAGGAGGCUAUCCAUUGUGAAAGACAACUCCACGCACACAUUAGAGAGAACAAAACACACCAUGCAACCGCCUUCUUUCCUCCAUGGAUGAGACUCUCACAUGGCGCACACCAAGAGAUCUCCUUAAAGCCUCCACAUGUGCCAAAAGAAGGGGGAUUGCACCAUAGAUUUUUGAGAGAAAAGUUGUGGCUUUCCAAUGGCACUUUGGACACACCAUAGAAGAGAAUUCUUUGAGAAAAACAACCAUGCACCUCCAUGGGCUGGGGGACCACUCAACAAAAUGCAGGGAGAAUAACUACUUGCAACCCACUUCCUAGAUGAUGCAGUUUGCAUCUCACGCACAACCCACAUUGAAAGAUUCCAUGCACAACACGCUUCCAAGGGUAGAAGCCUACAUAGGAGAUAUGGAACCAUGAUCCGUUCACACUAAUCAUGAUUCUUAAAGAUAUCUCCACAUGACUGCAAAAAGGAUAUUGAAGCCCAUGCACAAGAACUUAGCAACCAUCCGCACCAUUCUCCAAGCAAGGAAAGAUUCUAGACAGCCAGAUCCAUGCAUCAAGUCUUCCAUCCACACAGCUGCAGAUUUUGGGAGACUCUCCAAGAUAGUUCUCUUUAGACAGCCACACACCAUUAUGGGUCGUUUUGUAGCACGCAUAGCUAGCUAGGUAAGUUAUUAUUAUUUUUUUUUAGUUUUGAUUUAUCUUAUCUUAGUUUAUUGAUUUUUUUAUAGAAUUCUUAGUUAUUAAUUUAAUUGAUCCAUGUUAUUUAAGCUUUAAAAUUGUUAGUUUCAGUUUUAAUUUUAUAAUCGGAAUGAAAGUUAGAGAGUUUAUGAUGAGCCAAGAAGAUCGCAACGUGUUCCUAAGAAAAACCCAAGGUUCAUAACAUGAUAAACAUGCAGAGCAAGUAGGAUGAUCGUGCAAGGAGCUGUUAGAGAUUAAUUGCUGGCAUAGUUCUGUUAGAAGACUUGGUCUGAUGUCUGUUAGCUAUUAUUAUGCUAUUUGAAUAAGUAUUAGCUAUUUAUUUGCUAAUAAUGGUUGAGUCCUUAUUUUCAGUAGUUAUGGUCGUGAGAGUAGGAGAAAGUGGGUUUUUCCUUGUAUAUUUAAACUAUUUCAGUAUGCAGCAAUAAAAGGGAGUUCAUUCAAAAUCCAAAUAUUGUGGCUCAUUUUUGCCCUAAGAAGAAUUCUGUUUACUGAUUAUAUUAGCUUUGAUUGGGACCUAUCAGUUUAUGUUUCAAUUUUAAUUUUUUAAUUAGAAUGAAAGUUAGAGUUUAUAUUUCAGUUUUGAUUAUUUAACCAGGAUGAAAGUUAGAGAGUUUAUGUUUCAAGUUUAAUUUUUUUUAAUUGAAUGAAAAUUAGAGGUUGUUUUUCAGUUUUAUUUUUUUUAUUCGAAAUGAAAGUUAAAGAGUUUAUGUUUCAAUUUUAAUUUUUAAAUUGGAAUGAAAGUUAGCGAGUUUAUAUUUUAGUUUUGAUUUUUAAUUGGAAUGGAAGUUAGAGACAUUUUAGUUUAUAUUCUAGAGUUUAGAUUUUAGUUUUAAUUUUUUUUAUUGGAUUGAAAGUUAGAGUUUUUCUUAUUAGUUUUGAUUCAUAAAUAUUGGAAUGAAGGUUUGGUUAUUUGUUAACUUUAAUCCUUAAUUGAUUCAAUUUUCAUUUUGUAUUUUCUUUUAGAAAUUUUAAUAAGUUAGUCUAAAUGACCCAAAGUUGUUUUAUUCACUUUUUAAGUAUGUUAGCUUUGAUUCUUGUUUGGUCCAAUUUCAAUUCGUGGGUUUUUUCGGAGUUUUAGGUGAUUAGUUUGAUUGAUCCUCUAAGAUAAAGUUUAUGUUUUUAAUUCCAAUUUAGUUCAAUUCUAUUUUUUUUUUUUUAGUCCAAAUGUGUGUGUGUUUAGUUGAUCAAAUGCUAGUUCUUGAUUUGCUAUUCUCAAUUUAGGUGUUUCUUGAAUCCUAGUUGUUAAUUCUUGAUGAAUAUAUUCAUUUACUUGUAUGAUCUAAGUUUUAAUAGUUUAUUGCUUUGGUAGUUCCUUGUCAAAUUUACUUUUCAGAAGCCAUCGGAAAGUCAUGAAGGUUGGCUCCUACUCUCAUCAUAUUGGUUUGGCUAGUUGUUAAAAAAUUUACUUUGAAAUUUUGUCUUCCUUUGGUUUGCCUUUGUUUGAUCCUUACGUAUUGUCGUUUGCAAAUAAUGUCUUUCCUUUUAAAAAGAAACCUUUUCUCAAAAUGCUCCUCGUUAAAGUGCAUUUCAAAAACUCAUUUAGAGUCCUUAGAAUCAAAAUCUCAUUUUCUUAAAUAAUAUGCAACCAUGUCUCAAUCAAUUCACAUCUUUCUUAGUUUUUAAUAAAAGUUAUGGUUUUGAGUAAGACACAAAUCCAAGCUUGUGGUCCCAAAUAAAUGGGAUAAUUCUAGGUUAGAUUUGUGUAUAUCAAUUGGGGAAUUGGUGGAACCCCUACAUAAGAAAUUUUUUUAAAACUCUUUCUUGUUGUUAGUUUUCAUUCAACCACUGACCUUUUAGCUUUAAAAUUCGCUUCGGCAAUUUCAGAAUAUUUUUUUUAAAAAUUCCAAAACUUAUAUGAUUUUCCCCACUUCUUGAAAUUGAAUUUAAAAUUUUGUUUGAGUUAGAAAGCAAUUCUAGAAUAGAAGAUACAAAUGAGUUUUUAGGAGAGCUCUGUUGUCACCUAGUUCUGGACACCCGAAAUCGUUUUGUAAAGAUAAAUUAAAUGACAUAUGACUUUUUUUAAUUUGAUUCGAUAUUUUUCUUUAAUUCUAAACUUCCUGAAAUUGAUCUUAGACAUAUAAAAUAUUAAAAAGUAUACAUUUUUAGGGAGAUAUGAUUUAAAAAUCGUACCUACUAUGCAUGAUGGAAUCUGGACAUUUGAUUAGUUGGAGUGUUUUAAAAAUAUUUUUGAGUACUCCCCGACCCUGGAUUUAUUUUUCCUGUGAUAUAAACACUUUGAACAAUGUGUGUGAUUUUUUUUUUUUUUUUUUACAAUUUUAUGUGAUUAUCUUAUUAUUUUUAAAAAAAUCGUUUAGGCAUGCCACUUUUUUUUUUUAUUUUAUCUAAUCUAGAUUUUGUGGAACUUUUGGAUGUCUUUGGUGCAAUUUGUCAUUCGAAUGAGUGUUUGGCUUUUAGUAUGUUGUUUUAGAUGUGUAAGAGUUGUUUCCUGAAAUUUUUUUUUGUAAUUAAGCUCCACUCUAAGACAUUUUUUAGAAAUUGUUUUGUGAUGCUCCAUUUUCUAAUUGCAUGCUGAUGAUCUUGUACUUUGUCUGAAUUUGUUAUUUAUUUUUGAAGUAAUGAUUCGUGCCCAACUGGUGUACGCCCUAUUGAUUGGUGUUCAAUCACUGGUAUGCUUUGAUUUCAGUCCUCAAGCAAGAGUAAUCAACAAAAUUUAUAAACCUAUUUCACCAUAUACUAGGAUAGCAUUAGCUAGCAUAGCACAGUGGCUCUAGGAUCGUCCACAGGGAUGAGUUUUCAAAUUACAACUGAUCUUAGUUCAAAAAUUGAAUUGAUGCCUUUUCUUUUCAAGGUUAGCUUUAGAAGAAAACAUAAAGAUGUUUGAAAAUGUUGGUUUUAAGUGAAACCAAUAAUAAAGCAACGGAAAUUACUUACAAAGAAAAGUGCUUCUUGGAGUUUUAGAUCACUAGGCUCAGGUUCCUUGUACAAAAAGGGAGUUCCGAUCACUUGAAUCUUUUCCUCGCAUUGGGGAUUUAACAUAUAGUUAUUUCCUGAACCGGUGUGGUAUAGAUGCUCCCCCUUAAUGGAUUCAAACACUAAUUCCCUGUCACUGAAUCAUCUUGCAAUGGUUCAUACCUCUUACCUAGUAUUGGCCAUUCAAGGUGAUCCUUAACCUUGGAUUACCCAUCAAAAGCUCGCAAGAGAUAACUAAUGGAUGUCUCAUUGGAGUCCAAAAUCUUACCAAGUGUUGGCUAUUCUAGAAAAUCCUACCUUUAAACCACCUUCCAAAGGCUCGCAAGAGAUAAACUAGUGUAUCUCAAUGGACGGAGACCACUUGCCUUACCAAGUGUUGGCCCAAGUGAUUUUAAGGAAUUUUAAGUUAACUAAAAAGAUAAAAACCAUUAACGGAUCACACUUUCUCGUCAUUAAAAACUGAAACAACAAAACUUCCAAUUUUGCAUCCGGAACCUUAGCUAGCUUCCUUCACUCCAAGAACCAAAAAGCCUAGCCACUCAUCCUCUGGAAAAACAUUCUCAAAGUUUAAAUAAAAAUAAAAGAGAAAACAAAAUGAGUAGGUAAGGCAGAGCAAAGCUCUGUGUAUUACUUUCUUAAAACUAUACAAAGUGUUCGUCUCUGAGAAAAAUCCCCGAGCCGUUUAAAAGAAAAUUACAAUAGAUUAUAUAGAAAGACUAUUCACCCUUCCUUCUUACUUCCUAACUAAGGAAUCCUAUGAUUGGUGGAUUACAACGAGAAAAUAAGGAUUUAUACAAAAAUAUCUGAAAAAAAAAUCUAAUAGAGUCGGUCACAAAUAUCUGGGAUUACACAGGUGGAUUUCGCAAGUUGAACUUUGCUUUCGCAACUUGCGAAAUUGUCUUUUAGCUUGGUGCAUUUGUCUUCCAAUUACCAUAAAUUCUUCAUUUCAGUUCUGAUUUGCACACCGUUUAAAGCAUUGGACUCCUGACUUCCCAAGCUUCGAAACAAUAUAUAGUAUGUAUAAAAUAGACUCCAGAAAGUGCUUGAAAUGUGUCCUACAAAUGCUAUCCUCUUGAAUUUCUUCAUGUUAGAUUCCUCUCUAUGUAUUUCCUCCUUGCAUUCUUGAUUGGCUUUGGCAAAGGACUACGAAGCUCCAAAGCUUGGAUUCUUCAUGUAAAUGAGCUUCCAAUUGCUUUGCCAUGGACUAUACAGAGCUCUCCUUCAUUCUUGGAUUGCUUUGGUGAUCAAAAAGCUAUCAAAAAAACCAAAACUUAACACAAUUUGAUUAGAAACACUUGCAAGGGUCCUUAACGUGUCAAAUGAGUUAAAAGGUAAUAACUACUACUCAAAAGUGUUUAAAAGAGUUAAUUACAAGCUAUAAAAUAGCACUUUUUGAGUAGUAAUCACUCCCCCAACCGACAUAUUGCUAGUCCCUUAGCAAUGAAAGAGAGAAAAAGAAAAAUAAGCAGUAAAAUAAUUUACAACAUCAUGCUGAUCACUUCAAAAAAUUUCAAGUGGCAUGACCGAUUAAACUCUCACAUAGAACCUUAAAGAUAUAAAACCCAAAUUUCAACAAGAGUUAUCAAAUAUUUUACCUAAUCACGAUUCAUAAAGAGAAGGCAUUAUGCAAAUUUAAGCUUCAAAAUAAUUUCCACUCCCAAAGGGUUAAUCCUUACUCUUCAACAAAAAUCUAUGUGUUACUUAUUAGUUUCCGAAUAUAGUAUGUCGAACUAAUCUCUCCCCUCAACCUAGUUCUUUUUCAAAUCUUAGCAAACUGAUCAACCUCCAAUAGGCUAAGAACGCACCUCUUGGUUCACAAUUUUUUUCAUUGUAGGAGUACAAAGCUAAAGGUAUUGUUUUCUAAAUUGUCCAUGUAACGGGGGUCCAUCGAUGACUCCCAACUAAUCAAGGUUUAGGGCAUCAAGCUUUAAGGAUUUUUCAACCACUAACUCCUCGGAUUUUACCCCGGACUUUUGAGAAUGAAUUUUAAUACCCAAGCACCUACAGUAUGUUAAACUCCACCUAUUCACCCUUGUAACAAGCAUUGAGGUCGGUGACUCCCAACCAAUAAAGGCUUAGGGCACCAGGUUUUAAAGAUUUUCAUCAUAUACCCCUCAGACCUUGCUUGGGUUUCAAGGCAAGUAAAACUUUCUUUUUUUUUUCAAAGGCUCAUUGGCCUUUUAUAAGGUGUCCCAACACUAUUAAAAUGAGGUCAAAGGUACCAAGUGUAAAAUUUCCUAAGUCAAAGGGUGAAACAGUUUUUCAUCUUAUAAUCGGAACCUAGUGUGCACAGUGUGUGGUAAACUUAAAGUGGAAGAAAUAAGGUUGAAUUCAAUAGAAGUUUCAAUAAUUCAUCAACUUUAAUAAGCAUAAUACAAAUUCUAAGUCAAGUAAAAAGACAAAAAUUCAAUUUUUCCCAUUUCAUUUUGAGAAUUUUUCCUUGAUAACCAUGAAGAGUAGAAUAAAAACUUAAAAAAUUUUAAAAAUUAAGCAAAAAGCAACUAAAUUAUCAAAAUAACUUAGCAUUAAUAACAAAACUUCCUUCCUCAACUCUCUCUCUCCCUAACCAAGCUGAACAUUGCCCUCAAUGUGGCAAGAGCGAUUGAAAAUACAGGGAGGAAGUGGUGCCUCCUAAGUGACAUGGAGUCUGAGUCGUAUAAAAGAAACAACAUGAUUCAAAAAAAAAAAAAAUGAGUAGAGGAAAUAAAAUAAUAGUAUGCCAAGUAUACUAAAAAAUGACGGAUAUGUAUUACUUUAAGAAAGUACAAUAUGAAGUAUGAGCAAGUAAUACAUCCAAUCCCAGUAUAUAAAACAUAAAAAACAUGAGACUAAGAGUUCUACUAUAAUAAGUAAAUACAAAAAGUAGAUAGGUGAUCAGGUAGUGGCAGGAGGAUCGUGUGGAGACGAUGGCUUGACUAUGGUAGUCUGAGUGCUCUGGAUCGGAGUCUCGAUCUCUAUUGUAGUAGUCUCCUCAUGGGAUACAGUUUGCUCUGCUAGAGGAGCCUCCUGAGAUGGAUUUGUAGGCUUUGAUGGACCAGGCAUAUCAUGCUUAGGUAGCGAAAAAAUACCCAAAUACUACUGUAUCUGCCUAAGGAUGGCAGUAUGCUAGGUCUGCGUGGCAAUAAGCUGAUCCUGAUGUGCACGUAUGAUUGCUAUCUGUUGGGCAAGAACACUUUGAGUGGUAGUCAAUGUCUGCAAUGUAUGGCAUAGGCCUCUAAACUCUGAAGCGGAUAUGGUGAUAGUAGACUCAGAUGGAGGAGGCGCUGAUGUAGCUGGUACGACUGGUGGAGUCUCAGGAGUAGUAGGAGGAGUAGAAGAUGUAGCCUCAGGCGUGGGCACUGUAGAAGGUGCUGUAGGGGCAGGUGGUAUGAUCUUUGCAGGUAUCUCAGCCUACUGUGCCUGCUGCGGCUGCUUGUCCUGUGGUAUCUCUGGAGGUGCUGGCCUAGUUGGGGCUUCUGGAAGUGCAACAUAAGUCGUCAAAUGAUUUCAUUUGUCGAGAGUGAAUAGCUCUCGGCAAAUGCAUCGAUGCUCAAGCUGAGGCUUAGAAAGAUAACCCAAAUGCUCUAAUAUCUAACAGAGUAGACUAGGAAAAAGUAAUGGAAUGGCAUCUGUUCUCUAUAGCUUCUUCCUGUGGACCUUCUCUUCAAAGUAAAGAAGAGAGGUCAUAAUCAAAUGAUGAGGGCUAAAGUAAAAACCCUCUGAUAUUGUGAAUAAGGCCUCUAAUAUGGCUCAUCUCCUCUGCACCAUAUGCUAAAGUAGAAAUAUGUUGGAGCGCAACACCACAUCCAGAAGAAACAUCCCAGGCGGAAGCUCCUUCCUAAAAAGAAAUGAGCGUGUAGAUGUCCCCCUGGACAAUAUACGGACCAUGUCCCUCUGAGAAAAAUGAGCCCACUCUCUAUAAUCUACUCACAAUCUCAUAUGGAAUGUGUAGGGCCUCUACAAUGUGUCUGGCUCUUAAGAUACCAUGGCGUCCAUCAAUAGUGAAGUGGAUGACAGUAGGAUCCCGGACGCGACGUGUAGUCAUAGAUUGAUAAAAGUCUAAUGCUACUCGGGGAUAGAAGAAAUCCCUAGGAGUCAUCAAGUGCUCCAAAUGGUAUCUCUGCAGUAGGUGGAAUGAAUCUCUGAGCUCCGGCUGGUGUCUGAAAGUCUCUUUAUCAAAGCAUAACUCGGAGUGGAAUGGCCUAGCUCGGCAAUCCAAAUUUCCCUCUAUAGGUGGCUGUGUAACCAUAGGUUGCCUAAUAAUCCCUUCCGGAGUCACCCUAGAAGGAAUUUGAGACUCUGUAGUAGGCGGCUGAGGUUGUGAAGGUGCAGAUGACUCUCCUGGACCUAAAACUCUGGCUCUCUUUGUAAGAGGGCGACAAAUUGAUUUCUUGGGACGUGAAUUACUUGCCCCAGGUGUAGUGGGUGGUCUCUUCAUCUCGUACCUAUGUUGAGAAGGACUAGACGACACUCCACCCUCAGAAGGUGGAAUGGCAGAGGCCUGUGGAGCCUCAAACAUGGAAUCUCGUGCAGGUAAAGCUCUCGGUCUAGUGUUGUGAGCUGAUGGAGACACGACUUGGGAUCCUCUCGUCUUGGCCAUGGCUAAAAUGGAGAAGCUCGUGUUCCAUAGGGUACGCGGAGUGCUCCUCUUCAGAUGCACGACUUCUGGGCUUCCUAUGGAGGGGAUCCUCUAAAAUUUUUGGGCUUCGCAAUUUGGAGGGUUUUUUUACAAGUUGGAGUGGCUGUGCGAAAUGAAAAAUGAGAGAAUCAGAGGUUUAAAUAGAAAUUUAAACGACGGUUGGUAUUUUCGCAAGUUGGAGGUGAUUUCGCAAGUUGGUCCAUUUCGCAAGUUGGUUCGCAACUUGAUUUGCAACUGUGAAAUUGGAUUUUGAAGUUGUGAAAUGGCACACGUGUGCCUAGGAGGUGUUUCGCAGGUUGCGAAAAUUUUCGCAAGUUGAAUAGUGAACUUGGGAAAUUUAGCUUUGAGGAUUUCGCAAGUUGGCCCUCAUUUUCGCAAGUUGAAAUAUUGCUAUGUUUUUCUCCUUCUUUGGUUCUUUAUGGCUUCCCUCCAAUUCCUUUGAAAUUCCUCCUGAUUUUGAUCAUUCAAAAAUUCUAAGCUAUAUCAAAAUAAAAUAAAUCAAAGCUAAAAUUAAAAUUAAAACAAUUAAUAAAGCUUUUAAAUCAACAAAAUUAAAACAAAAACAUGGACUUUGAUUAGUCUUCAAAAAGACUAAGUCCAUCUACCCCUCUUUUUGGUUAAGAUUUCUGUGGCUCAAGGAGACUGACUUCCUCCUUGUCUUGAUUGAAUGGCUCCAUGAAUGGUUUGAGACGAUGACCAUUGACUUUGAAAGUGUCCGUGCUGUUGGAAUUGAGUAGUUCCACUACUCCAUUGAGAUGCACUUGGUGAAUAAUGAAAGGGCCUAUCCACCUUGACUUUAGCUUCCCUGGAAAGAUAUGGAGCCUAAGAGUCAUAGAGUAAGACUCUCUGUCCCUUUCGAAAUUCUUUGUUGGAGAUUAACUGAUCAUGCCACCUCUUCAUCCUCUCUUUUGCAAUUUUGAAAUUGAUGUAGGCAUCAUUUCUCAAUUCCUCCAUCUCAUUAAGGUCUAAGCACCUCUUCAUCUCGGCUUUGUUCAAGUCCAUGUUUACCUUCUUAAUUGCCCACCAAGCCUUGUAUUCAACUUCCACAGGGAGAUGACAUGCUUUUCCAUAGACUAGGCGAUAAGGAGACAUGCCAAGAAUAGUCUUGUAAGCUAUUAUAUAUGCCCAUAGUGAAUCAUGGAGCUUAACAGACCAAUCUCUUCUGCUCGUGUUCACCAUCUUCAUUAAUAUAUUCUUGAUUUCCUUGUUUGCUAACUCAAUUUGUCCGGAAGUCUGAGGGUGGUAAGGUGUAGCUAUCUUGUGCUUCACCCCAUACUUGGCUAAAAGAGUUUCAAAAAGCUUAUUGCAAAAAUGAGUACCUCUAUCACUGAUUAUAGCCUUGGGCACCCCAAAUCUUGAGAAGAUGUUCUCUUUGAGAAACUUGAGAACAACUCUGUGGUCAUUGUGUUUACAUGGGAUUGCCUCAACCCAUUUAGAAACAUAGUCUACCCCCACCAAAAUGUAAGAGUUACCAAAAGACAUAGGGAAAGGUCCCAUGAAGUCAAUGCCCUAAACAUCGAAGAGAUCAACUAUUAAAAUGGGGUUCAUAGGCAUUUGAUUUCACAUGGUGUGAACAUCUUUGAAAAGUGAUGGCCAACUAAAACCUGAUUGCAACACCUUCAUGGCUGUUUUCUAAUAGGAAAAGUGGCCUCCACAUGCGCUUUCAUGGCAAUGACUGAGGAUUCCCUAUUGCUCUUGUUCAGGGACACACUUCCUUAUUAUUUGAUCUGCACAAUUGAUUACUACCCAAAAAGUGCUAUUUUACACCUUUAAUUCAUUAUGUUUUAAGCACUUUUGUGUAGUAGUUCUCCAUUCUUAUUCCAAUUGGCAUGUUAAGGACCUAGCAAUGACCUCUAAUCAUAUUUGUGGAUAGUUUUAGUAUUUUGACAGCUUUUUGGAUCAUUAAGACAAGCCAAGCAAAGGAGAGAAGCAAAGAGAAGCAAAGAGAGAGUGAAGAAAAUAGAAGACAACAGCUGCAGUCUUCCUUCGCACUUUUGGAGCACUUCCCGAAGUCCAUUUUCUAUAUUCUAUAUACCAUUUCAAAGCUCAGGAAGUCAAGAAUCCAACGCUUCAAAUCGUGUAUGAUUUGGAGCUGAAAUGAGGAAGAUAUGGCCUUCGGAAGACAACUGCUCCAGGCUUGUGCGAAAUUUCGCACAACACCUUCAGCUUGUGCGAAAUUCGCACAACACAUUUCCUUGUGCAAAAUUUUCGCACCAGCCCAUGCGUGGUGCGAAAUCUCCUCUGUUUUGCCAACUCCACAUGAGAUCUUUUCUUUUAGAUAUUUUUGUAUAAAUUUCCGUUCUUCUCCUUGUAAUCCACUAAUCAUAAGAUUUCUUAGCUAGGAAGGUUGGAAAAACUUCUCUAUAUAUAUUCCCUUGCAUCCAUUGUAAGAUAUACAGAUAUAGAUAUAGAGAUAUAGAUAUAUAAGUGUGUAAAAGAGAUCAAUAUAUAGAAUAUACAGAGCUUUGCUCUGUUUUUCCUUCUCUUUCAUUUUCAUUUUCUUGCUAGCCAAACUUUCUCUGAGAUGUUUUCUCAGAGGAUGAGUGGCUAGGCUUUUUGUUUCUUGGGUGAAGGAAGCUAGGUGAAAAGUCCAGAUGAAAAAGUGGAAAACUCUCGUGCGUUAAAUACAGGUAGUUGGAGUUCAUAAAUGGCUUCUAAAUCUAAAGUUUUGCUUUAAAUCCCUUAGAAUCACUUUGAAUGGCCAAUACAUGGUAAGCUUUAGGUCUCUGUGGAUGCUUAUUGCUAGAUCCAUAUCAGUCCAUUAGUUAUCAUGUACAAGCCAUUGGAAAGUGGUUCAAGGUGAAGACCCAUAGUGUCUAAAGCCAUUAAUGGAACUUGACUACCAUUUCUAUUGACUUUUUAUGGAUUAAAUCUUCAUUGUUAAACCUAUACUGGUUCGGGAAAUAACUAUAGGUUAAAUCCCCAAUGCGAGGAGAAAAAUCCGGAAUUUCCCACUUUGCAGUUGGCACUUGAUCCUAGUAACCUGAAAUCCCAAGAAACACCUUUCUUUCUAAUUUCUUUCUAGUUAAUUUUAGUUACUUUAUGUUAGGUUAGCUUAAUACCAUCCGUUUUCAUUCAAACUUAUGUCUUCUUUUAAAGCUAACAAAGAAAAGAAAAAGCACCAAUUCAGUUUUUGAACUAAUAUCAAUUGCGAAGUGAAAACCCAUCCCAGUGAACGAUCCUAGAGCCACUAUACUAUGCUAGCUAAAUGCUACCCCGGUAUAUGGUGAAAUAGGUUUAUAAAUUUUGUUGAUUACUCCCGUCUGAGGAUUGAGAUCAAAGCACAUCAAUUGAGUUGAAUCAAUUGGAACACCAAUUGGGCAUGAAUCAACAAUACUUGAAAAGAAAAGGUUCUUCCCAAUAGUAGGCAUGAAUUUUUGCAAAGAAGUGCUUCCUAUCUUGUGCUUUCCACUCACUUGGAACUUCACCAGUAACUAGAUAGUUAACAAUAUGAGCAUACCAAGGACCAUCUUCUAGCAACAUGAGUGACUCCUCCAGAAAAUCAUCAUUAAUAGGUAAAACAUGGGAAUUAUGUGCUAUAGCCAACCUUGAAAGGUGGUCAGCCACCACAUUCUCCACUCAUUUCUUAUCUUUGAUUUGGAGAUUGAACUCUUGUAGUAAGAGAAUCCAUCUAAUCAACCUUGCUUUUGCAUCUUGCUUUGUCAAUAAGUAGUUCAAGGCUGAAUGAUUAGUGAAAACCACAAUGAAAGACCCUACCAGAUAAGCACGAAAUUUGUCUAAGGCAAAAACUACAACCAACAAUUCUUUCUUUGUGGUUGUGUAGUUUCUUUGUGCUUCGUUCAAUGUUUUGCUUGCAUAGUAGAUCACAUAGGCCUUUCCAUCAUUUCUUUAACCAAGAACAGCUCCUAUAGCAAAGUCACUGGCAUCACACAUCACUUCAAAAGGUAGUUGCCAGCUAGGAGCCCUCACUAUUGGAGCGGUUGUCAAGAACCGCUUCAGGUGCUCAAAACUCUUUUGACAUCUCUCAUCCUAUACAAAUUUAGCAUCCUUACCCAAUAGUUCGCAAAGAGGCUUUGAAAGUUUAGAGAAAUCUUUAAUAAACCUCCUGUAGAACCUAGCAUGGCCAAGGAAUUGUCUUACUCCUUUUAGAGUUGUUGGGGAUGGCAAUUUGAUAAUAAGUUCUACCUUUGCUUUAUCAACUUCAAUGCCUUUCUUGGAGAUGAUGUGGCCAAGGACAAUUCCUUUCUGUACCAUAAAAUGACAUUUCUCCCAGUUAAGCACUAAGUCCUUUUUAAUGCAUCGGUUCAGAACCACUUCCAUGUUGACUAAGCACUCCUCAAAUGUACUUCCAUAUAUGGUGAUAUCAUCCAUAAAAACCUCCAUAAUACGCUCCACCAUAUCACUGAAAAUGCUUAGCAUACAUCUUUGGAAUGUUGUAGGUGCAUUGCACAAACCAAAAGGCAUUCUUCUGUAAGCAUAUGUUCCAAAUGGACAUGUGAAAGUGGCAUUCUCCUGGUCUUCAACAUCGAUUCUAUUUGAAAAUACCCGGAGUAGCCGUCUAAGAAACAAUAGAAAGGAUGGCCUAAGACUCUCUCCAACACUUGAUCAAUAAAUGGCAAUGGAAAAUGAUCAUUCCUUGUCACAACAUUCAAUUUUCUAUAAUCAAUACACACCCUCCAACCUUAAGUGAGGUGUGUAGCAACUUCUUCUCCCCUUUCAUUUUGCACCACUGUGAUCCCUGAUUUCUUUGGUACUACUUGAGUAGGACUCACCCAUGGGCUAUCUGAUAUGGGGUAGAUAAUACUGGCUUGAAGUAGCUUAAGAACCUCAGCUCGCACCACCUCUUGCAUAUUAGGAUUCAAUCUUCUUUGAGGUUAACGAAUUGACUUAGCUUCUUCUUCCAUGUAUAUAUGAUGUGUAUAGACUAAAGGACUGAUGCCUUUCAAGUCAAAUAUUUGCCAUCCUAUUGCUUUCUUACAUCUCCUGAGAACUUCAAGUAAACAAACCUCCUGAGGAGUAGUAAGAGAUGAAGAUAUAACAACAGGGCACUUCUUAUUCUCUUCUAGGUAUGCAUACUUCAACUCCGUGGGUAGGGGCUUCAGAUUAAGCUUUGGAGGCUCCUCUUUAACAGCUUCUUGUGCCUCCUCUUCAUUGACCAAAGGUAGAAUUUCUUCUAUCCUCUUCCAACCUGGUAGAGUAGCAAGCAAAUAUGAGGGUUUAGGCAACCCUUCAUCAAGAUCCCUAAGACUUUCAUUCAACUUCUCUUGCAUUUUCUGAUUACAAUGCUCCUCCACUAAAGUGUCAAUGAUGCACACCUCUUCUGGACCUUCCUUUUCUUCCGGAUUGAUUGGCUUUUUGGACAUAUAGAAGAUAUUGAGCUCCAAUGUCAUGUUGCCAAACGUGAGCUACAUGAGUUCAUUCCUACAAUUGAUGAUUGCGUUUGAUGUAGCUAGGAAUGGUCUUCCAAGUAUGAUAGGAACAUAAUUAGUUUCCUUAACAAUUGGGUCUGUAUCAAGAACAACAAAAUCCACUAGACAGUAGAAAUUGUCAACUUGAACUAAGACAUCUUCAAUUAUCCCUCUUGGAAUUUUCACUGAUCUAUCUGCUAGAGAUAGAGUGAUUGAUGUUGGCUUCAAUUCACCAAGUCCCAAUUGCUUGUAGACAGAGUAUGGUAGCAAAUUCACACUUGCCCCCAAGUCCAACAAAUCUUUCUCCACUACAAUUCCUCCAAUCAUCACUGAGAUGGUAGGGCAACCCAGUUGAACUUUGAUUUCGCAACUUGCGAAAUUGUCUUUCAACUUGGUGCAUUUGUCUUCCAAUGGCCAUAACUUCUUCAUUUCAACUCCGAUUUGACACCGUUUGAAGCAUUGGACUCCUGACUUCCCAAGCUUCAAAACGAUAUAUAGUAUGUAUAAAAUGGACUCCAAAAAGUGCUCGAAAUGUGUCCUGCAGAUGCUCUCCUCUUGAAUUUCUUCAUGUUAGAUUCCUCUUUCUGUAUUUCCUCCUUGCAUUCUUGAUUGGCUUUGGCAAAGGACUACAAAGCUCCAAAGCUUGGAUUCUUCAUGUAAAUGAGCUUCUAAUUGCUUUGCCAUGGACUAAACAGAGCUCUCCUUCAUUCUUGGAUUGCUUUGGUGAUAAAAAAGUUAUCAAAAACACCAAAACUUAACACAAUUUGAUUAGAAACACUUGCAAGGGUCCUUAACAUGUCAAUUGAGUUAAAGGGUAAUAACUACUACUCAAAAAUGUUUAAAAGAGUUAAUUAGAAGCUAUAAAAUAGCACUUUUUGAGUAGUAAUCAGGUCAUUCGACUUAUCUUGACUCAAUUUUGGCUUUGGUACUGUAUAAUAAACAUAAUGAAUAUGUUAUAUACUUUAUACUUGUCCUAACCACUCUAGCAUUUUUGGAGGAAUCUUAUAAAUUAUGCAUGAUAUCCAAGUACGCUUUCUAUCACUUACUUUUCAGAAUUUUAUGAACAUGCAUGUUGUUGUGAGCCUUAUCAAUGUUUGAUUCCAUCCUUAGGUGCCUAGAUGUUUGUUCAAUUUGCUCUGAUUAAAUACAUGUCAUGUUCUAUAUUUUUGUGUUAACUUUAAUGUCUUGUGAUAACGCUUGAGAGGCAGUUCAGGUACACAUCCUAACCCUCCUUUGCAAUUGUGAUUUGAUUUCUUUUUUUGGCAUGCUAGUUUUGAAAUCACCUUAGCCUACCUAAGUACCUCCAAUCAAUUGAUUAAUUGUCACUUUUCCCUCAACUUAGUCAUUAAAGACCUCUUUAAGGCUUAGAGGGGUGCUACCUUUUAGAGAUACCUUCUCAAUAGGUAACCUGAUCCCCGAACCAAGACUUGGGUUUUUCAAGACUUGCUUUUCCUAAACCAUGGAGUCACUUUUUUAGGGUUUUCUUUCUUGUUUUAUUGUCCCUUUUAAAAUAAAAUAAAAUAAGUGGCAACUCCAAUUUAUCAAAACUAAUUUUUCACUAAAUAAAAAUGAGUCUUGCCGUUGAGUGGGGACACAAGUGAAAAAUGCGGGUCCAUAGGGCAUUCUGUUUAAAGAACAUUAUUCUUCCCAUUAUCUUCAACCUAUAUUUUUUCAUGUUUGCCUACAAUUAUACACAUUUACUAAACACAUCAGGAAAUUCUAGAAUUCAGGGAUAUUAUUAUGCAUAUCACAUAUCAGUUGUGAAGAAACCUAACUUACAAUGUCAACUGUUCAUGAAAACCCACCCAUUGACAAGUAUUCCAUGAAUUUCAUCACAAAUACACCAUAAUCAUACAUAUCACAAGUUGAUGAGAAACUCUUUACCAAUUAUAAUGUUGAAUUAUUAAGUAAUUAUAAUUUAAAAAUAACAUUGAUGUGCAUAUGGAGGUGACAAAAUCUUAUUCAUUAGUCUAGCAUGGGACAUCAGCCAUUACAAAAUUGAGUGUCCUCAAAUCAAAAUCCGGCACAUCCAUUUUAUAUGCAAUGAGACAUAGGACAAUAUUUGACUGAAGCACAAAACAUAAGGUUGUGUGUUUGGUGUAGUGUGAGUUGUAAAGGAAAUAAAUAAAACAUUCAAUUUUCUAACAUUUAUUAUAGUAGCAUAUUUAAGGUUAUAUGAUACCAAAUUAUGAAUGAGUGUUGUCAUUUGUUUCUUCUUCCUUCUCGAACGAGGCUCUAGUCGUUAGAUUCUCCUAUUAAGGAGAUUGUACACUAGAAGACUCCAAUGGUUCUUCACUAGAGUGGGUAGGAACACCUAUCACCAUAAUGGGAUCUCAUUAUGUAUACAAACGAAAUAAUGAAAAAAGGUUUUACAAUUAUUUCAUAUUGUAUUAAUUAACGACUUUUCAUCAUCCGUCACAUUUUUUACAUUUGAGUAUGAGAUAUCCAAGUCAGACAUUACACUUCCAAACCGGGUGAUGAUGUAACUCUAAAUACAUGGCUUUGGAAUGGACAACCAUCUACUACAAAACAAAAAUUUACCAUUUGUGUUAGCCGUUUUUGCAAUAAGUUUUUUCUAUGCAACUUUUGCAACCAUUAUUAUGUAAAUAAUAAGUCCAAUAUUUAACAAUAUCUAAGGAACAAUUUUGUUUGGGUUAGGUCCUCAAAUUACAUCAUCCGGUUGUAGACAUCCAUCACCUAAUGACAUCAUACUAACAAGUUAGGAAGUUACUACAUUAGUAACCUAAUGAAAGGAAAUAAUUAAUUAUCCUGCAUAAAGAUGGGAAAAGGUGCAACAAAUUAUCAGAUGAUAUGCUACAAGCCAUAAGAGACCUCCAGUUUGAAGGUCUCCUCUCCAUUCAAUGCCAUGAGUUGAGUCAUAACCUCCGCUUGUGGUUGAUCUAACAUUUUAACAUCAGAUUUAGGAGGUUGGACAUAAGCCAUGACAAUUAAAUCAAGAUGACAACAAUUAUUAUUUGGGACAUACUUGGCUUGCCAACAUGUGGUCAAAGACUUCAUGUAGGAUCCACCACAUCUGAGCAUCCAUUUGCAACAUUUGGAGCUGAAAAGAACAACUCCCUUCCCUACCUGUAGCAUAGGAGUUUCGGAGGGCCUUCACAUUUUAUGCUUAUUCCACACUACUGCCACCAACAUCUAAGAUUGAUGGAUGUUGAGAUUUAUGACACAUAAUACAUGAAGACACUUUCCGUAAAGACAUCAAUUAGGGGCAAUUUGUGAUGGAUGAACUAGUUGAGGGAAUGAGAUAGUUUCAGCAAUCCAAAAAACCAUGGGUUCCUAGAUGCCUACUCUUCCUAUAGGUCUUCUACUCAAUUUCCUUUUAUUUCCUUUUUUUUUUCUAUUAUCAAGAGCUAAUUCAUAUGUUAUAAUAUUUUGUUACUUUAUGCAAUUGUUCUAUCUUAUGAAAAUAAGAAUCCUUUCUAUUGAAUUCCUGCAAAUGGUGCCUCGUGCCUCUGCUUGGAAUGAUGAGGUUUAGUUCGUUUAGACUCAGUUGAAAUAUGAUUACUUAAAUCAAUUUUUUUUAUAUACAAAUGGUUGAGGACUUAGCAGAACAAGCAACACAUCCAGAACUAGAAAAUAUCAUUGUAAGUAUGGCUUGGCAAUGAAUCUUAUCAUAGGGAGAAAUUAAUAUAGAAAGGCCUACCUAUAACUACUUGUACAUUAUAUAUCUACUUAUUGAGCAAAUUUCUUUUUUGAUUUUAUGAAGUACCUUUAUAGUUUUAAAAUUGUUCUUACUCACAUAUAGAGCUUAAUGAUAAAAUUGAGUUCCUUGGUCUUUUCUAACUUCUUAAUUGCUAAAUUUAUCAUAGAGAUAUUACUUUGAAGAUAUUACAUGACAUUCUAGUAUGUGCAUAGAUUGUACUUAAGUCAUUAUAUGAUGUCCUGACUACUAAUAAUUAAAUAAUGUGAUAUUAGUACUUGUAAGAAUUUAUUAUAGGGAGAAUUGUGUUUGGGGCCCAGCUGGGCCCAAAAAUUAACAUUUGGUCCAUAAAUCAUGUAUAUUUAAGCUCAAGACCCAAACAAAGUAUGAAAAUUAAAAUGAAGGAUAUUGUCUUUCAUUAAUCCCUAAAAUACCCUUAACCAUUGCAUAGACACAAGUGUGUGAAUUUCAAUUUUUUUGUAAUUUUUUUCCCUUUUCUAUUUCCUAUUAAAUAUUACUCAUUUCUAACUUUUUUUUCCUUUUCUUCCAAUCUAUAUUUCUAUUUUAUGUCAAAUAAAAAGCAAUAAUGUUUUUUGUUUUUCAUUUUUAAAUAUAUUGAAUCUUUUUGCUCUUAUUAUAAGCAAUGAUAAAAAUUUUGGAUUUUUCAUCCAAAUAUUUUUUAUCUUUAGUUUAAUUUUCAUUUUUUAUUUUAAAUUUAUAUUACCCUUUCAUUUAUAUUUUUCUCUUAUUUUUAGUUAUUUUUUAUAUUUUCUACAUUAACCAUAUUUUAAAAAAUUUAAAAAUUGACUAUCACUUCACUUUAUUAUUAUUAUUAUUAUUAUUAUUAUUAUUAUUAUUAUUAUUAUUAUUAUUAUUAUUAUUAUUAUUAUUAUCAUUAUUAUAUAUAUCCUUUUAGCUUUUUAAUUUUUAGUUUUUUUAUUUUUAAAUUUUUAAAAAGAUAAAUUUAUUGAAAAAAAAUAAUUAAGAUAUGAAGUUCUAAUAUUAUAUUAAUAAUUUUUCUUAUCUAGAUAGACUAAUGCAAAGUGUUUUGACUCACAACAAGAAAAUUGUCAAUACAAUUUUUUAGUUGAACUUUAGAAAUUAAAUUUCAAAUAAAAUAUAUUAUAUAAAAUUUUAUCUAAAAAUUAUUGAAAGUGGUAUUUAAUUUUUUUUUAUUGACUUUCAAACUUAUCUAAUUUUUUACUUGAAAGGUAAUAGAACAAGUUUACAAAAAAAAAAAAAAAAAAAAUUAGUUUUUCAUUUUUUAAAUAAAUGAGUAUAAAUAUAUUAAAAGAAUUAAAGAUAAUCUUAGUAAAAAAUUUGAUAAAUAUAAUUAUAAUUUUAAAUAUAGAUUCAUUUGGAUAAAAUUUCACCAAAAAAAAAAAAUAGUGGAAAGAAAGAACAUUGCUAAAACUACAAAAACAAAAUAUGCAAUUACAAAAUUUUGAUGAUGAAAUUUAAAAAUAAAAGUUGAAACAAUUCUUGAGUGAGAGAAUUUGAGUGGGGAAAAAAAAUCUUUGAGUGGAAAAAAUGGGAAAAAUUUUCAAAAUCACUUGAAAUCCUUAACAAAAAGUAGUGUUGUACACCCUUAUACAAUUAGUAAAUUUUUCUUGUACAGUCAGUGUAAUACCCUUGUACAAUAACUCAAAUUUCAUACAUCAUCUCAUGAGUAUCUGACAAUAGGUUGGUUAACCAUGUUUGCAUUGCUUUGGUUUUAAAAAAGAAGAAAAAUUGUUGUAUAAUUUUGUUUUACAAUCAUCAUAAGUGAGGUACCUAUUCAAAUGACCAUAUACAAGUUAGAUAAAGUGCAUGAGAUGAAUGUAUGCUUAACCAAUGUGUGUAAGGAAUGUCAUUUAUCCUUGGUUAGGGGAAAUAAACAAAUUUUUUUUUCAGAAUCACUUAAAAUCCUUCACAAAUAAUAGUCUUGUACACCCUUGUAUAGUUAGUAUAUUUGUCAUGUACACUUAGUGUAAAUACCUUGUACAGUGACUCAAAUUCCAUAUACCCCAUACUAAAUAUGUAACCAUAGGUAGGCUAACCAUGUUUUCAUUGGUUUGUUUAAAAAAAUAGUGGAAGAUGGAAAAACAAAAUUUUAUCUCAAACAUUAUUAGUGGGAUAAGUAUUUGAAUUAUCAUGUGCGAGUUAAAUAAAGUGCAUAAGAUGAGUGUGUAAGCAAGUUAAAUUCCAUAUACCCCCAAAUUUAUUUACUUAUUUCAUUUUAUUUAUUUAAAUUAGAAAGUAAUUUAUUUUAAUAGAUUAAAAUGUGCACAAUUGAUUUAUUACUUUGUUAAUUAUGGAUAUAUUAAAAUUUUAUAUUAGACAAAAAAUAAAUAAAGAAAAUAAAAUUAAAAAGAGUAAUAAAUAUAUAUAAUUUAGUUAUUUAAUUAUUUUUCAUGUAAAAGAUAGUCCUACAAAAAACACUUAAUUGAUCAAUUUCUUUGUUUAAUUGUAAACAUACUAUAUUUUUUUAUUAUUAAAAUAACUAAUGGAAAAAAAUAAAAAAUGAAUAAUCAAUUAAUGAAAUUUAAUUUCUUUUUAUUAUUUUUAUAUAAAAACUAGUACUAAACAAGGUUUUCAAUUUUUAUUUUUAAAAAUAGUUUUCAUUUUUUAAUUAAAUGUUUUUUCAAAAAGAAAAUAUAAAAAAUAUAAAUCAUAUUACCAUAUUUUUAGAAAGUAUUUUUUAAAAUAGUUUUUGAACAUAAUUUUUCUUUAUUUAUAAUUUAAAAUAGAAAAUAAUGCUAAUUUCAAUUAUUAAUAAAAAAAAUUAAAAACAAUGAAAAAUCCAAAUUGUUAAAAUAGAAUUAUUAUGGUUGUAUGAAUAGUGGUGCAAUAAAGACAAAAAAACUUAUGUGAAAGGUCAUUGGGUAUUUUAGUUCAUCACUAUUUUAUAUCCUUAAAAGGUAAUAUAUAGAAAUUUGAAGGAUAUAUUAGUCUUUUAACAUCUUAUAUCAUUUUCAUCAAUUAUGGAAGUUAUAUGGAUCAAAUGUUAAUUUUUGGACCUAGAUAGGCCCAAAACACAAUUCUUCCUUUAUUAUAUGUUGCCUAGCAUGCACAUUUUUGCAUUCAAUGCAUAACAUGUUUAUCAUGCAUGUAACACUCAUAGAUAAGAAUUUUUUGGUUCAUGAUUAUAUAACACUACCUUUAUUAACACUUUUCAAAGGUUUUACAUUGAAUUCCCAUUAGUUGCUACUAAUUUCUAUCCUCAUACCCAAGUGAAAGGGAUCAUAAACAUAAGCAUAAGAUCAAAUUUUAAAAAUAAAAUUCAAAUGGUGAAAAAAGAAAAAAAUAACAAGAAAUAAAUAGUAAUAGAAUAUUCUUAUUUAAACCAUAUACUAAAGGGACUUAAGGUUUAGGUUCCUUUGGUUAUGUUAUUCCAUGUUUAUAAUUUAUGAUUGUUGGUUUAUUGAUUUAAAUUAAAGAUUAGUAUAUAUAUAUAUAUAUAUAUAUAUAUAUAUAUAUAUAAUGCAUAUUAGAUGUCUUUUAAAAAAAAUAUAUUUGAGUGUUUGUUUUGAUCCAUUUAUAUGCUAGAUGCUUUUAAAAGAAUUUUUAAAUUUUUUUUGAUAAUUUAUUAUGCUAGAUGCUUUUAAAAAAUUCAUUAAGUGUUUAGUUUGAUAAAUUUAUAUGCUAGGAGCUUUUAAAAAACUUCAUUGGGUAUUUGUUUUGAUAAUUUAUAUGUUAGAUGCUUUUAAAAAAUACAUAGAAUGUUUGUUUUGGCAAUUUAUAUGCUAGAUGCUUUUAAAAAAUUAAUUGAGUAUUCAUUUUGUUAAAUUUAUAUGCUAGACCCUUUUAAGAAAUUCAUAGAAUGUUUGUUUUGAUAAAUUAUAAGUUAAAUGCUUUUAAAAAAAUUCAUUGAGUGUUUGUUUUGAUAAAUUUCUAUUCUAGGAGCUUUUAAAAAAAAUUCAUUGAGUGUUUGUUUUGAUAAAUUUCCAUUCUAGGAGCUUUUAAAAAAAAUUCAUUGAGUAUUUGUUUUCAUGAAUUUAUAUGCUCGAAGCUUUUAAAAAAUUCAUUGAUUGUUUAUUUUGAUAAUUUAUAUACUAGAUGUUUCCAAAAAUCUUUGAGUGUUUUUUUUUAUACAUUUAUAUGCCAAAUAUUUUAAAAAAAAAAUCAUUGAGUGUUUGUUUUGAUAAAUCUAUAUGUUAGAUGCUUUUUAAAAAAUUCGUUGAGUGUUUGUUUUGAUAAUUUAUAUGCUAGAUGCUUUUUAAAAAAAAUUCAUUGAGUGUUUGUUUUGGUAAAUUUAUAUGCUAGACACAUUUAAGAAAUUCAUAGAAUGUUCAUUUUGAUAAUUUAUAUGUUAAAUGUUUUUCAAAAAAUUGAUUAAGUGUUUAUUUUGAUAAAUUUAUAUGCUAAAUGUUUUUAUUAAAAAUAAAUAUUGUACAAUGUUUGUUUUGAUAAUUUACAUGCUAGGAGCUUUUAAAAAAAUUCAUUAAGUGUUUGUUUUGAUCCAUUCAUAUGCUAUAUGCUUUUAAAAAAAUAUAUAGAAUGUUUGUCUUGAUAAUUUAUAUGCUAAAUGCUUUCAAAAAAUUCAUUGAGUGUUUGUUUUUACAAAUUUAUAUGCUAGAUGUUUUUUUUUUUUAAAAAUUGAUUAAAUGUUUUUUUGGAUAAAUUUAUAUGCUAGAUGCUUUAAACAAAAUUAAUUAAGUGUUUGUUUUGAUAAAUUUAUAUGCCAAAUACUUUUCAAAAAAAAAAUAAAAUCUUUGAGUGUUAGUUUGAUUAAAUUUUCAUGUUAGUAUUUUUUUUUUAAUUCAUUAGAUGUUACAUUUGGUUAAAUUGUUAGCUUUUCUUAUUUUGAUACUUAUUUAGUAGGCUUCUUGAGGAUUGCUUAAGUUCAAACCUUUUUACAGAAAAAACUUUCUUAAUUCAUUUUGAGAUGAGUCAAAAUUUCUUUUCAAAAAUGAAUUUUCUCCAUCAUGAAUGAGGCUCCUUAAUUCCAAAUGAAAGGUAGCCAAAAGAGGGAUCCAAGUUGAUUUUUUUUUUUCAAAUUUUUUUAAGUUAGAAAUAAAAAAAUGCCUAUUUUGUGUCCAGUGUUUUGGAUUUAUUAAUUCCCUUUGUUCUGUUUGUUCCUCUUAAAAAUUAUUUUCAAAAUAAUUUAAAUCAUCUAAAAAAACUUAUAAAAGAAAAAUCUAUUCUAGGUUUAGGGCAAAGAAUCUCACUUUCUUUUAAAACAUGCAACUCAUUUCAUCUAAGUUGCAUUCUUCACUUCUUGAUUUUCCAAAACUUUGUUUUGAUUCAACUUAUAAGGACAGCUAGUAUUCAUGCAAAAAAUCAGCAUGAGAAUUUGUAACUGCAUUUGAUCAGCUAGUUUAGGAAAUCUGCACAGCUCACUCUUACCUUUAUUUUCACAUACGUUAGCACAAGUUUAGGAGUAAUUUUUGUUUCUCAAAUCUGUAUUUAUACCUCUUCUUCUAAUAAGAAUCGGGUGAAUCAUUUUGUCUAAACCUCUAUAUGGUAUCAGAGCUGGGGACACUGAAGUCAGAAUUGCACUUAGAAUAAGUUUGUCCUGACGGAACCAAAGGUGAUGAGCUGUAGUGGCAGCUGCAUCAGUUGACGUCGGUAGGGGUGGGCAGGUAUGAGUGCCAUCGACAUAGCCAAAGAGGUUAGAGCCGAGGAGGAGAGACUCAAAUUGAGCAUGCCAUGAAGGGAAGUUGGUUGGUGUGAGACGUGCAGUAAUUUGCUGGGUGGCAUUGAUGGCUAUUGGAAAACUAUCAGAGGAAGAAGUGGCCAUAGCAGAAGCGAGAAAGACAGGAAAUACUCGUUGGAGUUUUGAGGCGUUAAUCUGAUACCAUAUAGAGUGGUAUUGGCAGUAACUACCAAGGAUUGAGCAGUGGAGUCAAGCCUUCGAAGAUAUGCCUCAUGACCAAGUAACAGAUCAUGUAAUUCUUCAAAGGAGAGUGAAGACUCUUGGGCUCGAAUUGGGGCAACAAUGUCACGAAAAUCCGAUCCUUAGCCAUGAAGAACAUAUAAGGUGAUGUCAUCUUGAGAUAAUGGGGCAUCGAUGAGAGCAAGCUCAUCGGCAAUGGUUUUUACAGAGUGUAGGUACUCUGUUAAACUGCGAUUGCCACGUUGCAUGAGAGUGAGAUCUUCUUUGAGCUGCAUGACACGAGUCCUGGAUCGACUAGCAUACAGUUUUUUCAGUUUUGUCCAGGCUUGAUGUGACGUCUUUGAGGUUGCUAUGAGUGGUAUCACAGCUGGGGACACUGAAGUCAGAAUUGCACUUAGAAUAAGUUUGUCCUGACGGAACCAAAGGUGAUGAGCUGUAGUGGCAGCUGCAUCAGUUGACGUCGGUAGGGGUGGGCAGGUAUGAGUGCCAUCGACAUAGCCAAAGAGGUUAUAGCCGAGGAGGAGAGACUCAAAUUGAGCAUGCCAUGAAGGGAAGUUGGUUGGUGUGAGACGUGCAGUAAUUUGCUGGGUGGCAUUGAUGGCUAUUGGAAAACUAUCAGAGGAAGAAGUGGUCAUAGUAGAAGCGAGAAAGACAGGAAAGACUCGUUGGAGUUUUGAGGUGUUAAUAUGCCCAGUCCGCAUCACUAUAGGUCUUGAGUUGGAAUUGAUCAUGCUUUUGGAGAAGGAUACCAUGAAACAUGGUCUGUUUAAGAUAUCUGAGUAGUCUUUUUGCUGCGGCCCAAUGGUUUGUUGUCGGCUUCUGCAUGAACUGAGAUAAUCUGUUGACUGCAAAGGCAAUAUCGGGACGAGUGAGCCCCAAAUACUGAAGUGCUCCAAUGAUCUUGCGAUACUCAGUGCUGUCAACACAUUCGGAAUUAUCUUGAACCGUAAGCUUGGCUGUAGUGGACAUUGGAGUGAGUGUUUCUUUAGGUUGCACAAGAGCUGGAUCUUCACUUGGAGUCGAAGAAGCAGAGAGGAUAACUCCUUGAGCCCGUGUGAUUGCUGGAAGCUCCCUGGAAGCAAGCUGCAAAAUUGGUCCUGAAAAAGAAGAGGUUUCUGGUGGGGAUGAGUCAAUGGGUGAUUGCAUGGAAACCUGUUUGAAGGGGUAAACAGAUUCAUCCAAGGUUACGUGUUUGGAGGUGUAUAUGCCCUGACUUUGUAGAUGAAGACAUAGAUAUGCACUUUGGCUAGUAGAGUAGCCAACAAAGAUACAAGGAACAGAUUUCUUUUGAAAUUUGUUUGUGUUAUACGGCUUCAUCAAGGGAAAGCAGAGACAUCCAAAGGAACGUAAUUUUUCAUACCGAGGUUGUUGCUUGAAGAGAGCUUGAAGAGGUGAUUUAUGAUGAAGAACAGGUGAUGGAAGUCGAUUGAUUAGAUAUGUGGCUGUUACAAAAGCAUAAGCCCAAUAUUCUGAUGGAAGAGAGGCAUGACUUAGAAGGGUUUGACCUGUCUCCACAAUAUGGCGAUGACGACGCUCAGACACUCCAUUUUGUUGGGGUGUAUAAGGGGCUGUCGUAUAAUGACUAAUGCCAUGGGUGGUGAAAAAGGGUCGAAGAGCAGUGAACUCUCCUCCAUUAUCGGAAUAAACUCCUUUAAUUUUUAUGUUAAAAUGAGUUUCAAUCAUUUUGUAGAAAUGAGGAAAUAUGGUUUUAACAUCUGAUUUUUGAUGCAAUGGAAAGAACCACACAUAUUUGGUAAAGUGAUCUACAAAAAUAACAUAAUAUUUGUGGCCAUUGAGACUAGGAGUGGGAGAAGGUCCCCAUACAUCAGUGUAAAGUAAAUCAAAUGGUGUUGUGCUAGUUAGACCAUGUUUAUGAAAGGGUAACUGAUGAGCUUUAUUGAUAGAACACGAAUGAUAAUUAUUAGAACCAGAAAGACAUGAAGUGGUGGGAAGGGAGAACGAACUAAUGAGGCGAGUGACAACUUUGAAUGAUAGAUGACCAAGGCGCUGAUGCCAACCAGCGACUGAUGUGCGUUCAUGGACAAAAGUAAUUGGAGUAGCAGCAGGCGAUGAGGGCAUAGGGUAGACUCCAUUUUCACACGGUCUUUGAAGAAGAAUCUCCCCCGUUCUCCGAUUCUUCACAAGAAAAUAAGUUGGGUGAAAUUCCAGGAUAACAUUGUUUUGCUUUGUGAAGUGGUGAACAGAUAUCAAGUUUUUGUUAAUGGUAGGAACACAUAGAGUAUCUUCAACUUGAAAUUUUCUGUUUGGAAAUGAAAGAGUAAGAGAACCGGAAUGAGUAAUGGGCAAACCUGAUCCAUCUCCAAUAAUAACUUCAUCAGUACCAUCAUAUUCAGAGUGAAAUUGUAAAUUUGAAACCUGAGAAGUGAUAUUAUGGGAAGCCGCAGAAUCAAUGAGCCAACGUUUGUUUGGACUGGAAGUGGUAGUUGUGCAGUUCACAGUGGCGUCAGAGGGUUUCAAUUUCGGACAGUAUUUUGCAAUGUGGCCUUGUUGAUCACAAUAUUGACACCUUGGAGGGUACUUGUAUUGUUUCGAUUGUCGAGACUUUGAUCUGGAGUCAUUCUUGGAUUGUUGAUAAGUUGAUGAAGACUGAUUCUUUGAGGAGCGUGAGUCCCUGUGUUGAGUGGUAUUGGCAGUAACUACCAAGGAUUGAGCAGUGGAGUCAAGCCUUCUAAGAUAUGCCUCAUGACCAAGUAACAAAUCAUGUAAUUCUUCAAAGGAGAGUGAAGACUCUCGGGCUCGAAUCAGGGCAACAAUGUCACGAAAAUCCGAUCCUAAGCCAUGAAGAACAUAUAGGGUGAUGUCAUCUUGAGAUAAUGGGGCAUCGAUGAGAGCAAGCUCAUCGGCAAUGGUUUUUAUAGAGUGUAGGUACUCUGUAAUGCUGCGAUUGCCACGUUGCAUGAGAGUGAGAUCCUCUUUGAGCUGCAUGACACGAGUCCUAGAUCGACUAGCAUACAGUUUUGUCCAGGCUUGAUGUGACGUCUUUGAGGUUGCUAUGAGUGGUAUCACAGCUGCUUUCAUCACAUUCAUUGGUCCUAAUCCAAUCUCAUGGUCUGCACGUAAGCAAAGGGCAAUCUCAAGAUCAUCUACAGAAGCAGAGUUUCGGGCACUAGCUACUGCCACAUCAGAAACAGUUUGGCUUCAUUCUCUUAUCAAGGAACUUGGUCUCACUCUCAGAGAAGCACCUCAAAUGUUUUGUGAUAAUAUUGGCGCCAACCAUUUCAGUUUAAAUCCAGUCCAGCACACACGGAUGAAACACAUUGACAUUGAUCUCCUCUUUGUACGAGAUCUUGUCAAAAAGGGAACUAUUCGUGUUCAGCACAUCCAUACCAUUGAUCAACUAGCUGAUCUCCUUACCAAAUCACUCUCACGUCAACGCUUUCAACUAUUAAGAUCCAAGAUUGGUGUUGCAGAUGGCACCUCCAUCUUGAGGGGGCAUAUAAGGACAGCUAGUAUUCAUGCAGAAAAUCAGCAUGAGAAUUUGUAACUGCAUUUGAUCAGCUAGUUUAGGAAAUCUGUACAGCUCACUCUUACCUUUAUUUUCACUUACGUUAGCACAAGUUUAGGAGUAAUUUUAGUUUCUCAAAUCUGUAUUUAUACCUCUUCUUCUAAUAAGAAUCGGGUGAAUCAUUUUGUCUAAACCUCUAUACAACUAGGUUUGAACUUGUGCAUUCAAGCUAAUGGGAAUAUUUUUUUGGCCUUGAAGCAUCUUUUCAUUCGAGGUUGAGAAUGCCCAAAUUAAGCUUAUGAAUAUUGAAUGAGAACUUGAUAGAACCCCUAUAUGAAAGAUUUUUAAAACUUAUCUUUGCUGCCAAUUUCAACUCAGCUAAUAAUGCUUUAGUUUAAAAUUUCGUUUUGAUUUUUUUUUUUGUAGUGUAUUAAAAAAAAUUUCCGAAAUUGUAUGAUGUUACUCACUUCUUAAGUUGAUUUUGGAAUGUUAUUUGCAUUAAAAAGCUUUUCCCAAAGUUGAGUUAUUUAGUUGGUUACAUACCUCGUAUAGUUGAUGUCUUUAUAAGUUCAAGCCAUGUAGAUACCAUACAUGUUAGGUUUUACUCUCCUAAUUAUUUUUCAUUAUCUUUUAUCUUUCUUUAUUUGUAUUGAAAGUUCAUUGCAUUUAAGAUAUGAUAUUCAGGUACACUCUCAACUCUUCAACUUUUUUUAGUUACAUAAGAAAUAUUUUGUGCGAACUUCAUCCAUGUCUGAUGUUAUCCUUGACUGCUACUUGAUUUUCGUUUAAGAUGUAUAUAUAUAUAACCUAUUGUCUUAUGAUAGCAUUUUAAGAUGUACUUCAGGUAUGCUUGCUAACCCUGCUUUAUGUAUGUGAUUGAGAUUAUUUGUUUAUUUGUUUAAUAUAUUAUUAGAAUUUAGGUAAAUAUCUUAGCCUUCUUUGGUAUCCUUAAUCAAUUAGUUAAUUAUUAUACUUCCCUCAAUAUACUCAAAAAAGACUUUUUUAAGGCUUAGAGGGGUGUUACCUUUUUAAGGUACUUUCCUAAUAGGUAACUUGAUCAUCGAACCUAGACUCAGGUUUUUUAAAGACAUCAUUUUCUAAAAUUCAAGGAGUUAUUUUUCUUAGGGUUUUAGUUUCUUAUUUUAUUUUUCCUAUAACAAAUAUAUAAAAACAAGUGGUGACUCCAAAUUUUAAUAAAAAAAAUACAAAUUUUCACUUUUAAAAGUUAAGUCUUGUUGACGAGUAAACACGUGUGAGAAAUGCGGGUCCGUAACCGUCCUCAAGUUUAUUGACAAAUAACUUGAUAGUAGUUAAGUUCAGGUUCUAUUUAAAGACUAUGAACUUAACUACCUUCAAGUUUGUACACAAAAUGACUUGACAAUAGUUAAGUUCAAAUUAAAAUGUUAACUGUAAAUAUAACUUCCUAUGAGUCUAUACAAAAUCAAUUGGAUACUUAUUAAGUUCAGAUUAAAUAUGAUACUCUGGAAUAGACUUGGACUUCACAUCUUUCAAGUUUUUUAAUAGUUAACUAGCUUCAAGUUUGUACACAAAACAACUUGACAAUAGUUAAGUUCAGUUUAAACUAUCAACUGUAGACAUAACUUCCAAUGAUUUUAUACAAAAUCAACUUGAUACUUGUUAAGUCCAGACUAAGUUUGAUAACUUUAUAAUAGACACAACUUCUUACACAUAUGUCCACAAAUAAUUUGUUGCUUAGAAAGUCUAUAAUAAUAUUAUUGAUAACUUUAUAAUAAUCUUGUUAUUCAAUUAGAAACUUGCUAUCAUGAAACUACAUUUAAAUUUAUAUUGACAUAUAUCAAAAUAUCCAACUACAUAUAUUAAAAUGUCUAACUACAUAUAUCAGAAUAUUCAACUACAUAUAUCAAAAUAUCCAGUUACAUUUAUCAAAAUAGCAUACCUCAAUCUAUAUGAGUUAUUGGAAAAUUUUUCAUAUAAAAUAACUUUGCUGACAUUUUCUCUCGAAACCAAUCCAUAUGAGCCCUUGUUAGUGAAUUGAAUGGAUGACUAUGCAUCAAGUAUUUAACAUACUUGAUUACAAAUAUUCCAAAGUCACUACUGCAUGAUACACCAAUUGAAAAAUUGGUAUUGCUUAAAUACCACUUGAAUAAUAAUCGAAAAUCCAAUAAAAAACACUUAAAGGGUGGGUGAAUUGGUGAUUUCAAAAUUUAAAACGAAAAAUUUAAAUUAUGACCAACUCUUCUUACUUUAAUAUCUAACUAGGAUAUCCUAAAUAACAAGACAUACUAUACCUAAAAUCUUUAGGUUAACAAAAAUAUAAUUUUUCUUUUAAGGAUACCUUACAAUUGGUUAAGGAUAAAGAUAAUGAAUUUGUUGAUAUUUGAAAUAUGUUAGAGAAAACGAUAAUCACCAUAAUAACUACCCUGACAAACUCAAUAACAACCUCCACAACUUAAUUGAAAGAUAUCUUGAGAGAAAUUAGGGAUAACAACAAUUGUUUAUAGGUAUAACCACAAUAAUCACCAAGAUAACCAAUCCAACAACCUCGAAAGCAAUUUAACCAAUCAAUCCAAGAUAUUUAAUAUCAUCAACCAGAAUAUAAACAAUAAUAAAAAGAUAUGCAAUGAGGCAUAAGAUUUUUACGUGGAAAUCAAGUUAUAUAGAUUUACCUAGCCACUUUAAUUACCCUAAUGACUUACUCUUCAGUACCUAUAACUUGAUUCACAUUCACAACACAACAACUACUUAUUGCUCCCUAUUAGGUCCUUCGAUCCUUCUAAAGGGAUUGAGGUUUUCAACCAACAAUUCAAAGAUCCAAAUUCUUGAAUGAAAGAUCAGAAAUGGUGUGGCAAUAAGGCUUUUCUCAUGAGAAGUCCCUCUCUAAGGAAUAAGAUGUCUCUCAAACUUUAGGAUCUCUAUGAUCUAAAAAAUCUCCAAUCUCUAACCCUCAAGGGGUUCCAAGGGAGGUAUUUAUAGGCAAAAUCCAUAAGAGUUUUGGUAUCUCAAGUUUCGAAAUUAGAGUUUGAAUAAAAUUCAUCAAAAUAAUGUUUCUAAACUCGGCAGGAUUGACACAAUCGCUUGAGCACUCUAAUCACUCAAGUGAGAUUAAUUGAUUAAGCAUUCUAACCGCUUGAGCAUCCCUUGCUUUUUGAAAAGAAUUUUAAAAAUAUUAGACCCAAAAAUGAUGCCAAAACUUUUAUACCUCAAAUAAGCCUUAUAUCCCACAAGUCAAACCUUUUUAAACAUACUUGUGACUUCCCGAUUGGACAAAUAACAACCCUUGAUCUUCAAUGGAGAGUAAGACACUAUCUAAAAAAACUUCUAUGGUCAAAUAUAAAUCGAAACAAAAUUGCCAACAAAUACAUAAGAUUCAAUGUCCUAACAAUAUUCCACUUUGGCAAUUUUCUAAAAAAACAUCGUUACAUAACCCACUUGAACUCUCAUAAUAAAGUUUACAUAACACACAUUAAUGCUACCUUAAAAAUAAACUAAGGAAAUGUUUUGCAACGCUUUGUAGUACUUAUCUUCUAACCCUGUAACCUACACACAGAAAACUAUACCAAAGGUAAAGCAGUCUGAAGAACAAAAUAAAAUCGUGAAAACAAAAUAGAAUAGUUGCAUAUUUUGCUUAAUGCCUUGGGACAGCAUGAAGAAAAAAAAAAUCCUUGUAGUGACAUCCAGAUACAAAGCAAAGCUUAAGAGAAUUUCAAUGUAUGCAAAUCAACCAAAUAUAAUGGAAGUUAGAUAAGACCUAAUGAUUUAAUAGUAAAGUGCAGGGGGCGUUCACUAUCCGAAUUAUAACCAAUGAAAGCCUUGGAAAGAAGCUUCUAUGACUAAGAUUAGUUUUAGAGAGAUAGACAAUUCAAACAAUAAUAUUUUUCUUGAAGCAUCACUGUCAGGUAUCUCUCCUGAAUUCUAAAGUCAUGCUUGCUAAGGUUGAUUUGGUCUACUUUAAUGUCUUAUGUUCAAUUUCCUCCAAUAUUUCAAUUAAAUUCCUUUAAUUAAAGAAUUCAAAGAAUUUAAAAAUUAACUAACUCCCCCUAAAUUAAGGAGUUUUUAUUUUCACCAUUUUAAGCCUCCCUUUUAGGUGAAUUAAAUAUUCAAUAAAUUUUUUUUUAUCCAUGAUCUCAUUUAUCUUUCUUUUUUCUUUAUUUAAGAGAGUUAAACAUUCCAUUUUCUCCCCAUUUUUGCCACAAAAAUGGCAAAGUAACAAAGAUAUAAAGAUGAGAAAGCACAUAAGAAAGAAUAAAAAGAACAACAUAUAUAUAUAUAUAUAUAUAUAUAUAUAUAUAUAUCAACAAUAUAAUUUUGGUUCACACAAUAAUUAAUGGAUAAAAGAAAUCUAGAUCAACAAAAAUACAUAAAAAAAAAAAAACAAAAUAUCUAAGUGUUUGGUGGCGACAAAACAGAUCUUAAAGUGUGUAUCCAUUAUAUGACUAAGAGAAAUCUUUUGCACCUGAAGACGCAAAAUACUAUGGAUAGGAUGGUACUAAAGUAUAUGCAUAGGAAGAGCUAGCAACAACAAUCCUCCAGUGAUGCACAAGCCUUUCUUAUAAAAUCCAUCUCAUGCAGCAAAAUUUGACUGAAUUGACCUUCACUAACACCAUAUUUGUAGAAUAUGAUUCUAUGAGGUUUUAGUGUUAGAGAAGGAAAGGAAUGCAUAAACUCAAAGUGUCAACAAUGGACAGACGAAAAAUAUUGAUCUAGGGGCUUCUGAUAAAGUAAACAUUCCAUUGAUAUAACCAUAAGGUUGAAAGGAACUUGAAGUGAAAAGCCUUGAAAGAGUCCGGGUGUCUAAGAUGGAGUCACCUUAACCAUAUCUAAGAGAAUACCAAAGAACACGAAAAUCAAGAAAAAAAAUCUAAACCGCUAGAAAUGUCCCAAAAGGUGCAUAGAACAAUAUUAUGAAGUUGAAAACUCAAAAAAAAUGAAGAAAACUGACUUCAAAAGUCAAAGAGACGGAGUCCCAAAGAGCAUGAGAGAAUAGAAAAAUGUUUGAAAUGACAAAAUGCGCAUUAGAAAGGUUUUUAUACUCAGAUGUACCAUUGGAUACAAAUUAGUGCUCGAGUGGGACACUCAAUGUACGCGUCGUUGGAUGUAACUAAGAGUGCUUGAGCAUGAAAACUGGUGGAUGAGUCUUGAGGAUUGGAUGUAGCGCUUGAACAACCAGAGCUUAAUUUCAAUUCUAAGAAAGAAUGGAAUACUCAACUAACUAACUUAAAAACUAAGAUUGACACCAAUUGAAAUAAAUUUUAAUGAUAAACUAAAAUAAGCAAAUAAUUAAGUUCAUAGACUUUCAACAUUAUAUGGAUCGGUAAUAGCUUAAGUAAGUUACUUUUGAUAGUACACAUCAAUCCAUCAAAAAAGAAGUUUCAAGUUCACAGGUCAAAGUUAAUCAUAAUCUCAGUUUCAAAAACCUAAUGCAUAAUCAUCAAUGUAUAAGAGAGUCAACAUAGAAACAUAAGCAUUGAUUUCCAUGGGAAUAGAACUUACUGUCUAGUUCUAUAUUUUGAAAUUGAUCACUUAGAAGAAAUCCAAUUAUGUCUUUGGUCAAAUUAAAGAACACAUCAGUCAAUUUGAACUAAGAUUGUCAUAUUUCUAUUUAACAUGACCUCAUUGUUCUACAUACAAUACAACUUAACUCCUCUUAAAUUUGAUAUCUUUUUCUACUAGCUUCUUUUUUUUUUCUUUUGAAAGUGAGACAUUAUACACCAUGAUCAAUUAAUUUUCUUUUUGUUUUCAUUCAUGGUUGCCUUUGUAUCUACUUUGGGUGUGUUUCCAAAUGUUGCAAGUGAGCAACAUACCUUUAAGAGGAUGAAUAUUGGACAAGAGUAUAAGAGUUAUGCUUAACCAAAGAUUCAAUAUUUUGUAUUGACUCACUUCGGGAAACAAAUAAAGAUCAUAGUCAAGCAAGGUAUGUGGAUAAUAAGAUUUGAGCAUGACAAUGGAUCCUUCCAAAGCAACCAAAGUCUACUUUAUAAGUUCAAUUUAAGAAGUCUCUCUCUUGAUUAAGUACAAGAUGUGAUCAAUAUUGAAUUUCCCACAUACAAAGACAUUUAAUUAUCCGGAAUCUAAUACAUCAAUAGUGCUUAACAAAUAUCUAUGAAUCUAUCCACAUCAAAUCUUGCAGAUAUAGUAUAUUUCUCUAAAUCACAAACUUUAGGAAUUACAAAUCAUGAUAAUAUAUCAAGUAAAUAAACAAAAAUCAUAUAUAUGCCCAAAGCAAGAUAAGGCCUAAAGAAAAAAAAGAUAUAAACACUAAGAUCAAAACCUUUAAAGCCUAAACUUAUGAUGAUUAAUCAAUUAUGUAUAUGCUUAGGGAUUUCCUAAGGUACUUAACCCUAUGAGAAUCUAGGGGUUUGGUAAUUCAUCUGCUAAUUAAAGUUCAGUGGGGACAAACUCUAAAGAAACAACCUUUUUUCAAUAAGAUCCCUAAUGACAUGAUGAUGGAUUUCAGUGUGCUUAGUAUGGGAAUGAAGAACAUGAUUCUUUAAGAUAGUUAUAGCACUAGGGUUGUCAUAGUGUAUGCAUAUGGUCCUUUGCUUAGUUCCAUAGUCUUUAAGCAUUUGCUUCAUCCAUAGGAGUUGUGUACAACGACUCCCAACAACAAUAUCCUUAGCUUCAGUAGUAGAUAAAGAUAUAGAGUUUUGUUUCUUACUAAACCAAGCCACUAGACAAUCACCAAUAAAAUAACAAGCACCAGAUGUGAAUUUUUUAUCCUCAUUGUUUUUGGCCCAGUCAACAUCGGAAUAUCCAGUAAUAACAAAAGAAGAAUCAUAGGGAUACCACAAAUCAUAAUUAAGAGUCUCAUUUAAAUUGUGAAUUAUUCUUUCAAUACACAUUAAAUGUGACUCUUUGGGGUUUACUUGAUAUCUAGCACAAGCUCCAACACUAAAAGAUAUGUCAGGAUGACUUGCAAUGAGGAGAAUCAGGCUUCUUAUCAUACUUCUAUAAAGCUUUUGCUCAAUAUCUUUUCCAGAUACAUCCUUGCUAAGCUUAGUGGUAAUGCUCAUAGGUGUUAUAAAGUGUUUAGAGGAUUUUAGACCGAAUUUCUUCACUACUUCCUUGGUAUAUUUGGAUUGAGAAAGAAAUAUUCCAUCUUUUAGUUGCUUAAUCUACAAUCCUAGGAAAAAUGUUAGUUCACUUACAAUGCUCAUCUCCAAUUCAAUCUUCAUUUCUUCUACAAAACUAAGGGCAAGAUCACUAAAGAUAGAUCCAAAAACUAUAUUAUCAACAUAAAUCUAAGUUACUAACAACUCAUCAUUAGACCUAUUUAUAAACAAGGUUUUGUCAGCUCCUCAUUUUUCAAACUUUUUCUCCAAAAAAUAGGUUGUGAGUCUCUCAUACCAUGCUCUAAGAGCCUACUUUAAUCCAUAAAAGGCAUUCUUUAACCUAUAGACAUGAUUGGGGAAUUUAGGAUCCUUGAAACCCAUAUGUUGCUCAACAUAAACUUCUUCACUUAGAAUCCCAUUUUGAAAAGCACUCUUGACAUCUAUUUGGUAAAGCUUAAUCCUCAAAGAGUAUGCUAUAGCCAAAAGUUUACUAAUUGAUUCUAAUCUGGCUAUGCUAUGGGUGCAAAUGUCUCUUCUAAUCAAUCCCCUCUAUUUGUGAGUAUACUUGGGCAACUAGUCUUGCUUUGUUUCUCAAAAUGACCCCAUUCACAUCCUAUUUGUUCUUGAAUAUCCAUUUUGUACCUAUGACAUGUUUAUAUUCAGGUCCAGGGCCUAAGUACCACAUAUCAUUCCUAGUGAAUUGAUUUAACUCUUCCUAGAGUGCAAUAGUCCAAGAUUCAUCUCCUAAGUCUUCCUUCACAUUCUUUGGCUCCAAUUGGGAGGUAUAGCAUAUAAUAUCCAUCUCAUUUAAUCUUGAUUAUCUCCUAGUAACCACAUAAUCAUUUACAUUACUUAUAAAAUUUGAGAUUGGGUGGUUUUUAGGUAUUCUGGAUCUAUGUUUAUCUUUUAUUUCUUCAAAAGUGUCAUCUAGAGGUACAACUUCAUCAUUGUUAGAGUCAUUGUCUCUUUUAGGGAUAUCAGUAGGGUUAUCUUUAGUAGUCUACAAGUCUUUAGGGUUAUCUCCAAUUGAUUCAUAAGUUAAAAUUUGAUUAUUAAUUAUAUUUUGAUCAUACCUAGCAUCAUGCAGUAUUAAUAGUUUUUGCCCAAAAUUGCAUAAGGGUAUCAUGCAUUUGAAUCAUCACCCUAGCCAUAUCUUAUAACACUCUAUUCUUUCUUACAACUACUCCAUUUUGUUAAGGAGUUCUAAGGGCUGAAUAUUCAUGAACUUAAUUCCAUUAGACUUGUAACAGAGAUCAACAUUCAUAUUGUCAAACUCUCUCUGCCUAUCACUCUAAAUCCUUACAAUUAGAUGACCAAUUUCCACUUAUAUACUAUUGAAUAAUGACUUCAAAUGUUCUAUAGUCAUAUUUCUCCCUUAGAAAACUCACAAAGAGUAUCUUGAAAAAUCAACUACAACCACAAGGACAUAUUUUUUGCCACCUCUACUUUCAAUUCACAUUAGACCCAUAAGAUCCGUGUGAAAAAGAUCUAAAGGUCUAGUGGUCAUUAUCUCCUUAACCUUUUUAUGUGAACUCUUAGUUUGUUUGCUUUUCAUACACUCACUACAAAUGGGUUUAGGUUCACUACUAAGUUUAGGGAUACCUCUAACUUUUUCAGUAUUCACUAAGUACAUAAGAUCCCUAUAGUUUAUGUGACCUAGUAUUUUAUGUCAGAGCUCAAUAGCAUCAAGCUUAGCCCUACUGCACAUAAGAGGUGUUCUAGAGUUAAAAUUUAUAGCAUAACAAUUAUCUAUAGUCCUAUGUCAUGUGAUGACUACUUUUCCUUUUUUAUUAACUACCUCGCAUAAGUCUUGAUGAAAGUUCACCUUAUGGUUUUUGUUACAUAUUUGACUAAUGCUUAAUAGGUUUGCCUUGAGUCCUUCAACAUAAAGAACUUCAUCUAGUUUGGGACAACUAGGGAUAGCAAUACUACCAUUUCUUUUUACAUGAGCUAGGUUUCCAUCUCCAACAAUGAUAGUCCCACCAUUGUAAUUUUCAAGAGAAGUGAAAUAGGUUCUCACUAGAAGAUUUGGAUUUAAGAGAAUUUAACACAACUGGACAUUUAGACCUAUCCUUUCCCAACCAAACUUGUUUAGUCCUAGGUGGUGACUUAGAGAAACUAGGUUGACUUCUAGCUUUCUAAUUGGUUUUAUUCCCUUUGCCAUUAUUCAAGAUGUCAAUUUUAAGGGAAUUAAAAUCAUUCAUAAGUCUAUUCAUUUGAGUUUCAAACCUUUCAAGAAACUUAGUGUAGCAUUUAAAUUUAGAAUGUCCAAUUUUCUUACAAUAUAUGUCUAGUGAUGUCUUUUUAGAAUAUUCUACAUGGAUAGGGAUAUCAUCCUUACCUUUGACAAACACAGUUUCUUCACUAGAGGGAGUUUCAUCUUUGUUAAUAUACCCCAACCCUUUUUUAUCCCCAUGGAUUUUGCAUUUAUCAAGAAUUUCAUUAACCACCUUAGUUUAAGGGUGAAAAAAUUCAUUCACAAAUGAAGAAAGCUUAUUAUUCUAGAUCUCUUGAGUGAAAGCAUUAUUCUUCUCAAGGAGAGAAGGAUGAUUAGAUUCAAGAAAUCUAAUCUUUUCAAGAAAAUUAAUUUUUCAACAUUAAGCACAUUACUCUUGUUUUUAUAGGCUUCAAGAACAUCAUGAUUUUUCAUGUACCUUUUAAUUAACCUUUCAUGCUCAAAAAAUGAUUAUCUAAAAAUUCUCUUUGUUCAUCAGUAAACUCAUCAUCAUCACUAUCACAAUCAGAAUUAUUCACAGGUUCCAUAGAUGCAACAAAAGCUAACAUGUCAUUAAGAUCGUACCUUGCAUCUUUAGAAAUUAUGGAAGCACUCUCUACGGAGUUUGAAUCACUCCAUGUUGCCUGCAUAGAAUUUUUAAUAUCAUUGGGGGAAGGACAAUCUUGAGAAUAGUGUCCCACACCUCUACAAUUAAAGCAUUCAACUUUGUUACCUUUGAAGGAACCUUUUCUUUCCACGUUAGAUGAUUGUUUAUUAGGUCUUUUUCCUUUUCUAGAUUCUUAGUUCUUAUAGAACCCUUUAUUGAAUUUCAUGACCCUUUUAAUCCUUUUGGCAAUGUGUCAAUUCAUCAUUAGUUACUUCAUAUGGCAUUUCAACAUCAUUCUCCUCAUUCUUAGAAGCCUUAAAGGCAGAGUCUUUAGACUUAUAGGAAUUAGGUAGGGUCAUCUCAUAUGUCUGAAUGGAGUCUACAAGUUCAUCAACCCUCAUGGAAUUGAUGUCCUUACUCUUCUCUAUGGUAGUUACUUUAGGUCUAAAUCUAUCUAGAAGAGAUCAUAAUAUUUUCCUAACUACCUUAAAAUCUGGAAUAGGUUCUCCAAGGUUAAAUGAAGAAUUUACAAUAUCACUCAAUUCAAAAUAAAAAGGAAUAAAAAGUUUGAUUUUCAUGCAUCAUAAUAUUCUCAAACUUAGUAGCAAGUAUUUGCAACUUAGAGAUCUUUACAAUAGACAUACCUUCAUGAGUGACUUGAAAAAUAUCUCGUGCUUUCUGUGCACGUUUGCAAUUUGCUAUCCUGCGAAACUCAACUAAACAAAAUGUGGACCCUCACCCGAUCCACCGGACCGACACGACUCGCUUUUAAAAAAAAAGAAAGAAAUGAAAAAGUUGGUGUUUUCUAGUUUUGAAAAACCCGCCCCCGGUGAGGAACGGUGUUGUUUGGAGUCGCUACUUACUUUUUAUUUUUGUUUUUAAAAUGGGGGAAAUUAAGUAAGAACAAAAACCCCUAAUGACCCUAGUAUGGAAAAAGCGGUCUACGAAAACUAGAUUCUGGGUCCGGGGAUCAGGUUACCCGUUGGGAAGGUACCUCAUGCGAGGUAGCACCCCUCUAGGCCCGAAACUCGGUCUCUACUAAUGAAUAGGGUAUGUGGGAGCAUAUGGGUCAAAGGUCAAAUGAAACCCUAGGCUAAAUAGAUGUCAUGAAUCACACAAUCCUAAUUGGUAUUUGGCAUGCCUAUGAAUUCAACCAAACAAAACAAUGGGUGCGUACUUGUGGUCCCUAGCCAAGCGCUGCAUAAAAGGUCAGCCAAACACAGAUAAACACAUAACAAACAUUCAAGAUUAAGCACCAUGCAUGCAUAUGAAUUCAACAACCAAAGCCAACGAUGAGUACCUGUGGUCCCUAGCCAAGCGCUGCAGCAGAGGGUGAGUCAGUCACGCAACAUGUAUUCAAAAUCAAGCAUCAAAGCUUGUGCCAAAAAGGAAGAUAGCUGGUUGAAAUGAGGUAAGGGACUCCCCAAAUGUCAUACAAAUCGAACUAGACUCAUCUAGACCACACCACCCAUAACUUCAAAAUUGCCCAUAUUAACUUAAAUCAAACAUUGACUUAAACCUUCAAGAUGGCUCACAAGUGCCCUAUAGCAAAUGGGUUUGAGCCCCCAUGGAUAAGGGCUCGAAAAAUGCCAAAAUCGAGGGCUACCUAAAGUCCUCUAACAGAACAGGUUCAACUAGUUCUCAACUAGUACAACCUAUUGAGAAGAAUUCCCAAAUUUUUCUAGAAAACUCCUAAAUGAGUGAGGAUUCAAACAAAAGAAAUGACACUCAAUCCCGAGCCCAGAUGAGUGAGAACCAGACAAAGAAAGGCAGGUGUUCCUCGCUGACAGAGGCAGCCAGCUAUGGUGCUGAACCGGUUGAACCGGUUCCCAACUAGUUCAUCCGGUUGAUAAAAAAUCCCAAAUUCGGUCAGAAAGUUCCUAAGUGAUUAAGGAAGCAAAAACAAGAAACGGUUCUCAAUUCCGAGCCCGAAUGAGUGAGAACCAGACAAAGAAAGACAAGUGUUCCUCAUGGCUGACAGAGGCUGCCAGCUAUGGUGCUGAACCGGUUGAACCGGUUCCAAACUGGUCCAGCCGGUUGGUAAAAAAUCCUAAAUUCGGUCAGAAAGUUCCUAAGUGAUUAAGGAAGCAAACAAAAGAAACGGUUCUCAAUUCUGAGCCCGGAUGAGUGAGAACCAGACAAAGAAAGGCAAGUGUUCCUCAUGGCUGACAGAGGCAGCCAGCUAUGGUGUUGAACCGGUUCAGCCGGUUGGUAAAAAAUCCCAAAUUCGGUCAGAAAGUUCCUAAUUGAGUAAGGAAGCAAAAAAAAGAAACGGUUCUCAAUUUCAAGCCCGGAUGAGUGAGAACCAGAAAAAGAAAGGCAAGUGUUUCUCAUGGCUAACAGAGGCUGCCAGCUAUGGUGCUGAACCGGUUGAACCGGUUCCAAACCGGUUCAGCCGGUUGGUAAAAAAUCCCAAAUUCGGUCAGAAAGUUCCUAAGUGAUUAAGAAAGCAAACAACAAUAAUCAUGUGUGACCUUUAUUAUCCACACUCAAGCAAUACAAUCUUCAUAUCAAAGGGAAGAAAAGAUGAUGAGGAAGGAGAAAAAGCAUAUGAAGACGAGGAAGAUAAACUGUAAGUAAAGAAAAUUCAACAUGCUUGCCUCAGAAUCUCCACCAAAUAUGAUCCGUGUAUGCAGAUGAUGACUUCCAAAACUGAGAUGCUGUCACUCUCCUCUUCAAAAAACCACAGUGCUGAAGCUUUCCCCCACGCUCUCAACUCAGAAGAUGCUACUGACCUUUUGUUUUUCUCACCAGCAAAAUUUCCCCUCUCCAAAAUGUCCCCUCCUAUCCUUUGCUCUCCUAUCCUCUCACCUUUUAUACUCAUACCCCUCUUAGCAUUUGAGCCUCCUAGAUUCCUUCCCCUUUAGCACCGAAAUCCCCUUCAUCAGCAUGGGAACCACACCCCUCAUUACUUCUCUUAAACUUUCGAGGCCAGCUCACUCCUUCAGUUUUCAGCUUGCUUCACCACCAAGAAUCCAUAUGGAUUCGUGGUGGGCUGCAAGGAACCCAAACCAAGGCCCAAAAUGGACCCAAAACAUUGCCCAAAACCGAUCUAGAGCUUACGGGCCUGAGCCAUGUAGGAUUUGGGCCUCAAAAUUACUAGAAUUAGUGUUUUACCUCAGCUGACUCAAUGAACCGGCUGAACCGGACGAACCGGAUGCCAUUUGGUCGAACCGAUGGAAAACAAUUCUGAAAAUUUGACAUAAUGUUCCUAGUAGAGUAAGGAAUCCAUUGAAAAAAACGGUGCAUGAUUCCAAGUUCGGAAGAGGGAGAUAUGAUCAAAACAAUUACCAAAAAUCAGUGUUCUACACCGGCUGACUCGAUGAACCGGCUGAACAGGCUUCCAACCAGCCGACCGGUUGCAAAAAAAUUUGAAAAUUUUACAGAAUGUUCCUAGAAGAAUAAGGAAUCCAUAAAAAGAAACGGUUCUUGAUUCUGAGUUUGGAUGAGGGAGAUAUGAUCAAAACAAGCCCGAGUGCUCCGAACCUCAACAUGCCCCUAUAAACUCCAACUAAGCUAAGACAUCGGGAUGACCCCACUUCCUUCCUAUAGCGUGAUGUGAACGACUAGAAAAAUGGCCAUGGUGACCUUCCAAAAUGAACCACAUAUGCACCACAAUGGACCACAGACAAACCCACAUGAGGCUCGGACACCGACUAAGCCCAAAAGGGGCCCUAGUGGUGCCAUAUGCGAACGAUGGGUGGAUGUGACACCCGAAGGAUAAAUGCCAGUGUCGAGGGAAAAACACCAUACGUAUAAAAUGGAUUAUUCAAAGGAGCACCACUUUUGAUUAUUCCAUAUCGAACUUACAAUAUUAAUUAUAGUUUGAUUUUUAUCCUAUAUGAUUAAUAAAAAUUUUAUUUUUAAACAAUAAAAAUAGUAAAAUUUGAAUUUUUAAUAAAUAGGAUAAAAAUCAGUUUUUUAUCCCUCUUUAAUACCAAAUGAAAAAUAGGUAUAACUUAAAUACCAUUUGAAUAAUAAUGGAAAGUCUAAUAAGGAACACCUAAAGAGGGGGUGAAUAGGUGAUUUCAAAAUUUAAAACAAAAUUUAUAAAUUAUGACCAACUUUUCUUACUCAACAGAUAACAAGGAUAUCCCAAAUAAUAAUAUGUAUUAACAAAAAUGUAUUAUUAUUAUUAUUUUUUUACUUUUAGGGAUACUCUGCAAUUGGUUAGAGAUAAAGAUAAUGAAUUUGUUGAUAUCUGAAAUAUUAUUGAGAUAUUUUAAGAUAAUGAUAAUCACCAUAAUAACUACCCUAACAAACUCAAUAACAACCUCAACAACUUAAUCAAAAGAUAUCUUGAAAGAAGUUAGGGAUAACAAUAAUUAGUUAUAGGUAUAACCACAAUAUCCGCCAAGAUAACCAACCCAACAACCUCAAAAGCAAUUUCACCAAUCAAUCUAAGAUAUUUAAUAUCAUCAACCAGAAUAUAAAUAAUAAUAAAAAGAUAUGCAAUGAGGCACAAGAUUUUUACAUAGAAAACCCCCAUAAACUAUGGAGAUAAAAAAUCAUGAGGUCUAAGACUUAUCAAUCUAAAUCCAUUAUUCGAAAUCAAGUUACACAAAUUUACCUAACCACUUUAACCUAAAGACUUACUCUCUAAUACCUACAACUUGAUUAACAUCUGCGACGUAACAACUACAUGUUGCUCCUUAGUAGAUCCUUUGGUUCCUCCAAAACGAUUAAGGUCUUCAACCAUCAAUUCAAAAGUUUGAUUGCUCUAUGAGAUUGCUAAUUACUCUAGAUAUGAGAGGAGUAUAUUUGUGAUUGUUACACAAUAUCCAGGUUGGUCGUAAACAUGACUUCAUGGAGUUGUUAUGGCUAUAGAGGCUGAUUUCAUGAGAUGACGAUGAGGGGUUUAUGGUAAGAGGGUGGUUUAGUUGCUUGAUGACUUUGUUGACUAUGCUAUGUUCAAGAUGGAUAGAGAGGUUACAUAGAGCAUCUAGAUGGUAUUCAUCAUGUGAGAUCUUGAGCACACAAUGUUCGAGGUUGUGGUUAAAGAAUGGGUGGCCAUCGUUUCAUGAGCCUAUUUGCCUAAUCACCCUUACAUAUAGAGUUACUCGUUGCUAGCCCUUCAAGCCUCAUGCAAAUAUUAUAGCCUUUUUUGUCUUAUCACCUCAUUUACUUUUUUGUACUAAGUUAGUAACCUUAUAGUGCUUGCACACUUUGAUUAGGGAUCUCAUGAACAUUAAACCCGACAUACACAUUUGGGUCCUAUCCCUCAGUCUUCAUUGUGAUAUUUCAACUUUGUCAUCUUCACCAUCAUUUGUUCUUACAUUCCAUAUCCUCACUUUUGACACUCAUUUUCUUUUUUUUUUCUGUCCAUCACUACCUACUUGAUAUUAUACUUGUUUCAACUUGAGUGGUAGUUUUCCAUACAUUACUACAUAGAGGACAAUCAUAAUCAUCCCUUUAUUUCACCUCUUAGGUUGUGGUUCAAAGAUCCUAGUUUGAGAGGUUGUCUUUUCAUGGUAUGUGCAAAAAAAAAAAAAAAAAAAAUAGUGCAUUGUUCAUUGCACCAUUCUCCAUUGAGCACGUGUAUAAACAUACCAACUUGCCUCAUUGGUGGGUUCAUGUGUAGUGAGAGUUCGUGUGUGAGCUUCCCAAGGUCUUCCUUUCACUUGAUUCUAUUUUGAUAUAUAUUUCAUGGUUAGAGUAUGAGCCAUUUGACUUACAUGAGAAGGGCGAGCGACCUUUCUUUAAGGUCUUUGGAUUCUUGUUAUAUCUUGUUAGGAACCUUGGAUCACUUUGUUUCUAUGCCCUAGAUCUCGUAGGGUACAUGCAUCUAUCCCCAGAGCUCUCUAAAUCUUACACAAUAGAAAAUAAUAGCUUUAAAAACCAUUAUGUAGUCAAGAUCUAAAAUUUGAAACUCAUAUCUAUGAUCUGGAUAUUCCCAUAUCUAAAUUCAUACGUUAAAGAACAUGCUUGGAAAAACUGGAAAGUCUCUCUCCUCAUACUACUGCCCAUGUGUGCAUCUCGUGCAAUUCCCGUGCACUUAGCCUAUGCGUGUUUCGUGCGGUUCUCGUGAUACAGCCUAUGGGCAUCCCAUGUGCUAUAGCUCUACAUUUAAGGAGGUCUCGUACACCCAAAAUCUUUUGCCCGAUGACUUGAAUCACGAUCUUAGCACUCCAAAGUGUAGGCUUUGGAAGGGAGGAGGAUAUGACUCUCUUUCUCUCUCUAGAAGUGGAAGACAACUCUCACCAAAGGUCAUUAGGAAACCUUAACCCCUAAAAAGGUAUUUAUAGGGUUGUCCAUUGGGCUUAAGUGACUUAACCUCAUCAAGACUUGGGUCACUUAAUCUAGCCAAAAAUAGGUCUUAAUUGAUUUAUUAACCACAUAGGGUAUUCUAAGUAAUCAAUUAGCUCAAACCAAAUACUUUGUUCAUUAUCUCCUAUGUAACCUUGUGAAAUUACUAAAAUGACCUUAUGCACAAUAAUGAACCUAGAGCCAAUCCAACCCUCAUAAACCAUGUUAUCAUGGUAUAUGAGCUCAGAUCAAAGACCAAUAGGACCCUUAAGAGUAUUGGCUCCCUCAAAAUCCAAUUUUGAAGUUGAUUCAAUAUUCCACUAAAGAGAAUAAACUUCACUUCAAUACUCUAUGUAAAUAACUAUGAAAUGAAGCUCAAGUUCGUGACCUACUAUCCAGCGCAUACAAACUCCCCAUGAAUUGGUGUUCGUAAUCUAAUAAGAUAAUGUUAUCAUCUAUCAAGAUUGUCUUUACAAUCCUUGAGUUAUAAAUCUCACUUAUUAUGUGAUCAACUAACAUACCCUAACUCCAAGGAGCAUAUGUUAAAUUCCACUAAAGGAAUUACUGUGGCUACAUAUUUCAUGAUCACAUGUCUUUUGGAUUACCUAAGGGGCCACACUAUCUCAAUCCCAUGAGAUAUCAUGGUGCCUCUAUUGAGAAUACCUAUUGCAACCAGUCUCCAUCAUUAGUGACUUAAUCCAUAAGGACAUAUGACCACUUUAGGGUCUCACCCAUAGGUUAAAGUCUCCUGUUGAUUUUGGCAUAAGCUUAAUAUCCUCUCAAGGUUGAGAGUCCAUGUAGUAUAGUAACUUGGUGAAUCAUGACAUUUGAUAGCCUUACGUCAUGAGUUACCGUAGGUCUUGUUCAAUGUGCAUCACAUACACUAGUGCACUCACCAUGGGAAACUCAUGUCAAUAGCCAAGACAAGUCAUCUCUCCAAUUAAGAGGUGGUGCACUAUAGUCUCUACUGGAUUACCGAAAUCCAUGAACCAACUAUGGACAACUUAUCUACUUACAAGGAACACUCGACUUGUAUCUUCUAUGCAACUCGUAAUGCACCCAAGUCAUGUACAAUAUAAGAGACAUGAGUUGAAUACUCAAAUCAAUGUCAAUACACUGAAGGGAUAGUUAAGUCUAACUUUGUUACAUCAUGCCUUGCUUUUAAGGGUUAUAUCCCAACAUAUCCAUCAUUAUAUCCAUUUCUGAUAUAACUUCUUUCCAUGCUUUGCUGUGGGUUGUCCAUCACUCACUUUUCUUUCUCUUUGCUUUCCUUUAUCUUUAUUCCAUUUUUCCAUUUCAUUCUAUCUCAUUUGAUUUUUUUUUUCUCAUCUUACUCGAUGUUCGAUUUAGGUUCAACAUCCACACAUUAUUCUUGAUCAUCCUAUUGAUAUUUGAUGUUUAUUCAUUUAUCAUCACUAUUCGUGUGGGAACCCCUAGGUCUAUGACUCAUGAGGUUUUUUAUGCAUUAUGUCUCACGCAUGAGGGAUAUGGGGAUUGCUUCAUUAGGGUUAUUAAGCAUGUGAUGGCCCGAGGGCUUACCCAUGCCGUUUGCCCAACAUUGCUCAUUAAAAGGCAUGCAAAUAGGCCCAUUAGCAUGUUUUGCCUUGGCAACAUGCCUGAGGGCUCCUUGAUGAGCUGAGUAGGAAGGGACAGGGAUAAGUGCAUAAGGAAAGCACUUAUUGCAUGGAAACCCAAUGUUACUCAUUAAAAAAUAAGCAUGCAAAUGAGUCGCACCCUCAUGCAACGAGUAUCCUACUCACGUACUCCUCCUGGCCCUAGUUGUCCAAGGAGCCCCUUAUGUAAUGAGUGCCCUCUAGACCCCCUCAUCUUCGUCUUUCCUUACCCUGGCUCAUUGAAGAGCCCUUGAGAGAUCAUGUUGCCUCAAAUAGCAAUGAGUGUCCUACUCACUCACUCUUUCUGCCCCAGUUGGCCAAGAAGCCCCUUAUGUAAUGAGUGUCCUCUAGACCCACUCAUCUUUGUCUUUCCUUACCUAGCUCAUUGAAGAGCCCUUGAGAGAUCAUGUUGCCUCAAAUAGCUAUAUGAAUGGUUAAGCGUUGUGGCCUUGCCUUGGGGGCUUACCCAUGUCUUCUGCCAUACAUUAGCCAUCAAAAGGUGUUCAAACGCAUUAUGUUCUCAUGCAAUGAGUAACCUCCCUAUGCACUCCUCUCUCAUCUCUCCAUGUCCCUACUCGCUAAGAAGCCUUUAAGUAAGCAUGAUGCCUAAAAAACUCUACAUAAAAUUGAUAAUCUUGAAAGUUUUCACAAACCUUGGAGCAUGAGCCAAAAUGCCACCCUUAUAUUUUGCCACUAAGUUGCUUGCCAAAUAAUUGAAGCCCUCCAUUUGAUGGGGAUUUACUUGCAUGUUGUGCCUUGGAUGUACAUGGAUUUCAAUUAAAGUUAAAUUAUGUUCAGAAAAUCUAAGUCCAUUUGAAAGGUCACUAGUUGGCUCAAUAUCUUUAGUGUUUCAAGGUUCAUACAUGUAAGUUCUGGAUCUUUUCACUGCACUAUACUGAUACCUAAUUAUGGUUUCAAUACUUUUAUUGACUACUCCAUAGAUGCAAAAAAAAAAAAAAAAAAAAACCAAUAUCAUCCUUUAGAAUAAAAGAAUACUCACAUUUUUUUUUUCUUUUUAAUUACUUCUCAUGCUUUGGUAAAACAAAGUUUAUUGAAACUUACUUCCAUAGUUCCUUGUUUACGCAAAGCUUUCCUUUAAAGACUUUAUAAUGUAAGUUAAGGUUCUUAAGAGUACAAAAUGUGUAUGAAGUUUUUGAAGGAAAGCAUUGCCUAAACAUGUAACUAUAGAAGCAAGUUUCAAUAAACUUUGUUUGUUUUGCCCAAGCAUAAUAUUAACACACCCAACCCCACCCUUAGUCCCAGCAUCUAAACCUUCCCACAAAUUGGGAAUGAGAAAUAGAUAAGAAUAAUCAACAGCAUUCAAGUUAGCCUUUUGUUGCCCAACACUGAAGGUGGAACGUAUUGUUACAUGCCUAAGAGGGGUGGUAUUGCCAAGCCUAUAGAGGACAACCCCCUUCCCUCCCACCCUUUAAGAGCAUUUUGAGCCAUUUUUGAAGUGUUGUGAGGAGACAUCAUGCAUGCUUAAGGAAAUAUAAUGGUGUAUUUUAUUUAAAGGUCAAGGAUAAGAACUAUUGGGAACUAGGUAUAACAUAUGAGGAUUAUUGUCAAUUGUAAUGCUUAAGUAAUGAAGAGAAGCAAGCAUUUUGUGGAGAAUGCAAGUAUGUUGUGGUGAUGUAAGCAUGUUGUGGGAUGCUGGCAAGUUUUAGGGGAUGUUGGCAUGGAUUAGGGGAUGAAGGCAUGUCUUUAGGAAUGCAGGCAAGUUUUAGAAAAUACAGGGAAAUUUUGACGGGUUCAAGCAUUGGUUGGGGAUGCAAGCAUGUUCUGGGUAAUGCAAGCAUCACCUGGAGGAUGUAAGCAUGAAUUGAGGGAUGUCAAGAUGUAAUGAGGGAUGUAGGCAUGAGUUGGGGGAUAUUUGCAUAAGGUGGGGGAUGCAAUCACAAGAUGGUGAUUGAUUCAUGCCCAGUCGGUGUAUCAGCUGAUUCAUGUCCAGCUGGUGCUCCUUAAUUGAGGGAGUAAUCAACAAAAUUUAUAACCUAUUACACCAUGAACUAGGGUAGCAAAGACAAAGCUACUAUAGCAUAGUGGCUCUAGGAUCGUUCACUGGGAAGGGUUUUCAAUUCAUAAAUGAUACCAAUUCAAAGCUGAAUUGGUGCCUUUUCGUUUCAAGGUUAGCUUUAAAAGAAAACAUAAUUUUUGGAUGAAAAAGGUUUGGUUUAAACUAACGGUAAAGAAAGUAAUGGAAAUUACUUAUGAAGAAAAACGUUCCUUGGAGGUUUAGGUUCAUAGGAGAGGUUCCUUGUGCAAAAAUAGAGCUCCGAUCAUUUGGUUCAUUUCCUCACAUUAGAGAAUUAACAUAUAGUCCAUUCUCUAACCGGUGCUGUACAGAUGCUUCCCUUUAAUGGGUUCAAACACUAAAUCCCUCUCACUGAUGCACCUUGCAAUGACUCAUACCUCUCACCUAGCACUUGCCAUUCAAGGUGAUAUUUAACCUUGGACUUCCCGUCAAAAGCUCGCAAGAGAUAACUAAUGGAUGUCUCCUUGGAGUCCAAAAGCUUACCAAGUGUUGGCUAUUCUAGAAAAUCCUACCUUCAAGUCACCUCCCAAAAGCUUGCAAGAGGUAAACUAGUGUAUCUCUAUGGAUGGAGAUCACUUGCCUUACCAAGUGUUGGCUCAAGUGAAUUGAAGGCAUUUUAAGUUAACUAAAAACAUAGAAAUCAUUAAUGGGUCACACUUUCUCUUCAUUAAUGGCUGAAACCACAAAGCUACUAAUUCUUGCAUUUGAAACCUUUCCCGGCAACUCUUAACUCCAAGGAACUAAAAGUCUAGCCACUCAUUCUCUGAGGAAACAUCCUCAGAGCUUGUUUGGCUAGUAAGAAAAUACAAUUAAAAUGAGAAGGUAAAGCAGAGCAAAGGCUUUGUAUUUUACUUCCUUGCAAAACUGUACAAAUGAUCGAUCGUCGUCCCCUUGGGAACAGGCUCCCGAGAGAUAUAUAUAAGGAAAAUUACAAAAUAUCUAUAUGAGGUUAUUCACCCUUUUUCCAAACUUAAUAACUAAGGAAUCCUAUAAUUGGUGGGUUACAAGGAGAUUUUGGGGAUUUAGACAACAAAUAUCUAAAGCAAAAUAUCUCAAAAUAUCCCAAAAUAUCGGUGGCAAAUAUCAAGAAGCUUUAGGAGAACACCGCAACACUGUACAAAAUUGUUUGCGAAACUCUCCGGGUAGGCGCUAUCAGAGGAUCUAGAUACGUCCGUCUGGAGAAGUUGAAACGCUCUCCUUUUCUAUCUGGCGUCAGAAUUCCGGACGUGAACAUCCGAGUGGAAGUGCGCGGUAGCCGGAUGCAAUGGCGGCAGCUGGGGUGUAAAAAAUGGCGGCGCACAUCCGGGUGGAAAUGGAGGCAGCCGGGUGCAAAUGGCGGCAGCCGGGUGCAAUUCCUACCCGGAUAUGUUGUCCGGAUGCCCUCCGAUGGUGUAUCCGGACGCCCUGUCUAGGUAUACUUCUUGCAUGGAUUCCAAAGAACUCUCCUCAAUCUCGGAUUUACUUUGGUGAUCAAAAAGCUAUCAAAACACCAAAACUUAACAUACUUUGAUUAGAAUUGAUUGCAAGGGUCCUUAACAUGCCAAUUGAGUUAAAAGGUGAUAAUUACUACUCAAAAGUGUUUAAAAGAGUUAGUUACAAGCUAUGAAAUAACACUUUUUGAGUAGUAAUCAAUUAUGUAAGCAAAUCAAAAUUUUGGACUAUUUUUAUUAAAGACAAUUUUUCGAAUUUAUUAAAAAAAACCAAUUUUUUAAGUUAUUAAAAAAUAAUUUUUUGCCUUUUAGAUAAAAUACAUAUAGUAACACAUAUCAACACACAUCAACAGAAUAAUAAAUGAAAAUGACAAACAUAAAGAUAAGCGAAAAAAUUUAAGCAAAUGUGCAUACACAAAAUUCAAAGUAUAAUGAAUAGAUAAUCCAAAUAGGUAUAUACACAGAAUACAAAUAAAGAACAGAAGUCCUAAAAAUAGCAUACCAAUAAGAAAUCCUAAAAAUAACAUAAACAAAAUACAAUAAAGAGAUGAGGAAGAAAUAACGUACCCAAAUGCAAUCCUAAAUCAAUCCUGACUUUCCAAACCUUCAAAAGGAAUUUAACAUGAAAAACAAACCAACAACCCUAAUGUAAAUACAUAGUAAGGAAAAACUCUCACAAUGAUUUUUUUUUCUUUGCUUAGGUCUUGUGUCCUUUUAAAUAUAGUUUUCAAAACUUCUCUCUAAGAAUACAUUUAUCAAAACAUGUAUUUUAAGAAUUUUCAUUCAAAAAAAUUAUAAAAAAAAACAAUUUUCUAGAGAAUAUUUAUUAAAACAUGCAUUUUGAAAAUUUUCAUUGAACAAACUUAUUUGAUUUUACAAACUUUGAGGAUUUUUAUUUAAAAAAAAAAAAAGAAUUUUUAGAUUUAUAAAAAAACAAAAUUUUGGAUAAUUAAAUUGAAAACCAUUUUCUAAAUAUAUGAAAAACGAAUUUCUUGAAUUAUUUUUAUUAAGAAAAAGAAUGUGUUAAAAUGAUUUUUUUCAAAUUAUUUUAUAUUAAAUUGAUUUCCUAAACUUAAUAAAAACAAUUUUUCCACAAAAAAAAAACUAUUUUUAAAAUUUUAAAUUUAUUUUUAAACCACACACCAAGAAGGCUCUAAAUUUUUAAACAGUUCUAAAAACAAGCAUAAAAAAACAAAAAAAAUAAAUAAAGAAAAAAAUCUAAAAAAAAAAUAAUUUUGUUGUUCAACUUAAAAAUGGAUUUUAAAAUAAGCCAAACGGGUCUUAGGCACAAUGGUUUUCUAUAAAAGAAGACCAAAUGACUCUAACAAAACAGCCUAAACACAACCCCCUCACUUGAAGCCCACCACCUUCUACCUAUGAUAAGAAGUGCAUCUUAUAGCAAAAGGAAUUGAGAGGGUCUCUUUACUCAUCUCACUUCCUUCAGUUUUUCUCUUUGUUCACCCAAAAAAUGGAUGCAAGCUUCAUUUUCAUUUUAGUUCUCAUUGUUGUGAUGGUCAGUCCAAUGAUGGUCAUCAUUGUUCCUCAAGGCCUUUACAAGCCCAAAGGUUUAUUUUUUAUUGUGAAAAUCAGUUUGUUUUGUUGUUGGGAAAGUAAGGUUUGGUUUUGUGGUUUGCAUGUAUAUUUGCAUUUGCAAGUAAGGUGGAGUCGGAUCUUGAGUAUGCCUAUCUAGUGGCCCCACCACACUCUCCACGAACUCUUCCCAAUUCAAAGCCAUUUUAUCUUACCAAGGACUUGAAGCUCAAGGUAAACCCUUGAGCAAGAAGUUUUAUUUUUUGUCCCUUAUAAGAAAUUCAACUUUUUUUUUAUAGAGAUAUGUUAAUAUGUUAUUAUUAUUAUUAUUAUUAUUAUUAUUAUUAUUAUUAUAGAGAUGUGUUAAUAUAUAUAUAUAUAUAUAUAUAUAUAUAUGUUUUUAUUAUUAUUAUUAUUAUUAUUAUUAUUAUUAUUAUUAUUAUUACCUUAAGUUAAAAAAAAAAAAAAAAAGCAACAUCUUAUGAGGUUGUCAGUUCCUUUCCAAUUGUUGAUCAAUGAUAAUGAUGGUGAAGACUUAAAAAAUGAAGCUUCAACCGCAAGAGAAGAGAAUGGCCAUGAAGUCUCCUUGUAUUGAUCUUAAGAGAAAAAGAAAAUGAUGGAAAAAAAUAAUGACUAAUUUUUUGUUGAUGCAAUUCAUUGAGACUUGUAUUAAAAUAAAUACUUAAAUUUAUCAAGUACUCUUUUAUUUGAGACAUGUAGGUUGAAAUUAUGAUGAUUUAGAAAUAGAAUUCAUUAAUAUUUUCACUUGGUUCCAUAUUAUAAAAUCAUUAAUAUUUACAAACAUAAAUAUGUUAUUUGAGGCUUGAGAUAUGCAUUAAUAAUGUUGGUGAUAAAGGCAAUUGUAUUGGUUAAGAAUAUGGGGGAUGUAGGAAUCUGAUAGGGAAUGCAAUAAUAUUGUGGGAGAUUCUAGUGCUCAAGAGCAUUCACUUUCCUUUUUCAUAUUUAAAAAGAAUAAUACAGACUAAUAUUUAUUAUUUAUGGGUUAGGGAUGAGAACAAGUAACACAUUUACAUAUAGGGGGAUAAAGGCAUAUUAUGGGAAAUGCAAGUAUACUGAAGGCAUGUCUUGAGGAAUGCAAACAAGUUUUAGAAAAUGUAGGAAAAUUUUGAUGCAUACAGGCAUUGGUCGGGGAUGCAAGCAUGUUCUAGGUAAUGCAGGCAUCAAUUGAGGGAUACUAGCGUGUAACGGGAUAUGUAGGCAUGAGUUGAGAGAUGUAAGCAAGACAUAUGGGGAAUGAAGGCAAGACAUGUACGUGAUGUAGGCAUAAUGUAGAGCAUGCAGGCAAAUGAUGUGGAGAAUGCAAACACAAUCUAGGGAAUGCAAGCAAGUCAUAUGGGGGAUGCAAGCAAGUCAUAUGAGGAAUGCAAGUAAGUCAUGUGGGGAAUGUAAGCAAGUCAUGUAGGAUGCAAGCAUAAUGUUGGGGAUGUAGGCCAUUCAUAUGGGGGAUGCAAGUAAGCCAUGCAAGGGAUAUAGGCAAGUCAUAUAAGGAAUGUGGGGAUACAGACAAGGAAUGUUAAGUCCUAGCAUGUUGUGGGAGAUUUAACCAAGAUAUGGAGGAUGCAAGCAAGUCAUGUAGGGGCUAGUAUAUAGUGGGGGAUGUAAACAUAGAGUGGGGGAUUCAACCAUGUUGAGAUGUUGGCAUAUUAUGGGGGAUUCAGACAUAAUAUGAGGAAUUCAAGCAAGUCAUGUGAGGGAUUCAAGCAAGUUAUGUGGAGGACGCAAGCACUUUGUGGGGGAUGGAGACAUAAUGUGGGGAAUUUAAGAAUGUUGUGGGAGAUGCAAUACUAUUGUGUCGAUUCUAGCAAGUUUUGGGGGAUGCAUGCAUAGUGUAGGGGCUUCAUGCAUAUUAUAGGAUGCAAGCAAGUCAUAUUAAGGGUUUCAUGCAUAGGGGUGUUAUAGUGGAUGUUGGCAUAGGAUAGGGGAUUCCAGCAGUUUGUGGGGGAUUCUUGUAUAUAGUAUAAUUCACUAUCUUGUUUCAACUUUCAAACCAUAAUACAGAUCAUCAGUAAUGGUUAAGUUGAUUUUGGGGAUUCUUUAGCACAAUCCUUAGCAACAUGAACACAUACAAUACAAUUUUUUUAUUCAUAUCCUCUAUAUUACACCUAUAUCUCCUACCUAACAUUAUAUCAUCAAUGUGUGGAGUCCCCUUAGCAUGUGACAACCACAAUUACUUAUUCUUAAUAUUUAAAAAUCAAUAUGUAUUUCCAAUAAUAAUGUAACAUAAAUAAAGUUAUCAAGUGUUACAAAAUACACAAAAAUACUAUACUUUUAAGUGUUUACAUCAAAAGAUUAUUGUUUUUUUGCUUUCUUUCUUUAACAACUACUAUAAGGAGUCCUGAUGGUAGGUUGUCUAUCCCUUAGCUUUUUAUUUCCACUAUAGUUGAUGCGACUAAAGCAACAUCCGAGGUUGACUUGUGUAUCAGCUUCUUUUGGGUUGUCACUUUGACUUUGCUUGUCCUUUAGGCUUAAAACAUGAGUAUACAUUACACUAGGAGGGUCGCCACCAAUCUAAGCAUCUGCUGCGUGUUGCACUAGGAAUUGUGCCAAUGAUCUUAAUUUGUGUUGUAGUAGGAGAGUCGCAACCUUGUUAAGCUGGUGCUAGUACUAGUCCUAAAGAGCUACUAAUUUGUUGAGCUAGUGCUGAUGCUAAUGCUGGUCUAGCUACUAAUGUUGGUCUUAGUACUAGUUCAGUCCUAGUAUUGGUGUUAGUGUGUGGCUUUUUCUUGCCAAAAGCCAAGCAUGCACUUUAGGGCUGUAAAAAUUAAUGAUGAUGCAGUCAUCCAUGCCAUCAUCAUUGUUGUUCCCCCUCUCUUUGGACUUUUCUUCUAUGACAACCUCAAGCUCUUUAAUUUUUUUAUAGAGCCAUAGGUUUUCAGCCUGUUACUCCUCAUACUUUGCUCUCUAAUCAACCCUUAUCACUUCAUCCCUCAAUGAAAGGAGAUGCUUCUAUUUCAGCUCUAGAAACAUUCUUCUACGAAUGUUUCCUAUAUUUGUUUGCCACAAAAAGUAGUUUAAGUCAUUUGUAGGUGCAAAUAUAUAAAUCAAUCAUAUGAUAAUAUAUAAAGUGACACAUAAAAUGUAUUUUUACCUUGAUGAAUGGAGAAAUCAUAUCUCCCACUGCAAGUGCUACCAUGUAGGUGCACAUAUAGAUAUCGCGAUCAAAGUUAUAGGACAAGUGAAGUUUGGUUAGUAAAUUCGACUACUUUUAAAAUUCAAAAAACGUGUAAAAUAAGUUAGAAGACUUACCUAUCUUUUUGUAAUGGUAUGUUUGCCACUUUCUCCAUUGGUAGCUUUUUUUUCUUAAAAAAACGCAUGUUAAUGUUCUUAUUAGUCCAUUUUUCCUAUGAAUUUUGUUUUUCACCAAAACAAAAAACCAUUCAUAUACGGGGAAUAGAGUGCAUACUAUGGGGAUAAGAGGGGGAUGGGUUUCAGAUAUGGGGGACAUAGUGCACACAGUGGGAGAUUACGAAUAUAAUUAAUAGGAUGCAUAAUGUAGGGUUGAAAGAUUUAAAAGAAAUGGGAAGUUGUGUUUGUAGCCAACUAAUUGAAAGUGAUAUGAUAUUCAAACCCCAAUCAGCUGGAAUAUGAGAUUUGACUAUCAAAGAUGAAAAUAUUAUCGUUUUUGUGCACUCUUUGUUGACUCCAUUUUAUGUUCCUAGAUUGCCCCUCCAUGCCUCCAUGCCAGCUGCAACCCUGUCUCCAUAUCAACAACAAGCCCUCUAUGUCACAUGAGAGACUGAAAAUUUUAAAAAUAGAAAAAUCUGACUUUGAAACCUAUAAAAAAUCACCCAACCCAACAUGUUUGAGAGAAAAAACCAUUAAUCCAAAACUCCAACCUGCAUGUUUCUCUCUUGUCCACAUAAAAGUGCAAUGAAAUAGAGCAUUCCAUCCUAAAAAUGUCCGAUUAAAAAAUGGUUUCAAGAGGCGCAUCUAUGAUUGUGAAUUUACUACAACAACGCGUAGCCGAACGAAAAGUUAAAAUCCAAAAUAUUAGCUUCAUCAACAAGAUAUCUCUUCCUAUCAUUGAGUUACAUUUUGCCCUAACCCCAAACCAAAAUCUGAAGGCAUAUAAUUUUUAUUUAUUGUUCUUUAGUUCCUUUGUUUGAAAUGGAGCACAUCAAUGAUUUUAGAGUUGUUAAUGGACUUGAAUUUUUGUGUUGGAUUGCGGAAAUCAUAUUACUCCCAAAUAACCAUAUGACCUACAAGUCGCAUUGAAUCCAAAUAGAACUUACAACAUAUCUAGUUGUAAGUCGCAUUGUUAUUUUAGGGACAAUACCUUAGAUACUACCUUAAUAGCCCUUAGGUACCACCUUAAUGUCACUUAAGUACUACCUUAAUAGAGCUUAGGUACUACCUUAUUUAAACUUGGGUACUACCAAUCAAAAGCGUCGGAACCUCAAUUGUGGACAUUACUUACUACAUUUGUGACCCUUAGAGCAUGUGAUUAUUUAAUGUGGUCAAAUGGUUCACCUUUCUUAUUUUGGGGAAUGUACAUUAAGUACUACCUUAAUAUCCCUUAGGUACCACCUUAAUGUACCUUAGGUACUACCUUAAUGAAGAUUAGGUACUACCUUAGUUAAACUUGGGUAGUAGUUGUCCAAAGCCUCAGAACUUCAAUUGUGGACAUUACUUACUUCAUUUGUGACCCUUAGAGCAUCCCAUAAUGUGAUUAAUUAGUGUGUUCAAUUGGUUUACCUUUGUUAUUUUGGGGAUUGUACUUUAGGUACUACCUUAAUAGCCCUUAGGUAGCUCCUUAAUCUACCUUAGGUACCACCUUAAUAGAGCUUAGGUACUACCUUAUUUAAACUUGGGUACUACCUAUUUGAAGCCUUAAAACUUCAAUUGUGGACAUUACUUACUUCAUUUGUGACCCUUAAAGUAUGCCAUUAUGUGAUUAUUUAGUGUGCUCAAUUGGUUCAUCUUUAUUAUUUUGGGGACUGUACCUUAAGUAUUACCUUAAUAGCUCGUAGGUACCACCUUAAUCUAUCUUAGGUACUACUUUAAUGGAGGUUAGGUACUACCUUAGUUAAACUUGGGAACUACCUAUCCGAAGCCUAAGAACUUCAAUUGUGGACAUUACUUACUUCAUUUGUGACUCUUAGAGCAUGUCAUUAUGUUAUUAUUUAAUGUGCUCAAUUGGUUCACCUUUCUUAUUUUGGGGACUGUACCUUAGAUACUACCUUAAUAGCCCUUAGGUACCACCUUAAUCUACCUUAGGUAGUAUUUUAAUGGAGCUUAGGUACUACUUUAGUUAAACUUGGAUACUAUUUGUUCAAAGCCUUGGAACCUCAAUUGUGGACAUUACUUUCUUCACUUGUGACCCAUAGAGCGUGCCAUUAUGUGAUUAUUUAGUGUGGUCAAUUGAUUCACCUUUCUUAUUUUUGAGAUUGUACCUUAGGUAUUACCUUAAUAGUCCUUAGGUACUACUGUAAUCUACCUUAGGUACUACCUCAAUUAAACUUGAGUACUACAUGUCCGAAGCAUUGGAACUUUGAUUAUGAAAAUUACUUACUUCAUUUGUGACCCUUAGAGCAUCCCAUUAUGUGAUUAUUUAAUGUGGUCAAUUGAUUCACUUUUCCUAGUUUGGGGAUUGUACCUUAUGUACUACCUUAAUAGUCCUUAGGUACCACCUUAAUCUACCUUAGGUACCACCUUAAUCUGCCUUAGGUACUACCUUAAUGGAGGUUAAGUACUACCUUAGUUAAACUUGGGUACUACCUAUCCGAAGCUUAGGAACUUCAAUUGUGGACAUUACUUACUUCAUUUGUGACCCUUAGAGCAUUCCAUUAUGUGAUUAAUUAGUGUGCUUAAUUGGUUCACCCUUAUUAUUUUGGGGACUGUACCUUAGGUACUACCUUAAUAGCUCUUAGGUACCACCUUAAUCUACCUUAGGUACUACUUUAACGGAGCUUAGGUAAUACCUUAGUUAAACUUGGGUACAACCUGUUGGAAACCUCAUAACUUCAAUUGUGGACAUUACUUACUUCAUUUGUGACCCUUAGAGCAUCCCAUUAUAUGAUUAUUUAGUGUGCUCAAUUGGUUCACCUUUCUUAUUUUGGGGAAUGUACCUUAGGUACUAUCUUAAUAGCCCUUAGGUACCAUCAUAAUCUACCUUAGGUACUACCUUAAUAGAGCUUAGGUACUAUCUUAGUUAAACUUGGGUACUACCUAUCCAAAGCGUCGGAACUUCAAUUGUGGACAUUACUCACUUCAUUUGUGACCCUUAGAGCAUAUCAUUAUAUGAUUAUUUAGUGUGCUCAAUUGGUUUACUUUUGCUAUUUUGGGGAUUGUACUUGGGUACUACCUUAAUAGCCCUUAGGUACCACCUUAAUCUACCUUAGGUAUUACCUUAAUGGAGCUUAGUUAAUACCUUAGUUAAACUUGGGUGCUACUUGUCCGAAGCCUCGGAACUUCAAUUGUGGGCAUUACUUACUUUAUUUGUGACCCUUAGAGCAUGUCAUUAUGUGAUUAUUUAGUGUGGUCAAAUGAUUCACCUUUCUUGUUUUGGGGACUGUACCUUAAGCACUACCUUAAUAGUCCUUAGAUACCACCUUAAUCUACCUUAGGUACUACCUUAGUUAAACUUAGGUACUACCUAUCCUAAGCCUCAAAACUUCAAUUAUGGACAUUACUUACUUCAUUUGUGACCCUUAGACCAUCUCAUUAUGUGAUUAUUUAGUGUGGUGAAAUGAUUCACUUUUCUUAUUUUAGGGACUAUACCUUAGGUACUAUCUUAAUAGUCCUUAGGCACCACCUUAAUUUCAUGAACUUAGUCUUUUACUAAGCUCGUGCGGCACUUAGACAAGUCAAACCCUUGAUCUUGCUAAGUCAACCUUACUCCUGAUGCUUAGCUUGCUAGGCUAAGAUGCACCCGACUUAGAAGCUUUAGAGGGAGUAGUAGGCAACUCUUAAAUAAUGGAAGUUUUAUUGCUCAAAGGAAGCCUUACAAGUUCUUUGGAACUCACUUUCUUGGUUAGGAACUGAUUUGGGUGGUGCCUUGGCCAAAUGAGGCCUCUACCUAUUUAUAGGCACCUUAUGAAGUUUCUAGAACCUUGGAGGGUUCCUUACAAAUCAAGAAUAAUCUAGAAGCUCCUACACUAGUCAAUGUACAAGGGUAUGCACAAGAUGACUUUGGAAGAUUCUAGAACACCCCACAAUAUUCCAAUGUUCUCCUAGCCAAGUGUAGAGAUGUGUGGACCUCUCUAGCCCUCUCUAGAAGCUUCCAUACUCUUCCACUUUGUAGCUAAGUGUAGAUGUCUCCAGGGGUAUCUAGAAGCUUCCCACCUCCUAUAUAAGCCCAUGGGGAGGGUCAUUUGAAGCAUCUUAUGACACUCUCCCCCAUUUUUCCAUCGACGUCCCCGUUGUGGCCUCUUUUUAAAAUGUCUCGAUGUGUUUCCAAAACCUUCUCAAGGCAUCCACAUGUUCCCAGUUUACCUACCUCUUAGGUAGUCUUUUCCAUCGGACUAGAUACUCUAUCACAUGAAGGACCCCUUGUCUCCUAGUAAUCCGUUCAACCAGGAUAUUCUUCACCUUCUUCUCCCGUGAGGCCUUAGAUGGAUGCAAACACCUGCACUUUCGAUGCUUGAAGUGUUGCUUCUUCUUGCCCAUCGAGUUCACCUUUUCCUUGGUGACCUUGUCCAUGUGUGUGAUGGCUACCUCAGCUCACUCCCAUUUUUCCUCCUUUACUUGCACUCCUGAUAGUAAGGAGGUCUUAGGUGUACUAGCCUUUGAGUUGACUUGGAGGGCACCUAGUAGCUGCUUCGAGCCCAUAUGUGUUUCGCCUUUCUGUUUCCUCUCUUCGAUCAUGGCACUGAGUGUUUUCCUUUUUGGACAAUUUCGUGCCCAAUGUGGACCGUCACACAAGAAGCAUUUGAUUUUAGGCGUAAACUCAUUCAUUUUCACUUUACCUCUUCCUUCCCGAACGUUAAGUGUCUUACUUGAUCCCAUUCUAAGAGUAUUGUGGUCUCUUGAAACCUCAUUUCCCCUACCCGUGGCAUGGCUAUCCUCUAAAGACUCAACCUUGGAGAAGUAUCCCCUCUUGUAAUCAUUUAAAGACUCUGCUACUACCAUAGUAGUGGCUAAGUCUUGAAAGCCUCGAUUCCUUAAUUCCCGCUCAGCCCACUCUUGCAGGUUAUCCAUGAAGUUGAAUAGCAACUCCUCCUUAGUCAUGUUAGGAAUCUCAAGCAUGAGCAAAGAGAAUUCCUUAACAUAGUCGCGUAUCGAGCCUGUGUGCUUGAGACGCCUCAUGUUUUUCCUAGCCAGGUAUGCCAUGUCCUCUGGGUAGAACUGCCUUUUGAUCUCCCUCUUGAAGUCCUCCUACGUCUUUAUGGUACAAAUGUCUUUCUCCAUAUCGACAAACCUCCGACACCACCUGUAGACCCUCAAUUUUGUCCCUCGACACUGGCAUUUAUCCUUCUGGUGUCACAUCCACCCAUCGUUCGCAUAUGACACCACUAGGGCCCCUUUUGGGCUUAGUCGGUGUCCAAGCCUCGUGUGGGUUUGUGUGUGGUCCAUUGUGGUGCAUAUGUGGUUCAUUUAGGAGGGUCACCAUGGCCAUUUUCCUAGUCGUUCACAUCACGCUUUAGGAAGGAAGUGGGGUCAUCCCGAUGUUUUAGCUUAGUUGGGGUUUAUAGGGGCAUGUUGAGGUUCGGAGCACUCGGGCUUGUUUUGAUCGUAUCUCCCUCAUCCAAACUCGGAAUCAAGAACCGUUUCUUUUAUGGAUUCCUUAUUCUUCCAGGAACAUUCUGUAAAAUUUUCAAAAUUUUUUGCAACUAGUCGGCUGGUUGGCAGCCGGUUCAGCCGGUUCAUUAGGUCAGCCGGUGUAGAACACUGAUUUUUGGUAAUUGUUUUGAUCAUAUCUCCCUCUUCCGAACUUGGAAUCAUGCACCAUUUUUUUAAUGGAUUCCUUACUCUACUAGGAACAUUCUGUCAAAUUUUCGGAAUUUUUCUCCAUCGGGUCGACCAGUUGGCAUCCGGUUCGGCCGGUUCAGCCGGUUCAUUGAGUCAGCUGAGGUAAAACACUAAUUCUAGUAAUUUUGAGGCCCAAAUCCUACAUGGCUCAGGCCCAUAAGCUCUAGAUUGGUUUUGGGCAAUGUUGUGGGUCCAUUUUAGGCCUUGGUUUGGGUUCCUUGCAGCCCACCACGAAUCCAUAUGGAUUCUUGGUGGUGAAGCAAGCUGAAAAAACUGAAGGGAGUGAGCUGGCCUUGUAAGUCUAAGAGAAGUAAUGAGGGGUGUGGUUCCCAUGCUGAUGAAGGGAAUUUCGGUGCUGAAGGGGAAGGAACCCAGGAGGCUCAAAUGCUAAGAGGGGUAUGAGUAUAAAAGGUGAGAGGAUAGGAGAGCAAAGGACCUUGGACACUUUGGAGAGGGGAAAUUCUGUUGGUGAGAAAAACAAAAGGUCAGUAGCAUCUUCUGAGUUGAGAGUGUGGGGGAAGCUUCAGCACUGUGGUUUUUUUGAAGAGGAGAGUGACAGUCUCUCAGUUUUGGAAGUCAUCAUUGGCAUGCACGGAUCAUAUUUGGUGGAGAUUCUAAGGUAAGCAUGCUGAAUUUUCUUUACUUACAACUUAUCUUCCUCGUCUUCAUAUGCUUUUUCUCCUUCCUCAUCAUCUUUUCUUCCCUUUGAUAUGAAGAUUGUAUUGCUUGGGUGUGGACAAUAAAUGCCACACAUGAUUGUUGUUGUUUGCUUCCUUAAUCACUUAGGAAUUUCCUGACCAAAUUUGGGAUUUUUUUACCAACCGGCUGAACCGGUUUGGAACCGGUUCAACCGGUUCAGCACCAUAGCUGGCAGCCUCUGUCAGCCAUGAGGAACACUUUCCUUUCUUUGUCUAGUUCUCACUCAUCCGGGGUUGGAAUUGAGAACCAUUUCUUUUGUUUGCUUCCUUAAUCACUUAGGAACUUCCUGACCGAAUUUGGGAUUUUUUACCAACCGGUUUGGAACCGGUUCAGCACCAUAGCUGGCAGCCUCUGUCAGCCAUGAGGAACACUUUCCUUUCUUUGUCUGGUUCUCACUCAUCCGGGGUCGGAAUUAAGAACCGUUUCUUUUUUUUGCUUCCUUAAUCACUUAGGAACUUUCUGACCAAAUUUGGGAUUUUUUACCAACCGGCUGAACCAGUUUGGAACCGGUUCAACCGGUUCAGCACCAUAGCUGGCAGCCUCUGUCAGCCAUGAGGAACACUUGCCUUUCUUUGUCUGGUACUCACUCAUCCAGGGUCGGAAUUGAGAACCGUUUCUUUUGUUUGCUUCCUUAAUCACUUAGGAGCUUACUAACCAAAUUUGGGAUUUUUUAUCAACCGGAUGUACUGGUUGGGAACCGGUUCAAUCGGUUCAGCACCAUAGCUGGCAGCCUAGGUCAGCCAUGAGGAACACUUGUAUUUCUUUGUCUGGUUCUCACUCAUCCGGGCUCGGAAUUGAGAACCGUUUCUUUUGUUUGCUUCCUUAAUCACUUAGGAACUUACUGACCGAAUUUGGGAUUUUUUAUCAACCAGAUGUACUGGUUUGGAACCGGUUCAAUCGGUUCAGCACCAUAGCUGGCUGCCUCUUUCAACCAUAAGGAACACCUGCCUUUCUUUGUCUGGUUCUCACUCAUUCAGGCUUGGGAUUGAGAACCGUUUCUUUUGUUUGCUUCCUUAAUCACUUAGGAACUUACUGACCCAAUUUGGGAUUUUUUAUCAACCGGAUGUACUGGUUGGGAACCGGUUCAAUCGGUUCAGCACCAUAGCUGGCUGCCUCUUUCAGCCAUAAGGAACACCUGCCUUUCUUUGUCUGGUUCUCACUCAUCCGGGCUCGGGAUUGAGUGUCGUUUCUUUUGUUUGAAUCCUCACUCAUUUAGGAGUUUUCUAGAAAAAUUUGGGAAUUCUUCUCAAUGGGUUGUACCAGUUGAGAACUAGUUAAACCUGUUCUGCUGGAGGACUUUAGGUAGCCCUCGAUUUUGGCAUUUUUCGAGCUCUUAUCCAUGGGGGCUCAAACCCAUUUGCUAUAGGGCACUUGAGAGCCAUCUUGAAGGUUUAAGUCAGUAUUUGAUUUCAGUUAGUAUGGGAAAUUUUGAAGUUAUGGGUGGUGUGGUCUAGAUGAGUUUAGUUCGAUUUGUAUGACAUUUGGGGAGUCCCUUACCUCAUUUCAACCAGCUAUCCUCCUUUUUGGCACAAGCUUUGAUGCUUGAUUUUGAAUACAUUGUUGCGUGACUGACUCACCCUUUGCUGCAGCGCUUGGCUAGGGACCACAGGUACGCAUCGUUGGCUUUGGUUGUUGAAUUCAUAUGCAUGCAUGGUGCUUAAUCUUGAAUGUUUGUUAUGUGUUUAUCUGUGUUUGGCUGACCUUUUAUGCAGCGCUUGGCUAGGGACCACAGGUAUGCACCCAUCGUUUUGUUUGGUUGAAUUCAUAUGCAUGCCAAAUACCAAUUAGGAUUGUGUGAUUCAUGACAUCUAUUUAGCCUAGGGUUUCAUUUGACAUUUGACCCAUAUGCUCCCACAUACCCAAUUCAUUAGUAAAGACCGAGUUUCGGACCUAGAGGGGUGCUACCUCGCAUGAGGUACCUUCCCAACGGGUAACCUGAUCCCCGGACCCAGAAUCUAGUUUUCGUAGACCGCUUUUUCCAUACUGGGGUCAUUAGGGGUUUUUGUUCUUACUUAAUUUUCCCCAUUUUAAAAACAAAAAUAAAAAGUAAGUGGCGACUCCAAACAACACCGUUCCUCACCAAGGGCAGGUUUUUCAAAACUGGAAAACACCAACUUUUUCAUUUCUUUCUUUUCUUUUAAAAGCGAGUCGCGUCAGUCCGGUGGAUCGGGUGAGGGUCCACAAAUUGGCGACUCCGCUGGGGAUCGAACCCAGAAUCUCUUGUUUCAUAAGAGGAUCAAGCUUGAACUUGAGUUGGGUAUAUCAGAGCACAUGGUUCAUUGAUAAGUAGACUCUUAGACUACGUAGAUGACUGAUGAUCACGUAGUUGGCUGGUAUUUGGCUUGCACUUGUGAUGUGUUGUUGCUUGUGUGUUCACCUGUUGGAUUCUAGCAUGCUUGCUCAUUGUUGAUUGGUAUCUAGCUAUGACAUUUGGGAUUAGACUUAGAUGAUUAGAUUGUGUGUAGAUGUGUGGUAGGCUAUCUCUUUGUGCAUGACUAUUUGCUGUAUGACUGCUCCUUCCCUUGCAUGACUGCUUGCUGCUUGUGUUUGUGGGGCACGUGUGUAUCCCCUUACUUCCGAAUCACUAGUCUUGGUCAACUAUUCCUCAUGGAUUGCUUGUGUUUCUUGGGAGUCAUUCCCAAUUGUUCGCCUUCGACCAAGCUAGGGGUUUGGAAUAGGGUCUAGCAUAAGGGCUAUAUCGAUGUUUGGGAGCACUAUGGAAAAGAUGGAUAUCUGAGCAAUGAAGACCUGUAUAGCCCUGAGCUGGAUUUCAUGGAUACAUGCAUGGCCAGCAUGUCACUUUGAUUGUUGAUUGAUUGUUAGUUAGAACCUUAGGUUGCGUAUCCCUGUGGGUACAGUCAUCUAGUCUUUUAGGACUUGCCUUUUUUUUUUUUUUUUUUUACUUUUGAGCCACAUUACCCCUGAGAUAUCACCAUGUCAGAAUCCCGUUCCUGCCUAUGGAACCGUAUAUCAGUUUAGCUAUUGACAUCACAUGUCAGUUCAUUCUCUCGGAAGAUUUUAGUUAUACGUUCCUAGUUUGAUUUCAGGAUUGAUAGUCAUGGGGACUGACGUACCCCUUUCCUUUUGUAGGAUUAUUGAUUGAGAUUGACCUGGGUUCCCGAGCUUGGAUCCGGAUUGGAGAUAGACUGGUUAGAGGAUCAGAUUCACCUAGCCAGUUAGAGCAGAUACCAGAUCAUAGAGAUAUGGACCCUCAGUACGCUACCGUUAACCAGUUGGCUGAGAUUACCGAUACCAUGGCGUCACUUAGGGACGCUAUCUUAGGACUGGGUCAGAGGAUUGAUGGGCACCAGGCCCAGCCAUUGCCGAUUCCAAGGAGCACCCUGCAUGACUCUACCACACCACCACCACCACCACCACCAUUUGGGCCAUCUGGACCUACUAUACAGCAGGACUACAUAGUUCCACCACCACCACCACCACCGGUUCAGUCAGCUCCCCAGGCUGGAGCAUUUGUGUUGCAUGGUCAGACUGAGACUAUGUCGCAUUCUGUUGUGGCACUGGCACAGAUUGUUGAUGAUACCCAGGCUCGUAUUGAUAAGAUUGAGCAGAGGAUGAGAUCACUACAUGUUUUUGAUAGGAUUAUGGGUUGGGAUGGAUAUGAUGAUAUGCCAGUAGCAGCUUUGCCUAUUGAGUUCCGCAUGCCGGACAUUGAGAGAUACACGGGGAUAGGGUGCCCCCGUAUUCACUUGCAGUUAUACAGCACUGUUAUGCGCGGGCAUAGACUGGAUGAGGCACAAAUGAUUAUGUUAUUCCCUCUGUCAUUGAGUGGUGCUGCUCAACGUUGGUUUGCCUCAUUGGACCUUUCGAGACGUAGGACAUGGGCUGAUUUGGGACAGGAGUUUAUUAGACAGUAUUCUUUCAAUACUAUAGUGGAUGUAUCCCGGAGGGAGUUAGAGGCCCUUAGGCAGGGGCCGGAUGAGACAGUCACUUCAUUCAUCUCCCGUUGGAGGGAGAAGAUAGCACAGAUUAUUGAUAGACCUUUAGAGCGCGAUCAGAUCAGUAUGAUUAUGCGCAGCCUUCAGCCCCGCUUUGCUAGGCAUCUCAUGGGCUUCCCUCAGACAGACUUUGGCUCAUUAGUGCAGGCCCUCUAUGGCAUUAAGGAGGGUAUAUCUAGAGGUUUAUGGGCAGAUUCUUUCCCUUCAGACUCAAAGGGGAAGAAAUCGGGAUCAGGCCCCAGGCCCUCAGAUGUUGGUACUAUUGGCAUGACAGGACACCGGUCUUCACGUCGUCCUCCGUUUCAGAGUCAGUUUUUAGGCACUCCUUAUCAGAUGAUACAACAUGAUCAGUACAGACCAGUUACUCCCAUUAGGCCAGUAGGGCCUACUUAUCUACAUCCGCCACCACAGCCGGUAUAUGAUACACAGGCACCCCAGAGGCCGCCUAUGCAGUUCCAUCAUCAGUAUAGAGCACCGCCUCCACCGAGGCCAGUUAGACAGUUUACACAGCUUGGGAUGCCACUGAGCCGAGCUUUUCAGAGAUUGGUUGAGGGAGGACUGAUUGCCCCACUACCGCCUAGACCACCACUACAGCCUACCCCCCCAGGAUUCAGGACAGACCUUCACUGUGCCUACCAUCAGAGAGCAGGCCAUGAUACAGACAGUUGAUCAGCACUGAGACAUGCCAUUCAGGAUUUGAUUGAUCAGGGCUUGGUUGAUUUGGGGCGCUCGGGUGUAGCCACAGACCCGCUACCUACUCAUGACACUAGAGCAGUACCUCCACCCCCGGAAGGGGUACAGUUGAUUGAGUUUGCAGGGGAUGAGAUAUUUAUGAUGGGUUGGGAUGGAGAGGCUCCUCAGCCGAUCAAUCUAUAUGAGGAGUCAGAUUUUGUUGGAUAUAUACCUAGACAGCAGAUCCCCAGGCCAUUCAGUUUGACCCCGGACAGGAUUUAUGGGCCACCUCCAGUAUCACCAGUAUACUUACAGCAUGUGCCACCUAUGACACCCUUCAUUCUGUUCCCAGAGGAAUAUAGGCCCUCUCAUAGAGAUGUUCAGAUAGUUACACGGAGUGGAAGGGUAGCAUAACCUCCACCCGUUGACAGGCCAUUUGCUGGUAUAACUGCUAGAGAGGAGGUUCAGAGAGAAGAUGAUGAGAUAUUACGACAGCUGCGCACUACUCAGGCUCGCAUAUCCAUUUGGAGCCUUUUGGCCUCAUCUAGUACACAUAGAGAUGCAUUAGUCAGAGCCCUUGGCCAGAUUAGGGUUGACACUGCUACUACNNNNNNNNNNNNNNNNNNNNNNNNNNNNNNNNNNNNNNNNNNNNNNNNNNNNNNNNNNNNNNNNNNNNNNNNNNNNNNNNNNNNNNNNNNNNNNNNNNNNNNNNNNNNNNNNNNNNNNNNNNNNNNNNNNNNNNNNNNNNNNNNNNNNNNNNNNNNNNNNNNNNNNNNNNNNNNNNNNNNNNNNNNNNNNNNNNNNNNNNNNNNNNNNNNNNNNNNNNNNNNNNNNNNNNNNNNNNNNNNNNNNNNNNNNNNNNNNNNNNNNNNNNNNNNNNNNNNNNNNNNNNNNNNNNNNNNNNNNNNNNNNNNNNNNNNNNNNNNNNNNNNNNNNNNNNNNNNNNNNNNNNNNNNNNNNNNNNNNNNNNNNNNNNNNNNNNNNNNNNNNNNNNNNNNNNNNNNNNNNNNNNNNNNNNNNNNNNNNNNNNNNNNNNNNNNNNNNNNNNNNNNNNNNNNNNNNNNNNNNNNNNNNNNNNNNNNNNNNNNNNNNNNNNNNNNNNNNNNNNNNNNNNNNNNNNNNNNNNNNNNNNNNNNNNNNNNNNNNNNNNNNNNNNNNNNNNNNNNNNNNNNNNNNNNNNNNNNNNNNNNNNNNNNNNNNNNNNNNNNNNNNNNNNNNNNNNNNNNNNNNNNNNNNNNNNNNNNNNNNNNNNNNNNNNNNNNNNNNNNNNNNNNNNNNNNNNNNNNNNNNNNNNNNNNNNNNNNNNNNNNNNNNNNNNNNNNNNNNNNNNNNNNNNNNNNNNNNNNNNNNNNNNNNNNNNNNNNNNNNNNNNNNNNNNNNNNNNNNNNNNNNNNNNNNNNNNNNNNNNNNNNNNNNNNNNNNNNNNNNNNNNNNNNNNNNNNNNNNNNNNNNNNNNNNNNNNNNNNNNNNNNNNNNNNNNNNNNNNNNNNNNNNNNNNNNNNNNNNNNNNNNNNNNNNNNNNNNNNNNNNNNNNNNNNNNNNNNNNNNNNNNNNNNNNNNNNNNNNNNNNNNNNNNNNNNNNNNNNNNNNNNNNNNNNNNNNNNNNNNNNNNNNNNNNNNNNNNNNNNNNNNNNNNNNNNNNNNNNNNNNNNNNNNNNNNNNNNNNNNNNNNNNNNNNNNNNNNNNNNNNNNNNNNNNNNNNNNNNNNNNNNNNNNNNNNNNNNNNNNNNNNNNNNNNNNNNNNNNNNNNNNNNNNNNNNNNNNNNNNNNNNNNNNNNNNNNNNNNNNNNNNNNNNNNNNNNNNNNNNNUCUGAUGAUGACUUGCCACCAGAGGGAUCAAAUCAUGUUCGACCCUUAUUCAUUGAUGUUGCUUGUUUAGGCCGUCGGGUGCCGUCUGUUCUAUUGGACAACGGCUCUGCCCUGAACGUCUAUCCAUUGGUUACUGCCAUUGCGCUUGGGUUUUCACCAGAUGAUUUUGGGCCUUCUACACAGACUGUUAGAGCUUAUGAUGGGACUUAGAGGACAGUUAUGGGUACACUCAGUACACAUGUCAUGAUUGGGCCAGUUAGUUACUCCAUAGUAUUUCAGGUUUUAAGGAUCCAGUCAUCCUUUAACCUGCUUCUUGGCCGCCCGUGGAUUCAUGAGGCCGGUGCUAUACCAUCUUCCCUUCAUCAGAAGGUGAAGUUCAUACACGAGGGGCGCAUUAUCACGAUACAGUCUGAUAGAGAUAUUAUCACUUCGUCUGAGCCAGUAUUACAUAUCAGUCACAGUGAGGAUGACUUACAUUUGACCGGGUUUACGUUCGAUGAGGUCCAGGUUGUCAGCUUAGAGGAUGGCAACAGAGAUAUGGUACCUAUGUCAUUUGACCAGCACAGCAGCACUUUGGUGCUCAGCAUGAUGAGAGGCAUGUCUUAUUUGCCUGGUAUGGGAUUGGGUCGCCGCCAGCAGGGGCCCUACGAGUUUACUUUCACAGUUGAUCACGACAUGCCCUACGGAUUAGGUUACAUACCCACAGAGGCUGAUGCACGUUAUAUGUCACAGCUGCGCAGGGAUAGGGUGAGGGCUCGCAUGUCUGGCAUUCCAUUUGAUUAUCUCCUCCGCCCAUACACCUUCCAAUUGGCCGACUACUUCAUUAGGGGUUCAGAGCAUACACCUCGCACAGAGGGGACUGUUCACAUUCCAGAGACAGUUGGGAUUCAGGACAUCCAGCAGGCCCUAGGUCAGAUUCAUUUGGACACCGGGACUACUGAGGCACCUGGUGCCAUGAUAGUCACGCCCCCAUCACCGGACCGAGCUAGUACGUUCUCUAUGUGUUUCCCGAUGAGGUCCCUGACUAUGACCUACCUAUGGAUUUGGGAUAUGGCACUGACGAGAUAGACAUGAUCGGCAUAAGUCGUAUCUUCGAUGCAGCGCCACACGGGCCCCAUACUGUUUUCGACAUGUUCGGAGUUUUUGUACUCGAGACUGAUAAGGAUGACUUUAUUCCUGAUGCCUACACUGAUGAUGUGGAUUUUAUAGGCAUUGAUCGUAUCCUUGAUGCAGCCCCACGCGGGCCCCUUUCUGCUUUUGACAUAUCUGGAGUUUCAGUACUUGAUGAUGAGUCAGUCCUUGAUGUCGUUACUUCUGAUUUUGCUUCUGUUGAGGGAGCGUCCGACUCUGUGGACCCACCUCUUUCUUUUGACACUAUGUCCGGGUUUGUCACCCGCUUUGAUGAUAUUUCUGAUGGUAAUAAUGAUAUGAGUAUUUUCGAGUACUUGAAUGUGUCCCAACAUUUUCCUUUGAUUGCACCACCAGCACCCACGACACAUAUAUAUGAUGUUGAUGAUGUGGGAGAUACAGAUGACCCACUGGGUGGUCAGUCAGAGUGUGAUUCUGAUUCAGAGGAUAGGAAAGUCACACCCAUUUCUAGUAGCACAGAGUUGAUAGAUUUUGGGGCACCAGAUCAGCCCAGGGAGAUUAGGAUUGGCUCUUCUCUAUCUCCUGAUGAGAGGAGUAGAUUGAUUGACCUGCUUAGGUCAUACUUGGAUGUAUUUGCAUGGUCAUAUGAGGACAUGCCGGGCCUUGACCCCACCAUAGUGCAGCAUCACCUGCCCAUUUUACCACAUGCNNNNNNNNNNNNNNNNNNNNNNNNNNNNNNNNNNNNNNNNNNNNNNNNNNNNNNNNNNNNNNNNNNNNNNNNNNNNNNNNNNNNNNNNNNNNNNNNNNNNCGAUGGAGUUUGCAGGUUAAGGAAGAAAUUCAGAAGCAACUCAGUGUUGGCUUCUUGUCAGUGGUUAAGUAUCCUGAGUGGUUGGCUAAUGUCGUCCCUGUUCCCAAAAAGGACGGCAAGGUUAGAGUUUGUGUUGACUUUCGAGAUCUGAAUAAGGCCAGCCCUAAGGAUGAUUUUCCCCUUCCACACAUUGAUAUGUUGGUUGAUAGCACUGCAGGGUAUCCGAUGUUAUCCUUCAUGGAUGGUUUUUCUGGGUAUAAUCAGAUUUUGAUGGCUCCAGAGGAUAUGGUGAAGACUUCUUUCAUUACUGAGUGGGGUACUUACUGCUACCGAGUUAUGCCAUUUGGGUUGAAGAAUGCAGGAGCCACUUAUCAGAGAGCUGCUACUACUCUGUUCCAUGAUAUGAUGCAUAGAGAUGUCGAGGUCUAUGUGGAUGACAUGAUAGUAAAGUCCCGAGACAGGGCAGAUCACUUAGCAGCCUUACAAAGGUUUUUUGAGAGGAUCAGACAGUUCAGGCUGAGAUUGAAUCCUAAGAAGUGCACCUUUGGGGUGACUUCUGGAAAAUUGCUGGGACACAUUGUUAGUGAGCGAGGUAUAGAAGUUGAUCCAGAGAAAAUCAGAGCCAUACUUGACAUGCCUACCCCGAGGACUGAGAAAGAGAUAAGGGGAUUCCUAGGUAGAUUGCAGUACAUCAGUCGUUUCAUUGCUAGACUGACAGACAUUUGUGAGCCUAUCUUCCGUAUUCUGAGGAAGAAUCAGCCUACAGUUUGGAAUGAUGAUUGUCAGCGCGCUUUUGAGAGGAUUAAGGAGUGUCUCCUUUCUCCUCCAGUUUUAGUGCCUCCCACACCGGGGCGUCCUUUGCUUCUGUACCUAUCAGUUUCAGACAUGGCCUUAGGAUGCAUGUUAGCUCAGCUUGAUGAUUUGGGGAAGGAGCGAGCCAUCUAUUAUUUGAGUAAAAGGAUGCUUGAGUAUGAGUGCAAGUACAUUAUGAUUGAGCGCCUUUGCUUAGCAGUGGUUUGGGCCACUAGGAGACUUAGACAUUACAUGACAGAGUAUUCUGUGCUCUUGGUCUCACGAUUGGACCCGUUGAGGUAUCUAUUUGACAAGUCUGUUCUGACCGGUAGGCUCAUGAGAUGGCUGGUAUUGUUGACAGAGUUUGAUAUUCAUUAUGUCACGCAGAAGUCAGUAAAUGGAAGCAUUGUUGCAGAUCAUCUAGCUUCUUUGCCGAUAUCCGGUGACCGAUCAAUUGAUGAUGAUUUCCCUGAUGAGCAGAUAGUUUCAAUGACUAGUAUUACGGGGUGGCGGUUAUACUUUGAUGGUGCCGCCAAUCAGUCGGGGUUUGGCAUUGGUAUCUUAUUGAUAUCACCAUAGGGUGAUCAUAUCCCCAGAUCAGUCCGGUUAGCAUUUUCUAAUCAUCACCGGUUGACGAAUAAUAUUGUAGAGUAUGAGGCUUGCAUUACAGGUUUGGAGACUACAAUUGAUCUUGGCAAUAGACAGUUGGAGAUCCACGGGGAUUCCAACUUGGUUAUAAAGCAGACUCAAGGUAUCUGGAGGACACGGGAUGAGAAGCUGAAACCCUACCAUGCUUACUUGGACCUGUUGAUUGAUAGAUUCGAUGUGUUAAGGUAUAUACAUUUGCCCAGGGUGGAGAAUCAGUUUGCCGAUGCAUUAGCCACCUUGGCUUCUCUGAUUGUGAUCCCUGCGGGGGUGAAUGUUAGGCCAUUGUUGAUUGAGACUAGGUCUGCACCAGCUUACUGUUGUCUGAUUGGAGAGAUAGAGGAUCAGAUUGAGCUGCCAUGGUAUCAUGAUAUUUAUCAAUUUCUGUCAUGCGGCGCUUACCCAGAGUCAGCCUCGGCCAAGGAUAGGAGAGCAUUGAGACAGUUGGCCACCAGAUUUGUUGUUUGCGGGGAUGCGCUGUAUAGGAGAUCACCUGAUGGCUUGUUAUUAUUAUGUUUAGACCGUGCAUCUACAGAUCGAGUGAUGAAAGAGGUUCAUGCAGGGGUCUGUGGCCCACACAUGGGAGGUCAUAUGCUAGCACGUAAGAUCAUGAGGACUGGCUACUUUUGGUUGACCAUGGAGACAGAUUGUUGCCAGUUUGUACAGAGAUGUCAGGAGUGUCAGAUGCAUGGAGACUUGAUACACGUGCCACCUUCUGAGUUGCAUGCACUUGCAUCCCCUUGGCCAUUUUCAGUAUGGGGUAUUGAUAUUAUUGGGAAGAUCUCGCCCAAGUCUUCCAGUGGGCAUGAGUACAUUUUGGUUGCCAUUGACUAUUUCACCAAGUGGGUGGAAGCUGCUUCUUAUGCUAGGUUGACAGCGGCUAGAGUGGCCAAGUUCAUCAGAUCGCAUAUUAUCUGCCGAUACGGGGUCCCUCAUGAGCUGAUCUCAGACAGAGGGGUGCAUUUCAAGGGUGAGGUGGACACGUUGAUUCAAGAGUAUGGCAUUCAGCAUCACAGAUCGUCUGCAUACAGGCCACAGACUAAUGGAGCAGUUGAGGCCGCAAAUAAGAAUAUCAAGAGGAUUUUGAGAAAGAUGGUCGAGACUUCUCGGGAUUGGUCAGAGAAGCUCCCUUUCGCAUUGUGGGCUUAUCGUACAUUUUUUCGUACCUCUAUUGGAGCUACCCCGUAUUCUUUGGUGUAUGGUAUGGAGGCAGUGCUACCUAUUGAGAUUGAGAUGAGAUCUUUGAGAGUAGCACUAGAGCAGCAUAUAUCCGAGGCCGAGUGGGCCCAGUCUCGUUAUGAUCAGCUUAGCCUGUUGGAUGAGAAGAGAUUGAGGGCGGCAGAUCAUGUUCAGGCCUAUCAGAGGAAGAUGACCCGUGCAUUCAGAAAGAGGGUCAAGCCUAGGAAAUUCCAGAGAGGUGACCUAGUCUUGAAAGUCCUCAGGGGAUUGAUCAGCGACCCUAGAGGCAAGUUUAGACCGAGUUGGAGCAGGCCUUAUGUCAUCCGAGAUCUGACUCGAGAGGGAGCUGCCUGGUUGACAGACCUAGACGGAAAUCAGUUCAAAGAGCCAGUUAAUGUGGAUCAGCUGAAGAAGUUUUAUGCAUGAGAUCAUGGUCAGAGGAUGGGUGGCCGUCACUUCGAGUAGCCAUAUUCCCUAUUGCACACCCAUACAUUGAUAUAUACUAUUGCUAGCCCUUUGAGCCUCACAUGGUUUAUUAUGGCCUUUUCUUUCAUUCAGCCUUGCAUACCUUUUCUGACCUGGGUUGGGGGCCUACCCUUGUGCGCUUUGUAUUUAUUGAUUGGAUCUAUGAGCAUUGUGGGCAUGGUGUCAUUCUUCGUUUGUUCUUUCUUGCAUCAUUGCCUUUUUCUUUUCGUCUCCAUUUUGCAUCUUCACACCGUCUACCUGUUAGUCCAGUUUCUAUCAUCUCUAUUCACUUCGCUUCUGUUUUCCCUUCUGUGAUGAUGAUGCGUUCUCGUCCCAGAGCUACCAGUCAGGUUUGUCACACCCUUCGUUCCGCCUGUAGGCUUUGAUCCAAGAUUCUUAGGUUGAAGGGGUCGGUCAAGAUUGGAGGUUUGGGGUUCUUUUUGUUGGAUUGUGAUAGUAUGGAAUUCAGCCCAAAAAAAAAAAAAGAAAAAAAAAAAAGAAAAAGGAAAAAUUAAAAUUUAAAAAAAAAAAAAGGAAAAAUUGUGCUUGUUUGGUGUUCGUUGAUAUACUUGGGAUCAUCAGAGGUGGUUUUGGGUUUGAGAGAUUUCUUUUUCUUUUAAGAGUCGGAUGAGAGCAUUGUACGAUCCUUCUCACCAUGGAUCUGGGCGACACAUUGGGAGUGAGGUUUGGGUUUCCUUAGCACUAGGCCCUUGGAUCAUUGCCUACAUCACCAUUCCCAUCAUAUAGUGACUUGCUUUGAUUUGGCGUUCUUAGGAUGAGUUGUUCGUCGUUGUCACAUAUUGCUAUAUUUGUAUCCCAGUUGGUUUCUCCAUUUUCUUCUACACCCAUUCAUCAUUCAUCUUGUCCCUUUUCGUUUGCUUCUAUCCUCGUUGAUCGUCGUUUCACUUCAUGAACGAUGAGUUCUUUGGUGCGUAUCACCUAUUGUUUGUUUUUUAUUUGGAUGCAGGGUUGAGUCACCUUGCUCACAUGGUUCUGCGAUAUUUGACAUUGCGCACACAGGGGUUUGGCAUUAUCUAUUGGGAGAUUUGGGCCUUUGUUUCCCAUCGUUUCAUUCACCUUUUACCCCUGGCCUACAUUACGGUCCGAGUCGUAAGACCACCCUGAGGCCAUGAGAUCUCGUGUUUGCUUCGAUGCGGUUCAUUCGGACAGGCUUCGUCUACUGAUUGAGUAUGGGAUGUUGACAGGUCUCCAUUACUUCGGGGGAUAUCGAGGGUCACAUAUUGUCUUUCCAUUCAGUUUACUUGCCUCAGGUCCAUGAUCAGAGAUAGAUGAUAUAGAGAGUUGGGACCGUUGAGGGCACCUUUGCCUGAUGUUUUGACACGUUUAUACUAGGGCAUGCUCCCAUCCUUGCAUGCUGGCUUUGGCUCUUUAUACAUGUACGCAAGCAUUCCAUUUCGCCUAGCAAUGUUAUGGACAUCAAAGUUUGAGUAAGCCCCGCAUUCAGCUCAGUUUCUUCAUAUAGCAGAGUGCUUCUAAGGUCUGACCCGAGAUCAGAUUCACGGUAUUCAUUGACCCAGCAGGGGUGCAUACCCCAUUCAUUGUGUUGUUCGUCAGUUCAAAUGAGUGGGUCUUCAGUGAUGUAUUCCAGAGUUUUCAUUAAGAUAUUUGAGUUUCAGAUGUACACACUGGGGCAUAUCCCCUAUCAGUUUUUGUGGAUAUUGGCUGUUGUGGAUUAGAGUGGAGGGUUUUUUCCUUAGAAAUGGAUGAUUGUGAUAUUUUCAGCUUUCUAGCUUUAACCAUAUGUGCGGUUAUGGGAUUCUAACAUGAUAUUGAUAUCUUAGACUGGGGCAUAACUCCUUCCUUUCACCCUUGGUCACAUUUGUGAGUUUGUCCUAUAGGGGCAUACCCCAUUCUUUCCAUUUGUUAGUGGUGAUUGUGAUUUCCCGCUUGUCAUUUAUCGGCAUUUUCUGCUGUUACACCGGGGCAUACCCCUUUCUUUUGUCAUGAUGAAGGUGUUUGAUUUCUGGCUUCUUCGAGUCAUUUGUUGGCAGUCCCUGGACGUCAUACUGGGGCAUACCCCUUUGUUAUCAUGGUUAGUAUAUCAGCGGUUGCAUCUUGAGUCCCCCUAUUUUGCUCUGAGUUUUGUUUUAAGGCAUCCUCUGUCUGUUUAGGUGUUUUGAACCUUAGUAAUGGCAUCCCUACCCCCUUUUAGUUCGGUGGUUCCUCGGUAUCGUGCUCGAGUUCGAUCGCCCGAAUUCCACCAUUUUCCGGUACUCGCCCGGACCCUUCUCCGGUACUCGCCCGGAUUUUACCCGUUUUCGAUACUCGCCCCGAACCUUUUUCGGUACUCGCCCGGACCCUUCUCCGGUACUCGCCCGGACCCUUCUCCGGUACUCGCCCGGAUUUUACCCGUUUUCGGUACUUGCCCGGAACCUUCUCCGGUACUCGCCCGGACCCUUCUCCGGUACUCACCCGGACCCUUCUCCGGUACUCACCCGGACCCUUUUCCGAUACUCGCCCGAAUUUUACCCGUUUUCGGUACUCGCCCGGAUUCCACCAUUUUUCGGUACUCGCCCGGAUUCCACUGUUUUUCGGUACUUGCCCGAACCCUUCUCCGAUACUUGCCCGGAUCAAAUCCCUAAUCUUUCCCGGCAUCGUGAUCGGGUCUCCUUUUCUCUUUCUCCGGCAUCGUGCCUAGAUCCCAUAGUCCAUUCAGUCAGCAUGACUUAUUUCCCUUAGCCUUCUUUAUUGUUGGGUGGGGACAAAAUUGUUGGUCAUUUGGGUUCUUCACUAGAGUUCAUUUCACUCAUGCGUUACAUGCACUUCGCACUCAAGAUUCACUCGUUCAUUCACUUUACUGAAGAGGGGCAUAUUUGUAGACCCUCAAUUUUGUCCCUCGACACUGGCAUUUAUCCUUCUGGUGUCACAUCCACCCAUCGUUCGCAUAUGACACCACUAGGGCCCCUUUUAGGCUUAGUCGGUGUCCGAGCCUCUUGUGGGUUUGUGUGUGGUCCAUUGUGGUGCAUAUGUGGUUCAUUUAGGAGGGUCACCAUGGCCAUUUUCCUAGUCGUUCACAUCACGCUAUAGGAAGGAAGUGGGGUCAUCCCGAUGUUUUAGCUUAGUUGGGGUUUAUAGGGGCAUGUUGAGGUUCGGAGCACUCGGGCUUGUUUUGAUCGUAUCUCCCUCAUCCAAACUCGGAAUCAAGAACCGUUUCUUUUUAUGGAUUCCUUAUUCUUCCAGGAACAUUCUGUAAAAUUUUCAAAAUUUUUUUGCAACAAGUCGGCUGGUUGGCAGCCGGUUCAUUAGGUCAGCCGGUGUAGAACACUGAUUUUUGGUAAUUGUUUUGAUCAUAUCUCCCUCUUCCGAACUUGGAAUCAUGCACCAUUUUUUUAAUAGAUUCCUUACUCUACUAGGAACAUUCUGUCAAAUUUUCGGAAUUUUUCUCCAUCGGGUCGACCAGUUGGCAUCCGGUUCGGCCGGUUCAGCCGGUUCAUUGAGUCAGCUGAGGUAAAACACUAAUUCUAGUAAUUUUGAGGCCCAAAUCCUACAUGGCUCAGGCCCAUAAGCUCUAGAUUGGUUUUGGGCAAUGUUGUGGGUCCAUUUUAGGCCUUGGUUUGGGUUCCUUGCAGCCCACCACGAAUCCAUAUGGAUUCUUGGUGGUGAAGCAAGCUGAAAAAACUGAAGGGAGUGAGCUGGCCUUGUAAGUCUAAGAGAAGUAAUGAGGGGUGUGGUUCCCAUGCUGAUGAAGGGAAUUUCGGUGCUGAAGGGGAAGGAACCCAGGAGGCUCAAAUUCUAAGAGGGGUAUGAGUAUAAAAGGUGAGAGGAUAGGAGAGCAAAGGACCUUGGACAUUUUGGAGAGGGGAAAUUCUGCUGGUGAGAAAAACAAAAGGUCAAUAGCAUCUUCUGAGUUGAGAGUGUGGGGAAAGCUUCAACACUGUGGUUUUUUUGAAGAGGAGAGUGACAGCCUCUCAGUUUUGGAACUCAUCAUUGGCAUGCACGGAUCAUAUUUGGUGGAGAUUCUAAGGUAAGCAUGCUGAAUUUUCUUUACUUACAACUUAUCUUCCUCGUCUUCAUAUGUUUUUUCUCCUUCCUCAUCAUCUUUUCUUCCCUUUGAUAUGAAGAUUGUAUUGCUUGGGUGUGGACAAUAAAGGCCACACAUGAUUGUUGUUGUUUGCUUCCUUAAUCACUUAGGAAUUUUCUGACCAAAUUUGGGAUUUUUUUACCAACCGGCUGAACCGGUUUGGAACCGGUUCAGCACCAUAGCUGGCAGCCUCUGUCAGCCAUGAGGAACACUUUCCUUUCUUUGUCUAGUUCUCACUCAUCCGGGGUUGGAAUUGAGAACCAUUUCUUUUGUUUGCUUCCUUAAUCACUUAGGAACUUCCUGACCGAAUUUGGGAUUUUUUACCAACCGGCUGAACCGGUUUGGAACCGGUUCAACUGGUUCAGCACCAUAGCUGGCAGCCUCUAUCAGCCAUGAGGAACACUUUCCUUUCUUUGUCUGGUUCUCACUCAUCCGGGGUCGGAAUUGAGAACCGUUUCUUUUUUUUGCUUCCUUAAUCACUUAGGAACUUACUGACCCAAUUUGGGAUUUUUUAUCAACCGGAUGUACUGGUUGGGAACCGGUUCAAUCGGUUCAGCACCAUAGUUGGCUGCCUCUUUCAGCCAUAAGGAACACCUGCCUUUCUUUGUCUGGUUCUCACUCAUCCGGGCUCGGGAUUGAGUGUCGUUUCUUUUGUUUGAAUCCUCACUCAUUUAGGAGUUUUCUAGAAAAAUUUGGGAAUUCUUCUCAAUGGGUUGUACCAGUUGAGAACUAGUUAAACCUGUUCUGCUGGAGGACUUUAGGUAGCCCUCGAUUUUGGCAUUUUUCGAGCUCUUAUCCAUGGGGGCUCAAACCCAUUUGCUAUAGGGCACUUGAGAGCCAUCUUGAAGGUUUAAGUCAGUAUUUGAUUUCAGUUAGUAUGGGAAAUUUUGAAGUUAUGGGUGGUGUGGUCUAGAUGAGUCUAGUUCGAUUUGUAUGACAUUUGGGGAGUCCCUUACCUCAUUUCAACCAACUAUCCUCCCUUUUGGCACAAGCUUUGAUGCUUGAUUUUGAAUACAUUGUUGCGUGAUUGACUCACCCUUUGCUGCAGCGCUUGGCUAGGGACCACAGGUACGCAUCGUUGGCUUUGGUUGUUGAAUUCAUAUGCAUGCAUGGUGCUUAAUCUUGAAUGUUUGUUAUGUGUUUAUCUGUGUUUGGCUGACCUUUUAUGCAGCGCUUAGCUAGGGACCACAGGUAUGCACCCAUCGUUUUGUUUGGUUGAAUUCAUAUGCAUGCCAAAUACCAAUUAGGAUUGUGUGAUUCAUGACAUCUAUUUAGCCUAGGGUUUCAUUUGACCUUUGACCCAUAUGCUCCCACAUACCCAAUUCAUUAGUAAAGACCGAGUUUCGGACCUAGAGGGGUGCUACCUCGCAUGAGGUACCUUCCCAACGGGUAACCUGAUCCCCGGACCCAGAAUCUAGUUUUCGUAGACCGCUCUUUCCAUACUGGGGUCAUUAGGGGUUUUUGUUCUUACUUAAUUUGCCCCAUUUUAAAAACAAAAAUAAAAAGUAAGUGGCGACUCCAAACAACACCGUUCCUCACCAAGGGCGGGUUUUUCAAAACUGGAAAACACCAACUUUUUCAUUUCUUUCUUUUCUUUUAAAAGCGAGUCGCGUCGAUCCGGUGGAUCGGGUGAGGGUCCACACCACCAUAGAGUAGUUGUGUUAGUAAAGUAGAGGGUUGCAGUCCUUACCUUAGCCACCUCAUCAGUUAGUGUGAUAGCCUUGAAGUAUCGUUCCAUAUGCCAUAAGAAGUUGUCCAACUCCUUGGCAUCCCACUUGCCACUAAACCCUUAUGGCUUCGGUACCUUCACCCUAGAUGCCUCCUGUGUGGCCAUGACCCAUGCCGACAUAGCAGCCUUGUAGAUGGCCAACUCUUGUCUAACCUCCUGGUCUCAGGACUCCAUUCAAGUGGCCAAGGCCUCCAUCCUUGACUCCAUGCUAGCAAGCAUACUCAAGACCUUUUCUUGGAAGGACACAAACUCCCCGUGCGACACUGGUUGAACUUGUGAGACUAGAAUCCCCUCAUGAAGGUCUUGGAUAUGUUCCCUAAGAUCCUUCAUACCCUUUUCCAUGCCUUGCUUGAUCAAGUCCAACCUCUCCUGAGUAUCCUCCAUGGCUAGCUCCACCUUGGCUAACCUUGUCUCCAUGUUGGCAAUGGCAUCACGAGACUUAUCCUUCUUACUCUUGUCCCGUGUAGUAGGCUCGGUCUCCCUUCCAUGAGUUUGCUCACUAGCGUCCUCAACGUUGGACCUUGACAUGCUUCCUUCACAAUGCCAGCUUCACAACCAUGCUCUGAUACCAACUAUCAUGGACUUAGUCUUUUACUAAGCUCGUGCAGCACUUAGACAAGCCAAACCCUUGAUCUUGCUAAGUCAACCUUACUCCUGAUGCUUAGCAUGCUAGCUUAAGAUGCACCUGACUUAGAAGCUUUAGAGGAAGUAGUAGGCAACUCUUAAAUAAUGGAAGCUUUAUUGCUCAAAGGAAGUCGUACAAGUGUUUUGGAACUCACUUUCUUGGUUAAGAAGUGAUUCGGGUGGUGUGUUGGCCAAAUGAAGCCUUUACCUAUUUAUAGGCACCUUAGGAAGUCUCUAAAACCUUGGAGGGUUCCUUACAAAUCAAGAAUAAUCUAGAAGCUCCUACACUAGUCUAUGUACAAGGGUAUGUACAAGAUGACUUUGGAAGAUUCUAGAACACCCCACACUAUUCCAAUGCUCUCCUAGCCAAGUGUAGAGAUGUAUGGACAUCUCUAGCCCUCUCUAGAAGCUUCCAUACUCUUCCAUUUUGUAGUUAAGUGUAGAUGUCUCCAAGGGUCUCUAGAAGCCUCCCACGUCCUAUAUAAACCCAUGGGGAGGGUCAUUUGAAGCAUCUUGUGACAUUAAGCUACCUUAGGUACUACCUUAUCGAAGCUUAGGUACUACCUUAGUUAAACUUGGGUACUACUUUUCUGAAGCCUUGGAACUUCAAUUGUGGACAUUACUUAAUUCAUUUGUGACCCUUAGAGCAUCCCAUUAUGUAAUUAAUUAGUGUGCUCAAUUGGUUCACCUUUAUUAUUUUGGGAAUUGUACCUUAGGUACCACCUUAAUAUAUCUUAGGUACUACCUUAGUUAAACUUGGAUACUACUUGUCCGAAGCCUUGGAACUUCAAUUGUGGACAUUAAUUACUUCAUUUGUUACUCUUAAAGCAUGCCAUUAUAUGAUUAUUUAGUGUGCUCAAUUGCUUCACCUUUUUUAUUUUGGGGAUUGUACCUUUAGGUACUACCUUAAUAGCCCUUAGAUACUAUCUUAGUUAAACUUGGGUACUACUUAUGUGAAGCCUCAAAACUUGAUUCCCAAGCUUGGCUUGUUAUAUUUUGGAUUUUUUAAUUAAUCAUCACAUUUAUUAUCCUAAAACGUGGUAUACAUGUGUGAAUUAUAUAUGUUUUGUACUAUCUUUUGCAAUAGUCAUUACAUGAUUGAUUGUAAAAAAUUAACUAACAACAAUUAUGUCAUUAGAUGACGAACAUGCAAAAAAAACAUACUAUGUAGUGUUUGUGGAUCGCAAACAUGGAGUGUAUGAUUCUUAAGUUGAAUGUUAAAAGAAUGUGCUCCUUUAUAAGGGGAGUGUCUACAAAGCAUAUACUUCUAGAUAUUAAGUUGUCCAAGCUUAGGUGUUCUAUGAACCAAGAUGGAAGAUAAGUGAUGAAUAUUCAUCAACUGGAAAACCAAAGUCCGAACAUGCAAUUGAUGAUGACCAUUCCUUGCAAAAUAUUUCAUAUACAUAUGUAAUCGGUUUCUUUGCUAGCUUCUUGUAGCAUUUGUUACUUAUUGUAAUAUCUAGUUUAACAUAGGUUGUGGAAAUGUGUUAUGAAUAUCAAUGUCUAGUAACGUGGUUUUCGUAGUGUUCAUAGGUAUUAUGUGACUAUUAUUAUCAAUUUUGUUACACUUAAAAUGAUGAGUCAAACGUUUGGAGCAUAAGACAACUUGUUUGUUAACGCUCACAGCUAUGGAAUUGAAUAUCCUAAAUGACUAAUGUCAUUCUUCAUCCGUCACAACUUUAAAGUGUUUUGAAGGAAGUUUCAGUUGACUAUAUGUAUGGACUAACAUGUUAUGUACAACUAUUAACUAUACACACUCAUAAUAAUUAUUUUGUUUUUGUAUUACUUGUCUCAGUGAACUAUAAUGUUGUUGGAUAGCUUGGACAUCAAAUUGAAUUUUUUAUGUUUAACCUUAUCAUGAGUCUUCUCAUGCAGGUAGUAUUGACAAUUAUAAAUUGUUAUGUCUCGUUGUGAAUUAUUAACCAUAUAGAACAAGUCUUCAGCUACUUCCAUUCACUUUGGCGCAUGCUAUUCACUGCACAUAAUUAAUGUUGAAAAGACUACACACUAUUUUCAAUAAUAUCAUGUGCAAGAAGGUCUUGUUUUAACUGCAUUUAUGUGAUGUUGAAAGUAUCCAUAAAGUGUUGUCCACUCUACAAAAACAGAGCACCCAAGGGCUAUGAAUUAUUUUAACACUUAUUAUUGAGAAACUACUCACUCUUUAUGUCAAGUAUCAUUGUAGCAAUUUAUUCUGUCUUGGAAUUCUACAGUGUGUGUACAUAAAGUGGUGACCCGCAACCAAAUUACUAUAACACAGUCAUAUGCAACAAUUUAUUGAAAAUACUCAUCACAUUUUCGUUGCAAUCUUCAUUGUAGGAAGUUAUUAUGUUUACAAAGAUUGAGCUAUGAAGACUACAUAAAGUAGGCACCCUUAACCAUUUGAAUACUAAAUAUUACAACAAGGCCUCUUUAUUUGCAAGAAGAAGAUGCAUUCCAAAAUUUUCAUUUUCAAUUAACUUAAUCACCGUUAGUAUUAUCAUCAUGCAUUUUAGUAUCUGAUUUAUACUCUAGUGUUGUGAGUAAUUCAACAACUUCAAUUAGGUUCAUAUUUUGUCCACAUUUUCUUGCAGUAUGAAACAACUCUUUCAACAUGAAAUAUCUAUUUCUUUGAAUAGUCAUUCUAUUGUUCUCUUCCUGAAUGCAGUUUAAUGUCUUACGUAAUUAAAUCAUUCCAUUCCUAUCGAUCAUUUUUGCAUAACGACAUGGUAUAGGUGCACUAAGGACUUGAAAAUCCUCAACAAGCGUUUCUGCUUCAUCAACACGACACUCCCAUUCUCUGAUCAUUGUUUGCAACCUGUGGUCAUUGUAACAAUUACACGACAUCAUUGCAUAGUAGAAUUCAUCUUCCAAAACCCAAUAAGGCCUUGUACAAUUAAAAACAUCUCUUGGACUUCAAUAUUUACCAAAUGACUGUGCAAGUUUUGAUACAUGGCUAUCGCUUGUCCCAUGUGUACAAUUGUUGAUGAAUGAUAUAUAUAGCCACCUGUAUAAAAUCACUUCACAUAAUUUACUCGUCAACACAUUGCAAUUUCAAUUGAAGUGAUAACACAUUUAGGCUCAUUUAAUUGCGGUCUCAUGUAUGCUACCUCUCCACUUGACCUUUUAUAAUUUGUAUGGAAAAACAGGUUUUCUUACACUUUGGAAUUCACCAACCUUUAUUGCACAACAACUUCCACUUGAUUUGACAAUUCCUUGUGAUAGGUGAAUUCAUAACUCACCAUGUACAUGACGUACUCCAUUUUCACGUUGUCUGAAUUGAUAGGUCACAUCACCAUAACUUGUAUGCAUUGUAAGCCAUGAAUGGAGGUUUCACUGUUAGGUUAUGCGUCAUGCACAUGUAUUGUAUAGUUCAAUAUCUAUUGUUUUAUAAUGUAUUCAACCCCUUAGAGUUGCAAUUACUUUAUCAUUUGACAAUAAAUUUCAUCAUUUAUAAAUUAAUACAAUGCACACCCCUUUUAGCCGAGUUAAUGGUUGGAGACCAUGAGAGACCCAAUUCAACAAGGAAUUCAAGCUCAUCGAUGCGAUAACCGACAUUGGGUAUUACCUGGUCCAUAUAGUUACAGUGGCUUAUGGACCUCAAAUAGAAAAGAGUAUUAUGCAACGGUGCUAAUGAAUGGGUUCAACGGGUGAAUGAGUCAAACAUUCUCAUCAAAGAGUUGUGUGCACUGCAUGCUCCAUUUCCAUGUCAUCAUUCCUUCUAAAUGUCAUGAAAUAACCUCCCUGAGUACAUUGCAACACUUUUGCAAAUACGAGAGGAAAACAAUAGAAUGGUAAUUCGCAAAGCAAGGUUUUUCUUAUUAUGUAUUGCCCAAGAAAAUGCAAACAAUAAUGGUAGAGAGUUAUCCUCCAUGGAGCGCAAUACAUUAUUACAAAAUCCUAAUUAUGCCUCCAAUUAUUCUAUGUCCGAUGAGGAUUAAGAGUAGACCUUUGAAACUCAUUAUGUCGUCAUAUGUUUUGUAUGCCAUUUGAAACUCAACCUAGGUUUAUAUUUCAUUACAAAUGUUUAUUGUUAGUUGCCUUAUGUGGAGUACAUCUAUUUGUAUUUUUUCUUUGUUUGGUUUUUCUUACUUUUCUUUUCCAAUCUCAAGCAUUCUCAAUAACUAAUUAUGGUAGUGAUUCUAUACAUCCAUGACAUACUACAAGUGUAGUUGAUGUUUUGGCUUUUGUGAUCUCUUAAACAAACCAAAAACAUCCCUUUUCUGGACUUCCAAUUGUCUUUUAUGGAUUGAAUAUAAACCAUUAUUAGGGGUGUAAAUUGUUGGGUUUUAAUACCAAAGGACUUUUGCAAUAAGUUGUUGCUUUAUCACCACAAUCUUUGUCUUCAAAAUUGUGGUUUUUGUAUUUACAACUUAUGAAGUAAACAAUGCUACUGUUGCAUUCAAUUUUUGUUUAGUAUUGAGUGUUUAAUACUUCUUCAAUAAAAUAAUUUGUAUUUGGCCUAUGCUCGAUUCUUACUGUGAAACACAAGGCAAUGGUUUCAUUUGAAUCCCAUGAAUUACCCAUUAUAUGUAAAAUGGUGCAUGGAUGGAGAAAAAGACCUAUAUGUAUAAUCUAUUGCAAGUUUAGUAUGAUUUUUUCACCAUAUGUAAGAUAGUUUGCACCAAAUCCAAGAAAAAAACAACAUUAGGUAAUGAAUACAAGUCUAUACUACAUGCACAUGAGAAAUAAAUGAGAAAGGCUACAAUACUCAUUGAAGCAUAUUAAUUCAUACCAGUGACACAGUCAAAGGUGUGCAAAGUUUGUCUUCAUUCUUCUUUGAGUCCCCAUGAAAACAAGUUGAAGGCUCUCCAAACUCCCAAUCUCACGCUUGACAGGAGAGCUCAAGAAGCAACACCAUCUGUCUUAAGUAACACCAUCUCCCAGUCCCAUGAUGAAAAUACAAUAUUUUUCGAAAAUGUUAUUGAUAUGAAAAUACAACAUUUCUCAAGCUAUACAAACUAGUAAUUGUAGUCACCUUGUAUAUAUGAGAUGUUAUCCCUAGGAAAAAAAGCAAAAUUUUCAGUUUAGGUAGAGUAAAUAGCAUAUAUAGAGGUUUCGAACAACAAUUCCAAGCAAAACACAUGUAUAAAAGAGGGGUUAUGUAGCGAAAUUAUCUACAGAUGAUGUGAGUUUGGUUUUGUUUAAGAAUGACCAUGAAUCACAGUCCUCAAAUAAAUGAAUAAGUGCAAAAAAUAGAAAGUCACCAACGUCGACCGCAUUUACCAAGAGGUCGAUCGGUUGGCUACCGAUUAAUUAGUUCGUUAGGUUGAGAAUUUAUAAAGUCAUUCUCGUCCUUCUGUUUUUUGCAACAUCUCCUCUAUUCUUUAAUGGGUCUUAUUGAUUUUAGGUUGUAAAAUAUAUUUUGGUGUGCUUCGAACUAAUUAAACUAAUUUUGGGAGAGAUUUGAGGGCUUCCAAGGCUAGGGUUUCGGAUUUGGGUCAUUUUCUCUUCAUUCUGUGUGUCACAAGCAGCUCUGUCAUCGAUCCCUCUCCAUUUUUGUUUGUUGGGGCUUCAAGUGCCAGCUUCUACCAUUUCCUCCUCUCCUCAUUACUUUAUCUCCAUCUUUUAUGGCUCCUAAAUGAGAACUGGUAGCUUCCAAGGCACAAAGCAAGCGCCCAACAGAGUCGUCUCAACCAUAGGCAUGGUAAAAGGCGUGUUUUGACACUGCCCUAUUUAGUAUCACAGAUGAGUACCAACGAUACAAACAACAUUUCUCUCAUCAUCAUGUGGUUCCUAGGAGAGACAUUAACUUUGCCCAACCAAGCUACUUUGGUUUUCAAGACCUUUUCAUGAGGAUGGGAUGGUUUUUGGUUGUGUCUUUACCCAAGCCCGUCUUUCCAUCCUUGGUUCGGGCAUUUUAUGCCAAGAUGAGGUAUCAUGUUGGAGGUCCUAUUUCCUAUACCUUGAGAGCAGUGGAGAUUGAGCUCAAUGCUAACUCUAUUUAGCGGAUUCUUGGAGUGCCAAUUAUGGGAUUAAGGAUAUAUGAGUCUAAGGUGUGGCCUCCUAUUGUGGGAUUUAAGCCUAGAAAGGCCAUUCAGAGGAUAUGUGGACUGCCAGAUGCCCAUGGGAUGGGCAAGCCAUUGUCACACAGCUUGACAAUCAUCUUUAGAGUGUUCCAUCACAUGCUACGCUUCACUUUCUUGCCAUGGGGUGGACACCGAGAUGAGGUGUUCUACACUAAUGCGUUCUUGAUGGAUUCUAUCCUGACUGGGAAACGAAUUCAUUUAGGAUAUCUUAUGAUGAUGCAUAUGAUUGCUUGCUAUGAGAGUAGGACUAGAGUUUUCCCUUAUAGACACUUUCUCUCUUUAGUAUUUAAGGAGGUCGACAUAGACUUGAGCAAAGAGACAGACUUUGAGGUUCCUAGUAUCUAUGACAUAUAUAAUGACCAGUCUAUGGGGAUGAUGAAAUUUGAGAAGGCUAAAGAUGGUUCUUGGAUAAAAAAAAGCAGAAAGAGGACAAGCACAAGAAUAGGUACACCCUAGAGUUAAGGAGGAUGCAGAGAUUAGGGAGAUGAAGGGUGGAGUAGACCCUCAGAGUGGACUAGACCCUUAAAGUGGCAACCAAUAGAGAGGUCCCGAGCUUCAUAUUCCCCCACUUCAUACAACGAUUCCUUCACAGACCAGGGGUGUUCAAUUUGAGUCCACCUUCCCUAAGUCGGCUUUUACAAAGGGACCAUCUACUCAGCCAUCACACACCGAGCCCUCCUUCUUUGGACCAAAUUCACUGAGCCCACCUAUGUUGAGAUACCACGACCUCAUGCACCUCCUGCUCCUGACCAUGCGCCAUGGAUGGACUUAUCAACCCAUAUUUGCUUUCUUAGCACUCGCAUGGAAGAGCUUACAGUGGUCACUGACACAUGAUUUUACUUCAUGGAGGAUAGGAUGGACCAAUAUCAAACUGGGUUAACUUCUCAAUUUGAGUCUCUCUAGUAGAAGAUUGAUUGCUUUGAGGAUCACAUAGAGCAAAGGAUUACUUCCAUUCAUGAUCACAUGGAGCGUUAGCAUGACAAGAUGAUGGCCUACUUGCGUUCCGUGUUUCCAUCUCCACCUUCUUAGCCUUGAUUCAUUCGAUACCCCCCUUGUUGUUUUUUUAUGUUGCGAAAGAGGGAGAUAUUUUAGGAUUUAGGAAGCUAGAUGUAGGAGACUCGUACAUGCAUAUCAGUUUGUAUCGUAUAUUACUUAUCUAUAGUUUUAUUGGACAUAUGAUGUACUAACUGAAACAUUUGACAUGAUAUAUGAUAACCUAAUAUUCUUGAUGACUUAAAUUGGAUGUUUCUUGUUGCAAUAUUUGAUAACAUGAGAAAUUCAUGUUACAUUGGAUUUUAUUAUCUAAAAAUCAUUAGAAAGAAACCAUUAUUAUCUACAAAUCAUUAGAGUUAUAACUAUGAGAAAUUCUAAGUAGAGAGACCGAGGAAGGGACAAGGGCUUCUAUAAGCCACCCAAGUGUGCCUUCAACACUAUGCAAAUAUGUGGUAAAUUUGAAACGAAAAGAGAAACUAUUAUUAUCUAAAUGUCAUAAGAGGUAUGACUAUGACAAAUUCUAAUUAGACCUGUGUUCCCACAAGCUAAUGAUUUUCAUGUGGCUAGCUAUCUAGUAAGUGGUCUUUGAUUUUUUGGUACAGGUGCAAUUGAGAGAGAGAUUAAUGGCUAUCAAGUAUAUUUGAAAAAGCCAAAACCAAACGCAACAGUCAUUCAUUUUGAGAUGAAUGCCAUCAUCUAUAUGAAGACAACUUGACAAACAAUUACCAGUAGAUUAGGUAAGGCCUUAAAACUUCCCUUGUAUUGAGCCUGUCAACUCAUUAAAAGAGAAAUAAACCAAUCAAUGAGCCAAAAUUAUGUAUUUGUUGGUCACAUUUUGCAUUGAUACAAAGGUUUCUAGGUUUUACUUAUACAAAACAAAUGGCAUAUGAAUGCAUAGGUGCACUAUGGAGUUUCAUAUCUUUUUAUGCAUAUUUAAUAACUUGAUUUAUGCAUUAAAUUUGCAUUUCCAUGAAAACCUGGUUUGUAUAAAAAUAACCUUAGGCAAAUUUUUUGAACUAUUACAUAUUAAUUUACCUACACAAUGUUAGAACAAAAAAAACAUAAAAGGUUCGAGUGUCGCAUUGAGAUAGGCAACCGGUUGUGGAUCUAGCAACCCAGCUGAUCCAAACUAUGAUGCAAUCGACCAGUUACAUUUUUUCAGUUGACAUCUGAUUGACUACUGCCAACAUUCUUCUCUCUCAUCCAGUAAUUGUGCAUUCCCCGUCGAGAGUAAUGCACUUCUCAAUUAACCGGUUAACUUUUCUCGAUCGAUCUAAUGUCGAGGUCCAGUCGAAUGGUUGAAAAAAUUAUCUCUCUUCUAGUAGCCUUCCUUAACCAAUCAAGGAACAUGUCUUCCCAAUUGAAGUCCGAUUGAGUAGUUCAAAAUAUUUUCUCUCUUUUCUAGUAGCCUACCUUGAUCGAUCGAGGAACAUGUCUUCUCGAUCGAGGUACGAUCGAGUGAUGACAAAAUUUCUCUCUUCCAGUAGCCUUGGUUACCCAAUAGAGAGAUAUGUAUUCCCGAUCGAGGGCCGAUAGACAUCCGGUCGAGGGGUGACCAAAAUGUUUUCUCUUCCAAUGGCUUUGCUUUCCUGAUCGAUGGAUAUCUCUUCCCAAUCAUAAGCCAAUCGAUGUACGAUCGAGUCCCGGUUGAUCCAAUACUCACAUGUACAAUGUAAACUAAUCUUUUUACAUUUGUGUUUUCGUUGUUUCACUUUGAUGUGGUUGAAACGGAUAUUUUAUAAACUCAUUUCAUUCCCCUUCUUCGAUUCUUUUUAUGUUAAGAUUAGCCUUUUAUUUUCUCAAUUUGUUUUGAACACCAUAAAAUUUGACCCAACAUUAGUUGUUAAAUGUAGGGUUAAAUAUGUGGCAACAAUAAAAGUCACUGUGAAAAAAAAAUGGUUGAUGGAGAUCAAUACAACAAUUGUAUCUAUGAUUAUUCUAAUUGAAGUGCUCAAUCAAGAUCCGUUAUCCACAAAAAUAUGUUGCAUAGAUGUUAUCUACAUUCACAAAUUGAUUGUCUCCUACUUUGACUUAGUCUUAUCAAGUACAAGCAAAUAGUUGAGGAGGAUCUCAGCUGCAAGAUCCACUUCUGCAAUGCACUCUCAGAUGAUCAAUGGCAACACUAUCAUAAUAACAUUUUGUUUGUCGACAAUUGGAAUCAGAAACGCAAAGUUUCGGCAUGCAUCUACAAGCGAUAAGGCACGUACAUCCAACUCUAUCCCAAUAAUAAGCGCCAAACCUCAUACCUCCCUUACAAGUGGAUUUCCUUCUAGCUUCUGUUUCACGAAUGAACUACAUCAAACCCAUCCCUCACAAUCGACAUGCCUACAUCACCUUCUCUCUAGCAUUGUUUUCGUCAUUCAUAACCAAGUUAAUUACAAGACUCAAUCUAUAUAGAUGGAUCUUGUUCUAUACACCACACAAAAAAUCAUAGGCUAGUAUGGAAUAACUUCCACAAAACCAAUGAAUAAUGUGUUGGUUGUGCUUACAUCUGCAAGUGAAUGUGCUAGUGUGGCUCCGUUCCAAUAUUGCUUGUACUUUAUAGUGAACAUCUCAUAGUCAUAUCUACAACACCAAUUUCAUUUCAUUAGUCAAACACAUGCAUCAAGCAUAAAUACAACUAUAGGACUAUCACAAAGAUAAUGAUACAAAACUUAUCAUGAAGAAAAUAUUGUACCCAUUUUGUUGUUGCAUAAUCUAAGGUUGCACAUGCACAAAUUUAGACACUUCCAAUUGCCUAUGCAUGCCAUGUGCAUGGAAGGCUUUAUCAAAAGCCUCAAACAAUCUUCUUGUUAUGACGCUUAUGUCGUUAGCCCUUCGUAAAGGCAAAGAAGAAAAGAUUUCCACUCGUGUUGUUGAAAUGUUUAUAAUGUGGAUGUGACAAUGGUUGUUUUCACAAAUUGGGAAGAAAAACUGCUUGAGGAAUGAGGAUAUUUCCAUUAAUAGGUCAGUAGGGAAAAUUAGAGUUUUUAUAAAUGAAACAAAUAUUUGACUAUGAUUUCAUUUUAACAUGUCUAUAGUACUAACUCACAAGUUGAGAAAUCAUGCCCUACAAUUUCAACAUCAAGAAACAUACAACACCUAUCCCUAAUUUCAUGCUUUUUUGCCUUGUUCAAAAGGCUACCAAGCACCACCUGUAUAAGUUUUUGAAAGUCUCAGCACAUAGUAGCCAAAUAAAACCAAUUAAGAAGUGCAUUAAAGAAGUAUGGUUGAGGCCUCACCGAGAAUGAUGGGUCAAAGUAGUGUGAUUGCGAUGGUCGUGCUUGUUGUGCAUUAAGCAUGCGGCAAACCACUCCUAUAAUUUGAAUAUGUACAAAUGUUAAUAAGCAUAAAACAAAAUGCCUUGAAUUCUUAUUUAAACUCUAUGGAUCAAGUAGAAACAUUUAACACAUACCACACUAUUAAGCCAACGACCUCCAUUCAACAAAGAAAACUCAUCCCGUGUGAUGUAUACACCAUGCAUAUCGCACAAGAUCUCAUUGCAAUGUACGAAAUGCCUUAUGUCAAUAGACAAAAGCUGAAAAAAAUUUGAUCGCAUGAACAAGAUGUGGUGAAAUAAUGUGAAGUACCUCGGGUCAUCGUCUUCCGUCAAUGCAAAAUCAGUGACGUACCCUUCUUGAUGGGUGAUUUUAAGAAAUUGUGUAAGACAUUGAGACACAAAGAGGGACUUGCAAAUGGCUACAAACUUGACAAUCCUUUUCACUGUCCAUUUAUAUCUCCGCCUAGGGGUAGGGAUAAUAGGUUUGCUACCACUUCCUUCUUCAGCAUCAAUUCCCAUAUUUUCAAGUGAAUCAAAGUCAACACCAUAAUUGGAAGGUGCAACUGAGUGUGGGCUAAAUAGUGGGGAAGCAUCUACUAAUAUAGUGGUGUCAUUUUCCAUCGGAGAAUGUGUCCUUAGUGAACUGAUAGAGUGUUCCAUAAAUUGGUGGUUGUGGUGAAGGGACUGCACAACCAGUUUACCCUCCAUUGGACCGGGAACGCAAGGUGGCAACAUCUUGUACCAAUGACAAAGCGAGGGUCACAAGUUGUUUUGAUUUUCGAAUUACACGUGCUUCAAUGGUUUAAUAGAUAGGAACAUGGAGUACCAAUUAACAAUGUCAACAUAAAUAAUCAUGGUACUCAUAUUUGUGUGUGCACUUAAAAAGUUCUAGGGACAUGGAGUACCUCGAUUGGGUCAUCGGAAUGUGAGCAUGUUGCUUCGUGUGGAGGUGCAACUAUAUGUGCAACUGGUUGUUUGUGUUCUAAAACCUACCCAUGCAUCAAACAAACAUUGAUGAUUAUGUUUGCCAUGAAAAUUAAUGAUGAAACCCAUUUACAAUUAAGGAGUUGCAGAAUGUGAGCAUACCUGGACAUGACCAUACUUUCUAUAAGCAUGAACUUUUGCUGCUAACCGCCGCUCUAUUUGGUCAUCUAUCCAUGCAACACAUAGCGUGGUUCGCACUUCAACUUUAACGCAUGGCAUGUAGAACUUGGUCAUAUAAAAAAGUUGUGCAGUGGGAAUCAAAUAUAAGUGAGUUACAAGAGCCAUUUAAAGAUCAAUAACUUCAUAAAUUAAUGUGCACGACACAUAUGACAUUCAUGUGAAGAGGGUGACAAUGUGGUACCUAAAAGAACAACAGACAACCUCUAAUGUAUGUUGGGUGACUCUUACGUUAGUCCUUUAUUCCAUCAUCAACAAAUUGUAGCACAAAGUUUGCCCAAUUUUUGUGGACAGUCACGUCACUAUCCCAAAUUAUGUCCCAUAAGUCAUGCACCCCUUCAAGUUUUAAGUUAGGGGCAAGGAUAAUGGCACAUGAAAAAUGAGGAAGGAUUUCUUGAAUUCAUCACCAAGCGGUAGAUUACGCAAGUUAUCUUCCAAUAACUGCAUGUUGUAUGUGCGGUUGGUCGUGUUGCCUAUUAUAAACAACAAUGUUCACACCAUUGUCUAGGAUACAUUCAAUAAACGUUAGUUCAAACAAACUUACAAUGAUCAAAAUAACAUAAAAUUUAAAUUUAAAAGACUACUUUUGGGACCCAUUUUUAUCAUUGCCAUUCCCAAAUUCCAUAAUGUACAAGGCAUUUGUCAUAAACAUCUAUAAACCUUAAAGAUUAACAAAAGUAACAGCAUGAUGCUUACCUUCAAAUUCCCUUAAAACAACAUGCAUAAAAACCAGCUCUUAUUGAUAUGACCCCAUAUACCAUGACCUCAAAUUUUUCUGACAAAAACUAUUAAGCUUCUAAUUCACAAUGACAACUAAUUAAGAUAACUCUUGACAUUACUAACAGCUUUAAGCAAAACCAAAUAUAUCUCAUUCUAACUGCAUGCUUAACCUUUUCUCUAUACCCAAAAUUUAUUUUUAUGUAUUUAAGCAAAAUCCACAUUGAGGAAAUUCGUUUUCCAAAAUAUUCACAUAGUCUUCUACCAACCACAAAUUUAUUUGAACUUGAUUAAGUAAACAAUAUUAUCUAUUAAUUGAGCAUUUGAAAUUCUAUAAAUUUAGUUCCAAAAUUUGACAAUUUUGAAUCAUUUCCAGAUGUAAGUAAAUUGUAAUAUUCUUUAUUUUCCACUUUAUCUAUCCUAAAAAAGAAAUAAAAAUUAAUUAAUAAUUAUUUCUUAAAUUAAAAGCACGCUUACCCAGUCACAAGCCAUAAAUUAUAUGAAUAAAUCUUUAAAAAACACUCAUUCACUCCCCUUUUGGUGUUACUCUAUUGGAUACUAGGUUUUUCAACACCUAUUCAUCCUCGUUAGGUUUUUCAUAAACUUUCAUACUUCUAACUUUUAUUUUUAUCAUGCCUUGAUUUCACAUUUCUUAAAUGUUGAUAUUUGUUUCUCAUUAACAAUGAAAUGGAACCCAAAUCUAGAAAGGUCUUAUGUCCUCUCAAUUUCAACAAUAAAAAACCAAGAUUGAUUUUUUUAGUCCAAAGUGAAUUGAUACUAUAGAAUUCUCUACGCCUUUUUAACUAUAGAUGAAAUUUAUAAUGAAGACCACAAUUAAAUACAAAAAUAAUAAAAGUGUUCUUUCAAAUAGGAAAUUAAAUAUUAAAUAAUAACAUUAUAAAAUUUAUUUCAUUAUCCUAUACUUUGCUAAAUAAAAUAAUUAAGAAAAUUUUCUACUUAGAAUUAGAUAUGUAAAUCAUAUAUCUUUUUUUACUCCACUCAUACCAUUGAAUUUUUCACCAAAUCAUCAAACCUGAAUCAUAAAAAUGAAAACAAUUUACCUUGUUAGGGAUAAUUUUGAAGUUACACAUAAAUGUAUGAUCAAAUUUUAAAAAUAAAAUUCAAAUGGUGAAAAAAGGGAAAAAAAAAAAAGUACAACAAUAAGAGUGCGUUUUGGAGUGAUUUUGGAAAGCGUUUCUAACAUUUAUAACACUUGAAUGAUAAAAAAAUUUAAAUAUUAGAAAUAUUAAAAGCACUUCCUAGAAUCACUACCAAACGGACUCUAAAUAAUAAAACAUCCUCAUAUCAAUAUUCUUAUUUAAAUCAUAUGCUAAAGGGAUCCAAGGUUAGUUUUUGCACAUUUAACCUUUUAAUAACUAAUCCUCUUUCAAAUAAUGAAUUAGUACCCUAGAAUUGUUAUUACUUAGUAUCCUUUAUUUCCCAAGCCAUACUAUACUAUUAAAUCAUUCACACAAAAUUAUUAAAAAUGUAUUAUUACGUGAGUCAAUGCCAAUGGAGCAAUUUAAUUAAGAAAAUAAGAAAUCAUCGUAAACUAUCUCUGCUAAUAGGCUCUGAAAACCAUUCCAAGUUCCAAUAUAACCUUAAAAUGUAAGAUCCAAAGAUUUCUUCAGUUCUGAUCGAAUUUCUCAGAAACCAAACAACGAGCAAAGAAACUGGUAGAAAAAGAGAAAUGAAAAGAAAAACAAACCAAACCUCUUGUGUGCCAUUGAAGUAGCAAUUUCAGUGUUGCCCUUGUUCUACAAAAUCCAUCGGCAUAAGUGAUGUAUAAUGUGUAUACGCCAUGGAAUCAAAACAAUUUGCAAUUUGAAAAGAAAAUAAGCAUUGUCUUCUGAAAUAAGGAAAAAAAAAAAGGAAGAAUUUUUGUCUUGAAACAAAAUGCCUCAUGUUGAUCUACUUUUACUAUUAAACCCACAUUAUUAAAAUCAUUUUAAAAGAAUUUAGAGUAGCCCAACACAUCCAAAACCAGUGUUUGAAAACACUCGUAAUGAACUGACAAGUCAAUGCGCUUGAACACAACAAUGGAAAUCAGAAACAAAUCAUUUUCAGAUGGAGAUGGUGAGUAAGAAAUAUACCGGAGAGAAUCCAAUGGAUGGUUCAAAUAGAUAAUAUUAGUCUCAAAUCCUAAAUAUUCUUAAGUUCUUGAGUAUUAAGGAAAGUGAGGAGGGGGUGUCCUGGUUUAUACACUCUUUCUUUAUUUGAUUGCUUGGAACUUGCAAGCGGGAAGUGACGGUCAACACAAUACUAAAAUUGAAGAUGGAGUUAGUCAUUUGGAAAUUAAAGGGACACAAGUCUGCCUAGAGAAGAAAAACAACUUUAUUGGAAAUGUAAAACUGCGUCAAAUGGAAUGAUGCUUCACUACACCGACAAUAUAUUUUUUUCUUUGAAGUUAAGAAUAUUCUAUAGUACCACUUCGAUACCUACCGAAAAAACAGUUUUGGCCAUUGGAUAAAGAUGGUUCAAUCCGGGCCAUCCAAUUGGCUUAAGUAUUUUUUUAAAAAAAAUUAAAAAUAAAAGCAGGUUGCCGGUCACCUGGAUUUCCCGCUUUUAUCUUACUUAAUCUUGUCUAAAGAUAAAAAUUUAUCUGAUGGGUAUUACACUUGACGCCUAUUUUCGGAGAGGUGAGCUAUUAGAUUGAUGGGCAUUACAACUUUUCCUGAAUUUUAGAGAGUUAAGCUUCAGAAUUUUGAGGGUGUAGAGAUGGAAUUUUCAGGUGAAAUGAGAAUUUACAGAGAGAGUGAGCUGAGUGGGGAUUUUGAAGAAGAAAUCAAAGAGAGGAGAAAUCAGCAAGAAAAGAAUCAGGCGAGCUUUGGCAAAGUAUUCGAAACCAAUCUCCCCCUAUAGGCAACUUUACUCACUCUCCUAGAAGAGGUACUUCACUUAUCUUAUGUCAUAUGGUAGUGAUUGAAAUGUCGAAAAAGUUUGGCGAUAUUUUUUAGAAAGACACGAUAUUUUUACCGAUUCAAAAAUUUCUAUUUUUAUUGAUUUUUUAGGACAUUUCCUGAUAUUUCCUACUAGUCCAAGUCGCACACAAACACGAUAUUUUGAUCGAUUAAAAAAUAUAGCCGAAAUUUCGGUAUUUUUACAAAUUUUUUUUGGGAAAUUUCUCGAUAUUUCCUACCAGUCUGGGCUACGCACAUGAUACAAAAUAUGUCCAAUUUUUUUAAAAAAAAACAUAAGAUGCUAUUUGGUAAUAUGAUCAUCAUUUGCAGGCAAAGGUUGUGUUUUUCAACCUGGCUAAAAAAUCGUGGAUUUAGGGUUCGUGAAAUUUAAAUCAAAUGGCACAAAAGCAAAGAGACCCCUAAAACAUAUCCAAAAAACAUAGGGAGCAAAAAACAAAAAGCAAUUUUUUUUGUUUUCCUUGGGGUAUUUGCAUGGAUUUUCUCGAAAAUCAAACAAGCGUGGUGUUUCGUUUUCACAAUGAUAGGAUCUCGAACAUGGUGUUUUUUAGCUUUCAAAUCUUCCCAUUCACUUUCUUCCACUGAAUCUUUACAAAGUUCUUCCAUUUGACAAGUGAGUCUUUGUAUUGCACAUCUAGCCUCUUUAAAAGCUUUUUUCGAUUAAGAAGCAAAAUAAGACAUCUGUGAGCACAUAGAGCUGAGUGCACCAUAUCGUAUGAUGUUAGUCGCAUCACCUUGACUUUCAUUGUCAUGAUGACUUGGACCAUUUCCUUUGCUAACUUAGACCACCUUUUCAUAAUACAACUCUUAAGUAUUUCUUCAAGGUGUUCUAUCUUCAUUACAACAAUCAUGUGGGGACAUGGAAAACCAACUAACUCAAACAUCAUACAAGUACAGUUCAUAGACCAAUCACUAUUACCAUAACAUACUUUCCAAAUCUUGUCAGGGCUUCUAAACUUGGUCAAUGUAUGGACAUGAUAACCUCCAUGAUUUUCUGUACUGACAGGGAAAAACAAUUCUGCAUUCCUCAUCCCAUCCCUAAAUUUUAGAAAAGAUUGCCAUGUGAAAAUAGUCCCUGCAUAUUUCUCAAGUGCAUAGAGUUUGGUUGUUAGAACAGCUGAAGAAUGGUGUGUCUCAAACUUUGUCUUUGCCUCAUUAUGACAAAUACAUGAGAGUGCUCUAUCAAAAUGCUUGACAAACUCAAACAGCUUCAAACGAGUUUUAAGGAAACGAUUCAAGUAUGCAUUCAUGCUCUCACACCUUUGUGUGCUUUUCAUACCAGCAAAAAAAUGUCCCCUUAAAUAAGCCUCUGCCCAUCUAGAAUGCUUAGCAUAUAUAUCUGUCACCCACUUAUGUCCAUGAAGAUUAAACAUUUCCAACAUGUCAUUCCAUGCACAUUCAAAUUCUUCAACGGUGCCUUCCAUGAACAUGAACUUAGAAAAAUGAUUAGUAAAAUCUUUGACAUGGACAUUAGUGAAUGCAUUGCGUUGAAUAUGCCAAGCACAUAAUCGAUGACAAGAGUUUGGAAAUAUUCUCUUAAUGGAUUUAUGCAUUGCUUUAUCCCCAUCAGUAAUAACAUAAAGAGGCUCCUUGUUAUUCAUUGCAUCCAAAAAAGUCUCCAAGACCUAAGUAUAAGUGCUAACACUCUCAUCUACCAAUAAUGCACAUACAAACACUAUAGUUUGAUGGUGAUGGUUAAUGCCAACUAGUAUGACCAACGGUUUUUAUAAGCAUUAGUCUGAUAAGUUGUAUCAAAUGCUAACACAUCUCCAAAACAACUGUAAUCCAAUUUACUCGUAGAAUCUGCCCAAAACAGGUUUGCUAGAUGGUUGUCUUCAUCAACAUUGUACUUGUUAUAAAAUGAUGGAUCCAUUUCAGACUUUCCACACAAAUAAACCAAAGCACCCUCUGCAUCACCAUCUCUUAUAUGAACUCUACGAUCAGCAUCAGCAUGGUUAUAUAGAUCUUUUUUUGUGAAGCCAACAUUGUUAUAUCCACCUGAUUGUUGCACCAUGUAAUCCAUAAUUUGGUUAGUUCCCAUGCCAACACCUAGCAUUGCAUUCAAUUGAGCCUUAUCUGCAUUUUUAAUGAACCUAUGGGAUCGAAGGAAUUGGGUAUUUUUUUGUUCCACCAAAGGAUGAUUAUGAUCAGCCAUAAACUCUUUCACAAUCCACUUAUUCAUUCGUUUGUUAAACCCAAUUCGAAAUGUUGCCUCACAACCAACUCGAGUUACUACCUUAGGUUCUCGUUUUCGAUUUUCAUUCUCUAAACACACUCUAUGUCGAUAUCUUUCUUUCGAGCAAACCCACUUAUAAGAUACUAUAUUUUGAUUUUUAUCUUGUUUCACAUCAUCCUUUCUAACACUCAAUCCGGUAACUUUAACAAAUAAAUUAUAAAAUUCUUAUGUAUCUUCUAUUGAGUUAAACUCCAUCUUCCAUACAUCUUCAACAGUUAAAUCAUUAAAAAUCUUUUCCGAAACUAGUAUGGCCUCUUCAUCAGAUUCAGUUUUCACAAUGCUAUCAUAUUGGUAAUCAAAGUCUUCAUCAUUCAAAUCAAUGAUAAAUUCCUUUACUUUGCCUUUGUCCAUCGUAUCUAUGAAGAAACUGAAAUAUAAAAGAUAGAGUAGUUAGAAAAUUACAUUAUCUAGUCAUACAUGUCAUCAAAGUUUGAGUAACAAAUGGUACAAAUUUGUAAGAGAGGGUACGAAAUUUGUUAGAGAGGGUACGAACUUUGUGAAAAAUGUACGAACUUUGUAAGAGAUGAUACAAACUUUAUAAGAGAGUGUACGAACUUUCUAAAAGAUGGUACGAACAUUGUAAGAGAUAGAACGAACGUUAUAAGAGAGGGUAUGAACUNNNNNNNNNNNNNNNNNNNNNNNNNNNNNNNNNNNNNNNNNNNNNNNNNNNNNNNNNNNNNNNNNNNNNNNNNNNNNNNNNNNNNNNNNNNNNNNNNNNNCAAAACUUUAUAAGAGAGUGUACGAACUUUCUAAAAGAUGGUACGAACAUUGUAAGAGAUAGAACGAACGUUAUAAGAGAGGGUAUGAACUUUCUAAGAGAGGGUACGAACUUUGUAAGAGAUGGUACAAAGUUCAUACAUUUCUUAGAAAGUCCAUACUCUCUCUUAGAAAGUUCGUACCAUCUCUUAGAAAGUUCGUACCUUCUCUUACAAAGUUUGUACCCUCUCUUACAAAGUUCGUACCCUCUUUUACAAAGUUUGUACCAUCUCUUAUAAAGUUCGUACCAUCUCUUAGAAAGUUCGUACACUCUCUUACAAAAUUCGUACAAAGUUUGUACCCUCUCCUAGAAAUUUCGUACCCUCUCUUAGAAAGUUCGCACCUUUUCUUACAAAGUUCGUACCCUCUCUUACAAAGUUCGUACCCUCUCUUACAAAAUUCGUACCCUCUCUUAGAAAGUUCGUACCCUCUCUUAGAAAGUUCAUACCAUAUCUUACAAAGUUUGUACCAUCUCUUACAAAGUUUGUACCCUCUCUUACAAAGUUUGUACCCUUUCUCACAAAGUUCGUACCCUCUUUUAGAAAGUUCGUACCCUCUUUUAGAAAGUUUGUACCCUCUUUUAGAAAGCUUGUACCCUAUCUUACAAAGUUCGUACCAUCUCUUAGAAAGUUCGUACCAUCUCUUAGAAAGUUCGUACCCUCUCUUAGAAAGUUCAUACUCUAUCUUACAAAGUUCGUACCCUCUCUUAGAAAGUUCGUACCCUCUCUUAGAAAGUUUGUACCCUCUCUUAAAAAGUUCGUACCCUCUCUUACAAAGUUCGUACCCUUUCUUACAAAGUUCGUACCUUGUCUUACAAAGUUCGUACCCUCUCUUACAAAGUUCGUACCAUCUCUUACAAAGUUCGUACCCUCUCUUACAAAGUUCGUACCCUCUCUUACAAAGUUCGUACCCUCUCUUACAAAGUUCGUACCAUCUCUUACAAAGUUCGUACCCCCUCUUAUAAAGUUCGUACCAUCUCUUACAAAGUUCGUACCAUCUCUUACAAAGUUCGUACCCUCUCUUACAAAGUUCGUACCCUCUCUUAGAAAGUUCGUACCCUCUCUUACACAAUUCGUACCGUCUCUUACAAAUUUCGUACCAUGUCUUACAAAGUUCGUACCAUCUCUUACAAAGUUCGUACCAUCUCUUACAAAGUUCGUACUAUCUCUUACAAAAUUCGUACCCUCUUUUAAAAAGUUCGUAUCAUCUCUUACAAAGUUCGUACCAUCUCUUACAGAGUUCGCACCUUAUCUUACAAAGUUCGCAAAAUCUCUUACAAAGUUUGCACCCUCUCUUACAAAGUUCGUACCCUCUCUUACACAAUUCGUACCAUCUCUUAGAAAGUUCGUACCCUCUCUUACAAAAUUCGUACCAUCUCUUACAAAGUUCGUACCCUCUCUUACAAAGUUCGUACCCCCUCUCACAAUUUUCGUACCUCCUCUCAAUAUAUAAAACUUCAUCUUCAAAUUUAGUCUACGAAUACACAAAAUAAUAAUAUAAAAAUAUUAAUGACAAUUUCAUAACAAAUGACUAAAUGCUCUCAAUUUUAUUAGUAAUAACUCAGAAAAAAAAUUAAAAAAUCUAGAUGUUAUAAAUUAUUUCACUUGACAUCCUUCGUAUAAUGUCUUCUUCAAGAUAUAUAAAACUUCAUCUUCAAAUUUAAUCUAUGAACAAAAAAAUAUGAUAUAAAAAUAUUAAUAACAAUUUGAUAACAAAAUUUUAUAAUAAACUCAUAAAAAUUCUAAAAUCGUUAUUUAACAUCACAUUUCUUCUUGCAAAAAUUAUAUUUGGAUAAAAAAAUAUCAAAUUUUACCUUUGACACUUGUAAUCACUUGAAAUCUUUCAUCUUCUUCAUAUAAUACAAAUUUUAAAUUUUCUCUCUCAAAAAUUUUUAAACUUGAUCUUCAAAUUUGAUUCAUCAAAAUACAUCUUACAUAUUUUGUGAUUUGGUAGUUGAAUUAUUUAAUUUUCAUAUUAAAUUACUAUCCCUUUUUGUAUAUAUGAAUAAUGAGAGUAUAAGAGUAGUUGAUAGGAUUAUCUUUUUUUAGAUAGAGUUAGGUAAUUCAAUAAAUAACAAAUUAUAUUUGAUAUUUAAUAAUAAAUUAUAAAAAAGUUGUAAUAUUUAGAUAUAGAUGAAAUGCAUGUGAUUAUUUCUUACCAACAAGUCAUCUUUACCGGUUUGAUAAGUUUUUAUAAAUUUUUUAAUGAUAUGUACUUUACACAUGUCAUUUUAUUAUUGGGGUCAAAUGUGGGUAGGUACCCCCAAAAUGAAGAGUGGUUACCAAAGAAGAACCCUUGAAGUUAUCAUAAAAUCAAGACUCUUUUUUUUUUGUACUAUUUUAAAAGGUAAUGAUGAGAAUAUAAAAAAUGACUAAUAAAAAUUAUUUUAACAUACAUUUUAAAAUUUUAGGCUAAUUUUUAGUUUCAACAUAUUAAACUACUAUUUUUUAAAGCUAUUCUUGAAAAUUAUCAAAUGCAAACUAAUUUUGAAAUUAUUUUACUUUAAGCAAUGGACUUACAAGUAAUUUUAAGUUUGUGUGGAAAGAAUUUUUAAAAAUAUUUUUAAAUUUGAAGAUUGUUUUAUAAUUUUUUGUAAAACAAAAGUUUACAUGAAUUUUUCUGAUAAAACAAAUGUUUUGUUAUGUUACUAUUGUUAUUAUUAUUUUUUUCUAAUUUCAACAAAUAUUUAAAGAAAAUUAUGCCAAGAAAAUUGGCUCUUUCGCUACAUGCUAUUUAUCUUUAUUAUUUACGAGUCAAAAUUACAUUCCCUAAACAUGUAAAUAGAAGUUUAUAAUAUUUUAGUUCAUAAUAACAUCAUGCAUAAUCCUCAAGAUCAAAAUUACCUUGGUAGAAAUAACAUAGAUAUUAUCAACUUUAAUUGUAAACCUUCAUAUUCUUUAUUUGUAUAUAGAUAUUACUCAUUUAUCUAUGUAUAUUAUUUAUUUGUAUAUAGAUCAAAUUUGUUUUUAUUUGUACUUCAAACAUAGCGGUUGUCAUUUUUUUUAUAUAUAAUUUGGUUUUAUUUCUAUGUGCCUAAUGUUAUUUGAACAUUACUUCGAUUCUUUCCUUGUACCUUGAACAAAAUUAAUGAAAAUUUAUUCAUCUCAUUCAUUUAUAUAUUAAUCUUAUUUCUUUGCACUUUAAUCCUAUUCUUUCAUAUUUUAGCUUUAUUUCUUUAUACUUUAUAAAUAAAAAUUAAUUUAUCUCAUUUCUUUACAUAUAAACCACAUUUCAUUACUGUUUGAUAUUAUUUGUUUAUAUAUUUACUUCAUUCUUCGUACCUUUUACACUAUCUAUUUAUAAAUCAACACCGCUUCCUUGUGCCCUAAAUAAUUUUUUUAAUAUUAACUCAUUUCAUUUGUUUUGAAAUUAUAAAUUACUGUUAUUUAAUUGUAUUUAUGUCCCAUUAAUUCCAUCAUGACUUCUAUUUUAUUAUGCAUUUGAGAUAUAAAUUACUUUAGGAAUAAUCCUUGAAUAGGGUGGGCUAGGGUGAAAAUUACCUAAAAGUAAAUUGAUACUUCUUAUGAAAGGGUGAGGAGCUUGUCAUUUUUUUAAAUUAUCAAAAAUACCUAUAACAGUAAAAAAAAAACUUAUCUCAAGGCUAUGAAGUGAAAACCUAAAAAAAAAAAAUGUUUUUCCAUGUUUAUUUUUCAUAUAUAUAUAUAUAUAUGCAUUUUUUUUCAUUUUCUUUGUUUAUUUUCUAUACCAAAUUAUUAGAAAUUUUGUUUAUAUAUGUGUAUAAAUGUGAAAUAUAACCUUUCUCUUUACAUAUGUUUACACAUAUACGAAACAAUUAUACUAAAUGUAUAAAACAUUUUCAUGUUUUUAUUAACAUCCAUAAAAAUAAGCAAAUAUAUUCAUAAUAGAUAGACUUGUACAGUCUAGUACAACUAAUACAUAUACCUUAUACAUUUAGUAUAAGUGUUUUGUAUAUAUGUGAAAAAAAUGUAUUUAACUUUUAUGUAUAUGAGAAAACUAUAUUUCUAAUGGUAUUAAAAACAAACAAAUAAAAUAAAGAAAAACUCUUAAAUAUAUUCACAAUUGACAGACUUGUAUAAUUUUUGUACAUUUAGUACAAUCUCUCGUACAUGUACGAAAAUGUAAAAAAAAAAAAGAUAUCUAACAUUUAUUUGUGUGUAAACAAUAUUUUCAAUAAUUUGAUAUUGAAAAAAUCUAUGAGAAUUAAGAAAAAUAUGUAAAUAGAGAUGUGUGAAUGAUAAAGGGCAUUUUUGUCAAGACAAAUUUUAUAGACUUCACAACAAUUAUGUAAACUUUAACCUUUUAAGAGUCAUUUUGAGUCCCAUUUGCCUUGAAAUUGUAAUUAUCCAUUUUUUAUUUUCAUUAUAGGUUAGGAAAGGAAAUCUUUGUUAAUGUUUUCUCUCCUAUAAUCAAAUUAUAAAAAUAAAUAUUUUAAUUAUAAUUAUUUAAUUAUAAAAAUACAUAUUAAAUUUACACCAUAUGACUUUUAAUAUUAAAUUUCAUCAUUUUAUUAUUUUUAUUAUAUAAUUCUAAUUAUCAUGAUUCUCAUCCUUGCAUUUGUUCCGUUUGCAUCUAAACUAGAAAAAAAAUCAAGUUAUUAUCACUAAUUAAAGAAUAAAAAAGGUUAGAAUGAAAAUAUUGGAAACAAUAAUAAUAAUAAUAAAAAUCUUACAUGGUAUGCACCAAACAUGUGAAUACAUCUAAAAAAUAUGAAAGUUGAAAAAAAAUCUUCAUAUCAAUACCCGAAGAAAUACAAUUUUAAAUUAAGUAUAGCCACUCAUUGAUUUAAGUAAUAUAUAAUGUAAGCACAAAUACAAUUUUACUUAGUAAUAAUGAAUAAUAUUUUUGUCCAUAUUUAUGAACUAAAAUAUUUUAAGUUUUUAUGUAUAUAUACAAUCCAAGUAAUUUCAAUUCUUAAAUAAUAAAGACAAGUAGUCACGUGGCAAAAAAGCGUUCUUCUCGUAAGUUUUUUUUUUUGACAUAAAUUUCUAUCAUAGUAUGUUAUCAAUGCCUUAAAUGUUUUUAUUAAAAAAAAACAUAAAUAAAGGUAGUGAAAUAUGUCUGAUAAUUAGAAAAUAAAAACACUAUGGUCUGUGGUUUGUGAGAAUGUUAUUUAGUUAUUUUGAGUUGUUUUCACCUAUUUUUUUUUAAUGAUAACUAAAAAAUAGAAACACGAUGAUGUUUUAUGAGAACAUCAUUUAAUUAUUUUUAUUUGUUUUUACUUAUUUUAUAAGAAUUAUUUUAAAAAAUAAUUAAAUAAAUAUGAUAAAAUGAUUAAAAAUAAAAAUUAUUUUUAAAAAAUUUAAAAUAUAAAAAAUAUAUAAAAAAUAUUUUAAUUUUUUAGAUAAAUUUUUGUUUUACAAAAUAUUGUAAAACAAUUUUUAAAAACAUUUCUCAAACGUUAUUUACUUUAUAUGAUUAAGUCAAAAUUUCUUACAAACUCAAGGUGGAAAACAAAGUCAAACUUUGGUGGAGCCUUAUUAAAGGUGAAAAUCUUUGGGUGAGUUACCUUAAAAAUAGUUUUCAUAAAUUUGUUUUUCAAGAAUAGUUUACAAAAAUGAUUAUUUAAUAUUUUUAAAAUUAAAAUUAAUUUCAAAUUUCAAAAUAAUUUUUUUAAAAUAAGUAAAAUGUUAUAUAUAUAUAUAUAUAUAUAUAUAAAGUAGUCUAAUUUCACGGUAAAAACUAAAAAUUGGAAUUAUAGUCGAAGGAAAGUGUCUUUUCAUUUCCCAUCCACUGAAUCGCAGUCAAAAGUCAUUCCAUCCAUGCAGUUUACCUUCCCAAUAAAGCUGCUAGGCAGGCUUGUGUCUCUUCAACUUUCAAAUGACUGAUUCAUCUUUAAUUUCUUGUAUUGACUGCCACUUCCCAACAAUGCUCCCAAGCAAUCAAAUAAAGAGUGUAUACAGCACACCCCAUCUUCACUCUAAUCAAAUAAAGAGGGUCAUAGGAUUUGGGACUGAGCUUCUCUUUUCUCAUUUCUUAUCCUCUGUUUGAAGUUUGAACCAUCCGUUGUAUUGUAUUCUCUCAGGUACAUCUGUUAUCUCUCAUCUCUAUCACCUACUGGUUUUGGAUGAUAGUUUGUAUUCUUCAACAUCAUUUGGGAGUUAGGCUAACUUAACUGCUUUGAAAAUCAUUUGAAUAAUGUGGGUCAACUCAAGGAGUUUCAUUUCAAGACCAAACUGUUGUUUUCUUUUCCCUUCUUUUCUUGAUUCAGUAGACAAUGCUUAUUUUCUGUUCUAAGUGUUUUGAUUCCAUGGUAAGCAUCACUUAUACAGCUGGAUUUUGUGGAACAGGGGCAUCACUGAAAUUGUUACUUCAAUGGCACCCUCAAGAGGUACGUUUUUUUUUUCUUUCUUUUCUUCUCUUUUUGUUCCAAUUUCUUUGCUCGUUGUUUGGUUUCUGAGAAAUUCGAUCUUAUAUUUUAAGGUGUCCUUUCCGAAUUUCUUUUUUCCUUUUUCCUGUCACUAAGAAAAUAUUUAGAGAUUCCUCUUUCCUAUUUUAUGAUUCUAUGAAUCUGUUCUCAAAAUAACUGGGGUCAGUUUCAUUAACUGGGGUCAAUUUUGUUCCAAUUAUUGUUAUCCCUCUCUCAUUUUGUUGGUUUUGUUUCUAUUUUAUCAUAUUGUGGUUAAUUAUUAUCAAGUUUUCUUUUCAGCCAAACAAACACGAAUUAUAUUUUAAUGUUCAUGUUUUUGAAGUGAAAACUUCAUACUUAGAUUUUUAGGUAAAGUUGGAAUGGUUUUCAGAACUUGAUUUGAUUGCAGAGAGAGUUUACGAGGAUUCCUUAUUUUCUUUUCUUUUCCUCAUUUUUCAUAACGUCAAAACAUAAAAAAUAAUUUUCUUAUCUACUUUUUAGGAUUCAUAUAUAACCUUAGUAAUAUAUUUACUUUUUCUUGCUAAUUAUUGACUACACUUCUUUUGUUAUUCCAGUAAAACUUUAAGAUAAUUGAACUGAAGGCAGGUUUUUUUUUUUUUUUUUUUUUGGAAUAAAUAAAACUUAAGGAAGGUAUCCUAAUCCCUAUUAUUAAUUUUAUUUUAUUUUAUUUUUCUCUCAAAUUAUAAAUUCCAUUUUUAUUUGAAUGCAAAACUUAAAGAGCUUGUGAGCUUGAAGUUUGUUCUAAGCAACUUGAGUUUUCUUUUUCUUUGGCAUGAAGUUGGCUGGACUUUUUAGGCUUUUUGGGUUAAUUUGGUGGAAAUCAAAUAUAACCAUUGAAUAAGACUCAACUUCUUAUUGAAUGUGAAACUUAUUUUGAUAUUGCACAAAUAUUUUAAUGCUUGAGAAGCUAGUAGUUUUCUUUUAGGACAAGUGUUCAUUUCAAAAGAAAACUAGAUAUUAGUUAAGAAUAUUUGGUAGAUUGGUACGUCCAUUAGCAUUCAUGCAUGUGAAUAAUAAAUUUUUACUGCUUAUUUUUAAUGAUUUUAUGUGAAUGGUUUUAUAGUAUAGCAUGCUGUGGGAAAUAAAUGACAUCAAGUAGUUACAAUCUAGUGCACCAAUUCAUCUUAGUUAUUAGACAGGUCAAAAUUGCAAUAAAAGAACUUGAGCCCCUUUAGUAUAUGAUUUAAAUAAGAAUGUUGAUAUGAUGAUGUAUUGGUGUUUAUUCUUGUGUUUUUUUUUCUUUUUUUGUUCACCAUUUGAAUUUUAUUUUUAAAAUUUCAUUUUUAUGAUUUAGGUUUGAUGAUUUAAUAAAAGUUCAAUGACAUGAGUGGAGUCGGAAAAGGUAUGUAAUUUACAUAUCUAGUUUCAAGUAAUAAAUUUUCUUAAUUAUAUUAUUUUGUUGUCCAAUGUUAUUAUUUAUUUAAUUUCUCAUGUGCAAGAACACUUUUAUUAUUUUAAUAUUUAAUUGUCGUUUUUAUUAUAAAUUUCAUCUAUUGUAAAAAGCCUUGAAGGAUUCUAGAGUAUUGGUUGUAUAAGGGGGUUUAUUAUGCUUUUGGGAAUGAUAUGAUUGAUAAUUGUAGAAAAGAGGGUUAAACUUCACAUGUUUAGUGUUAAAAGUUAGAAGGAAUUUUGUUGUGGAGGAUAUUUGGAAAGUUUAUCAGUUGUAAAAGCUCAAAAUGCCCUUAACAAUUAUUUAAAAAAAGGAAAAUUUGUGCUUUAGGCCUAGAUGGGUCUCAAAAUUGCACAAAGUCCUCAUAACUUGGAUAAUUAGAUCAAAAACCCAACAAAGUCUUGCAAAUUAAGAUGAAGGAUAUUGACAUUCCAUAAUCCUAGAGAUCCCCUUAGUUGUGUUGGAAAAAAAUAAAUAAUAAAACCUUGUUGGAAAUCCAAAAAUAGCAUGAUAGAUUCUAAGUUUAGCAAUUAAAAUAUCUCCUUUCGUUUUUUGAAGAGUUCAAGAGGUCGAAGCCCUAAACAAACUCAAAGCCCUAGUUUAAUCCCUAUAGUCGUCAUCACCAUCAAAGUUGCUUUAGUCACGUGAAUAUCCCAAAACAGGCUUGAAACCCUUUUGGUCGUCAAUGUGGUAGUCAACAUCCUUGUAAUCCUCGUCAUGUCAUCAUUCCUCUAUUUGCGCUCCUCAUCAUCACCAUUUUCCUUUUUGUUGGUAUCGAGACCUUCACUUGUGUAGGUGGAGAUUCACCCUUGAACGUAAGUAUUGUUUUUAGUUGAUACAUUAUUUUUAAGCUCGUAAUUCUUAUUGAUUAGAUUUCAAGUGUGUAUGGAUGAUGCUUUUAUACUUUCUAAAAUUUUAUGAUAAAAUGAUAUUAGAAAAAUAAAGAACGUGACAUGUUUUUAAGGUUUUUAAAAUAAUGUUAAUGUACCUCUAAAUCAUCAUGAAUUAGGUUUAUUUUUAGGUGGGCUUAUUGUUCAGACAUGGGUUUAAAUCUAAUAGAAGACUAAUUGAAUUAUCUUUUGUUUUCUAAACCAUUGCAUGCUAUUUUGUUGAAGUAUUAAUUUAUUGUAUGUGCCAUUCUAAAAUUGAGAAGACAACACAAUAUUUUUUCAAAGUGACAAGACAAGACUAAAGUAUGGGUGAUGGAUGACAAAUCGCUUUUCAAAUUCAUUGUUGUCAAUUUUCAUAGCAAACAUGAAAAUUAUAGAGCAUUAAAUCCAUUAUAGUUACGUGAAAUUGAUUAUGGUUUGUGCACAACUCAAAUAUGAGAUGUCAAGUGAUUUUAGCGCAUUGUAAAGACAUAAAUCUAGCACUAGGGGCAGGGAAAGAAAUGAGAAUAUGGUUAGGGAGAAACAUUAUUAUAAAAUAGAUCAUGUAUGGUGUGAUGUUAAUAUAGUAUAAAUAAGUGAUUGUGCAUAAUACCUUUCUCACCUAGGAAAUUUGAGUACUCAAUUUUGUAUCAAUCGCAUCUAUCAUCUUUUAUGUUUUAAUUUUGGUAGAAAACAUCUUACUCAUGUAUUAUGGUUUGACAUUUUCAAUAAAUUGCCUUAAUCACUAACUAUAACUUCUAUUUAUCCUAUAUUAAGGCAAAAAAAAAAAUGAAUUAUUAAUUAUGUACGAUCACUUAUUAAUAUGUUGGUGAUUUGCACACAUGUUUGUCUGGUUCAAUAGUUUCCGUAGGAGAUGAACUUUAUAAAAAAAUAGACACCAUUUAUACUUGGGGAAGCACUAAUCAAGAAAGGUUGUUCGGUGAUUUUGCAUAGGGGAAAGAUGGUGACCUGAGGUACUUGACAUUUUUUUCCCACACAUUGUUCAUGGUAUAUAUAUAUUUCACAUUCUCCAUUUAACAUAAGCUAUUUCUCACAAUUCAAUGAGGUCUUGUGCAAUAUGCAUGGUCUAUAGAUCACAAGGGAUGAACUAUCUUUAUUGAAUGAGUUUAUUUUUUGUGUAAAUAGUGUGGUAUGUGUUAAAUGCUUCAACUUCAUCCAUUAUGAAAUUAGAAUUCAUUAGAUUUUGUGUUAUUCUUAUUAACAUUUGUAUACAUUCAGAUUAUUAGAGUUGUCUCCCGCAUGCUCAAUGCACAACAACCACAACCAUUGCACUCACACUACUUUGAUCCAUCAUUCUCAAUAUGGGCUUAAACAUCUCAUUUUUUACGUACUUCUCAAUUCUUUUUAAUUGGUUACUAUGUACGGGUGCAUUCCAAAACUUGUGAAGGGUGGUGCUUGGUAGCCUUCCUUACAAGGCAAAAAAACAUAUGAAAUCAUGGAUAGAUGUCAUAUGUUUCAUGAUGCUCACUUAGUGGGAAGAGAUAUUUCGACAUGUAAGUUGGUAGUACCUUGGUUUUAAAAAUUGGACUGAAUCGAUCGGUUUGACUGUUGGUCAGUCACGGUUCCGGUCCGGUCCGGUCAAUUGAACUGGAAUUGCAUUGAACUAGGGUCAGAUCGCUUAAAUCGGUGGUCCAAUCGAUGAAUCGGUCGGUUGGAUUAAAAUUAUUAUUAUUAUUUUUUAAAACAACAUCAAAAUGAUGUUAUUUUGGAGGGUAUAUAAUGAAAAUCAUGGCUUCAAAUUGCAAACCCUCCAUCAUCCCCCCGUAGCAGCUACCGACUUGUCGUUUCACCCGCCCUUAAUGCGUUAUGGCCCACGACACCUAGACAACUCCCAUCGGUUGUCGUUACAAGCCAACAACCCUCCCUGUUGUCGCUUCUUCCCAAUUCCCCGCCACAGCGUUGGAAGCCGAUAAACCUCCCUACCGCUGGAAAGCACCCUGACUGGCUAUAAACUUCCCACACACUCCCCCCCCCCCCCCNNNNNNNNNNNNNNNNNNNNNNNNNNNNNNNNNNNNNNNNNNNNNNNNNNNNNNNNNCCGGGAAAACCCCCGGGCUGGUUUUAAAUUUUUAAAAACCCCCCCCCCCCCCCCCCCCCCCCCCCCGGCCCCUUGUAAACCCCCCACCCCCUUGAUCGGCUAUGAACAAAGGAAAGGUGAUAGUGUGACACCAUUGGGUUCAGGAGUUGUACGGAUUGCAAUGAAAACGCUCUAAUCAGGUGGCCUUCUUGUUCCGACACUUGAUCCAUUCAAUCAAAAACUAAGAAAAGAGAGAAAAAUGGAAAGAAACGAAAAAAGAAAAAAAAUUGUCAUUAUUCAUGCAAUCGGUUUGGUAGUUUCUUUUUGGGGGGUAUAAUUGCAAAGAAAAAACUCUACCUUUCUAGUUUGAUAUUUUUGUUUUUAUGGGGUUCAAUUAGUAUGGUAGUUUGACUAGUUUCCUUACAGGUGAAGUAAUCAUAGGAAAUAGGCAUUUUAAUUUGAAUGUGGAGGCGAUGGGUGAUGGGGUUGGAGCCAAUUAGGAUAUGGAAAAAUAUCAGAUUUCUUGCAUAAAUGGAUAAACAACUCCCAUAGUUCCGUGCCAUUAUUCAUUUAGAUAAAUUUACUAAUUGAUAUGUGAUUGUUAUAAAUUGCUGAUGACUUGAUUAUAAAUCAUUAAAUUGUUGACGACUUUCAUUCUCUAGAUUAAUGUGGGAUUUUUGUUUCUAAUUUGAUAGAGAAAUAAAAAAUGGAAUCAAACUUGACCCCAUCCUCUGGUCAAGAUUCAACUACCAAUUUACAAUCAACUAGAAGUAAGAUUGGUCCUGCAUGGGAGCAUGAUUUUGAAGAAAGCUAUGCAAAUUGAAGGAAAUCUUUUAUUUGUUUGUAUUGUAAAAAAAUUGAAAAAGGUAGGGUAUUCAUAGAAUGAAACAACAUCUUGCUGGAGUGAAAGGAGAUUUUGGUCCAUGUAAAUCGAUUCCUCCUAAUGUAAGAUUUCAAAUGGAAAAUUCUUUGCAAGAGUUUGUGAAUUCCAAGAAAACAACCCAAGAAACAUAUGAAUGUAGAAAUCCUUAUGGUCCUAAUGUGUCACAAUUUGAAAGGGAUAUGGUAAAAGGUGAAGAAAAGGUUCAAGAAAUGCAAAGUCCUAUGGCAGCUAGUAAUGGAAAAAGAAAAAAAUCAACGGUGGAUAAGUAUUUUGCACCAAGAAAUACUCAAGGAGCUCAACCUUCCAUGAGAAGUGUAAUAGCUGGAAAAGAAGCAAUUUGGAGAGUGGAUAUGGCGAUUGAGAGAUUCUUUUAUGAUGCAUGCAUUCUUACUAUUGCUGUGAAUUCCUUCCACUUCAAGCCAAUGUUGAAUGCUAUAUCUCCAUUUGGUCCUGGAUAUAAGGGUCCAAAUUACCAUCAACUAUGGGUUAAUCUUUUAAAGGAUGCCAAGAAGGAAGUUCAGUUACUUGUGGACUCUUAUCAUCCAAUUUGGGCAAAAGUUAGGUGUACAAUAAUGAGUGAUGGUUGGAUAGAUUAUAGACAAAGAACACUCAUCAACUUCCUUGUGUAUUGUCCUAAAUGAAUAUUGUUUAUGAAAUCAGUUGAUGUUUCAGACAAUGUCAAGGAUGCAAAUAACUUGUUUUUGUUAUUUGAUGAGGUGAUUGAAUGGGUGGGUCAACUCAAUGUAGUUCAUAUAGUGAUUGAUAAUGCAACAAAUUAUGUGGUCGCUGGGAGAUUGAUUUCUCAUAAACAUAAACACAUCAAUUGGUCACCUUGUGCAAUUCAUUGUCUUAAUUUGAUCUUUAAGGAUAUUGGUAAGAUGGACCAUGUUGCUUAACUUGUAAGACGUGCAUCAAAUGUGACAAUUUUUGUGUAUAAUCAUGUUGCUUUGUUAAGUUGGUUGAGAAAAAGAGAUGGAUGGACAGAGAUUCUCCGACCUGGUGUAACUCGCUUUGCUACUACAUUCAUUGCACUUAAGAGUCUUCAUGAUCAUAAACAUGACUUGCAAGCUUUGGUGACUAGUAAGUGAUUCAUGCCCAAUUGGUGUCUCAGUUGAUUCAUGUCCAGCUGGUGCUCCUUGAUUGAGGGAGUAAUCAACAAAAUUUAUAACCUAUUACAUCAUGUACUAGGGUAGCAAAGACAAAGCUACUAUAGCAUAGUGGCUCUAGGAUCGUUCACUGGGAUGAGUUUUCACUUCACAAAUGAUAUUAAUUCAAAGUUGAAUUGGUGCCUUUUCAUUUCAAGGUUAGCUUUAAAAGAAAACAUAAAGAAGUUUUAAACUAACAUAAAUAGUAACUGAUUUUACUUACAAAGAAAAGUGUUUCUUGGAGUUUCAGAUCACUAGGCUCAGAUUCCUCAUACAAAAAAGGGAGUUCCGGUCAUUUGUUUCUUUUCAUCGCAUUAGAGAAUUAACAUAUAGUUCCUUCUCCAAUCGGUGUUGUACAGAUGCUUCCCAUUAAUGGGUUCAAACACUAAAUCCCUCUCACUAAUGCAUCUUGCAAUGGCUCGUGCCUCUCACCUAGCACUUUGCCAUUCAAGGUGAUCUUUAACCUUGGAUUACCCGUCAAAAGCUUGCAAGAGAUAACUAAUGGAUGUCUCUUUGGAGUCCAAAAGCUUACCAAGUGUUGACUAUUCUAGAAAAUCCUACCUUCAAGUCACCUCCCAAAAGCUCGCAAGAGAUAAACUAAUAUAUCUCCAUGGACGGAGAUCACUUGCCUUACCAAGUGUUGGCUCAGGUGAAUUAAAGGCGUUUUAAGUUAACUAAAAAGAUAAAAACCAUUAACGGGUCACACUUUCUCUUCAUUAAAAACUAAAACAACAAAACUUCCAAUUUAUGCAUGUGGAAACUUACCCGGCUUUCCUCACUCCAAGAGACAAAGAGCCUAGCCUUUCAUCCUCUGAGGAAAAAUCCUUAGAGUUUGAUUAGCUAGAAAGAAAAAUAACGAGAAAACAAAAAUAUAUAUAUAUAUGAAGGAAAAACAGAGCAAGUGCUCUAUAAAAUAUAUAUCUUCCUCCCGUCGGAUUACAUGAUUUUUCUGAGAACAAGCUCCUGAGAGCUAUAUAUAAAGAAAAUUACAAAACAAAAUAUCUAAGGUUAUUCACCCCUUUUCCAAACUUAAUAACUAAGGAAUCCUAUAAUUGGUGGGUUACAAGGAGAAAAUGGGGAUUUAGACAUCAAAAAUCUAAAGCAAAAUAUCCAAAAGUGUCGGUCGCAACUAUCGGGAAGCUUCAGGAGAACACCCGUGCGCUGUGCAAAAUGGCUGCGAAAUUCUCGCAGCAAAAGGUUGAUUUCGCAGCCGUGCAAAAAUCUUCCUUCAGCUUGGAGUGAUCUGCUUGCAAUGGCUCUAACUCCUUUGUUUCAACUCCGAAUCAUGCACCGUUUAAAUCAUUGGAUUGUUGACUUCCUGAGCUUUGAAAUGGUAUAUAGAAUGUAGAAAAUGGACUUCGAGAAGUGCUCCAAAAGUGCGAAAGAAGACUGCAGCUACUGUCCUCUGUUUUCUUCACUCUGUUUUUCCUCUCUCCGUUGUUCUUUCCUUGCAUACUUUGAACGACUUUGGCAAAGGGCUAUGGAGCUCCAAAGCUUGGUUCUUCAUGAAUUUGAGUUUUCCAUUGUUUUUCCAUGGAUUCCAAAGAACUCUCCUCAAUCUUGGAUUGCUUUGGUGAUCAAAAAGCUAUCAAAACACCAAAACUUAACACAAUUUGAUUAGAAUUGAUUGCAACGGUCCUUAACAUGUCAAUUGAGUUAAAAGGUAAUAAUUACUACUCAAGAGUGUUUAAAAGAGUUAAUUACAAGCUACCAAAUAGCACUUUUUGAGUAGUAAUCAGUAAGUUCUUUGUGACUCUAGAUAUUCAAAGGAUAAUAAAAGCAAAGUUGCAGUUUCCAUCAUCUUGGAUAAUAGAUUUUGGAAUGAUUGUUUGAUUGUUAUGAAUCUUAUGUCUCCACCAAUGCGCUUAUUGCAUAUUGUUGAUUGUGAUGAGAGGCCUUUGAUGGGAUAUGUGUAUAAAGGCAUGUAUAGGGUUCAUUUGGGCAUCAAGAAAUUGUUUAACUACAAGAAAAGACUAUACAAGCCUUAUACAAAAAUCAUAAAGCAACGUUGGGAUCAACAACUAAAGAAAAACAUUCAUUCAGCAACUUAUUAGUUGGAUUCAUGUUUCCAAUAUGAUCAGGAAAACUUUUGUAAUAAGACAACUGUUAUUGUAAGUGUCAUGAAUGCUAUUGAUCAAAAAGUUCUGAAAGACAAGCUUGAUACAAUGAAUGAAAUGAAGUUGUUUCGUGAUCGAAUGUGAAGUUUCGGAAGAGACCUUGCUUAUACUUCAUGUGAAGUACUUCAACCUGGUAAAAGAUUAUUUUCAUUUAUUAGUGUGUUUGUUCUUUUUUAUUAGUUACCUACUUAUUAUUUAAUAUUUUAAACUUGCUAAUGCGUUUUAUUUUUUUCUUAUUUUUAAUGUGAAAUGAUAACUAGAUGAAUGGUGGAGGCUACAUGGAUACAGUGUACCACAUUUGCAAAAGUUGGUCAUUCAAAUAUUGAGCCAAACUGCAUCAUCUUUUGGAUGUGAGAGGAAUUGAAGUGUCUUUGAACGUAUACAUACCAAAAGAAGGAAUAGAUUGGAACAUCAAAGGCUUAAUGAUCUUGUAUACGUUCAUUACAAUUUGCGACUAAAAAAUCGAUAUAAAUGCUUUCUUAGUUGUUUUGAAUUUAAAUUCUUUUAUUCACAAUUAUGAAUAAUCAUAUGCUUUUCUUUUUUAGGUUCUAUAACAAGAAAGAAUCUAUGAUCCCGUUGACUAUGCAUGCAUUGAUAAGAUUGAUUUUUGGAUAGUUGAUGAGGAUCAGCCAGUAGAGCUAGAUGUUGAAGAAUUGGAAAAUCUUCUAUAUGAAAAAUGCUCAAUUCCAAUAAAUGAAGUGGAAGGUUCAUGUUCUCACAUUGGUUAAUAAAAUAUUUAAACUUAUAAAAGUUCAAUAAUUAUAUAUUUUUUUUCUUAAAAAAUGAUUUCUUGUUGAUAUAUAUUCAAUAUUUUUGUAGAUGACGAGGAUGGUGGUGGCGUGGCUAUAGAAGGGCUUGAUAUGGAGAACUUUGGUUUUCCAGAUGCUCAUUUUCAUUCUCCAUAUUCCAGUUUUCAGAAUGAAUGAAGACAUGAAUUUUAUAUUUAUUAGUAUGUAAAAAUCUUCAUGAAUAUUCAAACAUUGACAUGUUAUAUUUUGAGUGAUUAUUUAAGUGUUAUGGUUAACAUUUGCAUUAUUUAUUAUGGACAAUGUGUUAAGUUAACAACUCUUUGAUAAUUUGGUUAUUAUAGCAUUUAAAUAGUUUGAUUAUUUGAUAGUUAUUGGGUUUAUUGACAUUAUGAAUGUAUAACAUCUUAUAUUGUGUUAUACAUAUCAUAUAUGAUGAUUGAUGACUUCUACAAGUAAAAAAUUUUGUGAAAAAACUUAACAAAGUAGAUGCUGUCAAAAUUUAGAUAAAAUUUAUUAAUUUAUUAAUUUUUAAUAAUAUAUAAAAUAAUAAAAAAAUUAUUUAUGACAUCAUCGAUUCAACCGCGAUUCGAUCGUCAGUUCGACUAGUGAAUCGUGAAUCAAUAACUUUUUCGGUUCAAUGAUCGGUCCGAUUCUGAAAACAUUGGAUAGUACACACAUUUUACAAUUGAAUCCAAUUAAAAAAAAAUUAUUUUCAUAUUAAAAAAAACAAUGACUUUAUUUAGUAAUCUACUAACUAAUAUAUUCUCAUUCCUUAUGCAGCUUUUCAAAAACAAUGGCUUUCUUUAGAAACCUACUAACUAAUAUAUUCUCAUUCCUUAUGUAGCUUUUCAUCCCUAUUUAUGAUAACAACCAUUGGCACAUCCACAUCAUAAAAAUUUCUACGACACGAGUGGAAAUCUUAUCAUCGUUGCCUUUGCAUAAGGGUAACGAUAUAAGUGCUGGAAUGAGGAGAUUGUCACAAACUACUGAUAAAGCCUUCCAUGCACAUGGCAUGCACAUGCAUUUGGAGGUGUCCAAAUUUGUGAAUGUCUAACCUCAUAUGGUACAAUUGUUGGUAUGGAUAUGAUUGUGAUAUGUUUGCUAUAAAAUACAUGGAAUAUUGGAACAGAGCAACAUUAACACAUUCACUCGCGGAGGUAAGCACAAACAACACGUUAUUCAUUGGUUUUCUAGGAUUUCUUAUAAACUGCCCUAUGAAUAUUUGUGCAUUGUAUAGGACAAGAUUCAUAUUUACAGAUUGAGCGUGGUAGUGAACUUGCUCAUGAAUGAGGCAAACAAUGUUAAAGACAAGGUUAUAUAGGCCUGUCCAUUGUGAGGGAUGGGUGUGAUGCAUUGUAUAUGCAGGGGUGUAUUGUGCCAGUAAGUUAUGUUUCCCUCUGUUAUUUAGUUGUUUGAAUAAUCACAAUUAACCAUUUGGUUGUUAGUCUCAAGUAAAUUGUGUUUUGAUUUUUUUUAUGGUGGUUUUCUUUUCUUGUCGCCCUCUAAGGUUAACUUGGUUGAGAAGAAAGACAAUGGCUUGAAAACUAUUGAAUUUGUCAUUACAGGUAAUUUUGUUUGAUCAUAGACUUGAUGUUUUUUUUUAGGUUUUCUGAAUGAAAGGUUGAAGUUGUUAAGGUUUUCAUGGCUAAGAAGUGGCUUGAGAUUCUUGUGGAGAAAGAACAAAAGAGCUUGCUUGAGGUUAAAGAACAAACACAGUCUAGUUGGUUAACACGCAACACCUCCUAGUUGAGUAGUGUUGUUUAAGGUGUAAGCUAGAGUGUUUCAGGGUAUUUAGGAUCUAGUCCUAGAGACCCUUACCUUGAUAAGCAAUUAUGAUCUUAGUGUGCUUUGAAAUUUAUUUUUUUAGCAACAACUUUUUUUUGGAUGAUAUGGCUUCCAACAGCAAGUAUGACACAUUAUCUUCUCUACUGUAUUCAAUCUGUUUAAGAGAGUCGAUUAUGUAACUUUUUUUUUUUUCCUUUUGUCCAAUUCUUGGGAUAUGUUCAUAAAUUUUGUCAUAAUAAAUAUGGUGCUUUUAUAUAUGUUUUUUUUUCUUGCUUUAGGCAAUUUCUUCUAGUUGCGUUGUAUAUCUACAAAAUGGAGUUUCUAAUGUUUGACACCAAAUACUAUUAUAGUUGUUAAUUUUAGGUUGAAUGGAUUAAUCAUGAAGUUUUCUUAAUAUUUGCAACUGUGUGGUACUAAUCUCAUCUAUACCUUUUUUUAUUUUAUUUUUUCUUUAUGGUUAUUAGUAAUUUAGGACAAGGAUGUGGAUGUUCACUUGAAUAUAGUCUUCAUUCCAUUUUUCUUUUUUGAGUGAUGUUGAUUGGGUUGAGCUUAUAGUGUGUAGGCCCUCCAUUUUUUCCUACUAGCACAUGCCUUAUUGUGUGUUCGUUUAGUACUUUACAGAAAUUCCCUGGUGACCCAUUACUACUCGUGUAACCUAUCUUUUCUAAGCCACCUUGGGGACUUUGGUUGAGGGAUUUAUCUAUCCCCAUUGUGACUUUUGGUAGCCCUAGUUUAGACUUAGGCCCAUUUGGGCACCAUAAGCCCACUUAGGCACCUUAGGAUCACUUAGGCACCAUAGGCCCACCUAGGCACCUUAGGUCCACUUAGGUCCACUUAGACACCUCAGGCUCACUUAGGUACCCUAGGCCCAUUUAGGCACCUUAGGCUCAUUUAGGCACCUUAGGCCCAUUUAGGCACCUUAAGCCCAUUUAUGGGCCUAUACCCUAGGCCCAUUUAGGCACACUAGGCCCAUUUAAGCACCUUAGGUCCAUUUAGGCACCCUAGGCCCAUUUAGGCACCUUAGGUCCAUUUAUGCACCCUAGGCCCAUUUAUGCACCCUAGGCCCAUUUAGGCACCCUAGGCCUAUUUAGGUACCCUAGGCCCACUUAGGCAAUUGCAUGGAUGUAUGGUUUGCAUGGUUGCAUAGCUCGUAUGGCUUGCAUGUGCUUGAUUUUGUUUUUGUUUUUUAUUUAUCUCUGUUUAUUAGUUUUAUUCAUUUAUUUAUUUAUUUUUAGGAAAUUGCAUGAGCUUAAUAAUCAUAUUCGUUUUGGUUUUAUUUAUCUAUUCAUUAAUUUAUUUUGAUAGAAAGUUGCUUGAGUUAAUAAUUCAUUUUAGUUUUGCAUGUGAUCUAUAUUUUUUAAUUUCAUUUAAAAUUGCAUAUUUUGGAUUUUUAAUUCUUAGUUACAUGUUUUUUUUUUAUUAUUCUAACCCUUAGUUUUCUUUUAUUGGUAUUUUUAUUUUCCUUUUCCUUUGUUUUUAUUAUUUGUUUUGCAUGGGAUUUUACGUGCUCCAUAUGGGAAAGGAAAGGGAGCAUGCAUGGGAAAGGAAGGGAACACCAUUUUAGAAAAGAAAAUUGAGGGUUGGUGGAUUGGAGAAAAAGAACGAGAGAAAAGAAAAGGCAAAGAAAAAUAAAAUUGGAGGGUGAUUGGAAGAGGAGAAGGAAACCUUUCCUGCUGUGUCUUCCAUCAUCGUGGUUGGAGAUGGGUCUGAUAAAGGAUUGAGAAAAUAUUAAAGAAAGAAAAAGAAAGGAAGGAAAUGGAGACACGAUUGAAGUUGGCAGUGGCAUCAUUUUGGAUAGAGAGAAAUGGCGUUUUAGAAGGAUUUUUUGAGAUGUGAGGUUGUGAUUUUCAGAGGUGAAAUCAAAUAGUGUUUUGGAAAAGAUUCGGGCUGCUAUUCAGGGUGAAAUUAGUCCGUAUUUUGGAAAAGAUUCGGGCUGCUGUUCAGGGCGAAAUCAGUCCGUGUUUUGGAAGAGAUUUAGGCUGCUGUUUGGGGUGAAAUCAUAUCAUAUUUUGGAAGAAAUUCAGGUUGCUGUUCGGGGUGAAAUCAGUCCGUAUUUUGGAAGAGAUUUGGGUUGUUGUUCAGAGGUGAAAUCAUAUCGUGUUUUGGAAGAGAUUCGGGCUGCUAUUCGAGGUGAAAUCAGUCUGUAUUUUGGAAGAGAUUUGGGCUAUUGUUUGGGGUGAAAUCAGUCCGUAUUUUGGAAGAGAUUCAAACUGUUGUUUGGGGUGAAAUCAGUUCAUAUUUUGGAAAAGGUUCAGGCUGCUGUUCAGGGUGAAAUCAAAUUGUAUUUUGGAAGAGAUUCAGGUUGCUGUUUGGGGUGAAAUCAGUCCGUAUUUUGGAAGAGAUUUAGGCUGUUGUUCGGGAUGAUAUCAGUCUAUGUUUUGGAAGAUAUUCGGGCUGCUGUUUGGGGUGAAAUCAGUCUGUGUUUUGUAAUAGAUUCAGGCUGCUAUUUGGGGUGAAAUCAGCCUGUGUUUUAGAAGAGAUUUAGGCUAUUGUUCAUGAUGAAAUCAGCUCGUGUUUGGAAAGGCUCAGGGGACUGUUGUUUUGGGGAAUCAGUCCAUAUUUUUAAGAAGCUCUAGUUGCAAAGAAGGCAUAUCAAGGGGCUCACUAACCCAGAAUUUUUACAGGCUACAUUCUCUUGGAAUCAGGAUACCAUUUUGAUACAGUAGUAGGAGGCACCAUUAGGUGGAUUUAGGCCAAGAAUUUUAGAAUAAGAGGUUGUAGGUUUGGAGAUUUGGAGACGUUGUAACCGAGAGGUAAAAAAGGGACCACACCACCACAUCCUUUGCCACCAAAAGGACCCACAUACUGUUACUUAGGAGAGUAAAGAAGCAUCACACACUAUUGAAUAUUCUGAAAAUCUGAGGCUGCCAGGUUUCCACUCUUUCUCCAUGUUACAUAGCCACGGACAGUUCAUCUAGAAUGCCACUCAUCCAGUCUUCAUUCGCACAACUGCCACUUUGAGAAAGACACAUUCCACGCCAUUGCUUAGAAAGGUAAGUUGGAACUCCGUUUUAUUUAAAUCUUGAUUUAUUACAUAAAAAAAUGUGUUGAUCAUCAUUAGGUUGAGGCUUCGAUUUAUUGUGUCAGUUUGAUAGAGUUUGGCUUACUUACUUUCAGUUUCAAAUUUGUUAGAUUAAAUUAGAAAGGUUUGAGUUUAAAUCGAAAAAGUUUAGGUCUAGUUUAGUUUCAGUUUUGGCCCUAUUCAUGUACAUGUGUUCUUUAGAAUGUUGAUAAAUUUUAUUUUGGGUACUUCCAUUUAAUUCUUAAAAUUUUUGGAAUUUUAAAAUUUCAUUUUUGUAAAAUCCUUGUCAUGUUAUUAAAUUGAUAAAUUGUUGAUUAGAUUGGUUCCUAUUAAUUACUAAAUUAUAAUGAUUGGUUUUAGAUAAAAUCCAUGCCAUGUUCUCAAUUGUUUUUUUUUUUUUUUUGUUAGUUCGGAUAAUUUUAUUCAAUCCUUGAGUUUUAGAUUAUUCUGUUUUGAAUUUAAUCCACACAAUUGCCUUAGUUGUUAAUGUUCUUAAUUGGUCUCAUGUCUUUAAUAUCUUCUGUUCUUUUUUUUUUUUUUUUUUUUAAAUUCAGGUGAUGUCUUUAGGAUUAAUUUAUUAGUUUGAUUGAUUCUAGACAAUUGUUAAGGUUGUCUAUAAUUUUAAUUUUAGCCAAAAAUCCAUAAUUAUUAAGUUAUUUAGAAUUUUUGUUUUAGUUAAAAUCUAGACCUAUUCUAAGUUAUUAAGUUGCUAGUUUGACCUACCUUGCUAUUAUUUAGUGUUUAUAAUUUCAAUUUUAGUUAAAUCCUUGCAUGUUCAAGUUGAUAAUUUUAUUUAGUUUGAUUGGUUCUUAUUUAAUUCCUUACUUUCCAAAGUUUAAUACAUAAUUGUUGAUGUUGGCUUCCUUAUAUUUGAUUGAAUUGUUAGUUAUUUAUCUUUGACACUUAUUUUAUAGGCACCUUAGGGAAUUCUUGAGUUUCAAUUUUCUUUUAGAAAAUGUUUUCUUUAUUAAAUUGACAUUUUGAGUUGAAUCAAAUUUUCUUUUUCCAAAAAUGAAUUUUUCCAUCAUAAGUUUGACUCCUUGAUCCCAAAUGAAAGGUAGCCAGAAAGAGGAUCCAAUUUAACUUUUCUUUUAUUCUCAAAACCCUCUCAAGUUAGAAAUCAAAAUUCUCUAUUUUAUGUCUAUUGUAUGGGAUUUAACAAACCAUUGGGUCCUUUUUUUUACUUCCCUUAAAGUCAUUUUCAAAAGCAUUUAAAUCACCAAUAAAAAGUUUUAGAAAAUAUUCAUUUUAGCUUUAGGCAAAGAACACACUUCUUUAUUAAAAUAAUGCAAUUAAUUUCAUUUAAGUUGCAUUUCUCCUUUGUUGGUUUUUCAAAAAUUUGGUUUUUAUCCCCAUAGGUUUGGACUUGUGCUCUCAAACUAAUGGGAAUACACAGGUAAAACUUAUGGAAAUUGAAUGGGGACUUGAUCGAACCCCUACAUAAGAAAAUUUUCCAAAACUCUUCCUUACUGCUAGUUUUCACUCAACCACAUACCUUUUAGUUUUAAAAUUCCUUUUAACAACUUUAGAAUAUUUUUAAUUUUUUUUCUCCAAAACUUGUAUGAUUAUCCUCACUUCUUGAACUUGAAUUUAAGAUUUCAUUUGAGUUAGAAAGCAAUUUUGGAAUAGAAGAUAUGAAUGAGUUUUUAGGGGGGCUCAGUUUUCACCCAGUUCUGGACACCCGAGACAUUUAAAAAAAAAAAAUACCAGACGACUUUUUAAAUUUGAUUCAAUAUUUUUAUUCAAUUCUAGAUUCUUGAAUUUGAUUUUAGGCACAUAAAAUAUAAAUAAAUAUGCUUUUUUGAGGGAGAUAAGAUUUUUCAAAGUCGUACCUACUGUGCAUGCUAGAUUCUAAACAUUUGAUUAGCUUGAAUGUUUUUAAAAUAUUUUUAGUACUAUCCGACCCUAGAUUCAUUUUUUAUGUGAUGUAGACACUUUGAACUAUAUGUGUGAUUUUUUGUAUGAUUUUAUGUGAUCAUUUAUUAUUUUUUUUAAAAUUCAUUUUUGUAUGUCAGUUUUUCUUAUCUAGUUUGGACUUUGUAGAACCUUUAGGUGUCUUCGCUGCAAUCUGUCCUUUGAAUGAGAGUUUGGCCUUCGGUAUGUUGAUUUAGAUGUGUAGGAGUUGUUUCCUGAAUUUUCGUAAUUAAAUUCCACUCUAAGCCAUUUUUUAGAAUUUAUUUUUUUAUGCUCCAUUUUCUAAUUGCAUGCUGUUGAUCUUGUACAUUGCUUGAAUUAGUUAUUUAUUUUUGGAGUCAUUUGACUUACCUUGGCUCAAUUUUGGCUUUGGUAUUGUGUAUUAGAUGUAAUGAAUAUGUUAUAUAAUUCAUACUUGUCCUAAUCACUCUAACAUUUUUGGAGGAAUCUUAUAAAUCAUGCAUGCUAUCCAGGUAUGCUUUUUAUCACUUACUUUUUGAAAUCUUAUGAACAUGCACGUUGUUGUGAGUCUUAUUUAUACUUGAUGUGAUCCUUAGGUGCUUAUAUGUAUGCUUGAUUUGCUUGGAUAAAAUACAUGUGUGCUAUAUUUCCAAACUAACCAUUGAUGUUUUGUGACAACGCUUAAGAAGCAAUCCAGGUAUGCACUCAAAUCUUCUUUAUGAUUUGUGAUUGGUUUUUCUUAUUUGGCAUGCUAUUUUUUAAAUCACCUAACCUACCUAGGUAUCCAUAAUCAACCAAUUAAUUGCCCCAAUUCCCUCAACUUAGUCAGUAGAGACCUUUAUAGGUCUUAGAGGGGUGCUACCUCCUAGAGGUACCUUCCCAAUAAGUAACUUGAUCCCCAAACCUAGACUUGGGUUUUUCAAAGACAUGCUUUUCCAAAAACUAUGGAGUCAUUUUUUAGGGUUUUAUUUCUUAUUUUAUUUUCCCUUUAAAAUAAAAUAAAAUAAGUGGUGACUACGAUUUUUUCAAAAAUAAAAGCGAGUCUCGCCGAUGAGUGGGGGUCCACAUAGUGGUUUUCUCAACUUGCAAUAUCAAAGUUUGAUGGAUGGGCCUAAUAUGUUAGGGAACAACUAAAACCCUUUUUGAUUAUCCUUUGGCAUGAUGAGAUAAAAUCAAAGACGCCUUCAUCUCAUACUCCUAGGAUUCUGAUAUGAAAUCUCAUCGUUUAGAUGGUUGCAUUUGUUUCAUUUCUUUAAGAUUAGAUUCAAGAAUUUUACCAUAUCCCCUCAAAUUUGUUAUGAAAGUGAAUCUUUCUUUCUUAAUCAACUUCCCCAUCCGUGGGGUUGGAUUGAAUGAAUGUGUGUUUGGGUAAGUUUUUAAAGGAAAAAAAGCAGUUAAAUUAAUAUUAAUCUCAAUGCUAUAGUAAAUUGAAAAAAUUGAAUCAAACCAAUUGAAAAUUUUGAAUUGAGCCAAGUUGUUUUAAUCAAAUCAAACUAAGUGUGUUUAGAGUUUGUUUGACAAUGAUUGUAGAAAACGUUUUUAGUCUAAAAUGUGUUUUUGAAAAAAAAUAUUACGUGUUUGACAAAAUUUAAGAAAUAUUUUUAAAAAUUUUUAAAAUCACUUGUAAUGUUUUUGAAAAAUCAUUUGUAGUAAAAAAAAAUAAAAAAUUACUUGAUAGAUGAUUCUCCCAAACAUUCUUUUAAUAUUGAUUUAGUUUGAUUUAUACUAAGUAAUUUAGAUUUUAAAUUCAACUGGUUUUUAAACCCAAUUGGUCUUUUAAUUUUCAAAAUACAUUUAAAACUUCUAGUCAAAUAAUAAAUGUACUUAAAAUUUAUUUUAUUAUAAUCUAAUGAUAAUAAAAAAUUUUCAAUAAAAUCUAUAAAAUAUACAUAGGAAUAAAAUUGUUUUAAAAAAUACUCUUCUAAUAUUUAAAUAAUUACAAAUUAUAACAUAUAUAAGUUUUAACAUCUUGAUUCAAUAGGCUAAUAUUACUUCACCUAGAAUCAAUUCAUGUUUGAUGAUAUCACAUGACGAUAUGAGCCUUUUACACUAUAAUUUGAUUGCAAUCAUUAAUUUAUGCAAAAACUGCAUGAUAUACUGCUGCUUGAUAGACUAAUGCCAUUAUUUGCAAUGACUUGCAUUCUAAUCCAAAUCCAUCACUUGCCAACAUAUCCCAAAUUUGUACUUAAUAAACUAUAACUAAGUCAAAGCUGUUGGUGGGUUAUGAGAAUGGAAGAUUUCGAUAUUCAUGAGCUAAAAAGGAACAAUAAAUGUAGUACACAUAAAUCAACUAACAAUAAACUUUUCUUAUGAUAUAUGAACCUAGGGUGAGUUUCAAAUGUCAUAGAAAACAUAUAAUGUUGUUAAUAUGAAUACCGAAAAGUUCUAAUAUUAAUCCUCAUCGAUCACAGAAUAAUUAGAGACAUAAUUAGGAUUCUGUAAUAAAGCAUCGCACUCGAUGGAGGAUAACUGUUUGCCAUUAUCAUUUGCAUUUUCUUGCGCAAUACACAGUAAAAAAAAAAUUGUGCUUUAUGAAUUACCAUUUUAUUGUUCUUCUCCCAUAUUUGCAGAAGCGCUUCAAUGUACUCAUGGAGGUUAUUUCGUGGCAUUCUGAAGGAAUGACUUCAUGGAAGCAGAGCCUACAAUGCACACAACUCUUUGAUGAGUAUGUAGUAUGCUACAAGGGAUGUGCAUAAUGUCAAUUUAUAAGGGCUUAAAUUUAUUUUUGAAGGCUAUGACAAUUGCAAAUUUAAGGGGUUGAAUUUAAUCUUAGUGCUAUACUGUCAUGUGCAACAAUUUUAAUUUAUUCAUUUAAGAUAUUUUGAUUUAUUGAGUUAGUUCAAAUAAGUAGCAGUAGUGGGAUUCAAAUAACUAGCAAUAGUGGGCUAAAGAGUGGGUAACGUGAGCUAUUUUUUAGUAAUUGUUGUUGUUUAAUCUCUAAGUUGUUGAAUCUAUUAAAUUAUAAAUUUCCUUAUUCUGGAGCAAUAAAACCAUCAGAUGAAAAACUUCUAAAAACUUGUCUUUGUUUUCUGCUUUCAAAAUUCUUUCAAUUCUGCUCAUAUUUUGCCUUAGCAACAUAACUCAAAGGCGAGGUAGGGGGCGAGGGAGGGGACAGGAUCGUGCCAUUAACUUAGAACGUGACAGAGUCGUAUCAGAGUCGGUUAUGGCUGAUGAUCAACGACUCCAAAGGCUUGAAAAUCAGGUUGAGAACCUGAGUUCAGGUCAAGAAAGGCUCCUUAAGCAGAUGGAAGAACUAGUGGGGGCAAUGAACUCCCGAUUAAACUUGUAGGAAGAAGGGCCCGUCAAUAGGAAUCAAGGACCACAUGGACAGGGUGGUGUUGGGUACGCAGGUGGACUAGUGGUUCCUAAGCUUGCAAAGCUUGAUUUUCCUCGCUAUGAUGGCUCGAAAGAUCCAACUUUAUGGAUUUUCCGCGCAGAACAAUUCUUUGAAUUUCAAGGGACAUCAUUGGAAGAUCAAGUCAAAUUAGCAGCUUAUCACUUGGAAAAAGAUGCUCAAUUGUGAUACGAGCGACGCAAAAAUCAAGGACACUUGGUUACUUGGGAUGGAAUGAAGGCGGGAUUGCUAGAGAGGUUUGUUGUAACUGAAUAUGAAGAUUUCUUUAGAGACUUAUGCAAGCUUAAGUAGAUGGGAAUUUUUUUCGACUAUCAAACUUGGUUUGAAAGGCUUCUAGCACGGGCCGACACUUUGAUAGAUAAACAAGAAGCUGAGUGUUUAAUUAGUAGAUUGAAGGAUGGGCUAAGGGUGGAUGUAAGAGUCCAAAACCCCCAAAAUCUAUCUGUUGCAAUUGGGUUAGCACGUACCAAUGAACUCAAAGCCCAGGAAGUGAGGCGCCCAACCAACCCAACAUUCUCCUCUUCAGUUCGCAACUCCAACAACCAAUGGAACACCUCAACCCCUAGUGGUGCGAAAGACACCAAUCUAGAGAGAAUUUUACCAAUCCAUAAAUUAUCUCCAACCAAACUCCAAAGGCGGCGACAGCAAGGGUUGUGCUACUACUGUGAUGAAAAGUAUACAAUGGGUCAUAAAUACAAGAAAUUGUUCUUCAUUGAACUAGAAGAAGAGAAUGAAGAAGCCAUAGAAGAAGAGUGUAAAAGAGACACCAACUAUCUCUUUACAUGCCUUGGUUGGGGUUCAAUCUCCACAAACUAUGCAGAUCCACUCAUAGAUUGGUAAGACUCCACUGACAAUUUUAAUUGAUUUUGGUUCCACUCAUAAUUUUUUGCAUCACAAAUUUGCCAAAAUCAUCGGACUUAAGUCGGAAAGGAGCUGCUUUUUUAGCGUGGUGGUUGCCAAUAGGGAAAGGUUAUCAAGUCCUGGGUGUUGUAAUGGAGUAAAAUUAUUCUUGCAAGGCAUCCCAAUUAAGGUAGAUUUUUUCUUACUUCCUUUAGAAGGUUGUGAUGCUAUUCUAGGAGUACAAUGGCUGGGUACUCUUGGUCCAAUUUUAUGGGAUUUUGGAAGGAUGCAAAUGCAAUUCACUAUAACUGGGCGAAAGGUGUUGCUACAAGGUUCAACCUCCUCAGAACUUCGGGCUCUUGAAUGUGAUACUAUUUCUAGAACAUUAAGGCAAAGUGAUGGUAGGGGAAUUAUCUUAUAGCUUUGUGCAAUCUAGCAUGAGCAUACAAAUCAUGAGAAGUUACUAUCGGAUGCAAUGGCGCCUUUGCUCAUUAAGUUUAGCGAAUUUUGGAGCACCUACGGGAUUACCACAUCCACGCUCUCAUGACCACAGGAUUCCUCUCCAGCCAAGAGCAUGUCUAAUUUGUGUACGUCCUUAUCGAUACCCUUAUUUCUAGAAACAAGAGAUUGAGCGCUUGGUGGAGGAGAUGUUAUCACAGGGUAUAAUUCAACCUAGCCAAAGCCCAUUUUCCUCUCCGGUACUUUUGGUGCAAAAACAUGAUGAGAGUUGGAGGUUUUGUGUGGACUAUCGAGUGCUAAACCGGGUGACGGUCAAAGAUAAGUUUCCAAUUCCAGUUAUAGAUGAAUUGUUGGAUGAGCUACAUGGUGCCAAAUUCUUCACCAAAUUGGAUCUUAGAUCUGGGUAUUUUCAAAUACGAAUGGCCCUCUUGAUGUACAGAAAACAACCUUCCGAACUCACCAUGGGCACUUCAAAUUCCUGGUAAUGCCUUUCAGCCUCUCUAAUGCCCCAUCUACAUUUCAAUCUCUCAUGAAUGAGAUUUUCAAAGCUCAUCUCAGAAAAUUCAUUUUGGCAUUCUUUGAUGACAUUCUAAUUUAUAGUAGCACUUGGGUUGAACAUUUGAAACAUGUUAGAAUUGCAUUUUCCAUUUUGCGAGCUCAUCAUCUUGCAGUCAAGAAAGAAAAAUGUCAGUUCGGGCAGACACAAAUCAAAUAUUUGGGGCACAUCAUUUGUCAAAAUGGUGUGAAGGUGGAUCCAGAAAAAAUAAAGGCAAUGAUGGAAUGGCCAAAACCAGCGACUAUCAAAGCUUUGAGGGGUUUUUUAGGACUAACGGGUUAUUAUCGGAAGUUUAUUGCAGGUUAUGGAAAAAUUGUAGCUCCUUUGACUGACAUGUUGCGAAAAAAAUGUUUUUUCUUGGUCUCAAAAAGCGGAAGAAGCAUUUGAAUUAUUGAAACAAACCAUGAUGCAGGCUCCAAUUUUAGCCUUGCCAAAUUUCAAGCUCUUAUUUGUGGUGGAAUGUGAUGCAUUGGGGAAUGGAUUAUGAGUUGUCCUAAUGCAAGAACAAAGAUCUAUUGCUUAUUUCAACACUGUCUUGAAGGGAAAACGCCUUUUGUUGUCCACUUAUGAAAAUGAACUUAUGGCACUUGUUCUUACGGUAAAAAAAUGGCGACCUUACUUGCUUGGGUGUCAUUUUGUGGUCCGAACUGACCAACGUAUCCUCAAAUUUCUUUGGGAGCAACGAAUAAUGAUAGAACCGCAACAAAAAUGGUUGCUCAAAUUAAUGGGUUAUGACUUUUCCAUCGAAUUCAAGAAGGCUAAGAACAAUAUGGCAGCAGAUGCUUUAUCAAAAAAGGACACACAAGGGGAAUUCAAUGUAGUCUCUAGUCCCUUACCCCAAUGGUUGGAAUCCAUCAAGGUUGAGAAUCAAUCACACUAGGAGCUGCAACGAAUUCAUCAGUUGCAUGAGCAAGGAGAGGCUAUUGGACCAUGGGAAAAUCGAAAUGGUGAAAUAUUCUUUAAGGAGCGUAUCUAUCUUCCAUCAAACUCAGAACUCACCCAAUCAUUCUUAAAGAAAUUCAUGGCAUUGGGCAUGAGGGUCUUUACAAAACUCUUCAUCGAGUGAAUGAGGUAUUCUAUUGGAGGCAAAUGAGGAAGGUUGUACUAGAUUACAUCAGGCAAUGUGAUGUUUGUCAACGCCAUAAAGAUAGAUCACCAAAAGCCAGUAUGUCUUCUCCAACCAUUGCCUAUUCCUACAUAGGUAUGGACAAACAUCUCUAUGGAUUUUAUUGAUGGCCAACCCUUUUCUAAGAGGAAGACAGUACUCCUUGUGGUGGUGGAUCGGCUGUCCAAAUAUGCACAUUUUAUUCCAACCCUUACACUACACCAAAGGUGGCUCAAACAUUCUUUGAAAAUGUGUUUAAACUCCAUGGCAUGCCAAGUUCAAUAGUAUGUGAUCGGGACUCCACUUUUAUAAGUGCUUUUUAGAAAGAGCUUUUCAAAUUGCAGUGCACUAGCUUCAAUUUCAGCUCAUCUUACCACCCCCAAACAGAUGACCAAACUGAAGUAGUGAAUCAGACUCUUGAAAUGUACCUACGUUGCUUUACUAGUUCAAGACCAAAGGAGUGGGUUCAAUGGGUUCCUUGGGCUGAAUUAUGUUACAACACCAGUUUACAUGCUUCUACUCGCAAAACUCCCUUCGAAGUGGUGUAUGGAAGAGAGCCCCCCAACUUGCUUUCCUAUGUUCCUGGUAUAUCAAAGUUGAAGCUAUAGAUAACAUGCUCUAAGCAAGAGAUAAAGUUGUAAAAGACUUAAGAUGUCAGCUCCAACAAGCACAAGCUAGAAUGAAGACUGCUUAUGACCAAGGGCGAGUUGAGAGAGAAUUCGUUGUUGAUGAUUGUAUAUCUGCGGCUACAACCUUAUCGACAAAAUUCGUUGGCUUUGAGACGGUCACAUAAACUCUCUCCGUGAUUUUAUAGGCCAUACCGUGUGUUAGAACGAAUUGGUUCGGUGGCUUAUUGACUUGAUCUCCCGCCAGGAAGUAAAAUUCAUCCAGUUUUCCAUGUGUCGAUCCUUAAAAAAUAGCUUGGUACAACUGAUAAAAUUGAUUCUUUUCUUCCAUUAGUAUCAGAAACAUAAGGUCACUUGCAAGCUCAACCUAUAGCAAUUCUAAAUUCUCGUAACAACGGGCGUAAGCGUGAACUACUUAUUCAGUGGUAGGGGCUCCUCACAACAAAUGCUACUUGGGAGGAUGAGUACCAACUUCGAAACAAAUUUCCUGACUUUGUGUGUCCUUGAGGACAAGGACGAUUCCAAGGGGGAGGAAAUGUCAUGUGCAACAAUUUUAAUUUAAUUCAUUUAAGAUAUUUUGGGUUAUUGAGUUAGUUCAAAUAACUAGCAGUAGUGGGGUUCAAAUAACUAAUAGUAGUGGGCUAGAGAGUGGGUAACGUGAGCUAUUUUUUAGUAAUUGUUAUUGUUUAAUCUCUAAGUUGUUGAGUCUGUUAAAUUAUAAAUUUUCUUAUUCUAGAGCAAUAAAACCAUCAGAUGAAAAAACUUCCAAAAACUUGUCUUUGUUUUCUGCUUUCAAAAUUCUUUCAAUUCUGCUCAUAUUUUGCCUUAGCAACAUAGCUCAAGGGCGAGGUAGGGGGCGAGGGAGGGGACAAGAUCAUGCCAUUAACUUAGAACAUGACAAAUACAUUUUGGAUUGUACUAUGCAUGUACAUUAUGCAUGGUCUAGCAUUAAAAGAUUCAUUCACUAAUUGCAAUACAUAGAAGUUCUAGUGAUGUGGCCUAUCAAUCCAUAAAAUUGAAUGCAAUAGGCCAUGUACAUUGUGAGGUAUCAAAAAUCACCUUUUUUUGGAAUUGUCAAAUCAAGUGUAGUUGGUUGUGCAAUAAUGGUUGAUCAAUUCUAAAUUUUAAGAAAACCUUAUAUCCCGUACAAAGUAAAAGGGUGAAGUGGAGGAGUACAAUACUUGAGAAACGCCACUAAAUGAGCCUAAAUGUCACUACUACAAAAAUAGUUUAUGGUGUCACUAUUUACGGUGUCACUUUUAAAAUAAUGACACCAUAGGGUUUAUAAUUAAUAAAGGUGACACAUCAUAUAAAAAAUCUUCAAUUGAGGUAGUUAGAUGAUAUUAAUUUUAUAUUUAUAGUGUCAUUUUUUGGGAAGUGACAUCAUAUAAAAUAAUUUUUUUUUAAGUAUUAUAACUUAAUGAGCCCACUUUUAGAUUUAAUAAUGAUGGAAAUCCCAUUGUUUCCACAUCUCACCCACAAUCCAAAAAAUCUCAAUAUAUAAAUCCUAUAUAUAAAAUCAUGAUCUUCUUCAACCUUUUCUCUCACCCAUCCAUAGUCAACACGCUCAAAACCGACAUUCUUCACUUUGUGGACUCCCAGGUAACCCAAAAUCUCUUGGAUCUAUAAUUUUUUUUUCUUUUAUUAAUGCCAUUAUAUUAAUUGUUUCAACAUCUUUGUAUUAUGGUUUUUGUGAAUUGUGUUUUCUUGAGUUGUAGGGAAGAAAAAACUAUAGAUUAAUUGAUUUUUUUAAUCUAAACCAAACACAUGAUCAAGUCCUUAAAAAAAAGUGAAAAACAGGAAAAAAUGAAUGAUUUUUAAUAUGUAUUUGUGUGAGAAUGACAGGUACAUAAUUUUUUUAAGAUAUACUAUCACAUAAUCUUCAUCCUUUCUAAAAAACGAGAGAGGAAAAAAAAAAGAAUGAUUUUUCUGUUUGUAUCUAAGUGGGAAUGAGAUAUAGAAUUUCGUUGAGAGUAUCCAACCCCAAAAGAACCAAUCCGGGAAGGCAUGUGUGGUAUUGAUGAGAGAUGAUAAGAUGGAAAUCAUAACCAUAGCCAUGUUCUCUCUACGUCUUUCUAUCCUCUUCAAUUAAUUUAUGGGCAUAGAUAUUUUAUUUAGUUUUUAUAUUUAGUUUAUUUAUAGUUUAUUUAGUUUCUAAAAUCCAAUUAGUUAGAUAUUUUAUUUGAUUUUGUUUUUAUAUUUAAGUAUUUGAGUUUUGGAAAGUUUUUAUAUUUUGUUAAUAGAAAUAGAAAUUUUUAUAUUUUUUAUUAUUAGGAAUUUCUAUUUUGUUAAAUUGUAAGUAUCUAUCUCAAUAAGAGAUUAUUAAUAUUCAAAUGAAGUGAUGAAAGAGAGUAAAUAUUUUAAUGCUCAAUUAUAUUUUAAUGUUUUUUUUUUUUUUUUUACAUAAGGGUUUAUUUAUGUUUUCAAUUUUGAAGUUCCCUUUUCUAAGUCCAGCAACAAAAGUAGUGUCCAACCUUAAAAUGGGCAUGGUGUGAUAUUAACGGGAGAUGAUAAGAUGGAAAUCAUAACCAUAGCCAUGUUCUCUCUAUGUCUUUCUAUCAUCUUCAAUUAAUUCAUGGGCAUAGAUAUUUUAUUUAGUUUUUAUAUUUAGUUUAUUUAUAGUUUAUUUAGUUUCUAAAAUCCAAUUAGCUAGAUAUUUUUUGAUUUUAUUUUUAUAUUUAAGUAGUUGAGUUUUGGAAAGUUUUUAUAUUUUGUUAAUAGAAAUAGAAAUUUUAUAUUUUUUAUUAUUAGGAAUUUCUAUUUUGUUAAAUUGUAAGUAUCUAUCUCAAUAAGAGAUUAUUAAUAUUCAAAUGAAAGUGAUGAAAAAGAGUAAAUAUUUUAAUGCUCAAUUAUAUUUUAAUGUUUUUUUUUUUUACAUAAGGGUUUAUUUAUGUUUUCAAUUUUGAAGUUCCCUUUCCAAGUCCAGCAACAAAAGUAGUGUCCAACCUUAAAAUGGGCAUGUGUGAUAUUGAUAAGAAAUAAUAAGAUGGAAAUCAUAACCAUAGCCAUGUUCUCUCUGUGUCUUUCUAUCCUCUUCAAUUAAUUCAUGGGCAUAGAUAUUUUAUUUAGUUUUUAUAUUUAGUUUAUUUAUAGUUUAUUUAGUUUCUAAAAUCCAAUUAGCUAGAUAUUUUAUUUGAUUUUGUUUUUAUAUUUAAGUAGUUGAGUUUUGGAAAGUUUUUAUAUUUUGUUAAUAGAAAUAGAUAUGAGGACUUAAAGGGUUUAUAUUUAGGUAGUGCUUGAGCCAAGGAAAAUGAUAGUCCACUAUCUUGACCCUAUGCAUCACAAACCAUGUGAGGACUUAAAGGAUAUCGUAAACAUGUAAGUUCUUCCUAUUAUUUUUCAUAGUAUUAUUUUUAAAUAUAAAAAAAAAUACAUUCACCUCAAACACUUUUUUUUUUAUUUAUAUAUAUUAAAACAUAUAACAUUUACCUAUUUUAAAAUUUUACCCAUUGAACUUAUUUACAUAGGGCUCUUCAAAUAUCUGCAAAGAAAACAUCUAAGAGGGAGCCAUCUUAGCAACUAGUGCAGGUGACAUCCAAAAAUUUUUCUUUACACAUUAGCUUAUGCAUUUGCACCAUUUAUAUAUGUGAGUACUAAUGUUAUUUUAUAAUUGAUCGAUUAGUGUCCAAGACAAGAAGGAGGGUUCGAAUGUGGCUACUUUGUUAUGAGAUUCAUUAAAAAUAUAAUUUUUUAUCCUACAAUUAUUGCUUUAGAAUUCGAUGAAAUUAGAGGAGAAUGGGCUACUUUUGUGCUACAACUAAUCAUGAAUCAUGUUGAUGCAUCAUGAUCACCAUGCAUGGUGAGUCCCUUAGCUACUACAUGAAUUUUUCCAUAGGUAUUGUAUAGUAAUGCUUAUUCUUUGAAUAAUGUUUCUAUUUGAAAAAAAAAAUUAAUUCUUAGAUUUGUUCAUUUAUGAUAACAUAGAUCCAUGUUUAUUUUCUUCAAUAAAAAUCUCUAAAACUCAUUAAAUUUUGAAAUGUAGGUAUACACUCUUGGGAGGGUGAAAUGGAGAAUAAAAAGAAAGAAGAAGGCAACAAGAUUUUGGGUUUUUAAAUGCAACUCUUAUGUCAUACGUUGUAGGACAUAAACGUUACUUUAAUUGCAACUGAGAAAUUUAGAUUUUUAGAUGGAACUUCUAUGUCAUUUUAUGGUUAGCCGGUUUUAUGCUUAUGAAAUGGAGGUAUACAUGAAUCUUGGGAUCUUUAACAUUUCUAAAUCAUGUUUUGGUAUGUAUUCACUCUUCUUUUUUAGUUUUGAUGGGUUUGAUAUGUUGGACGUACUAUCCUUUUGUGAACAUUUGAUAUACAAAUAUUAUUAGAUGAUCAAUGUAUUAUGAGUUAUUCCAGAAACAUUACAGAAAAAUGAGUUAAAUAUAAUAUGAUUGUUAUAUUUAUGGACAAAAUAUAAAUAGGUUAUUCUUAUUAAUUCAUAAGCAUUACAAAAAUCAACAACUAAAACUAAUCAUAUAUUCCACAAUAAUUUACAAUGAUGUGAUACCAUAACUCAAAGGUGAUGCAUUUAAUGUGACAUCAUAACUCAAAGAUGAUGUAUUUAAUGUGACACCCUAUCAUCACUAGAAAUAUAUGGUGUCACUUCUGAAUGGGUCACCAUUUAUCUACUUUGGUGUCACUUCCAAACACGUCACCAAUUGGUACCCUUUAUGGUGUCAGUGGAGAAGGUGACGCUAUGUUGUAGUGACACCUUAUGUUUAUGGUGACUUGUUAUAAAUGUCACCAUAUACCAUUUUCCUUGUAGUGUGUGUUGUCACUUCAAUUGAAUGUGCAAUGUGCAAACGAUUAAAUUAUUUGAAGUGAUUAUAGAGACAUGGUUAUAUAUAUCAUUCAUCGACUAUCGGAAACAAUGGAUAAGCAAGGGUCAUGUAUCGAAACACGCAACAAUCAUUUGGUAAAUAUUAUAGUCCAAGAGACGUGUUUGAGUGUACAGGGUGUUAUUGGGUUUUGGAAGAUGAGUUUUACUACCCAAUGACACUGUGUGAGAAUUUAUGAUCUAUUAUCAUGUUAUUCAAAAUUUAAAUUUUUUACUUGUAAACUGUAAACAAGAAUGUGGUCUCCUUAUUAUUUACCCCAUAGUAGUAUACACUUCAAAUUGCAUGUGACAAGAAAUUUAGCGAUAGUAUCAUGAAACGGGAUGCAUAAUAAAAUUACACCAACAGGGCAUACAAUAACAAUUGGGUAUUAUGUGUGGGUUGAUGCACAAAUUAAGGGCCCAAAGGCAUAAUGGUGCACACACACAUGACUACCCCGAGCAUCAUGUAGAAACUAUAUUUGACACCCCGGAUCGUCAUGCAACCAAUGCAUUUGACAUACAACGAGAUGGGUCAGAACCUAGACAACAUAGCAUAAUUUCUUAAAAUAAUGAUAUUGUAAUUUUCUAGAAUAAUUAUAAUAACAGUAGAAAUGGCAACAAAUUCAUUCUAAUUAUCCUACUGUGGAUGAUAAUGAUGACAUUGUGCAUGAUGUCAUGCCAUUGAGUGCUCUUCUUUAUCCCCCCACCACACAUAAGCGUGAGGACACGUAGAAUACAUCGUAUGGCACCGAAUCUGUUGUCUCCCUUCAUAUCAUAGCCACAAACUCGUCAAUCUACCAUAAGGAUGGAUGAUUCGUUCCCAAUUGGUGUAUCAGCUGAUUCAUGUCCUCUCAAUGGUCCCCAACAACGGUGCCAUUUGAUUUGUGUCCAGCUGGUGUCCCUUGAUUUUGGUCCUUAGACGGGAGUAAUCAACAAAAUUUAUAACCUAUUACACCAUGUACUAGGAUAGCCUCAACUAGCAUAGCAUAGUGGCUCUAGGAUCGUUCACUGGGAUGGGUUUUCACUUCACAAUUGAUAUCAAUUCAAAGAUGAAUUAGUGCUUUUUCAUUUCAAGGUUAGCUUUAAAAGAAAACAUAAAGAUGUUUGAAUGAAAAAAGUUUGGUUUUAAGCUAACAAAAAUAGUAACUGAUUUUAAUUACAAAGAAAAGUGUUUCUUGGAGUUUCAAAUCACUAGGCUCAGGUUCCUUAUACAAAAAGGGAGUUUCGAUCACUUGUUUCUUUUCCUCGCAUUGGGGAUUUAACAUAUAGUUAUUUCCCGAACCGGUGUGGUACAGAUGUUUCCCUUGAAUGGGUUCAAACACUAAAUCCCUCUCACUGAUUCAUCUUGCAAUGGCUCGUGCCUCUCACCUAGCAUUUGUCAUUCAAGGUGAUCCUUAACCUUGGAUUACCUGUCAAAAGCUCGCAAGAGAUAACUAAUGAAUGUCUCCUUAGAGUCCAAAAGCUUACCAAGUGUUGGCUAUUCUAGAAAAUCCUACCUUCAAGUCACCUCCCAAAAGCUCGCAAGAGAUAAACUAGUGCAUCUCCAUGGAUGGAGAUCACUUGCCUUACCAAGUAUUGGCUCAGGUGAAUUGAAGGCGUUUUAAGUUAACUAAAAAGAUAAAAACCAUUAACGGGUCACACUUUCUCUUCAUUAAUAAUUGAAACAACAAAACUUCCAAUUUUGCAUGUGGAAACUUACCCGACUUUCUUCACUCCAAGAGACAAAGAGCCUAGCCACUCAUCCUUUGAGGAAACAUCCUCAGAGUUUGAUUGCUAGAAAUAAAAGUAACGAGAAAACAAAAAUCUAAAGGAAAAACAGAGCAAGUGCUCUAUAAAAUAUAUUUCUUCCUAUCGUCGGAUUACAUAUAUUACAAGAUUUUUUAUGGAUUCAUUUACAUUGGUUCAAAGAUAUAUAUAGAGAAGAUAUUUUCUAAGAAAUAUCCCAAUAAUAUCUUUGACUGAUUACAAAGAGAAAAUAGAAAUUUACACAAAAUAUCUUGAGAAAAUAUCUAACUUAGUUGGUAGCAAAUAUCUGAGAUUGCACAGGUGGAUUGCGCACGUUGAUUCACAUGUUGAAUUAUCCAUUUUGCAAGUUUGAACUUUGGUUUUGCAACUUGGAGAUGAUUCCCCAACUUAGAGAUGAUUUGCAACUUCAUUCGCAGCUUGGAGGUGAUUUCGCAACGUGGUUCGCAGCUAAGGAACAUUUUCGUAGCCCAUUUCGCAGCUGCGAAAUGAGGGGGUGGAGCUGUGAAAUGGCACUCGUGUGCCAAGGGGUGGUUUCGCAGCUGCGAAACACCGUGCGAAAUUUUCGUAGCUCAAUUCGCUCAGCUUUGUGUAGUUGUCUUCAAAUAGUCAUAACUUCUUCGUUUCAACUCCAAUUAAUGUACCGUUUAAAGCAUUGGACUCCUAACUUCCUGAGCUUCGAACGACAUAUGGUAUGCAUGAAAUGGACUUUAGGAAGUACUCGAAAUGUGUCCAAUAGUUUCCGUCCUCUUAAAUUCUUCAUGUUAGAUUCCUCUGUUUUUCCUCCUUGCAUUCUUGAUUGACUUUGGCAAAGAACUACGAAGCUCCAAAGCUUGGAUUCUUCAUGUAAAUGAGCUUCCAUUUGCUUUGUCAUGGAUUAUAUAAAACUGUCCCUCAUCUUAGAUUGCUUUGGUGAUCAAAAAGCUAUUAAAAACACCAAAACUUAACACGAUUUGAUUAGAAUUGAUUGCAAGGGUCCUUAACAUGCCAAUUGAGUUAAAAUGUAAUAACUACUACUCAAAAGUGUUUAAAAGAGGUAAUUACAAGCUAUAAAAUAGCACUUUUUGAGUAGUAAUCAAUGGAUCUGAAGGAAGCAUCCACAAUGGCAUUUGUUGGGGAUUUGGAGUUGAGGUGUGUUGUUUCAAACAUUGCUCAAUUUCUUUGAACUUAUAAAAAGAAGAAAUGAGUCUUAACUCUUUUCUUUUUCAUAGCAAGGAGCUUGUUUUCAUAGCGACAAUCUAGGGUGCUUCGAAAGGAAUAGCUGGAUAGGAAACCAUGUAAAAAACAUACUUUAUCCCAUCUAUACUCGAGCCAAGUUUGAAAAAAAUAUUUCAUUUUAUUAUUUUAUAACUUGCUAAAAUGUUUAUCAUUUCUAUCAUUAGGUCAUGGAUGUCUACUGUUGAAUGAUGCAAUUUGAGGACCUAACAAAGACUAAACUGUUUCUCACACCUUAUAUAUUUGUAAUUAUUAGUUAUCUCUUCACGGAAUAAUGAUCUGGAUAGUUUAACUUAAAAAUAUUGUUGCCAAAAUCACUAACAAAAACAUUAAAUCUUUGUUUUACAGGAAGGGUCCUCCCAACCCAAAGAAAUAUUUAGUGAAAUAUUCAAUCAAAGGGCGGUUCGAACCACAUAUGUGUGAGAUGGAUAUCCCAUACUCAAAUGUUAAAGAGGUGAAGGGUGAUGGGAAGUUAAAUGGCAAACUUGUGAUAGGAAUGAUUGUGGGGUAUUUGUCAUGAAGUUUAUGGACUACUAGUCCAUGGGUGAAUUUUUGAAAUUGGGUGGAUUUUUGAAAUCAAUCGAUGUGGUAUGUUGAUAGAUUUUUGAAAUUCAUGUCAUUUAUGUAAUAAUAGUAUAUAACAAAUGCAGAUUUUUCUGAUCUGUCUGGUAAACUUGUAACAUUGUGGGGAAUUUGAAUAGAAUACACAUCGACAUAUGUUUCAAAAGGAAUGAUGGGAAGUGGUUGGUAGAUUUUACAUUGGACACUGAUUUGGUAGUAUACAUUUUCGAAAAGAGAAUAUUAUGAAAAUUUAUUUGCUAUUUUAUUUGGGUUUACUUAUUCAGAAAACAUUGAUAGGAUCUUCUUGAGCAGGAGUGAUGAAACACACUAGGGAAUAUUGAGUAGUUUUUUGUAGUUCGACCCAAUGAUGUCAGAUUUGUAUAGCUAAUUAAGCAGCUGUACAUUGUGUAUCUCAGAUCUUCAGGUUUGGGUACUAGUAAAUUCUGUACAAAAGCCCUUUAUGGUCCUUGGUCAUUCUCCUUUUAUCAGGUUGAAAAUACAACACAAUUGACUUAGUGUUAACUUCUAAAGUUCUUGGUCACUGGUGAAGUCCAAUUGUACUAGGUGCUUGAUUGUAUUUCUCUGAGUUUUUUCGAUCAAUUAUACACUUCGACUCCCUUGUUUCUCUUUUGUAUUAGGUUCACUACUUGGGUCAUUGGAAUAAUGGUCUGUCGUAUACAGUAGCAUAUUUUUAUUCAUUGAGUGGGCACUGAAAUGGUUUUAUACCCCUGGCAUUCCUCACACCCAUUGCAAUCUCCCCAAUUCAUCGGUUUCUGUGGUGGGUUUCAUCUUUCAGUUUUUGGGUUAUUGAUGUUGUGAGUAUAAAAUGUCCUGUGUUCGAUAAAUUGAUAACAGGUGAAGAAUGAUCUUACCUUGAAAUUCAAAGAAAAUGUUCAUAUAUGGUUGCAUUGAUUCAUUGUUUUACUAUUGUUUUUGUAUGCAGAUGAUAUUUUUUUCCUAUGUAGAAGUUAUGAUUAUGUUGGCUUCAGCUAUAUGCAAAAUGGUACCGGAAUGGGAAGUGGAAAUGGGUAUCUCAUUCAUCUUUUAAUCCAUUUUCAUGUUUGGAUAACUCUAAGUGAAGAUGGAAAUGGAAUCAAGAAGCAUUUUAAGGGAAAUGAAAUUCCACUUAUAAGUGAGAUUUCAAUUCAUCCCUUAGUAAGGGGUGUUUUGAUUCCUAAGUGUAGCUUAUUUUUAAAAACACUUUUCAAAAAUUAAAAAAUUAAAAACUUUUUUGGAUAAAUUAUUUUUAAAACUAUUUUUUUAUUUAUAUUUUGUAAAAAGAAAAAUUAUAAAUUUGAUUUAUAUAAUAUGAACUAAAUUCAAGUCUUAUUAAAAAUAAAAAUAGUUUUGUAAUUAUAAAUAAAUUAAUAAAUUAAUUAUUUUAAUAAAAUAUGAAUAUUAAUAUUAUAAUAAAACCAUAAAUUAUAUUUUUAUAAAUAUUGUAAAAAUAUGCAUAUUAAUAUCUUAUUAAAGAAUUUUAUUUUUUUAAGAUAUAAAUGAGUCAAAAUUUUCAAUACAUGAAUACAUUUAAUACUCAACUAAGGACAUGAUGUUCUAAAAAAAUUUAUUUAAUCUCUGAAUUUUUAUUUAAUCCAUAAUUAAUUAAUCGGUUUUUUAAUUUCAAAUUAUUCUUACAAAUUAGAAAUUUUAAUAAAGGAUUUAAGAUAUGAAUUUUAGAAAUAGUUUGUUUUUUUAAAAAAAAAAACUAUGACAGGGAGAGUGUUUUAAAAAAAUGAAAAUCAAUAUUGUAACAUUGAAAUAAAAACAAAUAAUCAUUCCAACCUUAUAUUCCUAAAUACAUCAAAACGGAAUAAUUGGAAUCACCAAAUCAAUUCAUAUUCAAUGACAAAUGGAAAUGGAAACAAUAUAUUCAUUCAUAUUCCCCAUUCCUAUAUAUCAAACACACCUUAAAUGGCAAUGCUUUCCAUGUGGGGGAAGAAGAAUGCUUUAGAGGUACACCUUGUAUAGAGUUGAUGAAAAAUGAGAUAAAGCAAACCAUACUUUCAUACUAAAGAAAUGGUCUUAAACAAAUAUCUAGAAAUUGCAUUUCAUCAUGAAAAAACAUCAUAAAACACUCUCAUUAUGUUUGCUCCAAAGGUAAACAAGUCAAAGCAAGUCAAAAUAUACCAAACAACGAUAAGAUUAAAUAACAAAGCAAACAUUGCAUAGGAAUUCCAACAUGUGGCCAAAACAAGAAGGUUCAUAAAACAAAUCCUAAAAAAAUAUUUAGAACAUGAGUUUAAUUAUAAAAAAUAAAAUAAAAAAAAUUCAAAGAAUAUCCUCUACGUGUUUACUUUAUCAUCCAAGUGGUUGAAUAGUUAUUCAAGACUCCGAUUAAUUCCAAAAUUAUAAAAAGUUCUAGAAGUUUUAGAAUAAGUCACAAUUCAAUGGCAAGAAUAAACCGAUUUUUAAAACUAACUUAGAGCAUAAAAUCACACAAGUCAUUUAAAAUGUCUAGUUUACAUAAAAAAUAAAAAGAAAACUAGUGGGCACAUAAAUCAAUUUUUAAAUCAUACAAACAGAUCUUCUAUCAUUUCUCUAAUUCAUUAUUUUAUAUUUUAACCUUACUUUAUUGUACAUUAAUUCUAUUAAUUCCUAGCAAGCUUCUAUUUCCUUACACCUUAAAAAUCCAAAUUAGUUGGUUCCAUUUGUCUUUGUACCUUACUCUUAUUAUAGUGUAACUUCAUUAUAUAUUUCUUAAAUAUCAAUAUUUGUUUUUGAUUGAAAAUGGAUGAAAUAAACCCAGAUCUAGAAAGGUAUUAUUUUCUACUGAUUUCAACAAUCAACAACUAAGAAUGAAUUUUGAGUCCAAUUGUUGAGAUUUAUGAUUUGAUACUUAUAUAACCAAUUAUUACAAUAGAUGAAACCUAUAAUGAAGACCAUAUAUAAAUAUUCAAAUAAUGAAAGUGUUCUUUCACAUAUGAAAUUAAAUAAAGUAAUAACAUUGGACAAUUUAUUUUAUGAUCUACAUAUUGCUAAAUAAAAUAAUAAAAUAAUUAAGAAAAUUUGUUACUUAAAACUAGAUAUGUAAAUUGUACACCUUUUUUGACUUUGCUCAUACCAUUAGACUUUUUAACUAAUCACCAAACCUAAAUAAUAAAAAUGAAAACAAUUUAUUUUGUUAGGGAUAAUUGUAAAGUUACACAUAAACAUAAGAUAAAAUUUUAAAAAUAAAAUUCAAAUAGUGAAAAAAAAUAACUUGCUAUACUAUAAAAUCAUUCAGACAAAAUCAUUAAAAAUUUAUUAUUGAUCACAUGCAUGAAUGCUAACAGAGCAAUCUUAUAUACCAAAUAUUCUUAACUAGUAUCUAGCUUUCUUUUGAAAUGUACGCUCAUGCUAAAAGAAAACUACUAGCUUCUCAAACAUUAAAAAAUUGUGUAAGAUAACAAUAAGUUUCACAUUAAAUAAAAUACUAUGUAACAUUAUCCUUCCGAUGAGGAAUUGAGUCUUAUUCAAAAUAGAUAUAGGUUAUAUUUGAUUUCCACCCAGAAGAAAAUUAAAAAUAAAUAAAUAAAUUUAAAAUCAACGAAUUAGUUUUAUAUGUUCCUUCAAACUUAUUUCACUUAUUUUUUAUAUUUUAUGUAAAUAUUAAAUAAAUUAAUAAUGUAUAAUUUUAACUAAUCUUAAUUAUAUUUUAUUUUAUUUUAUAUUUUUCAUAAUAAAAUCAAAUAUUAAUUUUUUUUUCUUCAAUUUUUAGUGUUGUCAGAAAACCAAAUUAAGCCAAAAAAAGUCUAGAAAGUCCAACAAACUUUAUGUUUAAAAUUAUUUUUAAUGUUUUGAUGUUAUGGAAAAUGGUGAAAAGGGGAAAAAAAAAAAAAGGACAAAUCCUCUUAAAAUCUCUCUGCCAUCAGGCUCCGAAAACCAUUCCAAUGUUAUCUAAAAAUAUAAAUAUGAAAUUUUCACUUUAAAAAACCUAACAAUAAUUUUGAAGUGUUUUUUUGGCCGAAAAGAAAACUUGAUUAUAAUCAAUCACAAUAUGAUAAAAUAGAAACAAAACCAACAAAAUGAGAGAGGGAUCACAAUAAUUUUGAUUUUAGCUUCUAGAAAAAUCUAAGGCAAAAAGAAAGGAGAAUACAAGAAAAAAAAAAAAAAAAAAAGAAGCAUUCAUGAUACUGACAGAGAAAUUCAUAGAAUCUGUUCAAUUUCAUAGAAUCCUAAAAUAGGAAAGAGAAAUCUCUAAAUAUUUUUUUAAUGUCAAAAAAAUGGGAAAAAAAUUAGGAUAGGAAAAGAGGACAGUUCAAUUUCUGAAAAAAAGAAAAAAGAAAAAAAAAAGGCUGGAUAUUAUAAACAAAUAAAAUCCAAAGAUUUAUUCAGUUUUGAUUGAAUUUCUCAUAAACCAAACAACGAGCAAAGAAUUUGGAACAUAAAGAGAAAAAACCAAAAAAAGAAAACAUACAAUUUGAGGGUGCCGUUGAAGUAGGAAUUUCAGUGAUGCUCCUGUCCCACCAAAUCCAUCCGUGUAAGUGAUGUAUUAUGCGUACAUACAUACCCAUGGAAUCAAAAUAGUUGGAACAGAAAUAAUCAUUGUCUAAUGAAUCAAGGAAAAGAGUUUACCUACUACUAUUAUACCCACAUUAUUCAAAUGAUUUUCAAAGCUUCAACUCCCAAAUGAUGUUGAAGAAUACAAACAAAGGACUUUAUGAUCUAUUAUCCAAAACCAGUGGGUGAGAGAGAUCAGAGAUGUACAUGAAAGAAUCCAAUACAAUGGAUGGUUAAAACUUCAAACAGAGGAUAAGAAAUGAGAAAAGAGAAGAUCAAUCCCAAAUCCUAAAACCCUUUGAGAUAUCCUAAGUAUGGGGGAGAGUGUUCAUUUGAUUGCUUGAAAGCAUUGUUGGGAAGUGGCAGUCAAUACAAUACUGAAAUUGAAGAUUGAAUCAUUCAUUUGAAAGCUAUUGGGAAGGUAAAUUAGAUCUGUUGAGAUGACUUUUGAUUGCUAAUGUGGCCAUAAAAUUAAAAAACAAAAGAUAUAUUACAAUCCAAGGUGGUGGUUGUAUGUGAAUGAAUCACACGAAAGUACAAAUUCUAUAAUUUCACAAUCACGAGAAGAACCCAAUCCAAACCCACUCAACCUAAAACCCAAUGCAACCCAAGGAUGAAAAUAUCGGUAAUCACGAAUAUAUCGAAUAUAUAUCGACAGAUAUUUUGAAAAAAAAUAUAUCGGUAAUCCUAAAAUUGAUCAAAAUUUAUGGAAAUGUAAAUAAAAAAAAAAUCUCAUAGAUAUAUAAUUAGAAGUAUAAUAAACAUUUUAAAUGUUCUUUAUUAAAGAAUUUAAUAUAUGUAUAAUAUGAUUUAUUAUAUUUAAUAAUAAUAUUAUAAACAUCAACAAAAAAAUAUGUAUUUUAUAAGUGUACGUUUAUUAUUAAAUUAUAUCAAAUAUUAUUUCAUAAUAAUAUUAUAAUAUUUAAUUUUAAAAUAUAUUUAAUAUUAAAUUUAUGAUCCAUUUAAUUUAAUUAUAUUAAAUGAUAUAAAAUAAUCGAUAAUAUAUGUAUAAUUUUUUAAUAUUUAAUUAAUCUAUUAAUGAUAUUAAAAAUACUAUUAAAAAAGUAUGAUGAUAAUUUUUAUAUUUUUUUUGUAAUAAUUAUAAUUAAUUUAUUUUCAAAAAUAUUCUUUUGUAUAUAUAUAUAUAUAUAUAUAUAUAUAUAUAUACACGUUUGGUUCAAAUUAACAAAGGGCAUAAUUGCCCUAGUGGACAUAGGCUGUAGGAAGUCUUCUAUAUGGGCAAAGUGGGUAAUGGAGCUCGGGCAGGAGACUACCUGGGGAAGGGGAAGCCUGGGUAGAGGGGCAGGUGACUGGGGUAGGCAAUCUAGGGCAAAGGGAGGGCGUUUUUUUUUUUUUCUAGAAACUUGUGUUUUAGGGCCUUUAUUUAUAAAAUAUAUGAUAUUCAAACCCCAAGUUUAUGAAAUAUGGAAAGCAAUCAUUAACGGGCAAAAUAAUAUGAGAUUUGUGCACUAUAUGUUGAGUCAAUUUUAUCUACCCAAAUUGCCCUUGAUGCCUUUUGCAUCAACGGCCAAAUAGCCUCCAUGUCAUACUUAAAAAAAAAAGUGAAAAUUGAUAAUUUCAGGAAAAAAAAAAAAAAAACCACCCAACCCGACUUUGGUCGCCCCUUUCUCUCUCUCUCAUUUUAGGGAAAAAAAAAACCUUAAGUCAAGCAACAUUUAACUUUGUUCUCAAAAAUUUUCGUAGCCCUAAAUCUGCAUUUUAGUUUGUCAACAACCAAAUCUGAGAUUUUCCCUAAGCUGGAAUCUCAAAAACUUGCCAUUUUUAGAAGGUCAUUUCAAAUCUGAAUUGGCUAAAACCUUCACAUCCAACAAACCCAACCGAUACCCAUCUUCCCCGAUUCUCAGACUUCUCUAUUUUUCUCUUAACAUCCCGAUUAGUUGAACCUAUUUGUCUCUAAACGUUUGGAGUAGCCGAAGCUGACAGCCAUCUUCCCAAUACGUUGAAGUAAAUUGAACGGGAGACAUAUUUUGUUUUUGCAUCAUCAAAAUUGGAAUUUCGUUAAGGUUUCUCGAAACGGGACUGGAGUUUUCCCUUUUGUGCGUGUUUUCUGAUUAAUCAAUCACAUGUGAGUUUUCAUUUAUGGGUUUGUUUGGAUAGUGCGAACAUCUUAGGGUUUGUAGUGUUUUAUUUUAGGGUUUCUUAUAUUUAGCUUCAUUUUAUGUAGAAUGAAAUAUAGGAUAAAUUAUUUUUGGUUAAAGAUAUGUUCGUAUUAAGAGAAAAUAGAUUAUUAUUAUUAUUAUUAUUAUUAUUAUUAUUAUUACUAUUAUUAUUUGCUUUCCAGGAAUUAUGUUGUCAUUAGAUUUUUAGGGAAAUUGGUUCAUCUAUAUUACUACUAGUCGAUGGAAAUUUUCUUUCAAUUUUUAUGGUAUAUAUGAGAGUUACUACUAGCAACUAAACAGAUUAUUUGCUUAGUCGUUUGUCAUUGUUAUUAUUUUACUAAAUUUGAAUACCUAUUUCAUUGUGUGUAUGUUGUUAUUGUUUUGUCCUUUGUCUUUGCAUGAUAGAAUUGAAUGUAUGUUGUUAUUGUUAUUGUUUUGUGAAUUUCAUUUGAGACAUGAUAAAAUGAUAGCAGUAAGCAUGUAAAAGAUGAAUGUUGACUACAAAUUUGGUAUGAAAAAGAAGUGACAGCUCUGUGAGGUGUUGGUCAUACCUUAAUUUAUUUGCAGAUUUUAUUUAUUUUUGAAUCGUUUAAUGCGUUGUUGAGGUAAGAAUUGGUACGCAUUUUUUCUUAUUUAUGUUUUCGGGACCAUAUUACAUUCCUAAGGUGGUGUUUAUUUUUUUGGCUUUUUGUUGAAAGCAAUUUAGUUUUAGAAUUUAGGUUGUUUGUUUUUCUACUUUUUCAUAACUUAUUAUAAACUUUUUACUAAAUAGAAAAAACCAAAAUAUGUAACUUUUUCUAAAUAGAAAAAAUAACAUAUUGGUUUUUUUUACUUUUUAAUACUUAAUAGAAAUAAAAUACUACAAAAACAAACAACCUAAUAUUUAACACUAUUAAGCAUUAAGGUUCUAUUUAGAAUUAAGUAAAAAAACAAACACCACCUAAGUCUUUAAAUUUGAGAUGAGUAUAUUUUUGUAUUUGUCUUUUUAUGAGUGGAAAAUCCUAUUGUAUCUUUGCUAGAAAAUUAUUUCCGAAAACACUAACCAAAUAGUAUCUUUGAUUUAUGGGAAUUAAAUGUUGAUGACAUGAACAAACUAAUGAUGGUUUCUUGGGGGCAGUGAUCAUAAUUAUAGCCUUAAUAUAUUCCAGAUGUGUUGCUAUAAUGUACAGUGUAAAAAAAAAAAAAACAAAUGUUGGAGACUUGUUUUUGGGACAUGCACAUCUUGCAAGAUGUAGAAGGCAAAAGGAUUGAGACCACUAACUGAGGCAUCCUUCAAAUAAGAGUCCGUACACUAAAAGAAAGAGUUCAAACAAAUUUUAGCCCUUAAUUUGUUAGAAAAUGAAAUCAAACUGGACAAUUCAAUAACACCUCUAAAGCCAUGUAAAUUUAUUAAGUAAAUUACUAAGUUAAAGAUAUAACGUAGUGGUAUGAUAGCCAGAGAUACAAGGAGCUCUCCAUAAAGUGGCAAACAAUUUAGAGACUAUCUGAUACAAAAUACAUUUUUUUUCCUUGCCUUUUUGGGAGUAAACAGUGUUAGUAACAUGCCAAGCACUAAAAUUAAUGUAGGUACAAAUUUGAGUCAUCAGUAGGAAACUAGGGAAAUAACCAAUGAGACAUCAAGAAAUACUUGAAAAUAACACUCCUAUUUGGGGAAUAGAAAGCCUUGAUGUGCUUAACAAGUGGCAGAGAGCAAACAACAAGAACAAAUGAAAAAUAUCCCAAAGUGCGAAGGCAGCCUUUGUGGCAUCUUUGUGGGGUAAAAAAAUGUGGUUGUCUUUCUCUAAGUGCAGGUUAGAAGCUUAAGUGUUCCAUUAGCUACGAAACCUGACACUAAGUUAAGCAUAUGAAUCAACAUUGAUUGGCAUAGGCCUCAGCAUCUGGUCCCUAGAACCUAGUGGUAAAAGGAUCAAGUCGAACCCACAGUAGACAAAAUAGGGUUGCUAAAAUUAGAGACCAUAGUAUGGCUACUAUGGAAAUAUUGUGCUUCUAAACUAAUAAUCCCUUUAAGAAUGGGUAUAGGUGAACAAUCACAUUGGAUGAGAAAAAUAGUGGCCCAAAAGACCCAUAUCCAUGGACAACUAUUGAAAAGAUCAUAGUUACAAUGACCUACAAGUUAAUGAGAAUCAAUGUUGUUGGCAGGAUCAGAAGUGAUGUCCAUUUGAAUUUAUAAAACUCGAUGGCACUGUUUUCAUCAUGUGUCUUCAUCAAUGUGUUUGACCUUGUAUUUAAACCCAGCAUGACCUUAAACAAACCCUGGAAAAUAGAAAAUAAAUUGGAAGAUAGACCAGCAAUCACCCAAAACUGUUGAUUUCUCCACCACUCUUGAAGACUUACACCACUCCACCUAAGCUCAAGAAACCUAUGUGCGAAAAUAAAUAAUACAACAACCAUGAACUAGAUGCUUGCCUCAUAAGUAAUCUGCAAAUUAAUAAUAAGAGGAGAGCAUGGUAAGGCAUGGUUUGGCCCAUGCAACCUUCUUGAGGCAUCUCAAAUACUAGUUGUUUUCCCUAUUUUUGGAAUAUGAAACACUUGUAGAUUUUAUUUAAAUUAAAAUUCACAAGUACAUUAGUUCAGUUCAAGUGCUAGCGGAGGUAUAUGCCUAAAAUCAAGGCCUAAAGUAAUAUUUUAUCUAAAAAGGAAGUUAUAAUAUACAUUAAUAGACUGCUGGAAACCUAAAAAUGAUUGGAAAUGAAACUAAAAUCAUUUAAAGACAAGUUGGACUUUGAAGGGAAAUUGAAUGCAAUGAAUAAUGAAUACCGCUUGGUAUUAAAAUUACAAUUAGAGCCCCGUUGGCACUGAUUAUAAUGGAAGGGGCUUUUUUUUUUUUUUUUACAGAGUUUCAUUAGGAAGUGUUAAUGUGAAUAACACUUAUAUGAGAAUCAGGAAAAUGAUUCUAAUAAUGUUGUAUAAGAUAUGUUGUAUAAAUAUACAAAUAAUUUUAAUAAUAAAUCACAACAAAUGACAUACAAUUGUAAUUACAAAAACGACAAUAGUAUGAUAAACGAAAAACUUUUUAUUAUAACACAAUAUAAUAUGAAAAACUGGUUUACAAUAUCCAGUUUUUUAGCUUUAACAGUGAGCCAAUCAGACAAAAGUGCAAGCAGAUCAGGAGCAGAAGAUGUUAGAGCAACAAUAAUAAUUGGAAGCUACUAUCAAGGUUCAUGGAGAAGACGACUUUGCAUUUUGGCUUGUAAUGACGAUCUAGAAAUGACUUGGCAGCUGCAUACCUAAUAAAAAAGCAAUUAACAUUGGUUAAAGAAAGUUGAAAAGACAACAAGGGGACAAAAAAUGAAGAAAGAAAACCCAACAAAUAUGGAGUUCAAACCAAAAUGUGCAUUUAUGGAAAAAAUGUGUUAUUGUAUAAAAUUAUGUCAUCAUUAUAGUACCAAAUCAUUGUAUACAUAUCUUUAUAGUAAUAGAGAGAUGUGGAUGAAAAUUUGUAUACAGGGACUACAGGGCAUCAAAAUUGGUUAGUCCAUAAUGCUUGGACAUAUAUCUUUGUCAGCGUGAAAUCAGGACGGAAUUGAAUGUCAAGUGUUGGUCUUAUGGAUGAGGAAUGUGCUAUCUAGGAUUUAUAAACAACAAAAGUAAGGUAGUAGUCGUAAGGUUAACUAGGAUAGUCCCUAAGAUACAGUAAGAUAGUACUUGUAAGGUUAAAUAAGGUAGUACCUUAGGCACAUUAAGGUAGUACCUUAGGCACAUUAAGGUAGUACCUUAGGCACAUUAAGGUAGUACCUUAGGCACACCAAGGUUGUAACUCAGAUGCCAUAAGGUAUUACCAGGGGUGAAAAAGAUGGCUAACCUAUUGCAACAUAACAAUGUCAUUCUCAAUUAAGGAAAUUAUCUAUUCAGUUUAAUUGCUUGGUUUUUUUUUUUUUUUAAACUAGGUGGAAAUUGAAUGCUGAAGCAUACAUACUAUGGUUGACCAUGGUAGUACGUUGGAUUCACAAAUUAACUACUAAUUGGGAAACAAAGUUAGUAGGAAAGUUGUACUCGGUUGCACGAUUCAAACACUGAACUGUGGAGAGAGUGUUAUAGUAAGGUAGUACCUAAGGGACAUUUAGGUAGUACAUAUGAUACGUUGAGAUAGUACCUAAGGUACAUUAAGAUAGUACCUUCACACUAUUAUGAGUAGAUAAUGUACGAAGUGACUAACCAAUUAAGACAAAGUAAUGUCAUUAUUUAAUCUACAAUAAAAUGAAAUAAAUGUGUCUUCAGUUCGAAAAUGCAACAUUUCUCCAACAUUAAGGACAAUAACCAAUUGGACCUUACUACAUAAAGAGUAGUGAGAUAGGACCUAUGAUGCAUUAAGGUUGAACCUAAAGUGGAUGACGAUAGUAAGUGAAGUGCAUUAGGGUAGUACCUAAGGAGAACAUUCUAAAAAAUAAAUUAUUUUUAACUAAUGCCAAGGACAAUUCAGGACAUUGUGUACUGAGGGAAGAUGUUGGACAUAUAUCCAUUCAGCGUCAAAUUAGGAUGAAAUUGAAUGUCAAGCAUAGGUCCUAUGGUUGAGGGAAGUGCUACCUAGGAUUGAUGAACAACCCAAGGUUCACGAACUCACAACCUAAGCUUCAUUAAGUUAAUAACUAAGGUUGACAAUGGUAGUCUCUAAGUUGCAUUAAGGUAGUACUCCUAAGGUUCAAUAGGGUAGUCCAUAAGCUACAGUCAGAAAGUACUCCUAAGGUUCACUAAGGUAGUACCUUAGGCACAUUAAAGUAGUACCUUUGCCACUUUAAGGUGGUGCCUUAGCGAUAUUAAGGUAGUCAAUCAAGUGCAAUAAGGUAUGAACUAAGGUGAACGGGGUGCAUAACCUAUUACAACAUAAUAAUGUCAUGCUCAAUUAAAGAAACUGUCAAUUUCAACCAAAUGACUCGGUUAUGUAUCAAACUAGGAUGAAAUUGAAUGACAAAAAUACAUCCUAUGAUUGACCAUAGUAGUACCUAGAAUUCAUAAAGUAAUCAUAGAGUGUUUAUGAAGCUAGUACCCAAGUUAUGCUUGGGUGCAUCGUUAAGGUUCCCAAAUGUGGAGACAAUGUGGUACAGUCAGGUAGUACCUAAGGGACAUUAAGGUAGUACCUAAAGUUUAUUACGAUAGUACCUAAGGCUCAGUCAAACAUUGCUUACAUCUAAGGUGAACAAACUCACAAAAAUUGCAAAACAUGAUGCCCACGCACGUUGCAAAGGUUCACAAAGGUUACAAGCCAAGGUGUGCUAAGGUAUAAGACCAUAAAUAGCCUCAUGACUUCACAUAGAGCAUGUAGGAUGUGUUUGAUAUGGGAAUUGGAUUGGAAAUGGAGCUGAAUCAUAAUAUAAUAUAGAAGAGAUGAAUCAAAAUUCUAUUAGGGGUUAGAGUAGGUUCCCAUCAAAAUGAAUACAUCAUUCAUAUUCUCAUAUUAUAAAACAAUCUAAACAAAUUAAUGAAUGGAAAAUGCCAUUGCUAUCCAUUUCUCUUUCUCUGUUCUACCUUCACAAACAUUACCUUAUAGUGUUACUCAAGCAUUAUUGGAUUCAUAUUUCACGACAUUCAUGCCACAAUAAAAACAAUAGAGUAUCAUAUUUUCUUCAUUCUAUUUAACAAUAACCAUUGUAACACAUCAUGGAAGUUACCUUUGGUGCAACAUUCACAUUUCCAAAUACACCAAUGUUGAAAUAAUAAACAAGACAAGGCACCAACCUACAAGCAUGCGGUCUAAAAUCCACCUACGUGUGAAGCUAUCACCUCACCACUGCACACAUAUUUCGGAGUCCAACAACCACUCCACAAUCGCUGAUGUGCUCCAUUAAAAAAAUUAAACAAACAAACAAACAAAACAACACUAAAUACAAAUUAAUUACCUUAAGAUUUUGGUGGGGGUUAGGCCAAAAUGCAACCCAAUAAGAUGAAGAGGAGAUUUCUUCUUCAUGAAGCCAAUAUUUCACACUUGCCGUUUUCGUUCGGGUUCACUCAGUUGAGCCAGAAUUUGAAUCACACUGUUGCUUCCUCAAACCCUCUUUUUAACUGGAUGUUGUUACCAUGAAGUGCUUCAUUUGCUUUUUCAGAAACCACACAACAAAGAAAAAUGUAGAUUCAAGUUUUCGAUUGAAGGUUUCUUCUAAAAAAUGUGCCAUAUUUUGCAAAUUUAAAUACAAUUUUUGAUUCACGGUUUCUUCAUUGAAAUGUGUGAAAUUUUGCAAAUUUAAACACGAUCUCCUUUCCAAUUAGUUGUGGACAUGAAAACGGAGGAGAGAAAUGUUCCCAAAACUUUGAGAGGACGAAAGAAAGGGAAAUUUCAGUCUCAGUAUCAGUUGGCUACUCCAGACAUUUAAAGACAAAUAGGUUCGACUAAUCGGGAUGUUAAGAGAAAAACAGAGAAGUCUGAAAAUCGAGGAAGAUGGGUAUCAAUUGGGUUUGUUGGACAUGAAGGUUUUUGCCGAUUCAAAUUUCAAAUGACCUUUUGAAAUGCCAAGUUUUUGAGAUUCCGGCUUAGGGAAAAUCUCAAAUUUGGUUGCUGACAAACUAAAAUGCGGAUUUAGGGCUACGGGAGUUUUUCAGAAGAAAGUUAGAUGUUCAUUCUAGUUUCAACUCUAGGUUUUUUUUUUUUUUGGCUAAAAUGAGAGAGAGAGAAUGGGACAACCAAAUGUUUAGAUUUGGAAGAGGCAAAUUAGGGAUGGAGAACUAUCAGAUUUGGGAAUUUUUUCCAAUUCAAACAAAGAAUUGGUUUUUUUUUCCAGUUCUUUGUCAAGUUGAGUGGUUUUUUUUUUCCCUGAAAUUAUCAAUUUUCACAAUUUUUUUUAAGUAUGACGUGGAGGCUAUUUUGCUGUUGAUGUAGAAGACAUCGAGGGCAAUUUGGGCAGAUAAAAUUAACUCAACACAGAGUGUACAAAUCUCAUAUUAUUUUGCCCAUUAAUGAUUGCUUUCCAUAUUUAAUAAACUUGAGGUUUGAAUAUUAUAUUUUUUUUUAUAUAAAUAAAGGCCCUAAAACACAAGUUUCCAUUUUUUUUUUUGGCAGAAAUAUUACCAAAAAAUCGACAAUAAAUUGGAGAAAUAUCGGCUAUUUUUUGUCGUGACAACCAAUUAAUGAAAAAAAUCGGAGAUUAUCUAUGAUUUUUUGGUGAUAUUUACUGAAAUUUCUUAUUUUUGAUAUAUUACCAUGAUUUAUCGUGUCGAAACCUUUCUAUACACAGGUAAAUCGGCAAAAUUUCGAAUAUGGCCACAUUUUCGUCCCUGCUGCAACCAACGACUAAGAUUCCGGGACGUGGCGGCGCCACCCCUUCACCAGCACCGAAAAGAACUUAAAUUACCUGAACACCCUUCACAAAGUCACAAAUGCAAAACCUAAUUUGGGCGAGUAACCCACUCGAGUCGCCCUUUUUGGGUCAUCCUUGCUCGAAACUCGUCAUUCAGUCUACCAGGAGGCUUACCAGAAGAAGAAGAAAGGGAGGAGAGAGAGGGAGAGAGUGGGCGGUCAGGGCAAUGCCUUGUUCUUCUAAAAAUACGUCGUCUUCUUCUAGAGAUGACAAUGGUGCCCUUCGUGCUUUCAAGCUGAGUGAGUCCACGUUUUUGGCUUCUCUUAUUCCUAAGAAGGGGAUUGCUGCUGAUCGAUUCGUCGAGGCGCAUUCUAAGUACGAUGCCCGUGAGGUUGUUGUCGCUAUUUUUGGUAAUUUGAAAUUUUCUAUGGGGGGUUUUGGGUCUGUUUGGGUGAUGAGAAAGUGAUGGGAAAUGGGAAAAAAUUUCUGGGUUUAUUUAUUGGUUUAUGAGAAGUGGGCGAAGGACACUAAGUGGGAUAUGGGUGUUAGUCGUUUUUUCUUUUUGGGGGUCUGUUUCUGUUUGGGUCCUGAGAAAGUGGUGGAAAAUGAAAGAUAACUGUUUUUUUAUUUUUUUUGUUGGAGUUUUAUGUUGUUUUGGUUAAGAUAUCAGACGUGAACCUUCAGCUUUUUCCAUGGUGUCUUGAAAGUGUUGUUCAUGCUAAAACUUAGGAGUCGAAUGUGGGAAAUGCUUAUCUCUUGAGCUGUGCUGGGUUGUAUUUCUGAUCUUAGAGUGUUGUUUUUACCCAGAUUCUGGUGUGUUACAAGUUACCUCAGGUGGGAAACCGAAGAUCUUUGAUGUUCUUGAUUCGUAUUAUAAAACUACUUGUUUGUCACGGUACUCUUACAGCAAUAUUUACAGAGUACUUUUUCUUUUUUCAGCCUUGGCAGUGGAGAUAUUGAUACCUCAACUGUGGUGAAGGCCGAUUCAAACGGUUGUCUUGGUGGAGCAUCAGGUUUGUGUCUUAAAGCAUUGACCUGUAUCGUACUUUUGAGCAUGAAAAUAAGCCCGAUCAUGAUAUUUUCAAAUGUACACAUUAAUAAAAGUGUUGAUUCUAAUUAAAUUAAUAUUAUUUUGAAUUAUUAUGCAUUAAAAAGAUUAUUAUUUUUGUAUGUUCCUCACACUCACAUUCUGUGCUUUUAUCCUAAAUUUGUAAUAGGGGCAUCUCUGGUUGUAAAUUCUUCAUGGAAGAACCCUUCUGGGGAGUGGCAUGUGGGUUAUAAAGUCGUAUACGAGCUUUGUACAGACACAUUGACUUCUGGUUUGAAGGUUUGAUUUUAAUCAUGAACUCAUGACUUAUUGAUUUGAUACUUAAGACUGGGAUCACCUAAGUUCUAACUUCUCAUCUCUUCCCCUUGUUUAUUUUGUUACAGAAAGAAGGAAAAAGUGGAACAAAAAGCAUAGGAAGCAAUAGCUGAGGCUGUAAAGCAUCUUGAUGAAUUUGACCAGGUUUUGGAUAAUUCUGUUGCUUAAUUUCUUACAUGUUGCAUUUUUUUCCAAAUCACCUAUUCCGUAUUGCACUUAACUUCUGUUGUUAAUUAGUCAGUAACUCUGCAUAAUAGACCUGCAAAUUAUUGACUUUAAAAACAUCAUUCAAUUCUUGAUGCACUAUUAUUGUUUUCACUCCCCCUUAUUGUAAGUUGAUGUUUUUUGAUACUUUAUUGAUGUCCGGGCAUUUUACUUUUUGUCUCUUUGUAUUCAUGUUCAUCUGGAGAAAUUCAGUAUGCUAACUGCAUAAAAUGGUAAAAGAUUUUGGAUAAGGUCAAAAGUUUCCAUCUGUUAAUAAAAGUUUAUAAAUAGUUCAUUUACAAGCUCAAGCGGUCCUCAGGGCAUCUAUGUAAUAUAUUGCUGACACGUUCUUGUUUCAGUAUUACACUUGCAUUUCCUGCAUCAUGCCCAUCACCAGCUAUUAUAUGAUUUGUUGUAAAUUGCCUGGUCCAGAAACACAUUAAGAAGGGCUUGUGAAGACCUCCAAAACAGGGUUGACUUACUCCAGAAAUAGGUGGAAGUGAGUUUGGAGUGUUUUGGAUUACUUUUCUCUUCUAGUCCACUGGACUAUUUUAUUGCUUCAAUUGUAAGUAACCAUGUUUAUAUAUUUUAGAGCUAUGAUGACAAGGGACCUAUUAUAGAUGCUGUUGUUUGGAAUGGAGAACCAUGGAGGGCCACACUUGAUAGGCAGAGUCUUGAGGAUGACCCAGGGUGUUGGAAAUUUGCUGAUUUUGUAACCGUAACUAAUUAUAGGUAUGUUUGAUCCACCAGUAACAAAAUUGUGUGCUGGAGUAUCUUUUAUAUUUUUCUUAUAGUUUUCAAUGGUAAUAAUAUGUGUUUGAAAGAAGCUGAAACAUCCUUUCUAUAUAGGAGUUCUAAUUUUGAUGCAGUUUUUCUGGCUUAAGGUGGAUUACUGUUGUAUGAAUUAUGAAAACUGUUGUUGAGUUACUUCCAAUGAAGCAUCUGAAUUUGCUCCCUCUGAUUUAUUUUGGGGAAAAGAAAGGGGCUUGACUGUGCUUUUUGGGCUUACAUAAAAUCAAUUGGCAGCAUUUGAAAGCUCAACUUGAUUUUGAUAUUGCAUGGUGUUUUGAAGAUUCUGUUCAUUGUUAGUCCAGCCCCAGAUCCUGGAGAUGGAACUUGCACUUGGAAACAACCUUUUAUGUUGCUUGCGAUAGGCAUUUCACUUGUCUAAGGCAUGACUUGCCUUCUAAAUUCGCAUAAGCUCCUAAGGUAAACAGCUUAGGAAAGGCCUUGUCUGAACAAUAGUCAUGCAGAGAGAUGUGAAGCUCAAACACAAAUAUGCCCAGAAACGAGAAUUUAUGUUGAUGUUUCAAAUCUUUGUUCUGGCUACUUUUCUCAAUCCUCUGAUUUUAA
rnacentral:lncRNA from 1 species